UGGUCAGUAGUUAAUUAUCAAUAAACCAGUAAUUAUCAGCACAUUAGGAAGUUAGUGAUAGAUCUUCAAUUAGGCUUCAAAAUUGACCUUGUGAAAUGCUUGAAUUGAAAUUGUACAGUGACUUCUUUAUGCUAGCAUGAUAGCAAAUAGAUUGACUCAUGAUUUUGUGCAUGGAUGGACCAGGUUGAUCUUAUCACUGAACUUCAUCAAAAGAUUUAAGUCGAAAGAAGGAACACUUUAAGGUGUGCUUUCUGUAUGUUAAUUGGAUAGGGGAGUAACUUUAGUUCCAAUCCCUCUCUUUUCAGUUUUUGCAGUAUGUGUGCUUUGUAUCUGUGCCAGAAUGACUUGUCUAAAUGUAGCUCAUGGUGUUAACCUAGAGGCCUGUCGCUCUAAAUAAUAUUGAGAAUUGCACAUCAAAUCUUGCUUCAUGGGGCAGAGACCAUUUGAUUUUCUUUUUCCAAAUUUCCUGCACUACAUAUUUACUGCCUUGAAGUUUAAUUUUGAACUUCAGGUCAUAUUUCAUAAUUGUAUUUAAUUAUUAAAUACUCGGUACGCAUUUGCAGAAUACUCUGGUUAAUGCUUAAAAUAAAUAAAAAGUAAUUUUUUACUUGUAAACAAGAUUGAAUAAAUUACUUUUCCUUACAAUUAAGUGAAAAACAGUUACUUAUUGUGAAAAAAAUUCUUACAUUAGUGUCACAUGAAGCAAGUUCCAAUGAUGAUCAAUAAAAGAAAUACUUAUUUACUUGCACGUAUCUUUUAUGCUUAGCCAAGCGUGCUAUAAGAGAGUAAAACAUUGAACCGGGAGUAUGUAUGAAUUAUGCUGUCGAAAAUUACAUUAAACAGAAUUUAACAACUGAGUUUAUUGUUGGUACUUACACAUAUCUUUUAUGCUUAGCCAAGCAUGCUAUAAGAGAGUAAAACAUUGAACCGAGUUUAUGUAUGAAUUUUGCUAUUGAGUUUAUUGGUUGAACAAACAACUCUUGUUCUUUUAUCAGGUUGAGGCACUAUCCUCAAAAAAGGCAAUGCUGCUAUUCAGAAUCAAGGUAAGUUUCUGUAUUAGCAAUCAAAGCAAUGAAAUGAUGCCAAAUACUACUCUGAAUUGUCACCAAGUGUCCAAACGUUUUAUUUUUCUGAAUUUUUUGGUUUAAAUGUCUUAGGCAGUUUCAAGGUUACUGGAUGAGAACAAGUUGAUUGUGGAAUUAGCUGAUUUUCCCGGUACCUCUUCAAAAGUUGAUCUAGAAUCCAGUGUAUGGGAACCCUAUAAUUCGAAGUUCAGGCCUUUAGUAGUUAAAAAGAAAACUCGAUCCAGCCAGCAACAUUUGGGAUCAUUGAUUCGACAGUUGGACUCAAUUUUUUCUACUAGUGUCAUCUUUCUAAGAAGGAAUUCGACUGCUGGGAUUUGGUCUGUCGCCUACUUUGUAUGCUUUUAUCAAAUGGGUGUUAUACAUUCUAACGCCUCAUUCUCCUUUCUCCAAUGAUGCUAGGUCUGGUGCUGUUGUUUCCUUGGAGAAUAUAAACAACACUGGAGGUGUCUAAUUUACUUUUUGGGUUAUAAAUUUAUUUUACAUUUUUUAAAAGUGUUUUUUGUGAUUCGUAUAGAAACGUGGCUAUGGUUGAGAAAAGUAUUUCUCAUUUUACAUGUUAUAUUAGUUGUAGGUUCUACGUUCUAGUAUUGUACGUAUAGAGAUAGAUCUAGCAAUUAACUGAACAAAGUGGUGAAAGAGGGUUCAUGUAAUCGACUGACAAUUCUAUUGUAUUGUACACACAAAAGAUGCUUCAAUAUAUGCUACAUAUUAAUCUUUCUAGGGUGCACAAAAAGUAAAUUUGGGGUUUUUUUGGGUAUGUUAGAUACUUAUAGGUCAUAUUGCAAAAUCCUGAUACAUUGUACAUUUAUGCAAAUAUGCAUCCGAUGCUCCAUAUAUCAAUGGCAGGUGUAUACUGCAAACGAAAUUUUGUUUAGAACCAUUAUACAUUGUUUUCAAGGGUUAAAUCCAUCAAUGGCCAUACAACUUUAUAUUUAGUAUUACCAUGAUCACUUAAUUUAAUUUAAUUUAAUUUUAUCACAGCCAUCCAACUUUAAAUUUAGUGUCACCAUGACCAUCUAAUUUGAUUUUAUUUCACUAAGGUCAUACAAUUUCAUAAAACGUCUCAUCAUCAUCAUCAUCCAAUUUUAUAUAACGUUUCACUCAACCAACUUUUUUUUUAAUACCUUUUCACUAACUAAUUUUAAAAGGGCUAAAACAAUACUUUUACGUUAUAUAUAAAAUAAAGUUAAAAAAUAAUAAUAAAAUUUUAUUUUAAAAAUAUAAUAAAAUAAAAACUAAUUUUAAAAAAUUUACUUAAAAAAUGAAAUAUUUAUUUUAUAAAAAUGUUUAAAAAAAUAAAAUAAAAAUAUUUUUAGAAAAAAAUGUUGUUAUUCUAUUUUUUAAUAAACUUUUUAUUUUAUAAAUUUUUAUUUUAUAUAUAAUGCAAAAUUAUUGUUCCACCCCUUUUGAAAUGAGUGAAAAGAAGUUGUGUGGUCAUUGAUGGAUUUAAAUUAGAGAAUCUAAUCAAAAUUGCCUAGAAAUAGAAUUGGUGUUAUUUCCACUUAUUUUAUGCACAAUUUGAAGUGUCCAACUAGUUAUAAAUCUAGCCCCAUUUGGUCGCCAUUAUUCGAGAUUAUAAUUUUUUGAAUAGUAUUUUUUGAAGAAUGUGUGGUUAAAAAAAGAUAAACAAUUUUGGAAUUAUUUAGGACAAUUUUGGAUUUACGUGUAAUAUUAUUUUAUUUGAAAAUGUGUGAUUAAUAAGAAUGGAGAGAAAAUGGAUUAUAAUGGGAGCCAAACGGAAGCCUAGUAACAUAUAAAAUAACAAAUGAAAGAAGGGGAAAAAAUAUCAUAUUCUAGGACUUAAGCUUAGGCUAAUUCAAUUUUAAGAAAACAAGUUUACCUUUUCAAAGAUAAUUAAAUUGUAUUAAUUAAAUAAUUAAUUGUAUAUAAAAUAAUUUCAAUCUCUUUCCAGUCUAGGCCACAAUCACUGCCAUUCACCUUCCUUACCAAUCCUUUCCACAAUCAUCGACAUCCACUCUCACAAUUGCCGACAUCUAAAUAACUUUGUCAAAAAAAUUUUAAAAAAAAAGAAGAAGAGAGAGAGAGAGAGAGAGAGAACUUUACUAUUAGCAUAACUUAGAACUUGUUAUCUCAUUGCCAAUAUUGCUAAGGUUACGUUAGUGAUUUUCUUUGCCAGUCUAACAUGCGACUAGAGUAUAAAUCUUUCAGGGCCAUACAUCAUAUAGAUAAGAGAGAGGUAAACAAGCGUUGUAUAAAGGAAAAGAAAGUAUUGGGACAUUUAUCAGCUUACUUCAGAGAAAAAAGAUCCACAUGACUCACGUGCACGAUACCAACGAGUAGCAACAUAGUCCUUCGAAAAAUAAAUUAAGAAAAUGAAAAUUAAAGGUUAGAAAGUGAAGUAGAUGACACUCAAAAAGUGAUAGCGACGGCCAUAUAUGAAAAGCUUAAUAGAGUUCAUUACAGUCCAAAAAAUAGCGGACGGGGCAUCAUUAAAUGACAAACGUGCAAGACCAAAAUCACAAAUCUUUAACUUACAAUCAGCAUCAGCAAGAAUAUUUUUUGGCCUCAAAUCUCGGUGGAAUACAUUUGCUGCAUAAAAAUAGAAAUAACAACAAUAAUGAGAAUAAAUUCCUCACAUAAGCAAGGAAGGAAGAAUGUGAAGGGGGAAGUUUCAUAUUGCAGAAUGUCAAACCUGUGUGAAUGAUUUUUUUUUUUUUUUUUUAAUUGUGGGUAUCCGGGCAGCUUACGCGCAUGGGACCCUGAAAUUUACAAUUGGAUACUCACCUCAGUGGUCCUGAAACUUGUGUGAAUGUAUUUUAAGCCACGGAGGAGCUGAUACGGGGAAAUCUGAUCAUGUUCAACUGUCAGAUUAUCAUUAGCCUUAAUCACUUGGUGAAGGUCAGAUUCCAUCAAUUCAAAAACAACAUAGAUAUCUCUAAAUUCUCUAUGAGAAGGAGGGAGCAUUAUAUGAUUUAUUUCAACAAUAUCGGGAUGGCGAAGCAGCCGAAGAAGCUUGAUUUCUCUAAGAAUUCGUGUAGAGACAUGUUCAAAAACGUCAUUGAUCUUCUUGAUUGCAACGUUUUCUCCAGUAUGGGUAUCAAUUGCAGGACCCACCACACCAUAACUACCUUUCCCUAUUUCUUCUUGAACCUGAUAUCGACUCGCCUCCCCAUACUCCGUGAAGAAUUCUGUUUCCUGUACAUUCUGGAUAAAUAAGUACCAAAUUAGAAUCUGUUGAGUGCUUAAACAGUUACAUGAAUGUAUCCCUUUUCGAGAUAAUAGGCAUUGCUCAAAAUUUUCCGAUUUAGAUGUCACAAAGUAAUCAGAAAUUCAGAUUUACUUCCUCCCACAAAUCUUUCUCCUUGGUUGCUCUCGCAGCCAAUUACCAAACUAAAGGGGGGGGGGGGGGGGGGGGGGGGGGGGGGGGGGGGGGGGGGGGGAUCACCAAAAUCACAAUGAUUCAAAAUACAAAAUAUUCAAUAGGAUAUAAAUUAAAAUAGACUGAGUUAUAAUUCAAAAAAUAAAAAAUGCAAAAAAACCAAAGACCUUCAUAAUUCUGGGAAACACAUUGGGCAAAGAGUUUAACAUCUAAAAGAAACAAAAAUUCAAAUCUACACUAAAUUCAAAUCGGAAGUUUUGGUGCAUUGGCAAGGUUAUCAUAAAAAAAUACUAAAACAAAUUUUCUCAAAUAAUCACGGAAGACUUCACUCAUAAGAGCUUGAAAUGUUGAUGGUGCAUUAGUCAAACCGAAGGGCAUUACCAGGAAUUCGUAGUGUCCUUGAUGAGUUCUAAAUGCUGUUUUUUCCACAUCUUCCGGGCUCAUUCGAACUUGGUGAUACCUAGAUCGCAGGUCGAGCUUGGAAAAUACCUGUGCACCAUGUAGUUCAUCUAAGAUCUCAUCAAUUAUAGGAAUUGGGUACUUAUCCUUAAUGGUAAGCUGAUUCAAAGCCCGAUAAUCUACACACAUCCUCCAUGAGCCAUCAUGUUUCUUUACCAAUAUGACUAGGAAAGAAUAGGGGUUGUUGUUGUGUCGGAUUAUACCCAUGGAAAGCAUUUCCUUAACCAUUCUCUCAAUUUCAGCUUUCUGAAAGUAAGGAUAACGAUAUGGCUUUCCUGAAAAUGGGCCCCACCCAUGCUGUAUUGGUAUUUUGUGGUCACAUGCUCGCUCGGGAGGUAACCCUGUUAGUUAUUCAGCAAGUACUUUACUAAUUUUUUGCAAAAUCGACUUCACUUGUGGAUGGAGUUCUUGCUGGACUUCACCUUUCUUUUCCUUAAGUAGGAGUUCAAGUAAAAUUCCUUUCAUCGGUGUUAGCUUGUAAAUUUCAUGACCAUCAGCCACCAUGUCCUCAGUGCUUUUCAAUCCAUGGAGGUGAAAAAUCUUACCAUACAAUUCAAGCUUCAUUAACAAUUUAGAGAAAUUCCAUUCAAUUUUCCCAAGUGUGCAGAGCCAUUGUGCUCCCAAAACAACAUCACAACCUUCCAAUGGUAGUAAAUAAAAAUAAGCUUGAAUAGGAUGGCCUUGCAAAAUCAAUUGAACAUUUUUACACUUCCCUGGGCAAGAUAAUUUUUCUCCAGAAGCCAACAUUACCUUCAAGUUGUCAUAUGAGUUUGAUUGGAAGCCUACCUUCACUGCUAGCUGUUCAUUGAUGAAGUUAUGAGUGCUUCUUGAAUCGAUCAACACAGUAGCUUCUUUGUAAGUAAGAUAACCUCUAACUCUCAUUGUUUUAGGAUUUCGAAGUCCAGCAAUCGCAUAGAGGGAAAUUUCUGGCAUAUCUGAAACUUGCUCCUCAGAUGGUUCAUCUUCUUCCAUCUCCACAUCAUCAUCACUGUCCCUUAAUGUAGCUUGGAUAAAGAACAACUUCUUACACACAUGUCCUGGGCCAAACUUUUUAUUGUAUUUGAAACACAAGCCUCUGCGCCUCCUCUCAUUUAUUUCCUUUGUGGUCAUUCUCUUAAUAGGAGCUGGUCCUAAACUUUGGAUGCGCCGUGCUGGAGUUGUGCGAAGAGCAGGUUGCAUGUUCUUGCGUUGGUUAAAAUCUCUAGCUUUGAAUAGCCUUGCUAACCCUAUAGCUAAGGACAGAGACCUUGGCUUGUUAGCUCUAACAUCAGUUCUGACGGGUUCUUGAAGGCCUCCUACGAAACAACUGACUUGUCGAGAUUGCUCCAUUGGUCCAGCCUUAGCCAACAAUUUCUCAAAUUUAUCCUGGUAGUCUUGUACUAAACUUGUUUGUUGUAAAUGAGUUAGUUCAGCAAAGAAAUCCAAAAACUGAUUUGGCCCAUACCUUGCAUUUAAUCCGUUGCUGAAUUCUUCCCAAGUGGCAGUGCCCAGCUCUUGUUUCAUCAAUUGGUACAAUAGAUGUGCAUCGCCAUCCAAAUGAAAUGAAGCUAAUGCAACUCGAUCUUGAACAGGGAUUCCAUAUAGUUGAAAUAAUUGGUCUGCCAUAUCGAGGAAAAUUAAUCUUUACCGUUUUUGAAACAUAAGAUCCUGAUAUUGAACCCUCAGAAGCAUUUACAAGAACACCUGGUGUACUAUGGGCUACUGUUGAGUCUUCCAUCCUGCCUGGAGUUUGCAUUCUAGUAGUAGCGUUUCCAACAAGCUCACUAGUCUGAAUGGCAAUUUGUUCCACCCAAUCAUCGAGUUUACUGACUGUUUCAGACAAUUUACGCAGGACCUCCUCCUGACCUGUCAUCAUCCCUACAACCACCUCCAAUUGUUCCAACCUGUGUUCCAUUCCCAGGCUCUGAUACCACUGUGCUACAGCCUUGCUAGUAGAAGUAGUUUUUCCUCUACCUAUUUUGGGACUAAAAGAAAAAACAUAGAUUUUUCUAGCUUGUUUGAGGGAGCAAGAACCUCCAAUUUUUUAUGUAAAUCAAAAGUGUAGCAGAAAAGGAUUUUUAUCUUUAUUUCAUUCCAGAAUAAAUAGUAGAAAAAUUCAACAAAUUCCCACAAAAAUAGGGAUAAAGACCAACGUUCACAAGUUGGUUUUAACUACUCAACAACUAUGCGAGACUUAUUCAAGGAACUAAACAUAAAAAUGGAAAAUUAUUAACUUCAGGACAUAAAACUCCUAUCACUCUUAUCCUUUUUUCUCUCUCUCUCUCAUAAUUUAUUUCUCCACUAAAAAUUUUAAAAUCAGCUAACUUUUUAUAUGUAUAUUUCAAUAGAGAUAAAAACUCUCUCAUUUUUCAUCUGCUUCAACCUAAAAGUUUCAGAACUUUAUCGAACACUAAACAAUGAAAUAUUUUUUUAUAUAAAUAACUUCGAAUUGGUAAGUAUAUUUGCGUAUGUUUACUUUAGUUUUCGUUAAAUUAGUAUACAUUUUAAUCGAUAAAUUUUCUUUCGACAUAGAUUAAAAUGUUUUUAACAGAUCUAUAAUUUUUUAAGUAUGAAUAAGAAAAAAUUCAUCUGCAUCUAAAUUCUUUCGGGCGAAAUCCAUGAAAACGUUUUUGAACAGACUUAACAGUCUCCAAACAACCAGAAGGAUGUUAAAAUAGCUGGCGAUUAUCGCCAGCUAUUUAAUAGUUAGUAGUUAUAGCGGUCUAUUUACCCCGUUGUUUGCCUGUUUUAGUACAGUUGCCCCAAAUUAAUCGAUUUUCCUACUAAUUUUCCUGAUAAUUAAAAAUUCUAUUUCGUCAUGCAAAUAUGAUUGUAAUUCCGGUUUGUUAUUUUGGUGAUUUUGAAUUGGAUGAAAAAAGAUUGAUGGGUAAGGAAAUUGACGAGUUAUAAUUAAAUUGUGGUGGCUGAGGAGGAGGCUACCAAACAAAGGCCUGCUCGAGUGCAAGAGAAGUCUCCCAGCUUCCUUGUCGGAAGGGAGGAGCCUUUGGCUCCAGCUUUGGUAAAGGCCCUGCCACCUGAGAUCCGAGGCACUACUGAAAGUUUUAAUAAAUUCUGGACGGAUCGGUGGCAGCUGCACGCCUCCUCCUGUGAUGCCACGGGCUUGACAAGGGCUCUUGUGAGUCAAAGUGUUAGGACUUUUGGCCUCGCACUGGAAUGCAGGGAGGCCCUCAUUGACUUCCAGACGAGGACCACUGCCUCAGAGAGGAAGACACCUCCUUUGCAGAGGAGCUGAAGGCAGCUAGGGCCCAAAAACUUGAAGAAUCGGCCAAGUUGGAGUCUGGCUUGGCUCAGAUAGAGGCAUUGAAGAGGGAGGUACAUAUGUCCCAGUGUGAGGUUGCCUCAUUGACUAAAAAGGUGGAGGUUUCCAAUGAUCACCAGAAGGUGACCGCCGAAGCCUUGGAAAAGGCAAACUUGGCAUUGGCAUCAUCCCAAGAGGCGUACCAGUUCUUGGAAGGCCAAAUUAAAUGGUAUGUGGAUGAUGCCACAAGGCAAGGGAGGAGGUCCAAGAGGCAAAAGAAGAGGCGGUGAAGGACUAUAUUGCCAACUUUCAUAACACCGAGGAGUACAAGAGCUUCAAUAUUUACUGGAAGAACUUUGCUUAUGCCGAGGUAAAGGAGCGAGCUGAGGAGUUGUAUCCCAAUUAGGACCUGUCACAACUCAGGUCGGAGUUUGUGGACGAAGUGCCUCAAACCCCAGCUGAUGAAGAGGUGGGAGAUGAAGUAGCAGAGGUAGAAGAAGUAAACUUUGAUGCUCAAGCUGCGGAAGUCCCAACUAUUGAAGCACCUCCAUCAUAUUCUCAGGCCUAGAAUAGUUUUCUUUUCAGUUAUUCUUGAUGUACUGGCCUCAGGCCCCCCUUUUAUAAUCUCAAUUGAAAAUCAAUAUAAUAUGUUUUUCAUUCAAUGUUGUUUCUUUCUCUCAAGUGUAUUGGCCUCGUUAAGUAAUUGAACGUAAUGUUGAUUGAAGAACUAAAUAACUUUAAUUGGGUAUCCAAACUCCAAUCACUUGAACAAAUAAAUUGUAUGCAAGCCUCAUGAGUUAUGACCAAUAUAGGACUUAAGCAAAUGAAUUGUACUUAAGCUUAAUAACUGUAACCUAAAGGGAUCCUAAGAAUGGACCGUGUUGCAGUCGAACCUGAAGUGUAUGAGCCUUGGAGAUCAAGCAAGGUGGCCCAGAGAUGGGACCCUGGCCUCUCUUCCGAGGUGACGACGCUUCCCAACAUGGUGGAUGGUACAGCCAUGUUGAGGCUUCUCCCCUUGGCGUUCAGCCUAGCCAAAGGGAGGCAUGUGCAUGUGUCUUGGAGUUCAAGCGAAGUGGCCCAGAGAUGGGACCCUGGCCUCUCCUCCGAGGUGACGACGCUUCCCAACAUGGUGGAUGAUGCAGCCAUGUUGAGGCUUCUCCCCUUGGCGUUCAGCCUCGUCAAAGGGAGGCAAAUGCAUGUGCCUCAGAGUUCAAGCGUGGUGGCCCAGAGAUGAGACACUGGCCUCUCCUCCGAGGUGACGACGCUUCCCAACAUGGUGGAUGGUGCAGCCAUGUUGAGGCUUCUUCCCUUGGCAUUCAGCAUCGUCAAAGGGAGGCAUGUACAUGAGCCUCGGAGUUUAAGUGAGGUGGCCCAGAGUUGGACCUUGGCCUCUCUUCCGAGGCGAGGAAGUAAUGCAACAUGUUAAUUUAAUCAUAGAAUUUUAUUGAACCAUAGAAAUGUAACAUGAGCUGGGAAAGAUCGUCCAACGAUGUGGUACAUUCAUUGGUCAUAGAUUCUGAGGUGCUCGAUGUUCCAUGGACAGGGUUGUGCCUUGUCGUUCAUGUCUUCAAUCCAGUAAGUCCCAGGCCAGAUCUCUUCUCUGAUUUUAUAUGGGCUUUCCAAGUUCGGACCCAGGGAAUCGGAACCAAGUUCCUUUGAGAAGAGGAAGACUCUCCUUAGGACCAAGUCGUUGAUUCGGAAUGAUCUCUUCUUUACCUUUGAGUUGAAGUACUUCGUCAUCUUCCUUUAAUGUGUGCCGAGCUUCAUCUGGGAGUCAUCUCUUCUUUCUUCAAUGAAGUCAAGGUCAUACCUCCGAAGCUAGUCGUUUGUCAUCUCACUAAAAUGCAGACGUCUUGGAGACAGGAGUCCGACCUCAAUGGGGCUCAUCGCCUCAGUACCAUAUGCCAUAAGGAAGGGUGUCUCCUCGGUUGGGGUCCUCGUGGUGGUUCGGAUUGUCCAAAGUACUUGUGGCAGCUCAUCCACCCAAGCCCCUUUUGACACAUCAAGCUUCCUUUUCAGGAUGUGUUUGAUUGUUGUUGACAGCCUCAACUUGGCCAUUUGCUUGUGGGUGGUGAGGCGUGGAGAAAUGCUUCUUGAUGCUGAGUUCUUCGCAUAGUGCUCUGACCUUCUUGUUGUCGAAUUGUCUACCAUUGUCUGAGACGAUUGAGUAGGAAAUCUCGAACCGGCAUAUAAUAUUCUUCCACAAGAACUUGGAAGUGUUGGCUUCUGUGAUUUUUGCCUGUAGUUCAGCCUCAACCCAUUUUGUAAAGUAAUCAAUGGCCACAAUUGCAAAGCUUGCAUCUCCUCUACCUUCAGGCAGGGACCUAUGAGGUCCAUACCCCAUUUCGAGAAAGUCCAAGGGCUGGAGACCGCGGUAAAAUCCUAUGACGAUUGUCUUUGUACCGAAGAGAAUCGUUGGCAUUUGUCACACUUUCGUACAAACUCGAAGGCAUCCCUUUUCAAGGUAGGCCAGUAGUACCCUUGCCUCAAUAUCUUUUGUGCCAAAGAUAGACCUCCAGAGUGAUUUCCGCACACGCCCUCAUGGAUUUCUCUUAAUAUGUAAAUAACCUCUUCUCCUCCAACGCAUCGUAAGAGUGGGGAGGAGAAGCUCCUCUUAUAGAGAACAUCAUCAACCAAGAGGAAGUGGGCUGACCUCAUAAUUAGCUUGUAGGCCUCAUGCUUGUUAGUGGGAAGUAUCUGGUCUUUGAGGUAUGCUACGAUUGGCUACAUCUAGGUAGGAGUCCCAGCAACCCACAUUACAUUGGGGACCUCGGUUGACGGCAGGAGGAGAUACUCUAGAGGUACUACUGUGAGUAGUUCUGAAUCCUUGCUACUAGUGAGCUUGGAGAGUGCAUCCGCAUGAGAAUUUUCGAUGCGAGGAAUCAGGGUUAGUUCAAACUUUUCAAAGGAUGGGAUGAGGUUCAUCACCACUUUUAAGUAGGAGGCCAUCGUUUUGUCCUUGACUGAGAAGUUACCAUUUACUUGGCUAACAAUUAGCUGGGAGUCACUGUUGAUGAGUAGUCUCUUUGCUUUCAUUUCCUUGGCCAGCCUGAGGCCUGCGAGAAGUGCCUCAUAUUUUGCUACGUUGUUGGUGGCUUUAAACCCGAACCUCACCCCUGAGUUCAGUUUGUGACCUUCAGGGCUUAUGAGGACAACUUUAGCAUUUAAGCCGGCAUUCCCAGCCGACCUAUCGACGAAUAAGUUCCACGUAGGGGGCUCGACGUGUUCCAUGAUUUCAUCUACCUCGGGUAAAUUGGCAAAUUUUACCACAAAGUCAACCAAGACUUGACCCUUGAUGGCUGCCCUAGCCUUGAACAUGAGGUCAAAUUCACUUAGCUCCACUGCCUACUUCAAUAAUCUUCCUGAGGCAUCAGGCUUUUGGAGUACCUGCCUUAGGGGAAAGCUUGUUAGCACAUGGAUGGUAUGAGCUUGGAAGUAGGGUCUCAAUUUCCUGGAGGCCGUGAUCAAGGCCAAAGCGAGCUUCUCCAUAUCGGGGUAAUGAAUUUUCGACGAUAAGAGUGCUUUACUUGUAUAGUAAACGAGGAGUUGGGUGGUCCCCUCUUCUUGGGUUAGAACCGAACUGAUGGCCUCAUUGGAGACGGCCAAAUAUAGCUGUAGGAUCUCACUGGGCUUCGAUUUGGAAAGGAGGGGACCUGCCCCAGGUGCCUUUUCAGGCCUCUUCACAUUUCUCGUUCCAUUGGAAAUUUUUCCCAGCUUUCAUCACUUUGAAAAAUGGAAGGCAUUUGUCUGUAGCUUUGGAGACGAAGUGGCUAAGUACGGCCACUCGUCCAGUCAAACUUUGCACCUCUUUUGGCUUUUGGGGGGACCUCAUCUUGUGUAGGGCCUCAAUCUUCUUAGGGUUGGCUUUAAUUCCACAUUGAUUGACCAUGUAACCUAAGAAUUUACUGGAGGCCACUCCGAAGGCGCACUUGAGGAGGUUGAACCUCAUCCUAUAUCUUCUCAAGAUUUAGAAGGUGUUGUUGAGGUGCGUUAUGUGGUCCUUAGCCUCCAAACUCUUUACCAACAUGUCAUCCACAUAUACCUCAAUUGUCUUGCCGAUGAGGUCCAUAAACAUUUUGUUGACAAGCCUUUGGUAAGUUGCUCCGGCAUUUUUCAAUCCGAAAGGCAUCAUCCUAUAACAAUAAAGGCCUCGGUCUGUGAUGAAAGAGGUGUGCUCCUCAUCGGCCGGGUGCAUGGGUAUUUGGUUGUAGCCAGAGUAUGCGUCCAUAAAGCUCAACCACUCGUGUCCAGCCAUGGAGUCUACUAGUUGUUCAAUCCUUGGGAGUUAAAAGCUGUCUUUCGGGCAAGCUCUGUUGAGGUUGGUGAAAUCGAUGCACACCAUCCACUUGCCAUUGUGUUUCUUCACUAAAACCGGGUUGGAGACCUACCUAGGAUAGGUAGCCUCCCGAAUAAAGAUGUUUUAGAUGAGCUUCUGAACCUCUUCCUUCAGAGCCUCGUACCUCUCAGGAUUGAGGGCUCUCCUUUUUUGUCUGUGCAAGGCAACCUUAGGAUCGACUUUCAAGUGGUGGCAACUGACUUUGGGGUUUAUGCCUACCAUGUUCUCAUGCCUCCAAGCAAAGAUAUCAAGGUUCCUACUUAGGAAAUCCUUAAUCUUUUCCUUCAAGAUGUUGGAUAAGCCAUUGGCUACUUUCAGCACCUUGGAUGGGUUUGGGGUCUACCGAGAAGCUCUCAAGUUCCUCAAUUGGGGAUGCUUGGGGGGUUCGUGUUCAGUUAUGCGGGGAUCGAUCUCAUCAAUGAUCGAUACCUCCGGAUUGGGUGGUGCAUCAAUCAUAUCGAUAUCUUCUGGUUCAGUGGGAGCAUCGCCUGGGACAUCAGCCAUGACUAUAUCGGCUAUGAUUACAUGGACGUCCCGGGGCUCUACCUUUUUGAUGGAGUUUAGAUAACACUCUCUCGAUCCUCUUUGGUCGCCUCUCACCGUUGCCACCCCAUUUUUCGUCGGGAAUUUCAUGCAAAGGUGGUGGAUGGAAGUGACUGCUCCCAAUUCCUUUAGGGCUAGCCUCCCUAAUACUCCGUGGUAGGCCGAUCUACUGUCGACAAUGAGGAACUCCAUGAAGUUCAUCGUAGUUUGGGGAGACUCUCCCAUCUCCACUGCAAGUGUUAUCUUUCCCCUUGGAGUGAUGCUAUCUCUGGUGAAUCCGUACAAAGGAGUUGUGGUAGGUGUCAACUGAUGAUCCAAUAUCAUCUUGUCAAAGGCGGAUUCGAAUAGAAUGUUGACAGAGCUACCGUUGUCAACUAACAUUCGCUUGAGCCCAUUUUGAGCUAUGACGACUCUCACAACAAGUGCAUCGUAGUGGGGGUAGUGAACUCCUUCGACGUCUUCCUAGGUGAAGACAAUGGGUGGAACUUGGAUCCUCCGAGAGUUGCUAUCCACAAUAUAGCUUGCCAAGGAACUAAACAUAAAAAUGGAAAAUUAUUAACUUUAGGACAUAAAACUCCUAUCACUCUUAUCCUUUUCUCCCUCUCUCUCUCAUAAUUUAUUUCUCCACUAAAAAUUUUAAAAUCAGCUAACUUUUUAUAUGUAUAUUUCAAUAGAGAUAAAAACUCUCUCAUUUUUCAUCUGCUUCAACCUCAAAGUUUCAGAACUUUAUCGAACACUAAACAAUGAAAUAUUUUUUUAUAUAAAUAACUUCGAAUUGGUAAGUAUAUUUGCGUAUGUUUAAUUUAGUUUUCGUUAAAUUAGUAUACAUUUUAAUCGAUAAAUUUUCUUUCGACAUAGAUUAACAUGUUUUUAACAGAUCUAUAAUUUUUUAAGUAUGAAUAAGAAAAAAUUCAUUUGCAUCUACAUUCUUUCGGACGAAAUCCAUGAAAACGUUUUUGAACAGACUUAACAGUCUCCAAACAACCAGAAGGAUGUUAAAAUAGCCGGCGAUUAUCGCCAGCUAUUUAAUAGUCAGUAGUUAUAGCGGUCUAUUUACCCCGUUGUUUGCCUGUUUUAGUACUGUUGCCCCAGAUUAAUCGAUUUUCCUACUAAUUUUCCUUAUAAUUAAAAAUUCUAUUUCAUCAUGCAAAUAUGAUUGUAAUUCCGGUUUGUUAUUUUGGUGAUUUUGAAUUGGAUGAAAAAAGAUUGAUGGGUAAGGAAAUUGACGAGUUAUAAACGUAGCAGUAUUCUAAUUUCCAUAACAUCGAGUACAUCAUAUGCAGGAAUGUACUAUGACCUACAAAAUAAUUUGAACGUCGAUCCCUCUUCAUACGAUAUGGAAUUGAUAUUUCAAUUCAACAAGCAUUUAUUCAUUCUAAUUCCACUUAUGAAGAUUGCUUUUAAUAUUGAAGUAAAUUAUCUAUCUGAAUUGAACAAAUGCACACGAUUCCUCUUUGCGUGACUUUAGUAAGGAAGAAUGAUGCCGAUGGUGAAGACGAAGAUUCGAAUGGAAGGGAUCACAAUGCCAAUAAUUUUUGUGACGCAAUGGAGAUAGCUCGUAAAGAUGAUGUAGAUAUUCCAAAGAAAGUUGUUCCUCAUCGUGAUCUCAUUGUUACGCAUAGAAUUUCCUUAGUAGUUUAUAACAACGUGAAUGAAAAUAAAUUUAAAAAUAAGAAUUUGAUUGUUUUAUCCUAUUAGAGACAUGACCGUCUUCUAACUCCUUGUGUGAGGUCCCGAUGAUGAUGAUUUUAUGUUGAGCAAUUAUUUGAAACAAGAAAGAUUUGCAAGAAAUUGUGCACCAAAUUGCACUAAAAUAUAACAUUGAGUUCAAAGUGAAAAAUCAAAAACAAGUCAUUGUUGACGAUAGUUUACGUUGACAGUUGUCGUUGGCAUUUGCAAGCAACGAAGAUGGGCAUAAAUAAGUUACUUGUAGUUUGAAAAUAUACACACGAACAUACUUGAGAAGUGAGAAUUUCGUCGAAAUGAUCACAAACAAGCCUCGAGCAGAUAAUGCACAAGUUAUGAGACCCACGACUAUCUAUAAACCUCAAACAUUAUUAACGAUGUUCUUCGAGAGUACGGAGUGGUCUUAAGUUACCAGAAAACCUGAAAGGCCAAAGAAUGCAUGUUCGAGGAUUUAUUGGGCUUGAUCGAGAAGAGCUAUGCUAAAUUGACCCAAACUUUGUCCGGUAAGACACCACAUAUUGUACUAUGUGUUAAGCAGUACCCUUUUUUAGGUAUGAGACUCAGGUAUUGCCAUAACUUGGAAACAACUAAUCCUGCUUCGACAUUUUUUUAGAUGGAAGGCGAUAUUGCUUUUAAGUUUUUUCAUAGCUUUUGGAUAAUGCAUUAGGGGUUUUCAAUCGACCAACAUGUCCAACAACUAUAUCUUUACAGAUAAUCGCAAAGGCAACUAUAUAGGUGUGUGGACAACUUCUCGAACCGAGACUAGACUAAAUCGAGGACACAGUAGGAAAACAAAUAGCUAGCAAGUGUUAAUGUCCCUCAACCUAAUAUUUAUUGGUCCGUGAUCUAGGGCAUGUUUAAAUAUUAGUCGAUAGACAAGAUAAAUGUGGCACUCUCAUCCUUUGAGAUAACAUUUGUAAUUUUGAUUAGAUUAUCAAUAUAUCGCUAUUCUCAUUACAUUAAUAUGUUGUCACAAUGAUUAUUGAAGUUAUUUUAAACACUUCUUCAACUAUUUUACAAUGCUAUGCCCAACAGCUGCAUGAUCUUGACUCUACACUCCAAAAAAAAAAAAAAAAAAAAAUCAUAUUAAUCUAUCUAAAAUGUUACUAAUCAUAAUCAUGGGCUUUCAUUUCUACAAUCAGCUGAAAAUCUUGAUCGUGUCAACUAAUGCCUAACAUUUUUUACAAUAACUUGACGCAUUAUUAUGACAUUCAACUAUUUAUAAAAGUUGUUGUUAUGACAAUACUAUAUUAUUCCUAUCAAAUAAUCUCGUUAUCAUCACAAUGCAUCAUACGCACACAGGGACGUACCCAUCAUUCAAUCUCAAUAGGGUCAUAAUUCAGCUAAAAAAAUUUAUUUUUAUUUUUUUACCAAAUAAGACAAAAAUGUAAUAUUAAAUCUAAUACCUACAAUUAUUCCUUAUUGGAUUCAUACUUUUAAUAUGUCAUAAUAUCUUUAUUAUAAAUUCAUUUAGUACAUGUUUUCAAUAUACAUAAUGAAACUGUCAAUUCCCUAUUGCUCGAUUUCUUUACGAUCUUUUAAGUUUAUCGAAUUACAUAAAUGUACUUAUCUAGGAUUCAAGCUACAUAGUCAAGCUCAAAUUAAUAUUUAUUCCUUUUUAAUCAUGUUCAAAUUUUUUUCAUGCAAAACAAUACCUAGAACUAAGGCAUGGAGAAUAUUUUAUUGUAACACUCUAGUCAAACGAGUAAAAUAAAAUAAAUUUAGUAUAAGAGAUUGAAAGUAAACAUUUGCCAAGUAGUGACAACUAAUAAGGGGUGAAAGAAAAAUAGAAAGUGAAACUAAGUGAACAUGUUUUUCUAAUUAAGAUAAACUUAUAAUGAGAGAAAGUAGAGAGAAUAAGAAACAAACAAAAAAUAACGAAGAGAAAGCCAAAAAAAAGUUCCAAAGAAGAAAAGAACAUAGAGAAAUAAGAAGCUGAAAAGGGGAAGAGAGAAGACAUCAUUAUAAACUUUGUCCUGCCUUCAUUUUAGUUGUUAAUUAUAACAAUAGCACAUCUCGUGUUGUGGGGUCGUUAUAACAAGAGAAAAGGACAAGAUGCAUACACCUUGGACUUUAGAUUACAAACAACGGAGGGAUUGAAAGGCCUUACCUCAAAUGCAUUUUCAUCUUUCAAAUAAUAUUAUUCAAGAAGUUUUAAAGAAGUCAACCGCUGCAUUAUGAUUAAAAUUUGGGCAAUUAUGCACAAUGAAGAGUCUUACUAGCAAAUUUUAUUUAAACAACAUCUAUAUUUUCAUCAUAUGGCAGAAAAUACAUCUUUAAAGAUCAUCUAAUUGCUUUUAAGGAAAGCAUCGCUAACUUGGAGAGUUUGGAGGUAAAAUACGAUGAAAUAGAUUUGAGAUUAAUUUUAUUGUGUUCAUUGGCCGCUUCAUACAUGUCUUUUAGAGACGAUUUUAUAUAAUCAUGAUAUCCUCACCAUCCAAAAAGUCUAUGAUGUUCUAUAUUCAAAGGAGAAGAUGAAGCAUUUCAUAGCAUCUGAAGGUCAUAGAGAUGGCCUCAUUGUUGAUGGUGGUUGUUUAAAGGGCAGGUCAAAAUCUAAUUUCAAAUUUUGUAGUUAUUGCAAGAAAAAAUGGGCACUUAAUUCUUGGUACAGCUUGCAUUUUUCUUAUGUAUCUCAAUAGGGAUUUGCUUUCAAUAUAUAAAGAAGUUUCAAAAGAUGUUGUGAAGAUCGAUAAUGAUACACCUUGUCGGAUAGCUAGUAUUGGCUGAGUCAGAAUAAAAAUAUUUAAUGGAACAGUUAGAACAUUUGUGAUGAGAUAAGUUCUAGAUCUAAAGAAAAAUCUUAUCUUCUUAAGUACUUUUGAUUCAAAAGGGCACAUGUUUACUGUUGAAGCUGGAGUCAUGGAGUUUAGUAAACGAACCUGCAUCUUCACAAAAAGGACAGAAAAUCUCAUUCUAGUCAAGAAUUUUCUUUUGAUGCAUUCAGUUUUGAUGAUUUUGUUACAGGGCUUAUUUCGGCAUUGUUUGAUGAUCAUUAGAUCACUUUUGCCCUAUUUGGGGUGGCAGAGGUGGAGACUACUUCAUUGGAAAUUUUUAUGUAAAAGUUUGUGAUUUUCAUUGAAGAGUUUAAGUUUAUUCAUUGUAAUGGAAUUUGUCUCUAGGUUGAGAAUCUUUGAAAUUUUUCAUUACAUUGGAAUUCAUGUGUGCUCAAAUUCUACUUUGAAGGUAAUUUGGAGCUCUAACCAAAGUCAACUUAAGAAGAAAUCCUUUUGGAAUGCAAUUUUGAAUCAUAUUCGAAAUCUAUUUGACAAAUCCUAGUUGAAGUUCUAUUUGAAUGUCCAAUUGGGAGUUAGAAAUUUGUUUUAAACUUAAAGAGAUUAAGAUAUGGACAAGAAAGAUUUUGGGAGCAAAAGAGUCAAGAAAAUUUUACCUGGAUAUAGCGUGCCCAUUGCCAACAAAUAGCGCCCUAGUGGUGCCCGCCUGGUGAUCUCCUACAACUCGAGCGGCACCACGGCAAGAUGGUCGCUCGCUUGGCGCUGGGUGGCGCGCUUACUCAGUCUUGUUUGGUUUUGCAUUUUGACGUGAUUUUGACAUUCUAUUUCAUCUAUAACUCUACUUUUGGGAUAUAAAAUGUACCCUAUAUAUUAAUCCGGUAUCAUCUUUGUUUCACAAUAUUAUCAAUUUACAGCACCAUAAAAUCAAUGCUCUCGUCAUUAGAUCAACACAUAUUACAAUUAAGUUCAAGUCUAAGGUAUUAACACACGUGUACUAAUUACGCUUGUACAUUCAACUACGAAUAUAUUCUUGUCAAAUAAAUUAAACCAAACAGUGAUAAAUAAUUUCUUUACUUAAAUUUUAAAUUUAUUGAAAAUAAAACAUAAUUUAUGCACUCAUUAAUAAUGCAAAUCUAAUAAUUAAAACUAUUCAUAAUUAGAAACACAGAUUUGAUGAUUUUUGAGUUUAAGUUUAACCAAUACUAACUACCAACCAAAAAUAAGCGAUUAAAGAAAACAAGUCUUAUAAUUUAAUCAAGUCACAAAAAGUAUUAGGAUUUUGAAUCCACCAGUGUUAUCCCACUUUAAUUAUCAAUUAAUACUUGUUAUUAGCCAUUUCUUAUAGACUAAUGUCAUCUAGCUCCAGUGGUGUUAGCACACCAAUCUAUGUAUGUGAUAUUUAGUGCAUGUUAAUUUUUUAUCUCGAGAUAAAUUAAUCUGCUUUUUAUUUGCAAUCGAACUACAUCUUUAUGAAUGAUGCAAAUGGAUAAAAAUUAUAAGAUAACACUAGAAUAUCAAUUAAGAUUGUAGUAAGUACACAUCUAUCCCUUAUUUGACCUAUAAGAGUGUUUGUUAAUUGAUCCAAAAAUAUGGAUUACCUCUCGAUAUUACGAAUCCUAAAACUAUCUUCAAACUAACAGGAUAAUAGGAUGUCAACAUUAGCAAAUAAUCAAUCAACAACAUUUAAAAUUAAAAAGAAUUAUUUGAUCAAAGAGUUUACCACUUAUCAAUGUUCCAUCAUUGACCAUAGAACCUAACGCAAGAAAUGACCCAAAUAAGAGGAGGGGUUGAGGUCCAGCUAAACGUCUUCGACUGGAACCUGGCUCAAAGCUUGAAGUAGAGUUUAAUAAACAUAUGCAGCCUGUGGUGAAAAUUUAAAUCAAUUCGGGACAUUUCUGGGAACACUGGUGCAAUGGGGCACAAUAUUUACCACUUGUACAUGAAAGGGAAAAACUGUCCUGGCGAGAUGCUGGAUUUUGCCUUGAAAGAAGUAGAGGUAUAUAAAUGAUUCAUAGCUGGUACUGAUAUUUUUAUGUGAAUACUAUGCAUUUCAUCAUGUCAAGGAAUGUUCAAUUUUCUCUUGUUUUAUACAAUCUUUUAAUACACUAUUUAGUCGUUUUACGUUUACAACAAUUUCACAGGCAAAUACCGAUGUUCCACUUGUUGGGAAUCUACUUAACAUGUGUAGCGGAAAUUUAAAACAAUUUUCGAUUCCCACUAAGAAUCGUCUUUGUGUUUAAAUAGAAACUGUGAUAAAGAUUAUACGUUUUACGAGAUCUACAAACUCCUUUGCUUUUCCCUUGUUUCAGCAACUUGGAUCUGUCUCUCACACCUGUCCAAUUGUCCAGCCUCCAAUGGUGAUCCACACAGAGAACAAGAUUGUAAGAUUAGAAUUUUCUUCUUGUACUAGUAAGAAUAAUGAAUUCUCUACAAAAUUGUAAACUCUAAUCAGUUAUUUAUAUAAGUCCAAAUGGAUGUGGCCUGACCCGGUCCAAUAUUUAAUUAAUCCAUUUAAUUAAAUUCGGUCCGUGAAUUAAUUAAUCUAAUUAAUUAAUUCGGGUCUAUAAAUAAUCAACCCAAUUAAUUAAUUUAUCCAAAUAUUGCUAAAUUAAUUAAUUAAUUGACAAAUUGCAAUAUUCCAAUUCUCUUUUGUAUGCGACCCAUCAGGUUCUCGAUCACAAAUGCCUAAGGAUGUAAAAUAUUAUUUUGAUCUAAUCAAAAUUGAUAAAUUAAAACACCCUUUUAAUUUAUUACAAAUUCACACUCGCCGUCCCAGAUUGACAUCUAGCAAUGUGUCAGGACAAUACAUGUGACGGGAAAUGUCAUGUGGUAUGACAAAACCAAACUCGUUCGUUUACUGUGAAACUAUAAUCCAUUCGUCAAUAUGAUCCGCUCAAUUACGAGACAUAGAAGUGUGUCAAUCCCGAUUAUCUAUCAUAUCUUUCACUCCACUAUUAAAUCAAUAUAAGUUGAAAACUUCUUUUCGACUUAUGAGAACACCUUGAACAAGGAUUUCAUUAUCAAAAGGAUUUCAUUAUCAACUUAAUUAAAUGAAACGUAGAUCAUAAUCUCUUACUAUCUAAGUGUGACGAAUCCUCUAUUGAUCAUUCACAACCUUCAUAUGUUUCUUGACAUACCCAAACAAUGUCAUAUUAGCGGCCCUUGGCAAAGCAACAUCCAACACCGUCAAAGCAUGACCGACCUCAAGUCAAAAGGACCAAUCCCACUACCGGACGUUAGAGAUUAGCCACUGACACUCAAAUAAUUAUCCAUGUUGAAUCUCUAGGUAGGUCUCCAAUGUUUUGUUCUAUAACAAAAUAUCCACGUAUUCAUUCAAGUGUCACCACACUUUAGCUUGUAAAAUCAGCUACUUACUUUACAAGUAAGAAAUGCCACACAUGAUGGUCUAUCUGUAAUAACGAUAUCCGUAUCUCAUUAUUACUUACGACCACGGACAAUUUAAGAUUCAAUCAUAUGUAAUUUGUAUCUCACAAUCACAACUCUUUGUCAUUAACAAAUUACGAAAAUUUGAAUCUACGGACUCUAUUAUUUAAUUUAAUUGUCAAUUAAUUAAAUAAUAGAUAUGUCAUUAAAUCGCAUUAAUUAUAUAUUAAAAGAAUUUAUUUCCAAGGUUGAUUGGACUUAGGGCACAAUACUUACAAACUCCUACUUACUUUAGAUCCAAUCAUUUAUGUAUCCAAUAUCAUAAAAGUCUACAUAACGAUCAUGUUUAUGUUACGACAACUCUUUGUCAGUGAAUCUGCAAUAUUGUCAAAUGUGAGAAUUCGGUCUUCUCUUUAGUCACUUUUAUGUAUUGUCUCUCUAAUGAGAUUAUACCAUCUUAAUGCAUGUUUGGAUCAUUGAUGAGACCUUAAUUUCUUCGCUUUCGCAAUGGCUCUAUUGUCAUCAUAAUACAAUGGCAUGCGAUCAACAAUAUUAGAAACUACUCCAAGUUAAUUAAUGAACAUCUUGAUCCACAUUACAACUCUUUGCAGCUUCUGAAGCAAUCAUGUAUUAGGUUUCCGCUAUUGAAUCAAUGAUUGUUUCAUGUUUGGAACCUUUCCAACACACCGUUUAAGAGUAAACCAAUUUAUCCAUAUAAAAUCUUCUCAAAAUUUUAUCUAUGUAAAUUGGGAUAAGUUAAGCAAUCCCCUGGAUCUAUCUCUGUAGAUCAAGUUGCUUCUCUUAUAUCGUUUAUGAAUAAAUCUUUUAACACCCAUUAUUUCAACGAUUGAAACAUAGGGAUGUCAUUUCCUAUAAUAUUAGGAAUGCGACAAUGCUCCCACUAUCUUCUUGUAAACACAUAAUUCGUCUUCAUAUUUGAUAAAAUCAAACAUUUUGAUUUUUUCAUCAAAUCAAAGAUUUCAGCUCCAAGAGACUUGUUUUAACCCAUAGUCACGAUAUGCAACUAUUGCAACCAUAAUCCAAAUGGACCUCUACAUGGCUAUAGGCGAUAGGUUUCAUCAAAGUCAACACAUUGUCUUUGUUUGUUACCUUUUACUACUAGCCUUACUUUGUAUAUAUGAAUAUUCCUAUCCAUGUCAACAUUUUAUUGUUAACCAUUUACGAACUCUGGGUUUUAUCCCAUUAAGAGGGUCGACCAAGGUCCAAACCUUGUUCGCAUACGUUAAGUUCAUUUCGGGUAUUAUGGCCUCUUGCUAUCUCUUUUAAGUCAACACUUGACUUUGUUUAUGUGAAAUUAGUACGUUCAUCACCCUGUAUCAGUAAUGCCUGAUUAAUAAUCAUAGAUUCCCAUCUUCUUGAAGGUCAAAUGAUCCUACUAGAUUCACAUAGAGUUGAUAUGUCCUCAGGAGUCUCUACGUCCUGAUCAAGAGUAUGCCCUACAUUAGAUAUGGGAUCAAACUCGGAUUCAUUUACUUAGUUAACUAUAUCUAUGGACUCUUAAACUCUUUCAAGUUCUAUUUUGAUCCCACUGUCCUCUUCUAGAGUAAACAUUUUUUCUAAGAAGACGAUAUAUCGUUAGACGAAGACUUUCUUCUCAAUAGGAUAAUAAAAUUGAUAUCCGAAUAUUUGUUUUGGAUAUCCCACAAGUAGUAUUCAUUGGAUAUAUAUACUCAAGUUUAUCUGAUUCAAUGCAUUUCAAAUAAACGUUACAAUCCCAAACUUUCAUAUGAGAUAAGUUGGGAUUAUUGCCUUUCCAUUACUUGUACGGAAUUUUGUUAACCAAUUUAGAUGUGACAUGAUUUAGUGUGUUGUACACUGCAAUUAGUAUAUGACCCGAAAAACGAUUUCGGGAGAUUUGCAUGGCUUGCUAUUAAUCACACUACAUCUAAUAGUUAACAAUUCAUCUUUUCAGAUGUACCACUGCUGUAGUGUAUAUGGAGGAGUUCACUGCAAGAGAAUCCCAUUCUCUCUUAGAUAAUCCAAAUUUUAAUCUUUAAGAUAUUCCCAUCUCGAUUGGAUCUUGAUGUAUGAAUAUCUUUACCUAUUUCUUUCUCUACUUCUAGUUUGAAUCCUUUGAACUUUUUCAUCAAGUAUGCAUGAUCAUUGAUGAAAUAAGAGAAACUUUAUCUAGCAUUAAUUGACAUAGGUCUACAUAUAUCAUUUAUGUAUUAGACCAAUAAUCGUGCAGAUAUUUCUCCAUUUCAAGUAAAAGGAGAUUUGGUCAUUGUGCCUAACAGGCAUGAUUUGCACUUGUCAAAUGAUUCAAAAUCAAUUGAUUCCACGUAUAUAUCUCUAUGUAAUUUUAGAAUUGUAUUUCAUCUACAUGACCACGUCUGCAAUGCCAAAUUUGGGUAUUAUUCAGAUUAUUACUUUUAUGUCUCUUAAUUUCUAUACUCAUUAUAGAAUGCUUUAGUAUUUAGAAUAUAAAUUUUAUUUUUAUAACUUACCAUAACCAUCAAGAUCUUAAUCAAGAUAAGCAGGAACAACAAUUGUCCUUAGCAUUAAAAUAGUUCAUGUCUAAACAUGAAAUUCAUUUUAAUGUUCCAACUAUGGUGGGUACAAAGUAACAUUUCUCUAAUUCCAAUACUAAGCCAAAAGGCAACAGCGAGAAGUAUGCUCCUACAAGCAAUGCAGCAACAUUUGCUCAUCUUUAACAUGUAGGUCAACUUCUCCUUUUCACAGUGGUCUAAUUUUAUUUAGUUUCUCCAUAUUUGUAUAAAUAUGAAAUCUACAUGUGGUAUCAAAUACUUAAGAAACUCGUGAAGUAGAAGUAAGCCAUGCAAUAUCUUCUAAUGACCUUUCAUUCUAUAAUGAAAGCAAGGGUCAUUAGAUUUGAUAUUUGUCAUUUUCUUUGACCCUCUAAGCCAUAUUAGAUGCUUUCCCAAAGUCUCUUUAAACUUCCUCUUAAUAUGCUUACCCACUACUAAAUUUGAUAUUGGGCUCAACAGUCUUAAACAUGUUCAGCAACUUAAUGUGUGUGCAUUCGAGUUUAUUUAUAUUAUAAUUCAUGAAUAACUCUCUGACAGAGAUUGCAAAGCUAAGUCAAUACUUAGUUCAUAGUUCAUUACUGAACCUCAUUAAGAUAAUUCUCAAUGUCAAUCAUCUUCAGUGUCUAAGCAUCGACUGAAGAUUACUCUAUCAUUUUGCAUCGGUAUAGUUGCUUGGAAGUCUCAUAUCCUUCAACACAUGAUUAUUAUCAUACAACUCUUUGAAAUGAAAAAUCAUGCGUCAGCAUCUGUACUCUCAAGUUGCUUUUGUAACUCAGAUGACAUAGUUGCAAGCAUCACAUAUGUGCAGUACUAUCGUUAUCACUGUGUUUAUAACAGUAACCACAUCUUCCUUAAUUGAAUCAUCAGCGGGUGUCUCUAGAAAGGGCUACUCAAGGACGUAACCAAUUUUCUCAUGCCUGAGAACAAUUCUCGAGUUGUGAUGCUAAUCAAAAAAAUUUAAUUUGGUUGUUGGCAUCCAGUAUGUCAUUCAAAACAUAUGGUUACUCAAAAUUCAAUAUAAAUGUAAAUGAUGAAAAGAAAAGAAUAAUAUAUAAAAAUGCAUCAAUUAAUUUAAUAUGGACUUUUAUUAAAUUGAUUAUGCUCCCAUUGUUUAACUAAAAUUUAUGACCAUCUUACAUAAAUUUAUGGAGUCUAUACUUGACUCCCAGUGGACUGCCAUCCCGUCUGUUAUAUUAAGAUAUUGAGUGUACUCAACAAGCUUUAAUAAAAUAUCUGGGUAGAUACUGUUAUCAAUUGUAUCUCCAUGCAAAUCCGAAAUCAUUUAGCUGACAGCUCUUUGUCUUUACACAUCUUAUGUGUUAGCUUAAUAUGCCUCUAAAAUUUAUCUCCUUGUGUGUACUCAACAAAAGAUAAAUUUUAAUUAAGUUAAACCCGUCAUUCAGAAACAUAAAACAUUUCAUAGUGUCAAAUGUAUCCCUAAUAAACCAGCCUUGAGUGUACUCAACACGUUGAGACGAUUUGGGAUUUUGAUUUUCACUAUAAUGAUGGAAGACGAUUAUAAAUGUGACUUAAUUUUUUAUUGAGAGGUUUUGUAUUCAAAAGUCUCAUCGUAACAAUCAUAUAUGUUUUGUUAUACAUCUACCAUGCAAAUAAACUAUAUAUAUAUAGACGAUUAUGGACUUUUAUUAUCUAGUCUUCCCAAGCCAUGAGCAAUACUAGUUGGUCAAUUCCUAGGGGGUAUUGCAUUGACGCAUACAAUGCUCCAUCUCCAUACCCUCAUUCUCUUCUUAUUUUUUCAAUUAGUCCAUCUGCAAUAUGUAUCCUAUACUAGUUGGCACGUAAGCCUAAAUGAAAUUGGAUUCCCAUACCCACAAUAAUAAUAGACUCGUAGGUCUAAAACAAUUAAGAGCUUGCAUGCCCACAAAAUGACAAGAAUAAAAAUCAACCAUUCAACACAUCCUUAUGGUCGAUUCCAUAAUCAUCCACUAAUAAUGCAUCUAUCACAUAAAUGUAUUCUUAUAUAAUAUCUAAUAUUAUAUGCAAACAUGUUUCAAGUUUCUAGCAAUUAAGGUCAUCUAAACUCUUUUAGACAUAUGGAUCGGAAUAAUUAAAUAAUUAAUUAAUUAAUUAAUUUAAUUAGCGGGCAUAUUUAAUUAAAAUCAAAUUUUAAUUAAAUAUCGAAUUAGAGUCCAACUCUAAUUCAACAAUUAUAGGACAGGACUACUUAAUUAAAAUCAAAUUUUAAUUAAAUAUCAAAUUAAACUCAAACUCUAAUUUCAAAAUUUAAGGCGGUCGAAUUUAUUCAAAAUCAAAUUUUAAUUAAAAAACAAAAUUAGAGUCUAACUCCAAUUCCAAUAAAAUUUAAGGACGGGAUAACUAAAAUCAAAUUUUAAUUAAAUGUCCAAUUAGAAUCAAAUUCUAAUUUCAAGGAAAAAUAUUAGGGCAAAACAAUUUAAUUAAAAUUAAAUUUUAAUUAAAUGUUAAAUUAGAAUCCAAUUCUAAUUUCUAGAAUGUAUUCGGGUGAAUAAUUAAUUAAAAUCAAAUUUUGAUUAAGUAUUAAAUUAGAGUUCAACUCUAAAUUAAAUUGAACUAAUAUUUUAAUAGAGGAUAAAACUCCUAAAUAAAAUAAAAAUUCAAAUUAAGGUCAAAGUUUAAUAUUUAAGUUAAAAUCUAAUUUUAACGAAAAUAUAAAGUGUUGUCAAAUUUUAAAUAAAAUUUUAACUUGGAUCAAAAUUAAAAUAUAGGUCAAACCCAUUUAAAUAUAAUUUCAAAAUCAUUUUAGAAUUCAAAUCCAAAUCAUAUUUUCAAAACUUGAAAUUUUGACCCCUUUACAAAUUAUCAACAGGUCCCCUCAAUUACUCUAAUUGCAAGACGGCCCUCUAUUUUAAAUUUACACAUUGAUCCCUGGAAAGUAAUUGCAGACAGGGGACUCCAACUUCACAAAUUGCGGACGAGGCCCCCAUCCCAAAUCUCCACACCCGAGCUGUAAACCCUAGAUCCCCAAAUUUUUUUUUAAUUUUCUUGCAUUCUUUCUUCAUCUUGUAGCGCCGCCACCGCCCAUAGAAGGGAAGAGCCACGGCUUUGCCCCGUUGUAGCAGCUGCGCAAAAGUGAAAGCGCGGCGUCUGCUAUCGCUUUUGGCAUCUGCCGCUACUCUUAGCAGUGGCAUCUGCCGCACCUAACAAACACAAAGUAGGCUUUGAUAUCACUGUUGAGAAUCUACUUAACGUGCGUGGUGGAAAUUUAAAACAAUUUUCGAUUCCCACCAAGAAUCGUCUUUGUGUUUAGAUAGAAACUGUGAUAAAAAUUGUACCUUUUACGAGAUCUACAAAUUAUUUUGCUUUUCCAUUGUUCAAGCAACUUGAAUCUGUCUCCCACAGCUGUCCAAUUAUCCAGCCUCCAACGAUGAUCCACACAGAGAACAAGAUUACAAGAUUAGGGCUUUUUCUUUUGUGCUAGUAAGAAUAAUGAAUUCUCUACAAAAUUGUAAACUCGAAUCAGUUAUUUAUAUAAGCCCAAACGGCCUUGACCUGACUCAGUCCAAUAUUUAAUUAAUUCAUUUAAUUAAAUUCGAUCUGUGAAUUAAUUAAUCUAAUUAAUUAAUUCAGGCUUAUAAAUAACCAACCCAUUUAAUUAAUUUAUCUAACGAUUGCUAAAUUAAUUAAUUGACUAAUUGUGAUAUUCCAAUUCUCUUUUGUGUGCGACCUAUCUGGUUCUCGAUCAUAAUGCCUAAUGACGUGAAAUAUUAUUUUGAUCUAAUCAAAAUUGAUAAAUUAAAACACCCUCUUAAUUUAUUACAAAUUCACACUUACCAUCCCAGAUAGACAUCUAACAAUGUGUCAGGGCAAUACAUGUGACAGGAAAUGUCACUUGGUAUGACAAAACCAAAAUCGUUCGUUUACCGUGAAACUAUAAUCCCUUCAUCAAUAUGAUCCGAUCAAUUACGAGAUAUGAAAGUGUGUCAAUCCCGAUUAUCGAUCAUAUCUUUCACUCCACUAUUAAGUCAAUAUAAGUCGAGAACUCCUUUUCGACUUAUGAGUACACCUUGAUCAAGGAUUUCGUUAUCAACUUAAUUGAAUGAAACGCGGAUCAUAAUCUCUUACUAUCUAAGAGUGACGAAUCCUCUAUUGGUCAUUUACAACCUUCAUAUGAUUUUUGAAAUACACGAACGAUGUCGUAUUAGUGGCCCUUGGCAAAGCAACAUCCAACACCGUCAAAACAUAACUUACCUCAUAUAAGGUAAUAUGACGACCUCAAGUCAAAAGGACCAAUCUCAUUACUGAACGUUAGAGAUUAACCACUGACACUCAGAUAAUUAUCCAUGUGAAAUCUCUAGAUAGGUCUCCAAUGUUUUGUUUUAUAAAAAAAUAUCCACGUGUUCAUUCAAGUGUCACCAUACUUUAACUUGUGAGAUCAGCUACUUACUUCACAAGUAAGAAAUGCUACACAUGAUGGUCUACCGGUAAUAACGAUAUCCGUAUCUCAUUAUUACUUACAACUACGGACAAUUUAAGAUUCAAUCAUAUGUAAUUUGUAAUUCACAAUCACAAUUCUUUGUGAUUAACAAAUUACGAAGAUUUGAAUCUACAGACUCUAUCAUUUAGUUUAAUUGUCCAUUAAUUAAAUAAUAGAUAUGCCAUUAAAUUACAUUAAAUUUAUAUUAAAAGAAUUUAUGUCCAAUGUUGAUUGGACCUAGGGCACAACACUUACAUCACCUGCGUAUAAGACUUAUUGCUUAUGAUCAAUUGGAAAUUAGUGGUAUGACUGGAAGUCAAGUACAAAGCGUCAGCACUUCGAUGGAAAAACCAAAGAUGAAUGCUUAGCAUCAGUUCCCGAAGAGAUUUGAGCAAUGCAGAGGAAAGUUCUCAUUGAUUACUGGGUUAUGGAACAAGCAAAAAUCUGUACUUAGUUUGUAUAUUUUUAUCUACUCCAAUUAGAUCUUUUGAGCCUUAUAUAGGCAACCUUGAGAACAAACAAAUACGAUUGUGUUUCUAUGGGGAUUCCUCAUUGCGCGAGGAGAAAAAUAUGUGCCAAUGUACGAUGAGAGGUAUACCUCUCCAUGACAUCUCGCUUUUGCUCUAUAUACACCAUAAAGUGAUAAAAUUAAGCCAUUUAGUAUGCUUAAGUUGCUCGAAAUUUUAAUAUUCUGCGAAGAAAGUGAUGGAAAAAAGGCUUAAUGGCUACUUUUGGCAUAAUUUUGAGUGGUUCAUUCAUUUUGGAAAAUCAAAGUUGAUUCGUGUUCUCCUUCUAAGAAAUUGGAGUCGAAAGUGGACAAUUUGAAAGGAGUUUAUGUAUUGAAGGGAAAACAAUUAAGUUUGCCCACAUAGAAAAAUGAUCAAGCCAAAGACCAGUUUAUAUAUGGGGAGAUUUAACACCCAAAGUCGUAUCUUGGGAGAUAGAUGCUUAAAUAAACCUCAAUCACUUAUGGUAAGAGAACAAAUCUGUUUUUAAGGAUACGAUGUUUACAUAAGCAUUAGUUUAAUAUUAUAUUCAGCGAUUAUUUGUUUAACAGAAAGUUUGUUUAGGCAAACUACAGCUUAGAUAUAACCUGAUUUAUGCGGGAAUGAUGAGUGUGUUGGAGAGGUAAUGUUGGAAAAAUAUGUGAUUUGUGUGUAGAUAUUUAUCAAUUAUCAUAAUAAUUAAUUAUCGAUUAACAUAACAAGUAAUAAUAAACAUAAAACAUAAGUAAUUGGUUCUUUUUUCUAUGAGUACGACUACAGGGAGACAAAGAACGAGUCUUUAUCGAGUUGGCAAAAUAAUAUGAAUAUAGUAUAAAAUUGUAUAAGGAAUAAUUAUUCACCCUCACAAUUAAUCCAUUAGAAGAUAAGUUAUACUCCGACAUUAAGAUUAUUAACAUAAUAUUAAAAUUGAAGAUUAAAAGUAAAAACUAAAAAUUUAAGUCUAUUUUGUUUUGAAAGUUUAAAGCUUUUUUUAAAAAAAUGUUACACCAAUAUCCCACAAGGUUUAAACUUUUAAAAUAAAUCAAUACAUAAUGUAUAUAGUGGCAACGUUAUAAAGUGCAGUAAGUGUAGUAUCUUUUGAACUUGAACUUUACUUAGGGAUAACAAUAUUUAUUUGAGGGUGCCACAAUGGACUAAGCCCUAAAUUAGGUCCCUUUGGCCAAACUUCAAUUAUUCCACACAAUAUUGAUUUAGGCUAUAGUUUAUAAAAGGGUAGCACUCUCGACAGCCAUUCUCUCUAAUCUUGAUUCUAGUGAAAAUCUCUAGGUAAUAGCCCAAUCUCGUAGCCAUAGCCUCACGAUAACUUUUACAAAGGUGAGUCUUCCAAGGGUGCAUGUCACCCACACCUCGUGACAAAUAAAAUAGUGAUAUUACAAAUCAUGCAGCACGAGUUGUUUCUAUCAAAUUGAACAUUCUUCAUUAGAUCUCCAAUAAAAAUGUUAAAUUAUUCCUGGAGCUGACUCCCUUAUGGGCUUAAACCUAUCCUCUCGAUGAUUUUUGUAUGUCUAUCUCAGACUACAAUUUAUUUCUAUCUCUUGUGAUCAAUAGUUUGGUAUCAUCAAUAUUUACAAGCUCUUAUUCUUCAUCUGCAUUUCUACAAAAUUUUGUAAAUUUUCGAAAAUAUUAGUAUCACAUAUCUCAUUAUAAUAAGAUAAACAUGAAAUUUCUAAUAUCGUCUCUUAGUAACACAUUUGAGUAGAUGCAUCCAUUGAGUUCUUGCAUUUCACUUACAUUUCUACAAUUUAAUUUUUAACAAUUUUCAGUGUCAUUUUGCAACUAAGAAUAAUAAAAUAUAAGAUGAUACAAUUUGAUAUUUUAAACAACCCACAUUCUAAGGAUAUAAUAAUUCAUUACCAAACAAUAUCUCUAUCUCCCACUGUUAUUUUUGAAACCUUAUGGUUUGGUCUAAUUUGAGUAAAGAACAUUUAAAAGAAAUUACAGAAUCUAAAGAACAAGAACACAGGAUAUGUUUUUACCUUCGAAAGGGCCCGGAUGUUCGGUCGUAAGACCUAGUCACCCGUUGAGCAUCCACUAAGGGAUUUAGCUCAAAGAUCCACUAAUAUCAACCAAGAAUCAGUUUACAAAUGUACGAAGAAAUGUUUGAUUUGUCCGAUUUUUCUCUCGCCUCUUUUUGUUGAAAAAUCCUCACUCAUUUGAUUUUUUCUAUAUCUCGCACUAAGCAAUCAGGGAUUACCACUAAGAACAUCAACUAUCACUCACAAAGAUUAAUUUCAGAUUACAGAACAAACCCUAACUUUUCACUCAGAAAAGUGAAGAGACGGAGAGAAAAGAAAAUGAAAAACUUCUUCACGUAUGAACAGGGCCAACGUCAAAUAUAUAUCUGUCCACACCAAUAGUCUCGAUCAAGGGCUGGAAUGAAGCCACGCGUACGGCUGAUUCUCAUCCCAGAAAAGAGGCUAAAAUCGUGUUGUAUCAAAAACGCGUUUUCAUCUAAUUAAUCAGCAACCCGGUUGCAAAAUUGGCCCAACAUAAAAUGGCCCAACAAACAAGAUUUAGCGAGGCAGCCCAAAACCUUUAACAAUCUCCACCUUGCUGAGCUAACCCUUGGUUUUUACUAAUGGAUCUUUUCACUGAAUUAGUUAGUUUCAUUUGCUCGAAGUACCUGUAAAAAAAAAUAUAUACAAUUAGUUCAACCCCCAAAAACACUUGAGGUUCUAAAUUUCACUUCCUUAGGUGAUAUUUAGAAUCUUCAAGCAGUUUUUAAAUUUGUUUAGAGGCAGUACCUUGGUCCCCAAAUCAGAAGGAUUAAAUUCUGUAGAAAUUUUUACCAACCUGAUAAGACCCUUUUCAACCAUAUUUCGAACAAAGUGAAAUUUUAUAUCUACAUGUUUGGUUCUAUCAUGAUAUACAGGUUUUUGCUCAGAUGUAUUGCACUUUGAUUAUCAGUAUAGAUAAUAACAGAGUCAUUUGCAAAACCAAUUUCAUUUAAUAAGCCUCUUAACCAGAUGCUUUCUUUAACAGCAUCACAAGCUUCUAUGUAUUCAGCUUCUGUAGAUGACAAGGCAACUAAUUUUUGUAGUUGUGACUUCCAACUUAUACACCCAUCACUCAGAGUAAAGAUGUAAGAAGAUGUGGAUCUUCUCUUAUCCAAAUCACCAGCAAAAUCAGAGUCUGUAUAGCCCUUUAAUGUUAUCCCUUCACUACUCCUUUUAAACAUUAAGCCUAAAUCAGAUGACCCUUUUAGGUAUCUUAACAUCCAUUUUAUAGCCAGCCAGUGAGUUUCACCAGGAUUAGCCAUAAAUCUACUUAAUAUGCUAAUACCAUGGGCUAAAUUAGGUCUAGUGCAAACCAUGAGAUACAUUAUGGAACCUACAGUAUUAGCAUAAGGUAUUCUUUCCAUUCUCCUAAAUUCGUCAUCUAUUUUAGGUGAUUGUUCACUUGACAAUUUAAAAUGAUUUGCAAUAGGAAGAGUGACAGGUUUACAUUCAAGCAUAGAACAUUUUUCAAUAAUUUUCUUCACAUAAGAUCCUUGCUUCAACAUCAACAUGUAAUUAUCUCUAUCUCUUUCUAUUUCCAUACCAAGAAUCCUCUUGGCUUGCCCUAAAUCUUUCAUUUCAAAUUCAGACUUUAACUUUGAUUUAAUGAAAUCAAUCUCAGUUACAUCAUGGCAAGCAAGUAACAUAUCAUCAACAUAUACUAACAGAUAAAUGGAUUCAGGUCCACCUGAACCUUUAUAGAAGAGACAAGAGUCAUAACUACUUUUCACAAAACCUAAGGUCUGCACAAAUGAAUCAAAUUUCAAAUACCAUUGCCUGGGUGCUUGCUUAAACCCAUAAAGAGAUUUUUUCAGCAAACAAACUUUGUCUAAUUUUGAUUUAACUUCAAAUCCUUUGGGCUGAUUCAUAUAUAUAGUUUCAUCAAGAUCACCAUUAAGAAAUACUGUUUUAACAUCAAGUUGUUCUAACUCCCAGUUAAAGUGAGCAGUUAGAGCCAAUAGAAUUCUGAUUGUAGUGUACUUUGGUAUAGGAGAAAAUAUUUCAUUGUAAUCUACUCCUUCUCUUUGUGUAAAGCCUUUUGCUACUAAUCUGGCUUUAUACCUCUUAUUUUCUAAAUUUGGAUCUCCUUCUUUAAUUUUAAAAAUCCAUUUACAGACUACAAUCCUUUGAUUUUUUGGUCUAUUUACUAAAAUCCAAGUUUUAUUUUUGAUAAGAGAAUCCAUCUCCUCAUCCAUGGCUUCCUUCCAAAGCUUAGAAUCAGAAGAGUUAAUAGCUUCAUCAAAGGAUGUAGGUUCAGAAUUUAAGGAAUCAAGAGCAGAGAAUAGAGUAACAAAGUCUUCACUAUUGAAUCUGGUGGAAGGAAUUAUAGUUCUCCUUACUCUAUCUCUAGUUAGCUGAUAAUCAGCAAGAGCAUUAUUUGCUGAUUCAGAUUCAUCUUCAGACUCAAUUUGAUCAUUAUUAAUUUCAGAUUGAGAAUGCUCCACCUCAAGAAGAUCAGUUUCAUUUUCAGCAUUUUCAGAUUGAAGUUCCAGGAUGGUUUCAUUUAUUGAUGCAGAUUCUGAAGUUUUAGGGUCUUUAGAUUUAAUACAGGGCAUGUCAUUUUCAUUAAAAAUGACAUCUCUACUUAUUAUAACUCUAAAGCCAUUUUGGUUUUUAACCCAGAGUCUAUAGCCUUUUGUUUCUUCUCCAUAUCCCAAGAAAACACAUUUCUGGGAUCUAGGCUCAAGUUUGCCUUCGCUUUGAUGGGAGUAUGUAGCACAGCCAAAAACUUUGAGUUUACUAUAAUCAGGUGUUUUUCCAGACCAUAACAUUUCAGGGACUUGAAAAUCAAUAGCACUAGAUGGACUUCUAUUUAUUAGAUACGUGGCUGUUUUUAGGGCUUCACCCUAGAAAAACUUUAGGAGUCCAGAACUGUACAGCAUACACCUGACCUUUUCUAACAGGGUCCUAUUCAUUCUCUCAGCAACACCAUUUUGUUGAGGGGUGUAUGUUACAGUUCUAUGUCUUAGAAUUCCACUUUCUUUACAAAAUGAGUUAAAUUCAAAGUUGCAGAAUUCAAGACCAUUAUCAGUUCUUAGUGCUUUGAUUUUCUUGUUGGUUUGAUUUUCAAUCAUGGAUUUCCAUUGUUUGAAGAUUUGGAAAGUUUCAGACUUUUGCUUUAGAAGAAAUGUCCACAACUUCCUUGAAUAAUCAUCUAUUAUGAGUAAAUAGAACCAAAUGUAAAUCGAUAAGAGGGUUCAGAAAUAUACCAUACACUGAAACCUUAAAGUUUCAGUAGAGAGACAUCAUCAAGAUAUCAGGAAAGUAGUUCGUCUUUGAGAAUGAGUGGAAGGAACCAGUGAGUUACUGAAACUCGGUGUGAACUCAGCCAAAUCGGAGCGAGUCAACUCAACUCGCCAAACACAGUACGAGUCAAACCACUCAGUCAAAACUCAGUUCUGAGUCAACUCAGAAAUUUCAGAAAAACAUUAACAGUGAACGGAUCUCCUUUAAAAACCAACAGAUCCAAAAGAAACUAUCAAGAACCAAUAGUAGAUCCAACCUAUAGUUGAAUCGAAGAUUUAUUCCAUAGUAUAUGCCUUUUUAAAUAUCAGAUCUUAAUCUUAAAAAAUUUACAGAUCUGAAGUUCUAAAAAAAAAUUUAUAUAAACCAAGAACUAGGGUUUCUUGAAAAAAGAAUUUUACAAAAAAAAAAUUUUUAAAAAAAUACACGUUUUCAAAAAAAAAUGCUCUGAUACCACUGUUAUUUUCGAAACCUUAUGGUUUGGUCUAAUUUGAGUAAAGAACAUUUAAAAGAAAUUACAGAAUCUAAAGAACAAGAACACAGGAUAUGUUUUUACCCUCGAAAGGGCCCGGAUGUUCGGUCGUAAGACCUAGUCACCCGUUGAGCAUCCACUAAGGGAUUUAGCUCAAAAAUCCACUAAUAUCAACCAAGAAUCAGUUUACAAAUGUACGAAGAAAUGUUUGAUUUCUCCGAUUUUUCUCUCGCCUCUUUUUAUUGAAAAAUCCUCACUCAUUUGAUUUUUUCUAUAUCUCGCACUAAGCAAUCAGGGAUUACCACUAAGAACAUCAACUAUCACUCACAAAGAUUAAUUUCAGAUUACAGAACAAACCCUAACUUUUCACUCAGAAAAGUGAAGAGACGGAGAGAAAAGAAAAUGAAAAACUUCUUCACGUAUGAACAGGGCCAACGUCAAAUAUAUAUCUGUCCACACCAAUAGUCUCGAUCAAGGGCUGGAAUGAAGCCACGCGUACGGCUGAUUCUCAUCCCAGAAAAGAGGCUAAAAUCGUGUUGUAUCAAAAACGCGUUUUCAUCUAAUUAAUCAGCAACCCGGUUGCAAAAUUGGCCCAACAUAAAAUGGCCCAACAAACAAGAUUUAGCGAGGCAGGCCAAAACCUUUAACACCCUAUAUCACAAUAUACUAUUGAUCUGUGUAGGCGUCUAAGUCCGUCCAAGACUAUUCAAACAUUAAUCAUCAGUGCACUGGACUUUAGUUAAUUAGUAACAAAUAAUAAGAUAUAAUUCUCAAAUCCAAUGUGCCCUAGAGUGUUGUAUCAGUCUAUCCUGUAGUGCUUCUUGGCUAUCCAGUUUCCUUUCCAUCUCCUAGAGUGUUGUAUCAGUCUAUCCUGUAGUGCUUCUUGGCUAUCCGGUUUCCUUUCCAUCUUUUCUAGUUACUCACUAACUUCAUAACGAUCUACCUUAAUAUAUGAUAUUGAGAGAAGAUGAGGCUUCUCUCUCUAGGAUUUGUUUGCUUUCUGCUACUAAGUCUCUUCUGAAUUUCAUUAUUCUUUAUUAAUUUGUAGCGUGGAAAAUAUAAACAGUUCUAGAAUUCAUUCUUAUCUAAAUCAGAUCCAUGUUCAUUGGUUUGUUUUACAGUGCACAACAAUGGAGAAAUCUCUAUUUUAUAUAUUCCCCUGCUGCCACCAUGAGCUCAACCAUUUCGGAAAUAACAAAAAUCUAAAGGCACCUUAAGAACUACUGCCUAGAAAAGUGUCAAAUUCCAAAAUUUAGACACAAAACUUGGUAUAUUUCCAACUAUCUUAGGUAUUUAUAUUUCAAAUAACUCACAAUGGUAUCUCAUAAUUCUCAUGCGUUUAAUUUUCAUACCUAACCUCUAAACGUGAUGGCUGACGUCAUACCACCCACAAUUAAUCCAUUUAAAGGAUAAGUUACACUCAAUAAUUAAGAUUUUCAACUUUAUAUUUAAGAUGGAAGAUUAAAAUCAAAAUUGAAAAUUUAAGAUGGUUCUAAUUUUGAAAGAUGAAAACUUCAUUCUUAUUUUACACUUGGGUUGUAAAUAAAAUUAUGCAGAUUAGUCAUGAUAUUACACCUCUUUUAAACUAUUAAUUGAGAACAUUAUUGAGAUUUAAAUAUUUUAACAAUUUGUUUAAAUUCAAAACAUAGAAUUUCCAUGAUUCAUAAUUCAUGUGCAUGACAAAAUACCAACUUUUUCAGCAUUUAACUUAAUACGCGUAAAAUAAUAAUAUAUUCACUUGCAUGUUCGGUGCACUUGCAUGAAACAAUAAAACCUGAUGUAAUGUAGCCAACAAUUAAUAUUGUAAGAUAUUAACUCAUUUUCGCAUUCCAUAUCAGGAUAUCAAGACUCAUGCUCGAUGGUUUAUUUACGUCCUUCACGGGACUAAUUUUCAGAAUCUAAUAUGCAGUACUAUAUUUCUUCAGGAUUGGGUUUGUUCUGCCAAGCUUAAACUUUAGUUUUAUGGCUUUGAUACCUAAAGUUCAGGAGGCUAGGCCAAUAAUCACCUGCAACUUCUUGUUCAAAAUUAACACCAACACUCUAACCAACCGAUUUCCCAUUGGUUCCAAAACUGUGUCAGAUAAUCAAUACCUGUUUAAUAAGGGUCGGUAAAUUGAAGAGCGCAUUGCAAUGAUGUCAGAUAAUCGGUACCGAUUUAUUAAGGGGCAGUAAAUUGAAGAGUGCAUUGCAGUGGCUCAAAAGUGUGUUAAUGCUCUGAAGAAAAGAAAAAUGAUUUGGUUUCAAGGUUCUAAAAAUUGAUAUCUGUAAAGCUUUUGAUACCAUCAGCUGGGAUUUUCUCCUAACGGGUAUUACAAUGCAGCGAAUGCUACGGAUUUAAUACCAUUUUUGUGAUUAGGUAGAACAAAUCUUUAAAUUUGCUUGAAUUUGUGUCUUGGUGCACAGGAUACCGAAGAGAGAUUUCCAAUGCUUAAGAGUUGUUCAUCAUUUAUAUAUCCUUCAAUCGAGAGAAUUAUCUGUCAGUCAUGAAGAAAGCUAGAUGGAUUAUUGGUGAAUACUCAUGGCUGAGAUUCUUGACAGACAACUGGUUAGAGGAUCCAAUCAUUGAUAUAUUGGGCUUUUCUUCAGAAAGAAACAGGUUGCUUAUGGCACUUGUGUUAGAUGUAUAUUAUGCUAGCAGUUGGCAUCUAUCAAUAGAAUUCAGGGCUGAUUACACUACCUAUAGAUGUGUAUUAGGCAUGCAUGCACGUCCAAAAUUUCUAACCAACAAUAUGGAAAUUAAUUAGGCAUCAAAGAUAACAAAAGGUACACUAAGAUUACACAUAUGAUUUAUCUACACAAAUCAUCUCAACACGACUUUAGAUUAUUGAGAAAAUGGGUUAUUGUGAGUAGAUAUUUAUCAAUUAUAAUAAUAAAAAAAUUAUUGAGUAACAUAAAAAGUAUAAAUAAUAUAGUUCAACAAUAAACAUAUAAACAUAAAAUAUAAGUAGAGAGCGUUAGAAAAAUAAGCUUUAGGGAGUCACGUCAAGUACACUAUCGUAAAGUCUGUUGCCUCCCUUUUGUGCGGGUACUUUCGGCAUGAUACAACUCUAAGAUAAAACUCUAUAUGGCUCACAACUAAUUCACCUUCUAUGGGCAUGACACAGGGAGAUAAAGAACAAGCCUUUAUUGAGUUGUCAAAAUAAUAUGAAUAUAUCACAAAAUUGUAUAGAGAAAAAUUCUUCAAGUUGUGUAUAAAACUAUGAAAAUUCACCCCACGGUUCAUUUAUUAAAAGAUAAGUUACAUUCCAAUAUUAAGAUUAUUAACAUAAUAUUGAAACUGAAAUCAAAAAUAAAAACUGAAAAUUUAAUUCUAUUUCAUAUUGAGAGUUUAAAACUUUUUCUAAAAAAUGUUACAUUACAACAGGUAAGAGAAGAUGUAUUGGAUAAAGAAUAAAUUUGAAGAGGAAUCAAGCCUGCUAUUGAGGGGCAGGUUAAAAUCUCAAAAGAUGGUAACCUUGAUUUACUCUAGGGAUGGCAAAUGAGCCCAUCGGUUCAGAUGGCCUACAGCUCGGCCCAGAAAAAGUUCAAGUCGACUCACCUUAACUCGAGCCUCAGUAGAAUCGAGCUAGAGUUUCGGCCAAGGCCCAAUUUUGGGAGGCCAAGCCCAAAAUUUUUGGGACUUGGUUUGAGCCUCGGCCUACCCAUGUGGCUCGUCCAGCCAUACGGGCUGACUCAUGAAAAUGGCACGUGUGACAGGUUCGACCCAUCUCAUUGCCAACAUUAAAUUUUUUGUUUUAUUAAUAUUUAAUUUAAGAUUUGAGUAUAACUUAUAUAUAAAUAUGCUUAUAUAAUUAAUAUGUAUAGUUAUACUACAUCCAUUUUUAUAAUUUAUUAUCAUAUUCAUCAAUAUUCUCAUUAUAUUUUAUUGAUAUAUAUUUAAUAUUUUAUUAUAUAGGAGUUAAUAUAAUACUAUUUGUCACCAUGUGGUGUUGAAACUUAAAAGACACUUUUUUUUGUUCUAACAUUCUUAAUUCUACAAGUAAAUAUCAGGAUAUUUAUACAACUGAAAAUCGUAUUUUAAUUCAUAUAUUCUCGUAUCUAUAUGAAUAUUUUUUAUUAUAUUUUAGUCAAGAAGAAAAACCUGUUUGACUUCUUUAUAUGAAUACAUAAAUUUAAAAAAUUUAAAAAAUUCGUAAGCUGGCUCAGCUCGUGUCAAAAACCUCCAAAUUUCCGUUGGGCUUCGGCUCAGCUCGAGCUUUUUUUAUAGGGCCACGCACGAGCCACAAGUUUCAGCUCGUGAGCCAGCUUGGUCUGGAACUUUGACACCGUAAUUUACUCAUUAAAUGCUGUAAGAGUCUCUCUUUAUUAAUACUUUGCUUUAAAAUUUCUUCAUUUUCACCUUUUCACUUACAUAAAACAAGCAGGAGAACUCGAAAAUUCAUUUAAAGUUUUUAAAAAUCUUAUUAUCUGGUCUUGCAUGCCUCAUAUAAAGUAAAUCUUUUAGAUUGAAAAUGAGCAAAUCUCCAUAUAAGUUCAAUGUCUCAGACUUCUGGUCUCUGUCAGUUUUUUGGCAAUUUACUCAUGAACCGAUCACCUUUGACUUAGUGGAUUUUUUUCUUGUUCGUAUUUAUUUCUUAAAUCUAUGAGUUCUACAUGUUUUUAACUUCUUUGAUUUUACUGAUUCUUUUUCAGUUGCCGCUAUUUAUAACCGUGUCCAAUCUAUCAUUCAAAGUGCGACCUAUAUGCACAGGCAUGCGUUAGCUUACAAUGUUGGAUUUACUUCGAAUGGAAUCUCAAACUAAGGUGUAUUUUUACUCUGCUAAUGUAACUGAAACAGAUGCUACAAUUUGGUUUAAAACUGCAAAUGGAAAUCACACAAUCAAAAUAUUGUUUUGUGCUUUUUGCCUAGCGACAACAGAGAUUUCUUCAGUAUCAAUAUCUAAUUUGGCAUUAUCACUUGUGUAUUCAGAGCCUUGAACGUGUAUUUCAUAAAGUUAAAUUAUUCAUUUGAUUUAUAAAAGGAAAAGGAAUAUUAAAAGCAAUUAUUUUUUAAUCAAAGGACAGAAAAUUCAUUAAAAAACUUUGAUCUAUUUUUAGGGAUGACAAUUCGAAUCGUCAAAACCAAAAAUCGCGGUUAACCGAAUCGAAUGGGGCGAAAAAAAUCGAACCAAUCGUGUAAUGUGAUGGAUAUGGUAUUUGAUUUUAAUAACCCAGUUCAGGCGAGGCGGGUAUGGUAUUUACGCCGUCGACCCACCCCGAACCAAUUAACCGUUAAUCUUUUUUUUAUAAGUACCCGUAAAAAAAAAAAAAUUAAUUGGACAAUUGGGUUUUCCAUUAUUCUUUCUAUAAAUGAAGAAUGUAUAUGAGAUAUGACUUAUGAGUAUUGAAUUUUGAUUUAUAUGUUUUAUGAGAAUUUGAGAAUAUAUCAACCAUGAAUUGGGAUAUUAAAGAUUAAUUUGAGUAUUGUGAAAUGUUAUUGUGUGAUUUGUGAAAAUUGAAAAAUGAGAAAUUGGAGAAUUUAUAAUUUGAGGUAAAUUGGUGUUGGGAAUUGAAAAUUGAAACUUUAAUUAUAUUUUAAAAUUAAUUUUAAUUCUAAUACAAAUUUCUCAAUCGAUGUCCCAGCCUAAUUCUUGUAAUGGUGCAUCUAAUCCCGUAACUAUUUCUAGUCGAGCAAAUGAUUUAUUAAGCAUUGAUAAUACAAAGAAGUCUCAUGCAUCAUUUAUUUUAUAUUAUUUCAGGUUGUAUUGUAUUGUAAUUUGAUAUAAAUAUACGAUUUUUACACUUUAGUGUAUUUAAAUAUAGAUAGAAUAGUUUUAAUAGAUAUUAAUAAAUGACAUCGCUAUACGGCCAUUAGCUGUUGACGAUUCACGAUCAAUGACCACCCUAACUGGGUUGAAGUCCUGGUUUUGCCCAUGUUCGUAGUUAUUAAAUGUUCGAACCGAGCCAAACCGACUUACGUGGCUAUGGUGCGGUUAUGGUAUGGCCAAAAUAUUGGUGGUUUGAUGAUAGUUUUGGCUGAACCAACCCUGAACUGAACCAUUGCUAACCCUAUAUAUUUUGCUAUAAUGAUCACAAAAAUCAGAUAUACUCAAGAUGUAAUCUAAUGCCAUCUAUCAGUGGUACUUACCAUUUAAAAAUGAAAGUAGCUAAACAUAUGGCUGAUAAAAUGAGCGUAUAUAUCAAAAUGCAGAUUGACGCUAGCGGUUAUCCAAACGACAAAGAGACUGUGAGCAUCAUUAUAAGGUUUAUGUUCCUAUUACCCUUCUGCUACUACUGCCAACUCUAAUGGACAGGGUCGACUUUCCCAAACUUUACAAAAAGUUCAGCUUCGAUUGGUCUAGGCACCUCUGGUGGUGUACUGCAUCGUAACAAAGCUCAGUUAACACCUUCAAAGAAAGGAUACUUCUUAACCUCUGUUGCUCAUCUCUUCACCACAAACCGAUAGUGUUGCUCAUUUUCUUCCCAAAAGAUGAAUCCACCUUCUAUUUACAGAUACUGAGUAAUAAUAGAUGAAAAUGAUUCAUUUGUAACAUGAAUUAUAUUGACUUUUUUACCCUAAUAUUCAUCCUCUAUAGCAUACACUUGAUCAAAUGUUGGAUAAACAGUUCAUAUCGCCCUUCCAAAUUUCACUGAAAAUCGCAUAUUAUCCUAUCCCUCAAAAAUCGUAAGUCAUAGCUCAGCAUCCAAGAUGAUGGUUUUUUAUAAUGGGAAAAAUUUUUGGAAUAGAUAUAGUGGGCUAGAAAAGUGGUGGAUUGGAUGAUUUUGAUUUUCAUAGUUUUUUGAUAUAAAACAAUUUAGAGGACAAAGUGGGCAAGAGAAACAAAUGUUGUCAGAUUGAUAUUGCUUUAGUUUUUGGCCUACAUACAAUUUGAAGACCCACUCCUUAUAGCCUUCAAAAUUAGGUGCAUCACCUUUAGAAAAUUUUUAUUUUUUUACUAUUUUAUUAUUUGUUUUACUUGUUCCUUAAACAAAUCUAGAGCUUUCGAGGUUGUAUGGUUUCUAGAAUAUGAAAGCAUUUAGAAAUUUGUAGCAGUAUUAAUGCUCCUUCAUACGCAUGCCCUUUGCAAGGGAACAACAGUUGGAAACUGCUGCUAAUACCCUGUAUGCUAAGGAGCAAAAGGAGGAAUCUACCUAAGGAGGUUCAGUAACUCCAAUCAUAUCACAUAGUAACUCGAACUUUUUUUUGUGGUAAUGCCUUAGUGAAUAAGUCUGUAACUAUUCCUUGGUUCUACAAUGUUUGAGCUCUAUCUCUUUACUUGCUUUAGCUUCUCUAAUGAAGUGAUACUUAAUGCUAAUAUGUUUAGUUCAGUUGUAGAAUACAGGAUUCUUUGCCAUUGGUAUUGCAGAUCUCCAUAGUGAAUUUUACUUGGACUUUGUAUGAAUCUUGAAAGUAGGCUAGUUGCUUCUCCAUGUGUGAUUUUUCUCAAUCAUUUUUAUUUCUUAAAUGAUAGUUUUUCUCCAUUCUGGUUGUUUUGAAGCUACUUCACAGCUUUCAAGUUCAACGAUUAUCAAGUUGCAACUUUAAUAGAUUUUUGAUAAGUGUUGUGUUUACUUGGUGACAAUUCUGGUGAGUUGACUAGUUCUUCUAUCAUUGCUUGCUAUGGGGACACAUGUUGAUUGUUCUCCUCGACGUCACCCUUCUAUUUUAUGGUUGUCUUAGGAUGCUGAUACCUUUUCUUUCAACUCGAUCAGUCUUCUAGUUGUAGGCGGCAUCUUCAUUAAACUUAACAUCCAGACUUAUAAUUAGCUUCUUCAUUCUUAGGUUAUAGACUCGAUAGUCUUUUGUUUGAGAGCUAUAGCCUAAAAAGAUUCCUUUCUCUGUUGUCUCAUCUAGCUUACCUCUUUUCUCUUGUAGAAUAUGUGUGUAGCAGAUGUAGUAAAAAACUCUGAGAUGCUUUGCUAAUGGUUUUCGUCCGCUCCAUGCUUCCACUGGUGUUUUAUCUUGCAUAGCUUUGGUCAGACAUCGAUUUAGUAGGUGGACUACGUUGCUCACUACUUCAGCCCAGAAGAUUUUUGGGAGACAUUUAUCCAUUAGCAUUGCUCUAGCUGUCUCUAUUUGUGUUUUGUUCUUUUUUUUUUUCUAACAUCGUUUUCUUCUGGUGCGUGUUCAACAGUGAGUUGAUGCUCCAUUCUUUCAUCUUCACAAAACUUGUUGCAUUAAUUUAAUGUGUAUUUUAUGCCUCUGUCAUUUCUAAUUGUAUUGAUAUUACGACCACUUUACUUUUUGACAUAGCUUUUAAACUUUUUGAAAAUCUUAAAAGCUUGAGAUUUCUCGCACAAAAAGCAUACUCGUGUCAGUCUAGAGUAAUCAUCUAUAAAGAGAAUGAAGUGCCUAUUUUGCUCAUGUGAUGGAGUACGCAUCUGACCACAUGCAUUUGUAACGGCUUUUUGGCUCUCCAAGAUUUUUGGGACGAAAAUGGUUGAUGUGUUGUUUUCCUAGAAAACAUCCUUUGCAAACUUCAUUAAUCUCAUUUAUGAUUGGUGAAUCUCUUAUCAUACUCUUUUGUUGAAUGAUCUUCAAUCGACGGGAUGGAAAUGUCCUAAUCUUCAAUCCCACAGCCACGACUCAUUCACUUGCGUCAUGAUUGCCGCAUUGUUUGCAUAUCUCCAUUGAAUUGGGAAGCAUAUAUUCUCCCUCUUUCUAACUUUUUCAAUCACAAGAUAUUUAUCUUUCUUGUCAUAAAUAUUACAAUAAUCUCAUUUGAAAUGUAAAGUGUAUCCUUUUUGCAUCAUUUGACCCACAUUUAGUAGAUUUUGAUCUAUUAUAGGGACUAACAGCACUUCAUUGAUAUAUCUUUACUCUUCUUUUGUAUCAACGACAGUAGUUCAUUUGCAUGUUGCCUCUAUGAAAUUUUCAUUUCCAAAUUUAAUUUUUGUUUUUGUUUUAUCAAGGUUGCAGAAAAUACUUUCAUAUUUCGUCAUAUGGUUACUGUAGCCACUGUCUAAAUACCACGUACCCAAUUUGCCUUCAGAUGCAUCCUUACUAAAGGUAUAAAAUAGAAUUCCUUCUAUAUCACGUUUUAGAUAAAUUGGCUUGAUAAUUUUGUUUAAAAUGACAAAAAAUUUUCGUGUCCAAAUUCUUUGCCGCUAUGACACUUUGGUUUUCCUUUAAACCAACAAUCAUUCUUCAAUUGACUUUUUCUUUUACAAAUACCAUGAGGAUACUUGCCACUUUUAUCAAUUUAUUUUCCUUGAAUUCCUUUAUUUUAGAAUUAUCUUUAAGUUUUCUCCUAUUUUCUUUAUAUUUCUGAAACCGCAUAUUAACUUUUGAUUGAAAGCAUUUUCUAUGUCAAUUUCAUAACUCCUUUUUAAUCUUUUUUCAUGUGCUUCUAGUGAACACAUUAAUCCCGUAGCUAUUAAUUUAUAUCUAUAUUUAGACUUCUCAAUAACUGUAAUAAUUGGAUCAUAUUUUUAUGUGAAACUAAUUAAAAAUUUUUCAACAAUUUUCUUUUCUGAGACAUCAUCUCCAUUAGAUCUUAAUUGAUUUAUUCUUCAUCUAUUCUUAAUUAAUAAUCUUUUGUGGCUUCAAAAUAUUUCAUUUUUAGAUUUUCAAAAUUCUUUCUUAAAGUUUGAAGAUGACAAGUACACACUUAUCACUGCCGUAGAACUCCUCAUUCAGUUUAUCUCAAGCUUCUUUUACCGUUUUAGCUCUCAUGAUUCUCGGAAAUAAGUGUCUGUCAAUUAAGCUCAUUCGUAGAGCAAAUAGUACUAGAAAUUUUUUUUUUUUGAUUCUCUUUAAGUUCCUUCUUUUGUACUGCAAUUAGAGAGGAUAUGUUAUUUGGGUCAGUGUACCCAUCAUUGACGACAUUCCAUAAAUUUUGCUUCUAAAAUAGUCUUCAUUUUGAUGUUCUUGAAAUCAUAGUUGUGUCCAUCAAAGAUUAGGAUGAGAAUUGAUGAGUGAAAAUCGUCUUCCAUAGUUUAUGCUUACUCCCAAUAUCAAUCGAGCAUAGCUCUGAUACCACUAAUAGUUUUUCUAAUGGGACAAAAUUUUUGAAAUAGAUAUAGUGGGUUAGAAAAUUAGUGGAUUGGAUGAUUUUGAUUUUUAUAGCUUUUUGAUAUAAAAUAAUUUAGAGGACAAGUGGGUAGGAGAAACAAAUGUCGUCAGAUUGAUAUUGCUUUAGUUUUUGGCUUAUGUACAAUUUGAAGACCCAUUGCCUAUUUAUAGCCUUCAAAAGUCGGUGCAUCACAUCUAGAAAAUUCUAAUUUUUUUCACUAUUUUGUUAUUUGUUUUACUUGUUCCUUAAGGAAAUAUAGAGCCUUCUAGGUUGUAUGGUUUCUAGAAUAUAAAAGCUUCUCGAAAUGUGUAGCAGAAUUAAUACAGGAAUCACUCUUGUACUAAUUAGUAAUCCCAAUGAAACAAGUGCCCCAAGGAGUUUUCAAAGAAGGAACGAAUUUACUGAGGGUGUCCACCCUCAGCUUACUACCAAGAAAGAGACCAUAGAAUGUCUCACAACUGUUGUGCAAAAAGUUGAGGAAAAAAUGGCAACUUCUGCUUCAACGGCCGAAACUGAGGUUGAAUCACUUGUCGGAGGACGGAGUAGGCGAGCUCCAGUUCAAAGGAGUGUGUACACUAUUGAGCAGGAAUUAUCCAAAAUUAAAAUAGGCGAAGCAUAAAGCCUAUCCUCCUUAGACAGAAUGGACACCAAAGAAAGUAGGAAGUGUGUUCGACUAGUUAGAUAUUCAACAUUCGUUUACUCCAAAAAAUGAGCAAUCUAACUUCGCCUAAAGGGAGCAAGCAAUGUGCCAGAAAUAAGCCAACUAAUGAAGCGAAUAGCCUAUCUAGAAGCUAAGAACAAAGAGGUGAUGUAGGAAUAUUUUGCCAAUCGCCUUCCUCAUUUACGGAAAACAUACUAACUGAACCUCUGUCAGAUAAGCUAAAAAUGCCCUAGCUUGUUGGAUAUGAAGGAGAGGGAAACCCUCUCAGCCACCUAGAUAAGUACACAUCAUGGAUGGAAUUGCAAAAAUUCAGCGAUGCCAUAACUACUCCCAAAAAAUAUUUGGUAAGUACACAUCAUGAGAAGUCAACCAGAAACAUGAUAGAAUUAGACAUUCCUAUCCCAGUUCAUAGGUUCAAGAGCCAGAACUACUCCCGAAAACUAUUGGUAAUUAUAAAGCAAGAUCAAGUGAGUCUCUCAAAAGUUAUCUUAGCAGGUUCAAUAAACAAAAUGUGGAGGUAGAGAAAAUAUCUGAUGAUGCAACCCUCAUAGCAUCUCCGUUUGGACUAAAACCCAAGGCGAGGUUCUGGUGGUCCGUGCAUGAAUAUGGGCCGAAUGAUGUCGUAUUCGAAGUGGACCAGAGUAAUUGUCAUCAAGUGUGGAAUGACAACAUUCUGUGACAAGUGGGGUGCUAGGAUACCCAUUUCCAUGCUUUGGGUGGACGAUAACAUUGUUUCCCAAGUCAAAAACCUCGAAAUAGACGACGUUUUUCCACUCCAAGUUAUUGGAUUUCUGGCAUUGCCUACUUUUUUUUUGAUUUGAUUCAGCACAAAGUUAUUGUUGUGUAUGCCAUUAAAACUAAGCCUUCUCAUUUUUAGGGGUUUUUCUCUCGUUAAUUUUUGCAAACGUUGGAAUCCAAUUUUAUUAGAAAGGGAAAAAAGUCAUAUUUACCCACUAUUUGAAAAAUAUUUCACGAUCUACUAUAAAAAUGAUUCCAUAUCAUAUAUAAUAUAUUAUGUAAAACAACACCAAGAAAUACUACCUAAAAUUCCUCAAUUGUUCUUAUAUAACCAAUCAUUAAAUAUAGAAAAAUUUAAAUUUCAUUCAAUUUUCCAGAUGAUUUUUUCAAGCAUAUAUUCCAAAGGCAUCUCAACACAUUUUCCUAUUAUUUUCAUUCUUUAGAGGAAAAAAAAUUGUAUUUUUGCUUUCAUCUAAUUUAGGUACUACUUGACACCAUUUAACUAAAGAUUUUGCUCAAUGAACAACGAACGAUUUGGCUAAAUAACAUAUAAUGGUAUGUUGAGAUCAUGGAAGUUAGAUUAGAAUUCAUUAAAUAGAAUCACAGUACAAUCUUUACUAUAUGAUAAUAGAAAUCAUAUGUGAAACCGCAUAGAUUGACAUCACGUAAAUGAGUAUUGUUAUUUGUGAAGUUUGCACGAUGAAAUACAUUUCAUUUUUAAAAUCAUGGCAAUUGGCAAGUAACGGCAUAAUAUGUCCUCUAAAUGUUGCAUCGAUGGAACAUGAAAGAAAUAAUUCUAUCCAACAAGAAUUCACUAAUUGAAAGGUAAGAAACAAGAACAUAACAUAAUCGAUCAUUUAUUGAACGUUAAAAAACAGAGAUUAAAAAUAUACAAGAUGAAAAUUUCCUAAGCGUAUUCCACUUUCAUGAGAAUUAAUUUCAUUAAAACUGCCUUUGAGGCCCUUCUAUGAAGCCUAAAAGAGUGGUGAACACUAAGUGGUUAUACAUGGUGAAUAACAGCCGGUAGCAAACACUAUGAAGCUUUAAUCUGUCAAUUAUUGAUUUUUUGAAAAAAGUAAUAAUAAUAAUAGGAGAAUCAUGUUGUAGGCUAAAAACAUUUUACCUAAGCCUAAAAGGAGUUCAAGACGAACUUCAGAUAAAUUGUAUAUGACUGAAACAAAUGUAUAAAAAUCAUGAUAAAAUCAUAGAAAAAGCAUUCAUUUACAGAUUGUGUGGAAACAGCACUAAUAUGAUAUCUUAAUUGCUAUAAAACUAAAAUAUUUUUGGUUACAUAUUGUACAAAAACAAUUAUAACGAACAAGCAAAAUAUCGGUGCUUAUCAACUCGUGACAAGUUGAAAAUGCAUACGCCAUAUUGUAAAACUUUGAAAAAUGCCUCAGAUUAGAAAUGUCCAUGUAAAAAGUUCAUUUUUUUAAUCCUACUAAUUCUUGAGCCUAUGAAUCAGGGAUUUAUAACGUGAAUGGUUGGUUAAUGAUAGAAUUUGUUUAAUUGAAUUAGCAUGAAUGGUGGGAUUUGUUUGAUUGAAAGAGGAGAGAGGUGAUUUCUUUACAUAACAAGAGUGGCCAUCAUAAUUUCCACUAUUGAAAAUGACACAAAGUAGGGCUUUGCUCUGGAAUUUGUUAGAAAUCGUUUAAACUUAUUGUGAAGUCUUUCCCCAUUUCAUUUGCAGUGGGAGGCCCGAACCAGUCCUCUUAUGAUGAUGCCUAUUUUCCUGAACCAGAAAUUAUAAAUGGUGGCUUAAGUGGCACAGAACCAGAGUGCUGGUGAUGAUGGUAGGAAAAGAUGGGAGACAAAUGAUUUUUUUUCUUAAUUUAAAUUAUUUAUUUAUAACUCGAUUGUACUUUUUUUUUUUUUAAUUUUCAGACUACAGUUAAAAUUAGUUCUUUAUUUUUUUUUUAUCCUUUUUGUUUUAUUUAAAUAUAGGGGUAUAUUCAUCAUUUCACAAGACUUUAUUAAGAAAAUGAAAGAAAAGAGAGUGUUAUGCACCUCACAUGUCAUAUACGAGGAUUUUCAGUCAAAAUGAAGGAAUAAAGGCAUUCGAAAUAGAGACAAAUGUUAUGAGAGUUUUGUUUCAAUAGGCCUGUUCCUUAUAAUGACACGGAUUUAGAGGUGACAUGUUCUUAUGCUCCUGUUUGAUAUUGAUUUAAAUAAGAUUUUAAUUUAAGUCAAAGUGAAAUAAUCAAUAUUAAUCAUAUCUUUCAUGAGAUUCCACAACUUUUCAAUUACACAUUUCAAAAAUUUCUAUUAAAAUCUACUAAAAAUUUAAUUUUAAUCUCUCCCAAAUAAGGGCUAUAUUUGUUGCUCGACUGAUUUGUGUUGUGUUAUUAAUAAUUGUCCAAAUUUUCUUUUAAAUCAUUAUGCUAAUUAGCCUCCAUUUGGCCCUCAUUAAUUUUCUUUCCAUUACAUUUUAUUUUUCUUUUUUCUAUUUUCAACUACAUAAUCUUCCAUAAAAUAAUAUUACACAUAAAUUGCAAAUUUUUCCUUCUUUUUCAACCACUCAUUUUUCAAAAAAUAAUAUUCCACUCAUUUUCAUUACCACAAAACGAGAGCCAAUCGGAAGAGUUGACGCCAUAUCUAUAGUAAAUCCCCAAUUUUCUUGUAGGUUUCCUAUCACACCAAAAAGAAAGGAAGGAACAAAAAUGUUGCCUUCCCAUUGGAGUCUUUGCGCGUGGGGCCAAAAUGGCCUUGCAUGUGCUUCACACCAUUGGAUUAUUGAUGUAGUUAUGAGAAUGAACAGUUGCGUCUUUUUUUCCACGCAAGAAUCUAAAUUAUUUCGAGACAUUUCCACACGAUUGUCCCCCACACCUGUAUAUCUUGCUUCGUUCUGACACUUGGCAUUCACUUUUAAAUGAAUUUUCCCCUCAAUUUCCCAAACCGUCCUUGAUAUGUUCUAGCGUUCAUUGCAUCAAUUGUAGAGGGUGGUCGAGCGUAAUUUUGUCCAAUAUAUUUUGACUUGUACAAUAAUUGGAAAUUGAAGUCUGACAAAACAACUCAACUUCUGUAUUUUUUUUGUAUAGAUUCUUUUAUAGUAGAAUAUUNNNNNNNNNNNNNNNNNNNNNNNNNNNNNNNNNNNNNNNNNNNNNNNNNNNNNNNNNNNNNNNNNGGUCAUUUAUACCCCAUUAUUUUCAAUUUAUAUUUUUGGAAUAAUAAUUUUUUUUUGAAGGAUGUGUUGUUGAAAAAAAUAAAGUUUGCGAUUUACAUGUAAUAUUAUUUUAUAAAAAAAAUAUGUGAUUGGAAAUAAGAUAAAUAAAAUUAUAAUUUCAAAAAAUGUGCUCCAAUGGGGGCCUCGAGUUUCAUGCUUUUGCCGGCAGCUCUAAUAAUGUUGUAUCACACCUUUGUCGACAGUGAACUUUAUCAAAUUUUAUGGCAAGACUUGAUGUGGAGACCUUUGUACAAGUCAAUAUAUUUUGUAAAAUCAUUCUAUAUAUGUAUUAUUUCGUGAUAUAUCAACAAAAUGGGUGGUCCACUGUUCACAAGCCUUGAAUUCAUUAUUUUCAAAAUACAUUUUUAUCUCUUUUCUUUUUCAUCACAUUCUUCAAUGAAAAUAAUAUUACACCUAAAUUUGAAAUUUUUCUUUAUUUUUUAACUACACAUUCUGAUCAAUCUAUUACUCCAAAAUGCAUUCUUCAAUAAAAAUAAGGCUCUAAAUAUGUUAGUCUAACAGCGUACUAGAGCAAAUAAAUAUAUUAAAUUCCAAGCUUAAUGGCUAUUUAUAAACGAAUUUUUUAGAUACAAGACAUUUGAUGAAAAAGGAUUCGCACAUGAAUGACGAGGAGACAAAUUUAAUAAAAUUAUAGAAUAAUUUUACUCUUUAGUGAUUAAAUUCUUAGACAAAAUGACUUUUAAGAUUUUUUAUUUUUUAUUUAUUUGUUUUGAAAAGAAAAGGUUUGAACAAGUCUAUGGCUGUUUGGAUGUCAUUAUAAAGCUCAACCGUGAGGCUGUUCCUUGGUAAGCAUAGAUUAGCAAAACAUGCUGGAGCAUUUGGUUUUUCUCCAAAUCUUCUGCAUUUUUUCACUGGCGGUAGCAUCACCCUGGAAUGCGACCACCAACUCCACUAAACCUGGCUGCCUAAGUAGAUGUGGAAACCUAGAAAUUCCAUACCCGUUUGGUAUCGGGUCAAAGUGCUCUUUGGACACAUCCUAUAAUAUCACUUGCGAUACUUCUUUCGACCCUCCAAAACCCUACCUCGUACUUUCUUUCAAUGGAUCCGAUUCCAGCUAUGAGGUUGUUAAUAUCUCAGAAACCCAAAUCUAUGUUAAGAACUCGGAGGUACAACUCGCAAAGGCCUGUUAUGGUAUGGGAUUCGAUAACAAGACACAGAAUUCUUCUAUAUUAUUGGAUUUUUUUGAUAGUCCUUAUACCUUAUCAAACGCGAAUCAGGUCACAUCCAUUGGUUGUGAUGACUUCGCUAGGGUACAAUCACAUGCAUCCAGUGACUCCGACGGUGGUUUUGCUUGUGCAUCCUACUGUAAAAACAUUUCAUAUUCUGCUGGGUCAUGUCUGGGCAGGGGAUGUUGCCGGACCUCCAUAACCAAAGGUGCAUUUCUUGUAGUUGAACUAUCUGACAUGUAUUGGGGCCGAGAUAGCAGACUUUUCCGGUGUAGUUUUGCCUUCGUAGGAAUGAUAGGUGAUGAUAAUAAAUUUAAUUUUAAUUUAUCUCAUCUUAAUGAUUCAACAACAUUCCUAAGCAAUAAUAAAAAGUUUAUGAGUAUGCCGUUAGUGUUGGACUGGAGAAUUACUCGCCACAUGAAUUGCACAGAUGUUCAGAAUUCCACUGAUUAUGCAUGUCAAAAGAAUAGUGAUUGCAUUAAUUUGUACUCCGAAUAUGGAGGAUAUCAAUGUAGGUGCAAGAAAGGGUAUGAGGGCAAUCCUUACCUAGGAUGCCAAGGUCAGUUCUUUUCUAAAAAUUAAUAUCCAUACUUAAUUGAAGUCUUGACUAUUUUAUUGACGACUUCAAUACCAAAAAUCUGACAAUUGUUUGUUGUGAUGCUUAAAUGGGAUGGGGUGUGGCAGAUAUCAAUGAAUGCAUGAAUAAUCAUAAAUGCAUCUCAUAUGGAGCCUGCACCAAUACUCCGGGUUCUUAUAAUUGUUCCUGUCCUUCCGGUUAUCGUGGUGAUGGUAAAAGAAAUGGUUCUGGCUGUAUUCCAAUAUCGGUACCCCAUGGUAAACUCGCAAUAGGUAAUUUUCAAAUAAUCUUUUGCAUUUUAGAUAACUGGUGAAAUUUAUUUUUCUUAAUAUUUUCUGCUUUUAAUUUAUAAUUAAUUAUUAAAUAAAAUUUGAUGUCCAAUAAUCAAGACAAUCAAUAUUAUGCAAUUGCUUGUUAAUUUUUUUUAUUUAAAUAUAAUACAAUUGCUUAUUGAAAUUUUUUCCUAUAAUCAAUGUUUAAAUUAAUUUAAUCAUUUAUUAUUUUAGAAAUUGUCAUCAAUCAAAUAUUUAAAAUAGGUUAGGAAACACAAUAUACGAAGCACAAUAUGAUGAAUAGCAAUUCACAUUGCCAGGAGUUAUCUAUCCUCAAAAUUUAAGCUUUAGUAUUCUCAAUAUUAUUGAAUUGUACUAGUCCCAAUAUCAAAUAAGUAAACAAACAAAAAAGGAUGAAGAUUCCAAAUUAGAAAAAUAUACAUGAUUGAAUCCUAAAUAGAUGUCAUGAUCUUGACUUUAAUUAUGUUGCAUAUGUUGAUACUUUCAGGAGCAGGUUUGGGGGCUGGAAUGGGAUUGGUAGGGCUGCUAUCAACUUGCUUUUGGUUGAACAAGUUUCAGAAGAAGAGAAAAACUAAAAAACGCAAAGAAAAAUUCUUCAAACAAAAUGGUGGUCUUCUACUACAACAACAAAUAUCAACAGACGAAGGAAUACUUGAAAAAACACGACUUUUCAGUGUUAAAGAGUUAGAGAAAGCCACUGAUCACUUUAGUGAAAGUCGAAUACUUGGUGAAGGAGGUCAAGGGAUGGUGUAUAAAGGAAUGUUAUCCGAUGGAAAGAUUGUGGCAAUAAAAAAAUCCAAGGUGGUAGAUGAAAAUCAAGUGGAGCAGUUCAUUAACGAGAUUGUCAUGCUUUCACAAGUUAUUCAUAGGAAUGUAGUUAAGCUAUUAGGUUGUUGCCUAGAAACUGAAGUUCCUUUACUAGUUUAUGAAUUCAUUUGCAAUGGAACCCUUUAUGAUCGUAUCCGUGACAAGAGUGAUGAGUUCCCAUUAUCAUGGACCAUGCGCUUAAAAAUUGCGGUAGAAGUCUCAGAAGCACUUGCCUAUCUUCAUUCUGCAACUUCUAUCCCCAUCUAUCACAGAGAUAUUAAGUCAACUAACAUUCUGCUUGACGAAAAAUAUGUAGCUAAAGUCUCGGACUUUGGAACUUCAAGAUCAAUCGCAAUGGAUCAUACUCAUUUAACCACACUAGUAAAAGGAACAUUUGGAUACUUAGACCCUGAAUACUUUCAAUCAAGUCAAUUUACAGAAAAAAGCGAUGUUUAGAGUUUUGGAGUUGUUCUUGUUGAGCUCUUAACUGGACAACGGCCAAUAUCUUUUGCCAAAACAGGAGAGGAAAGAAGUUUAGCAACAAGAUUUUUGUUAUGUAUGGAAGCAGACAAUCUCGAAAAAAUUCUUGACAGCCAAGUUUUAGAGCAGGGUAAGAGAGAAGAACUAAUUGCAGUGGCAAAACUUGCACAAAGGUGCUUAAAUUUGAAUGGGAAGAAAAGGCCAUUGAUGAAAGAAGUAGCUGCAGAGUUGGAGAUUAUUAAAAUAUCUCAAACACAUUCGACUGCAUCUGAUACUAAAUAUCAAGACAUACAGUUGCGCAAAUCCAAAGCGAUAUUGGUGUCGAAUGAUGACUACACAUGGACAAGUACCUCUGACAAUAUCAUCCCAUCAUCAGACGCACGUCCCCUAAUGAUUCACACUGCUUGAUGCAUUCUCUGAUUUCUAAACAAUUUCCUUGUUUGUUGAAUAAUAAAUGCUUUUGUAAUAGUUUAUUUAAACACCUAAAUAACAUUUGGCCAAGAUUUUUGUAAUAUCAAUACAGGGAUCAGACUUUUUCAGCAUGAGAUUUUUACCUUCUAUUGAUUUAUAUUAAUUGAUUCUUUUUAUCUAUCGUUCAAAUUAUGACCUAUACAAACAUGCAUUUGCUUACUAUAUUGGGUUUUUUCUCGACUCUCAAACUAGGGUGUAUUAUGCUACAAUUUGGUUUAACACUACAAAUGGACUGCAUACUAUCAACGUAUUAUUUUGUGCUCUCUGCCUAAAGACAUCAUAGAUUUCUUCAGUAUCAAUAUCUAAUUUGGCUUCAUUACUUGUGUCUAUUCAGAACCUUGAACAUGUAUUUCAUAAAUUUAAACUAUUCCUUUGAUUUAUAAAAAGAAAAGAAAAAUUGAAAGAAAACAUUUUUUCUUCAAAGGACGGAAUAUUCAUUAAACAACCUCUAUGUUAAUUGGUUCUUUUGCAGAUGAAAGUGACUUGAAAUAUGAGAAUGCUUAGGCAGUUCGGCUUUCUCAUGAAAUUUCAGGAUUUUAAAUUGUCUGAAGACAUUAUUUUUCAAAUCUGAGAGAUCAAAUCAAGGAUAAAUGGCAGAAAUUGACCUUGAAGAGUAUGUUGUUCACCAAUAGACCAACAAGGUCAUUGUCAACUUUGAAAUGAUGUUAACGUUCGAAAUUUAUCAAGUUUAACCCUUGUUUGAGCUCCAUUUAACCAAAAAUACAUUUUCCAUAUCUCAUUUUCAACCAUACUUUUUCCUACAAAAUAAUAUUAUACGAAAAUCCAAAACUUUUUCUUACUUUUUAAUCACACAUUAUUCGAAAAAUUACUAUUCAAUAAUAUACUUUUUUCCAAAAACCUUAUUAAAAUGGAGCCAGGAAAGGAGCUUAAUGGCAUAGACUUAAUUAGAAGACCCUUAUACAUUUUUUUUUUAACCGAUUAGAGAUGAAAUUGUGAGUAUUGUGUUUUGAAUGGUUGACCAAGAAAUAAGAGUUAGACGGUGCAUGACCCAUAUUGUACUGAUAACUGUUAUUUGACGAAAAAUAUUUGUUUGUAAGAUUUGGAAAAAUUGUUCGGCCUUGAACCCCACGUAUAUAGAAAAUUGAAAAUUUAUACUCUUGAAAGAAUAAUGCUAAUCAAUAUUGUCUAGUCUACCAUACCAAAUAAGUAAUUUUUAAGACUAGAAAUUGUUAAUUUGGAUUGUGGACAAAUUUUAUAAGGACCUUCCUGAACCUGACUUGGACGGAAAAAUUAAAAAUCAAGCUUCGUCAAGUAUAAGAAUGAGCAUGAGAAGAUUGGCUAGUUCCCAAAGUCUAGUCUCUUUGGUUUUGCCUUUGCUAAACGUCAAUAUGGUGUGUGUGGACUAUGGACGUCUCAUUGGUAUGAAAACCAUUAUCGUAUCCAAUACUAAAAGUAGUAACCAUCUUUUGCUCCCCCUACCUAUCACACAUGUAGUAAGUAGUAACCCUUUUUUUAUCUCUUCCAGACCUCCUCUCCCUCCAUCUCCUGACAACAAUUUCUAUUUAUCACCUCUGAUUAACAUGCUAAGCAACGACAACAUGAUAUAUCAAUUCAACAAUUUCAAUUUAAUUUUUGAGACACACCAUGACUUAUCUAUCGAUGUGUCAUGUUACAACUACUUAGCAUAAACUAAACAAAUGUGCUUAUUAGAUAACUAUCAAGUUUUGAAUAUAUACAAACUUGAUAAUGUUAUCACCAUAGACUUGUCAUUUUAUUUUAUUUUUACAUGGCUAUUAAAGCCACAAAAUGUUAGCGGAGCACUCAAUUUUUCAUUUUAUUUUAUACAAAAUGUUAGCGGAGCACUCAAUUUUUCAUUUUAUUUUAUUUUAUUUGCAUUGCAAAAUUAUUGUGAAGGAAUAUGUCGCAAUUAGUUUCAUAAAAGUUUUAUUUUAUAAAAUGAUAAUGAUUUAAUACGAUAAAAGUAAUAUGAAACAUUUAUGCUUUAGUUUGUUCUCAUCAUUUUCAAAAUAUAAUUUUUUUCUCUCUUAUUUUCAACCACAUAUUUUUCAAUAAAAUAAUAUCUCAUGCAAAUUCAAUUUUUUUCUAAUUUUUAACGACACAUGAUCUAUCAAAUCACUAUUAAAAUGAUUUUUUGGCUAAAAAUAGGGAUAAAACAAGCUCUAUAUAUUCAUUAUUAAAUAAAUAAAAUUCAUUGGUUACAAUAAUUCAUUAUUCAUAUCUCCAAUUUCAUAUUAAAUUUUUUUUAUCAUAAAAACAUUUUCAUUUGUUUGUAGUCAUACAGUUUUUGUUGUUUUGUUGUUCUGCUUUACUACCUCAAAACUUAACUUUUUUCAAUUGUUUGGAUUUUAUUUCCAUCUGCAACUCUUCAGUUUUUACGACUUUUUUUUUUUUUUCAAAAUAGUGAUUCUUAAAAAUCUAUAAUAUAUUAAAUAUCAUAUCAAGUAAGAAUCAUUUUUUUAACGAUUCUAACCCUAUUAUAAUUCAAUUAUUUCAAUAAUAUCUUACUUUUUAUUUUUAAUUAUGUAUUUAAUUUAUUUAAUCAUUUAGUUACCAUCAAUGUACAUGUACAUUUGACAGGUUUAUUUCACUUGUGUGCUUUUGUUAAUAUAUGAAUUUCUUAUUAUUAAUUCUCAAUUAAUUAAUAUUCACAUUCAUUUAAUUAAUAUUUAUCUUCAUUUAUGCAUUUUGGUGUUAUUAAUUCUAAAUAUGGUUAAUUAGAAUUUCACAUUCAAGAAUGCAAUUCAUUAUUAACGUCCAUGUAUGCUAAUUGAUAUCCAAUUUUACAUAAUUGAAAAUUAAAUAAAUUAUUUAACAGUUAUUGUCACGUAUAUAUUCCUUGGUAUUAAUUCUAAAUUAAUUAACAUUGACGCAUAUUCAAUUGUUACUUUUACAGCACUUAUAAAAUAUUUUAUAAUUGCAAGUUCAACGUUAUGAAAGAGAUGAGUAACUAAAUGAUAAUCAUUUUAAUAACCAUAUAUUUUCAAAACAUAUAAUUUGUUAACAUUACUUAAGAUUUUUUUUAUGAAUUGUCAAAGAAUUCAAUAUUUGAUAAUGAAGAUAUCUAAUACAUUGAAAUACGUAGCUUGCUUGUACGUUUAUUAUAUAGUUUUGCUCGGAUCAAAUAAGAUUUACGUUUCGGUGUGGUAUGUAGUUUUUACCUUGGUCUUUAUUUUUAAUCAUUUAGAGCUAAUUGAGUUGAUAUCUAUGUAAUUGAGGUGUAAAUAUAUUAAUUGUAUGUAAAUUCUAAUUUGAGUGCAUUUGGAUGAAACUGGCAUGAAAAUGGACAUAUUUUAGGGCUAAAUUAAAAUUUAUUUGGAGCAAUUGAUGAUCAAAGGGAUUAUAAAUCUCAAUUGUGACGCUGUUGUUUAGUAUGCGAAGAUUAGCGUGGUGCUUUUUCUUUUUUGGAAUAACAUGUUGGCACAUUUGGUUUUGCUCUAAAUCUCCUACUUUCUUUCACUAGUGGUAGCACUACCGCCAAAUGCAACUGGAGUCGCCGCCACCACCACCACCACUUAACUUGGCUACCAAGGUGGAUGUGGAAACCUUGAAAUUCCAUACCCAUUAGGUAUUGGGUCAAAAUGUUCCAGGACCAUAAACUUCAAUAUAAACUACAAUACUUCUUUCAACCCCCCAAAACCCUACCUCCUAGUUCACUAUGGAAAAUAUUCCCACGAGGUGGUUAAUAUCUCAGAAACCCAAAUCUAUCUCAAGAACACGGAGACACAAUUGGUAAUGGCCUGCUAUGGUAUGUGAUUCGAUAACAAGAUAGAGAAUUCUACUUUAUCAAUGGAACUUGUUAAGGGAUAUUAUCCCUAUAUCGAAUAAAGAUGAAAAUAUAGACUAAUUUAUAAAGGUUUGGACUACUUCUCUUACGAUGGAACCCCAAGUCUUAACUUGGUAUCAGAGCUCAUUAAACUCCAACGAGUGAUUCAAUCCGAUUAAGACUCAAUAAAUGAGUAUACGAAUUUCAAAAUUGAUUUGUUCAAACGAGCCACCAUUUUGCGAAGACGUGUUAAGGAAUAUAAUCUCAUAUCGAAUAAAUAUGAAAAUAUAGACUAUAGACCAAUUUAUAAAGGAUUGGACUACUUCUAUUAACAAGGUUGACCCUUUUGAAUAGUCCUCAUGCCUUGUGAGACGCAAUUCAAAUCACAUCCAUUGGUUGGGAUGACUUGAAUAUGGCAUCACAACUUUAAUACCUAACAAAUACCUUUGACAGUGGUGCUUGUGCGUCAUACUAUGGCGGCCUUCCUGAUUAUAUUCAUAUUAGGUCAUGUCUAGGAAGGGGCUGCUGCCGAACCUCUAUAUCUAGAGAUGUGUAUCUUCGAGUUGUAUUGUUAGACAUGCAUAGUUAGUGGGGUCGAGAUAGCAAAAUUUUCCAGUGUAGCUUUGCCUUUGUUGGAAUGACAGGUAAUUAUGAUAAAUUCAAUUUUAGUUUAUCUCAUCUCGAUGAUUCAACAACAUUCCUACGUAGUAAUAAAGUGUUUUUUGGUAUGCCAUUGAUGUUGCAUUGGAGAAUUUAUGGCUAGAAUUUGCAUCGUGGAGCAGAACUCCACCAAUUAUGCAUGUGGAAAGGAAUAGUUAUUGCAUUACUUACAAUACCGAUCUUAGUUUUGGAGGAUAUCGCUGUGAGUGCAAGGAAGGAUGCAAAGGCAAUCUUUUACCUAGAAUGAUGUGGUUAGUUUUGUUUAAAAAUUACUAUCUGUACUUAAAUAAAGUCGAUAUUUUACUAACUAGUUCAAUAUAAAAAAUCUAAUUAUUUGCAUGGACAAAGAUGUCAUAAUCUAUACUCACAAUUUUAGUAUUAGUAUUCUUAAUAUUGUAUUUUUAUCUUAAAAUCAAAUUAGUAAACAAACAAAAAGAUCAAUAUUCCUGCUUUAGAAAACUAUACAUAACUACACCUUUAUACUUUCAGCAGUAGGGUUGGGCACUAGAAUCGGAUUACUACUAUUGUUGUCAACUUGUUUUUGGUUGUUCAAUUUUCAGAAAAAGAGAAAAAUCAAAAAGCACAAAGAAAAGAACAAAAUAGUGGUUUCUUCCUAUAACAACGAACAUCAACAAAUGAAGGUAUACAUGAAGAAACACGACUUUUCACUAUUAAAGAGCUAAAAAUAGCAACUGAUAACUUCAACAUAAGUCGAACACUUGGUCAAGGAGGUCACAUGACAGUCUUUAAAAGAAUGUUAACAGAUGAAAAAAUCAUAGCAAUAAAAAAAUCCAAGUUAGUAGAUGUAAAUAAAGUGAUGCACUUCAUUAAUGAGGUUGUCAUGCUUUCUCAAGUUAUUCAUAAGAAUGUAGUUAAGCUAUUGGGUUGUUGUCUAAAAAGAUAAUAUCAUUUAUUAAUUUGUGAAGUCACUUGCAAUGGAUCGUAUCUGUAAUGAUCAGUUUCCAUUGUUAUGGAACAUGCGCUUGAAAAUUGCUUCAGAAAUGGCAGAAGCACUUGCUUAUCUUCAUUCUACAGCUUCUUUUUCUAUUUAUCGUAGAGACAUGAAGUCAACUAAUAUACCAUUUGAUGAAAAAUAUACAGCCAAAGUCUCAACCUUUGAAAUUUCAAGGUCAAUUGUAGUGGAUCAUACUCAUCUAACUACCCUAGUAAGAGGAACAUUUGGAUACAUAGAUCCAGAGUAUUUCUAUUUAAAUUAGUUUACCAAAAAAAAGUGGUGUUUUAUAGUUAUGGUGCUGUCCUUUUUGAGCUCUUGAUUGGACAAAGGCGAAUAUCUUUGGCUAAGACACGAGGAAAAAAGUUUAGCAACAAGAUUUUUGUUAUGUAUCGAACCAAAAAUUCUUGUAACACUUUUUGACAUGUGGCCAAACUUGCUCAAAGGUCCUUAAAUUUGAAUAGGAAGAAAAGGCUAACUAUGAAAGAAAUAGCCAUGGAGUUGGAGAUUGUUAGAAUGUCUCCAACACAUUAAACUAUAUCUGAAACUAACUAUUAAGGUGCACAGAUGCGCUAAUCGGAAACAAUAUUGAUGGCGAAUGAUAACUUCACGUGGACAAGUACCUAUGGCAAUAUCAUCCCAUCAUCGGAUGCCUAUCCUAUAAAGAUUAACACUGAUAAAGAUUAACACUGUUUGAUGACUUCACUGGUUCUAUUCAAUUUCCGCAUUAUUGCCAUUAUAUGCUUUUGUAAUUGUGUAUUUAAACAUUUAAAUUGUUAUAAUAUAAUUUAUAUUUAUAUAAUGUGUGUAUAUGUGUGUGUGUGUGUAUAAUUCUCAAUAUAAAAAACUUAGUUUUUGGCAGCUCAAGGGAAUUGGUUCUUUUUCUUCUUCUUUUCUUCCUUUGGUUGAUUCAUCAAAUUAGUUUAUAUUAUUUACAUGAUAUCAGGGCUACAUUUGAGCAUAUCCUAUUCUUUUAUGUUUCUAACAAUACUCAUGAUGUGACUAAAACUGAUCUCAUUCGUAUAAAUUCAUUCUCUGAUGACAUCUUUUCAUACCCAAAGUACUACUUAUUCUUUAUGUCCUACAGGUACAUGCCCACCAAGCACUACCUGAGAUCGUUGAUCCAGCUCUUAUUCCCUCUUUUCGCUAUCCUCAACAUAUUUGUAAGUCCACUAAAUUACCUGAUUUUACUUAUUAUUGUUAUUCAGAGUUCUUUUGCUAUUUUCUUACCUCCAUACACAAGUCAUCUGAACCUUCUUCUUAUAAAUAAACUAUUCUAGAUCCUCUUUGGCAUCAGGCUAUGACUAAUGAACUCUCUACUCCAUAUAAUACAGACACUUGGGACUUGGUUGACUUACCUCUAAGUAAACAUGCUAUUGGUUCUUGUUAGGUUUAUGAGACUAAAACCAAAUCUGAUGGUUCAGUUGAACGUCAUAAGACUAGAUUAAUUGCUACGGGUUUUAAUCAGCAGUUUGGUCUAGAUUAUGAGGAGAAUUUUGCUCCUUUUGUCAAGAUAACCACACUUCUACACUUAUUGCAAUUGCAUCUAUUCGUCAAUAGAGUCUUUCUCAGCUGAAUGUCAAAAAUGACUUUUGAAUAGACAUAUUCCAGAGGAGGUUUAUAUGGUUCCCUCUCCUGGUCUUUCUCAUACUUCUGAAUAUGUUUGUAAGCUCAAGAAAGCACUUUAUCGCUUCAAACAGGUUUCUCGUGCCUGGUUUAAGAAAUGUUCCAUUGUUGUUAUCUCUCUUGGCUUCUCAUCUAAUCAUUGUAAAUCAACACUAUUCUUUUGGUGCACUUCAGCUGGUCACAUUCUGCUUUUACUAUAUGUCGAUGAUAUGAUCAUUACUGGUGAUGAUGUUAAUAGGAUUGCUAAUUUGAAAGCAAAAUUGGCUCGUCAUUUUGAAAUAAAUGACUUAGGUGUAUUGUCUUAUUUUCUGGGGAUUGAAGUUGCUUUUUCUCCUAGAGGUUAUAUUCUCUCUCAAUCCAAGUAUACUAUGGAUGUUAUUAAGCAUGCUCGUCUAACUGAUACUAAAAUUACUGAUACUCCUCUUAAAUCUAAUGUUCAUUAUUUACCUUCUGAUGGUGUAUCCUUGACUGAUCGCAUUUUGUAUUGCAUCAUUAUUGGAUGUAUGAUUUAUCUUAUCAUCACACAUCUCCAUAUUGCUUAUGUUGUUCACAUUGUUGUCAGUUUGUUUCGGCCCCUACUAUUGUUCACUGGGUAGCUACUGUUUGUAUUUUGCACUAUCUUCAUGGUACUUGCUUUCAAAGUCUUGUGUUUCCCUCAACGUCCCCUUUUUUGCUCUGUCCUUACUCUGAUGCUUAUUGGGCCAGUAAUUCCACUGACCGAAAGUCCACUACUAGCUUUUAUAUAUUUUUGGGUGAUUUUCUUAUCUCUUGGAAGAGUAAGAAAUAGACUGUUGUUUCCCAUUCCUCUAAGGAGAUAAAGUAUCAUGUUAUGGCAUCCACCACCAUUGAGAUUAUAUGCUUGCUUUGGUUACUUGCAAACGUGGGUGUUCAUUCUUCUUCUCCAACCCCUAUGUAUUGUGACAAUAAUGGUGCUAUUCAGAUGUUAUACAACAUUGUGUUCCAUGAGUGCAUAAAGUAAUUGAGACUGACUGUCAUCGAAUCCAUCAUAAUCUGCAAAUUGACACAAUUUUCCUACAUGUUGUUUCCAUCAUUGUAGCAUGCUAACAUCUUCACAAAGUCUCAUUCGGUUCAUCGUUUUCGCUUCUUGCUUGACAAACUCUCACUGCUUCUUAUUGUUGCAUCAUAAGUUUGAGGAAGAUGUCAUAAUAUAAUAUAGAUUUAUAUAUAUGAUACAAUAUAAUAUUUGUGCACAAUAUUAUUAGUUUCCUUUCUUUGGUAGGUUUCCUUUUAGUUUUGUUCUUCUUUUAUAUAUAUAUAUAUAUAUAUAUAUAAUUCUCUCAAUAAAAUAACCUAGUUUUUGGCGGCUCAAGAAUUUUAUCUUUUUCUACUCUUAAAAGGUUGAACCUCAACCUUAAGAGUCUCCCACCGCCCCUACCUUGGAGUAUCGUGAGGGAGGUAAAUCACAGGUUAUGCCUCCAAAGGUAUAGGGUAGAAGGCUGCUUGUACACUUGCACUUACCCAAAAGUCAAAUCCAUAUUUCAGGAUUCGAACCCUUGACGCGGCAGCCUCAAGUAAAGUUAGAUUUCUCCACCCUCCCCUUUUAUCACUUGAAGAUGUGCCCAGGUGGCUCUUUUUCUACUCUUUGUAUGAUUGAUUCAUCAUAUUAGUUUAUAUUAUUUACAUAAAUAACAUAUAGGCAUCAAAAAUUGGGUUGCAUUCUAAAAGCCUUAACAAACACCAUCUUGUCAAGAUUUUUUUAAUAUUAUUACAGGCACAUGCACAUGGCAUGAGAUGUUUUAAAUCUUAUUCAACCUCAUAGUAUAUCAUUAUAUAAAGCAAAAAACUAGAGUUAUCAAAAAAAUUAUAAAUUUUCAACAUACCCAAACAUCUUUUAAUAUUUGUCUAUUAUGUUGGACUAUCUCGUCUAAAAUAUUAAACAAAUAGUGACACGAAAAACUUAUAUAUUUAAACUGAAUAUAUUUGAGAAGAAAUUUUCUACAAAAAUGAUAAUUUAUUUAUGUUACACGACAUUUUAUUACUUGUCCAAUCAAUAAUUAAAAGCCACUUUUAGAAGCUAACUUACAUAAAGUGUAUGGUAGAGUGAUAUAAAAUGUACCCUUUCUUAGAAUAUCUUCUUUGACAACUAGGCAACAUGGAAGCAGAUUACUUUUUGAUAAAGAAAAACACAGUAAGGUCGUACAAGAAAAAAUAAAGUGUCAUCUAUUUGAAGAGGGGUAGAUUGUUGACUACUUCCGAGUCUCAUCGUUUGCACAAUAUAUCUCUUGAUUUUACAAAAAUGUUAAUGUAGUUUAACACAAGUAUUUCUUGAAGUUUAGCAACUAUAUUUUUGUUAUGUAUGGAAGCCAAAAAUCUUGAAACAAUUCUCGACACCCAAGUUUUAGAGUAAGCUAAGAGAGAAGAGCUAAUUGCGAUAUAGUGAUGGCAAAAAAUCUCGUCCCGUCCUGUCCCGAAUGGGGCAAAAAAACCUGUCCUGAAUGAGUUGGCAAGACGGGGCAAGGUGGGGUGCCUCGUUGCGGGGUGAGGCGAGGAUGCCCCGCCCUGAACUCGCCUCGUGAAGAGAAAAAAAAUAUUAAAAAUAAUUUUAUUUCUAGAUAAUUCAUCCGUUAGAAACUCAUUUUGAAUUUGUAUUUAUUAUUUAAUAAUCACAUUAUAACUCAAAAUUUUGAAAAUGUAAAAAAAAAUAUAUAUAUAUAAUAAAAAUAAAAUUAUAUAUAUAUAUAUAUAAUUUAUUUAAACGAGGCAAAAAGUUGCCCCGCACCGCACUGUCUAAGGCGGGGCGAGGUUUGAGCGAGACGAAGCUAGGCGGGAAGGGGACGCCCCACCCUGAGCCCGCCCUGUUGACAUCCCUAUUGCGAUGGUAAAAUUUGAGCAAAGGUGAUUAAAUGUGAACGGAAAGAAUAGGCUAUUAAUGAAAGAAGUAACUAUCGAGUUAGAGAUUAUUAAAAUGUCUAAAAUGCAUUCGAUUGCAUCUGAAACUAAAUAUCAAGGCGUACAAUAGCGAAAAUCAAGAUCAAUACUGGUGUCGGAUGAUAACUACACAUGGACAAGUACCCGUGACAAUAUCAUCCCAUAAUCCAAUGCAUAUACCUUAAUGAUUCUCACUGCUUGAUGCAUUCUCGAAUUUCUUAAAAAUUUCCUCAUUUGUUGCAUAUAUAUGCUUUUGUAAUUUCUACAAAAAAGCAAGCUUGGCAAUACCAUGUGACAUAUGUACACUUUUCUAUAACCAAAGAUGUACAAGUAGCUUAACUCUUCCUGAAAAGCCUAGCGUGUUGACUGUUUAUCAUACUAGUACAAUUAGAUCUAUCAAUUGAGAUGGUGUCACGGAGGAUCCUCUCUAGCUAGAAAAACAAUUUCGCAGCUAGUGAGCUAGCAUCACAGCUAAGCUUUGAAUCUAGGAAACCAAAAAUCUCUACAUCUAGGGAAAUCUCUACAUUUAGGUCAUCUACUAAUUUAGAAUUUAUCAAAUCCUUUCCACUUAUUUCCCUGAGUUGGGAGCACUGCAUUACAAAUUUAUAAGCAUAAAUAUUGUGGUUCCAUCAUCGAAAAAUAUUUUUUUCUUAGAAAUUGCCGUAAUCUAAUGUGCAAUUCUCGUGCGACAAUCAUCAAUUGCAUUGAGAAAAGCAUAUAUAAUUCAUACAUUGUAGGUGCCAUCAACAUGUAAUAUUGACAAUCUAUAUGAGUUUGGGCAUGUAUCUAUAACAUUAAAUUAAACAAGUAAAGAUCAUUUUCAUCCAAAUAUAGAUUAAGUUGUAUUCACGAUUCUCUGAAAUCCAUAAUUAUGUACCUGAUACCAAAUAAGUAAUUUCCAGUAGAAAACUAUUGUUUGAAGAGAAAAGAGAGAAGUUUUCACUAGAACAGUUAAAUGAUUAAUAAAAUUGGGCAAGCAAUAUUGUUCGUAAUUACAUUUAGGCUUGCGUGAAAAUUCUAGCAACUGAUUAUCACAUUAGUCUGGUAAGAUCUAUUAUAAUCCGGAUAAAACAUACUGUGCUGGUUUGAAUCUUUUAAUGUAUGAACUUUGCAUUUGUAUUUUUAGGUAGAGGUUUUUUUUUUUUUUUUUUUUUUUUGGGUUUAAUGGAAAGAAUAAAUGAGUAAAUAAUGGAUAGGAUGUUUAUGUCAUUUUAAUUAUAAUUAUUUAAGUGAAUAAGAAAAUUGUAGUGUACUAAAUGAAGGUAAUAUAACCACCCUUUACAUUUUUGCAUGAGAUAGUUAUAUAGAAAUUGUGGAUGGAUCUGCAAUAUUUGUGUAAAAGAGAAAUUAUAAUUAAUAUGUAAAAAUAAAGAUUCAUUAUCCAUUUUAGCGAUUGGAUCCAAUGUUACGAAAUCAAAUUCCAAAAUCCAACGGUUCCAUCAUCGAUGGCUCACUGGAUCUCUUCCAAGCUCAAAGCCGCUGAAACUCUCCUCCAUCAGGUAAUUCUCCAACAAUCUUCUCUUUCUAGAAUAAUUAUUAUUAUUUUUUUUUUUUUGCAGUAAUUUAAUUCUGGUUUCCUGCAUUGUGAACAAUUAUUCACUAAAUUUGUUGGAAAAAUUGGCCGACUUUGGCACGAGUUUUGAGUGGGACCCGGUUGUUUAAUUUGGAAGAUGAGAGUUGAUUAGUGUUCUCCUCCGUGAGUACAUCGAAAUUUUAUACUUACUUGCCAAAGUUGAUGCUCGUGUGAAUGAGAAAUUGUGGCUCAAAGUGUGUUACUCAAAAGGGAGUUUAUGUGGGAAAAAUGAAUUUGUCCCACAUAGGAAAAAGAUGAAGAACUCCUAAGGUCAUUGCCAUUAAUGGUAGCCUAGCCUAUAAAUAGUGGCUCAUUUUCCUCAUUUCGACAAAAAAAAAAAACAAAAGUUUUCAAGUUUAGAAUACACUAAAAAUUCAUUUGCAUAGAGUUCUCUCUUGAUGGUGGUGUAGUUCAGACACUAGUUCAGUUCGCCGGAGUGGUUUCUGUGGUGUUCGGAAGCUACUGGUUUUACUAUUGUACCCUGAAAAACGGACGCUUGUUUUAAACCUCAAGCACAGACGGUGAGAGGGCGAAUCUGUUUUAAGGAAACUGUGUGUAACACAGGCCUCGGGUUAAAAUUCUAUGUUUCAGUUGUUUAAUUCAAGCAAUUUUUCGUAUUAAAUUUACAGUCCAUGCUUCAUGAAUUUAUGAUAUAUUGUUCGUAUGCUUCAUGAAUUUUAAAUUCUAUUGGAACAAAAGUUAUUUGUUGGAAAUAAAGCUUUCAAUGAUCUGGUGAAAAUUCGAUAUACGGUUGUUUGAAUUUUGUUGAUUUGCAUAGUUGCAAAAUUGAAAGGCUUUGUCAAAAAGAUUUAAACUGUCUAAGAAGAGCUUGGGAUUUAAGCGGUCCGGUUGUGACCCCCCUCCUCAUCUGGGAGUCUUUUAAUUGCGCAUUAUUCAAAUUGACGAGACGAAAGACAACAUUUCCCGAUUUUGUCCACAUAUACUGAAUUUCCUACAUUUCGAUUAUGUAAACUUUUUGAUUGAUGAUUCAGAUCGAUCAGCAAGCUGCAGAAUCACUGGGUAAGGACGAGAAGCCACGAUCUAAUGAAAAAUUAGGUCUUGAAACCUCACCAAGUACGGGGAAAACUAGGUCAUUGAUUAAUAAGCAGCUCAGAAAGACGGUGCCAGAAAAUGUCAGUGAGAAAAAUAGUUUAAAGUUAAUUAGACGGAGUGAUAGUAAUAUUAAAUAGGAUGACGAUGUUGGGGUAUCAGUGAAUUUGAACUCGAAGUCAAAUUCAAGGAUUGGGCUUACCGAUAGUGAUUGGACGGAAUCAUUGAGCAUACCUAAUAAAAAUGUGGCAUCAGGGGGUGUGAGUGGGAAUUGGAGUAGCAUUGGAGCUUUGGGGAUUAGGAGUUUGAAGAAAGAUGGUAUGAAACAAGGGAGAUAGGGGUCGAACGUAUUAGAAGGGAAAAGGACUGAGAAUGGACAAAAUAAUGGUGUUCUAAUGGUUCAAGAAAAUCUAAUGUUGAGUUGGAGAGUAACGCAAAUGGUGGUGGUAGUUCGGAAAGUGGGAGGGCAAGUGACGUGGGAGGUGUGAUGCAAAAAACUUUGAUAUCCGAAUUGCAGAGCGAUGUAGAUGAAUCAGAUAAAAAGGACAUGAGUGACGCAAUUGUACUUGAUAACAUGUAUGAGGCAUAUAUAGGAAAAAAUGAGGAGGUAAAUGGCAAUGGAGAUGGAGAGAAGCUAUGUGUAUAGGCAAAAAUGAGGAGGUAAAUGGCAAUGGAGAUGGAGAGAAGCUAUGUUCUAUAGAUGGUUUGACCAAUGACGAUCAUCUCAUGGAGAUGGUGCCAGCUUCUCCUUAUAGGAAAUUGAAUAUGAAGUUUCAAAUGAAGGACGGUGAGAGGUUUAAGAGUGGAAUGUUGAAGAACAGUAAAUCGAAAGUGGGUUCCAGAAGUUCAAGUUCUAUGAAGAGAGGUUCUUUUUCCCUGAGGGACGAAGAAUCUGAUUCUGAGACAGAUUCAACUUCAUCUUCAGAUUCGGAGAGAGAAUGAGAGAGGGCAAAAAUGAUAAAAAGAAGGCAGCAGAUUUUGGCAGAAAGCAGCUACCAAAGCAUUUGAGGCUAUUAAAGAUCGUGAGAACCUGGUUGCUAAAUUGGAGGGGAAGAAACAGAGUUUAGAGAAAAUAGUUGAAGAUCGCGCCAAACAGCAAGUACAAGAGGCAAGUAUUUUAGGGCUAUUCAACAUUUUUUAUGUACCAUUAUUGAAAUAAUUAUUACAGUGAUUGAUAAAGUUACUCCGAAACCGUGUCUCCCUAUAUUCUGGCAUUAACUAUGGAAAUUGUCACAAUAUUGUAUCAACGUAAAACCAAACAAGGAUAUAUUCAUUUGUCACUGAUAGAAGUGCAUGUUUAGAGAUAAUAUACAAAACAUUUGUCCAAUAACAAGUUAACUAAGAUGGUACUCUUAAUAAUAUAUGAUACCGAAGUACAGGAUGGUAUCUCUGUAAUUUGAAGAAGUUUGGGUCAUAAUUAUCUUCCAUGAGUAACGAGCUUAAUUUCUUCACUCUUUUCACAUGUUCUAUUCUAAAUACCAGUAACUGUGCUACAAUCGUUUGUCUUGCUAAAAUUGAUUUAUGACUUAGUGGUGUUAUAUUAAAUGCUUAAACACGGGUAAAAGUCAUCUUACUUUAUCAUUAUUCUUAUAAUACUAAUCAUAGGAAUUGUUCUUCAAAGGAAUUGGUCUUCAAUUUAAACAUGCUUAUCAGUUGUUAUAUUCUAUGAUCAACCAAAAGCUACUUGUUUACGAAUCUUUCACCCUUUUUUAUUCAUAAGUUUUAAACUGUCUAUUGUCGUCCAUCUUUCCUGUUAUUCUUCUGUUUAUUGAUUGAUUUACUUCCUUCGGUUGUUGUUAUGACACCUGUCGUUGCCUUGCCUUUGUAAGACCAACUUCACUGUAAAUACUUAUGGCAAUUUUUCUAGGCUUUAGAAUUGCAGACAUCAAUGAUGGAGAUUAUGGAAGCUGCUGAUUUAGAGAAGCAGAAGCAUAACAAUACUCGAAUGGAAACACUCGUGAGAUCGUCAAAACUUGAGGUGGUGUUAUAAUUUCAUUAAAUAGAUUUAUGUUUUAGCUCUAUAGUUGAUAUCUUAUCAGAUUUUAAUUAUUAUCCUUUAAUUUUUGUUGUUGUCGUCGUCAAUAUCGUUAUCGUUCUCAGUAUGUUUAUUCAUUGCAUUUUACACACUUCAGACUGUGAAUGCCAACCUUGCAAGGUCUCUUGCUGCUGCACAGGAAAACCUUGAAAAAGAGGUACUUGAAAACCUCUUUAGUUGGUUAUAGUGUUGCAUUUUUUCUUUUUCUUCUCUCUCUCUCCCUCCCUCCCUUUUUUGGUUUCUUGUUCUUGUUCUUUUUUUUUUCCUCUAGUGAAUGUUACCUUGAGAAAACUCAAGACAUCUUAUGUUGCAAAAGCCAACUUUUUGCUUUUAGUAGUUGGCAGGAAGAAUUGAAAAUCGAUAUGUUUAUAUAUUGUUGUACUUAUUCAUGUUUUUAGUGCAAAAGUGAAAGGAGAGGAUAUUGUCGUGAGAAAACUUAAUUUGACAUGCUAUCAUCUAUUGCAUGUACAGGAGGUGCUGCACCAAUGUGGUGGUUAUAAUUUCCUUGGUUACUUGUAAAGUUAGCAAAUUGAAGGAGGACCUGGAUCUCUUUGGACUAUUUUUCUUUCUCCAUGCAUGUUUUAAAUUUUUGCUCAGUAGUUAAUUAUCAAUAAACGAGUAAUUAUCAGCACAUUAGAAAAUUAGUAAUAGAUUUUCAAUUAGGCUUCAAAAUCGACCUUUUGAAAUGGUUGAAUUGAAAUUGUACAAUGACUUGUAUAUGCUAGCAUGAUAGUAAUUAGAUUGACUCAUGAUUUUGUAUGGAUGGACGAGGGUGAACGUAUCGUUGAACUUCGUCAAAAGAUUCAGUUGAAAGAAGGAACUCAUGAAGGUGUGCUUUCUGUGUCGUAAUUGGAUGGAGAGUGACUUUAGUUUCGAUCUCUCUCUAUUCAGUUUUUGCAGUAUUUGUGCUUUGUAUUCCGCGCCAGAAUAACUUGUUCGAAUGUAGCUCAUGGUGUUAACCUAGGGGCUUGUCACUCCAAAUGGGACAGAGACCAUUUGAUUUUCUUUUUCCAAAUAUCCUGCACUUCAUAUUUACUGCGCAGAGUUGUUGUCCUUUCAUUUUUGUUUCCAUUGAUUUUACAUUUUAGUGUUUUUUUGGACAUCGCUGAAGUUUAAUUUUGAACUUCAGGUCAGUAUUUCAUAAAUAUUUUAUUAAUUAUUAAGUACUAGAUAUGCAUUUGCGGAAUACUCUGGUUAAUUAUCCUUAUCUUGUAAAUGAGAGCACAAUGGCAUCAUUUUUAGUCUUCAAUUUGUUUUGUUGUUUAAAAAAAUUGUCAUUAACAGGGAAACCAGUAAGAUCUUUCAGCCUUUUCAUCUAUGUUUGACGUAUUUAACUUUGUGGAGGAAUUAGGCAACUUUUAGCAAAUUAAGCAGAAUUAAGAGCAUAUCUGGCAAUGCUUAAAAUAAAUAAAAAGUAAUUUUUUUAUUUGUAAACAUGUUUGGAUUUAAGUAAAAAAGAGUUAUUGUGAAAAUAACUCUUACAUUAGCGUCACAACAAGUAAAGCGUGCUCUAAGCCAAGCGUUCUCUAAGAGAGUAAAACAUCGUACUGAGUUUAUAUAUGAAUUUUGCUGUCGAAAAUUACAUUAAAUAGAAUUUAACAACUGAGUUUAUUGGUUGAACAAAUAACUCUACUUUUAUUAGUUUGAGUCAUUAUUCUCAGAAAAGGCAAUGCUGCUUUUCAGAAUCGAGGUAAGUUUCCGUAUUAACAUUCAAAGCAAUGAAAUGAUGCCGAAUACUAUUUAGAACUGUCACUAAGUAUACGGGGAUUAAAUAUCUUAGGCAGUUUCAAGGUUACUGGAUGAGAACAAGUCAAUUACGGAAUUAGCUGAUUUUCCUAGUACCUCUUCAAGAGAUGAUCUAGAAUCCAGUGUAUGGGAAUCCUAUAAUUCGAAGUUCAGGCCUUUAUUUAAACAGAAAAUUCGAUCUAGUCAGCAACAUUUGGAAUAAUUGAUUCGACAGGUGGACUCGAUUUUUUCUUCUUGUGUCAUCUUUCUAAGAAGGAACUCGACUGCUAGGAUUUGGUCUGUCUUUUACUUUGUAUGCCACCAAGUAUGGGUGUUAUACAUUCUAACGUCCCAUUCAUCUGUCUCCGAUGAUACUAGGUCUGGGGCUGUUGUUUCCCUAGAGAAUAUAAACAACACUAAAGGUGUCUAAUUCACCUUUUGGGUUAUGAGUUUAUUUCACCAUUUUUUACCAGUGUUCUUUGUUACCUUAUGUAAAUAUCGAAACAUGUAUAUCGUUGAGAAAAGUAUUUCUCAUUUUGCAUGUUAUAUUAGUUGUAGGUUCUGCAUUAUCCAAUUCACAUAUUCUAGAAGGCCAAGGAAGGUUCGGCUACCAUCUGGUGGGAAGGGAAACUGAAGUUUGUUCGGUGGGAAUUCUGUUAGGGAAAGUUUGUUAGAAGUAGGCUAUAAAUAAAGGCAGAAAAUAGCCUUAGAGGUAGGGAAGAAAUGAAGUAGUAAGGCGGUCUAUCAGUUCCUUUCUGUAACUCGUUUUAUUGAAAUUCAAUUACAGCUUUCAAUACUUGUUCUUCUUUCUUUGAGUCUUUUCAAAUUGGUAUCAGAGCACGUCGGUUCUUAUGGCUCAAAAAAAGACAAAGGGGAGGAUAGAAUCAAUGGAAAAAGAAGUGGAGGAGAUGAAAUCUAAACUACAGCGCCUUCCGGGAUUGGAUUGGAACGGACAGUAGAACAAUUGGCCCAGCUCGGAUACUCCAAUCAAUGGAAGAAACAAGGAAAGACAGUGCUGAAUGGAAAUUUUGAAGGAGUAAAGGCUGGAAGCCUAACUGGAGGCUCGGAACCAACAAUCACACAUCAACAAACAUUAGGCGAUCAACGAGCCUUGGAUCGAGGGAAGUGGCCAGAGGAAUCAGGUGAAACCAGUAAUGGCAAAACCCACACUAAUUACGGACCAGGAAAGGGAAGGAAAUAACUGGCAAAGUGUAAGGAAACUGGAGAUGCCUAUCUUCGGUGUUGACAACCCUGAUGGAUGGCUUUUUCGAGCACAACGAUACUUCGAUGCGAACGGAUUGACGGAAAGGGAAAGAACGGAACCUAUUGGAGUUAGCAUGGAGGGCGAUGCUCUGUCGUGGCUGCAAUGGGUGGAAGCAAGGAAACCAUUCAAAAAGUGGCAGCAAUUCCAACAACAACUUAUACUUCGUUUUCACCCAACCCAGGAGGGAAGUUUGUGUAAAAAGUUUCUGGCCGUUCAGCAAGAGGAGACGGUGGCGGACUUUCGUCGAGCGUUCGAGGUCCUAGCAGCACCGUUGAAGUGGAUCCCUGAUGUGGUUCUUGAAAGCACGUUUAUGAAUGGGCUAAGUCCGGAAAUUCGGGCUGAAUUUCGUUUGUUGGGCCCAAAGAGAUUAGGCCAAAUUAUGGACAUAGCCCAGGAGGUGGAAGAUCGGAAUGGGUGGUAAAGAAAUCCAGAGAGCCCACAGUCUAAAGAAAUCAAAAGAUUAGCCCAGCCACAAUCAAACCUAACCCAUUCCUUAUGAAGACUGUGAUGAUGGAGGGGAUAUUUUCUGGCGACAGAAAGGAAGUGCCAGUCAAACGCAUGUUUGACGCCGAAUGAAAGAUAAGGAGAGACAAGGGCCUCUGUUUUCGAUGUGAAGAAAAGUAUACGGCCGAACACCAGUGCAAAAACCGAGAGUUACGAGUACUCUUGGUGCAAAAGGAUGAAGAAGAUGGCGGGUCGGAUUUAGAGGCCCUAGUGGAAGAGCAGCCGGUCGAGGUGGUAGAUAAGGUGGAGCUGUUGCUAAAUUCGGUAGUGGGCCUAAACCAUACCAGGAACUAUGAAACUGAAAGGGACCAUAGGAUCUCGUGAGGUAGCGAUGUUGAUCGAUUGUGGUGCUACCCACAAUUUUAUAUCUUUGCGGUUAGUCCAGCAACUGGGAAUUCCUACCACGGUUACAAACAACUAUGGGGUUGUCAUGCGAAUAGGAGAAUCAGAAAGGGAGAAAGGCAUCUGCAAAGGGGUGAUGCUAAAUCUGCAAGGGCUAACCAUCAUAGAAAAAUUUCUUCCAUUAGAGUUGGGGAGUACUGAUGUGAUAUUAGGGAUGCAAUCGCUGGGUAUGUUAGGGAGCACGGAGGUUAAUUGGAAGAAGUUAACCAUGAGAUUUCGGAUGGGCAAGGUAGUGGUGACAUUAAAAAGCGAUCACAGGCUAAGCAAAUCGGGAAUAUCCUUGAAAGCUAUGAUGAAGGCUCUGACAAAAUGAAGGGCAAGGGGUAUGGGUGGAGAUGGAGGAAUCAAUAAUAGAAGGAAGAAGGAAGGGGAAAGAGAUGGAAGCACCUACAGGAGUUCUAAAAUUACUCCAGAAACACAAGCAAGUCUUCGCCGAUGUGAUAGGCUUACCUCCCGCUCGUGACUCAGACCAUGCAAUCCCCCUUAAAGAAGACACAGAACCAAUCAGUGUGAGACCAUUUCGGUAUCCUCACAUCCAGAAAAACGAGAUUGAAAGGUUGGUAGGAGAGAUGUUGCUGCAGGGAUUAUUCAACACAGCAUUGGCCCUUUCUCCAGCCCCGUCCUACUCGUGAAAAAGAAGGAUGGCAGCUGGCGAUUCUGUGUGGACUACAGAGCACUUAACAGAGUUACUGUCCCGGAUCAAUUCCCGAUUCCCGUCAUUGACGAGCUAUUGGAUGAACUCCACGGUGCCACUAUCUUUUCGAAGGUAGAUUUGAAAUCAGGAUACCAUCAGAUUCGGGUACAAAAGGAAGAUGUGUAUAAGACAACUUUUAGGACACACAAGGGACAUUACGAGUUUCUGGUAAUGCCAUAUACACAACUUUUAGGACAUACAAGGGACAUUAUGAGUUUCUGGUAAUGCAAUUUGGCCUCACCAAUGCCCUAGCUACUUUUCAGUCGGUGAUGAAUGAUGUGUUUAGAAGCUACUUAAGGAAGUUUGUGUUGGUUUUUUUAUGAUAUUCCAGUCUACAGCAGGGACUUAGCAACUCAUGAACAUCACUUGGAGGUGGUCUUCACUGUAUUAAAAAUGCACCAGCUGUACACCAAUGCUAAGAAGUGCCUCUUUGCUUAGCAACAAAUAGAAUACUUGGGACACUUGGUUUCAGAAAAGGGGGUAGUGACAGACCCAAAAAAAAUAGCAGCUUUGGUGAAGUGGCCAUCCCUGCGUAAUCUCCGUGAAGUCCGAGGAUUUCUAGGGCUCACAAGUUAUUAUAGAAGGUUCGUAUCAGGGUAUGGAACCAUUUCUUGGCCUCUUACACAACAACUAAGGAAGGAUGCAUUCGAUUGGAAUGAGGAAGCAGAGGAAGCAUUUCAACAGUUGAAAUUGGCUCUGACGACAGUUCUGGUGCUAGCCCUUCCAGAUUUCUCGAAACCAUUUGUUAUUGAGACAGAUGCUUCAGGCUAUGGGCUAGGUGCAGUACUAAUGCAGGAUCAAAGACCAAUUGCAUACUUCAGUCAAGUACUAUCGGUGAGAUCACAACAGAAGUCGAUUUAUGAAAAGGAAUUGAUGACAAUUGUCUUAGCUACUCAGAUAUGGAGGCAUUAUAUUCUGGGGAGAAAAUUCACUGUUCGCACUGAUCAACGCAGCCUCAAAUAUCUGCUAGAACAACAGGUGAUUUCGGGGGACUUCCAACGUUGGGUCACGAAAUUGAUGGGAUAUGAUUUUGAGGUUCAAUAUCGAUCGGGUACAGAAAAUAAAGCUGCAGAAGCUUUAUCACGCAUUCCUGCUCAAACGAAAUUGGCUACUCUUACCUUUCCAAUGCUACAGACGUGCAGGAAGUAGAGGCUCAAGUUGACAAUGACCAGCUACUGUCUAAAAUAAAGAAAGAACUCCAGGAGGACCUGAUGCACACCCUAGAUUCUCAAUUGACCAAGGCAGGUUAUUGUACAAGGGACACCUUGUACUUUCCCGCACUUUAUCACUACUUCCUACAUUACUCAAGGAGUUUUACAGUAGCCUAGCUGAGGGUCACUCAGGAUUUCCUCGAACAUAUAAGCGACUGGCCAGCAACUUGUAUUGGACAGGGAUGAAGAAGGAUAUCAAAAAGUUUGUCGAAGAAUGCACAGGGUGUUAGCAGAAUAAAAUCUCCGCCUUGUCUCCCGCUAGCCUGUUACAGCAUCUUCCAAUUCCAGAAUUAAUUUGGGACGACAUUUCGAUGGAUUUUGUGGAGAGACUGCCUAAGUUGGGAGGGUAUGAUUCACUACUCGUGGUGGUGGAUCGAUUGAGCAAAUAUGCCCAUUUUCUACCAUUAAAACAUCCAUUCACAACUGCUGCAGUUGCUGCCAUUUUUGUGAAAGAAGUCGUUCAUUUGCAUGGCAUGCCUCGCUCAAUCAUCUCAGACCGAGAUAAGGUAUUUUUAAGCCACUUCUGGACAGAACUCUUCCGGCUGCAAGGAACCUAUCUCCGUAGAAGCACAGCAUACCAUCCCCAAACGGAUAGCCAGACUGUGGUCGUCAACAGAUGCGUGGAAACCUACCUGAGAUGUUUUACCUAUGACAAACCAAAGGGAUGGUAUACUUGGUUACCAUGGGUGGAGUAUUGGUAUAACACGACAUUCCAUGCAUCAACAAACACCACCUCAUUCUGUACGGUCUAUGGAAGGGACCCCCAUUUCUUAAUAUGCUAUGGGAAUCAAAGGACGGCAGUUAAUUCUAUUGAGAAACAGCUACAGGACAAAGAUUUGAUGUUGGAUGAACUGAAGUUCCACCUGGUCCGUGCCCAAGAAAAGAUGAAAGUGGUUGCAGACAGACACUGUAGAGAUGUCCAGUUUAAAGUGGGAGACUUGGUCUACAUAAAGCUGCGACCAUACUGCCUUUGGACACUAGCAAAGAAGCCAAAUGAAAAGUUAGGGCCUAAGUACUUCGACCCAUUUGAGGUAAUGAAAUGUAUUGGACCUGUGGCAUAUCGCCUAUAGCUACCCCCUACUGCAGUCAUGGUGGCAUAUCACCUAUAGCUACCCCUUACUGCAGCCAUACACCCCGUGUUCCACGUGUCCCAACUUAAGAAAGCUUUGGGAACCAAGGAAGCUUGCCAACUAAUUCCUCCUCACUUGGACGAUAACCUUGAGUAGAUUGUGGAACCAGAUCAGGUCUUGGGCCUCCGUGUAGCCCCUUCAGGCCAGCCCCCUAGUAAAGAAGUGUUGAUAUAAUGGAAAGACCUCCCUCCAUCUGUUGCUACUUGGGAAUCAGUCAACUCAAUUAUCCAGCACUUUCCCAACUUCCACCUUGAGGACAAGGUGUCUUUGGAAACCAGGGGUAUUGAUAGACCCCCUGUCCAAUUCACAUAUUCUAGAAGGCCAAGGAAGGUUGGGCUACCAUCUAGCGGGAAGGGAAACUGAAGUUUGUUGGUGGGAAUUCUGUUAGGGAAAGUUUGUUAGAAGUAUGCUAUAAAUAACGGCAGAAAAUAGCCUUAGAGGUAGGCAAGAAAUGAAGUAGUAAGGUGGUCUAUCAGUUCCUUUCUGUUACUCGUUUUAUUGAAAUUCAAUUGCAGCUUUCAAUACUUGUUCUUCUUUCUUUGAGUCUUAUCAUAGUUCUGCAUUCUGGUAUUGUACAUAUAGAGAUAGAUUUAGCAAUUAACCGAACAAAGUGGUGAAAAAAAAAAUCAUGUAAUCGACCGACAACUAUUUUGUACUGUACACACAAAACAUGCUGAAAUAUAUGCCAUCUUUCUUGGGUGCACAAAAAGUAAGGUUGGGGAUUUUUUGGAUAUACUAGAUACUUUAGGUCAUAUUGCAAAAUCCUGAUAAAUUGUACAUUCUUGGAGCUUUCUUCUUGUUAAAAGAUGAACACUUUUUUAAAUUUAACUGCUUCCAUUUUUUGAGUGCUCUAAUAAAAUCUUUUAAUCUGUUAUUUUGACAAUUGUAGAGAAUUUAGAAAAAUGUGUUAUUUUUUGGGCAUUUCGAACAGAAAGGGUCUGAGAAACUUUCUAGUUAUGAAUUAGGAAUAGAAUCAAAAGGUGGCUCUCGUUAAAUAUUUGUUGCAUAUGCGUUGGCUAUUGAGAUGCUACGUCGUCAAAUUAGCUUCUUGUAUUCAUUAUCGAGUCAAGUCAGAUUAAGAAGCGUAACAUCCAACAUUUAUGGUCUUACCAUCCACUAAUGUUACAAUUGAAAGUCUAUAAAGAGAACUUUUUUCUGUCAAUUAGCCUUUGUUUGAGUUUCCUUUCAGUUGCUAAACUUAUAAGACGGCUUGCGCACACAAUUUUAUUAUUAUUAUUAUUAUUAUUAUUAUUAUUAUUAUUAUUAUUAUUAUUAUUAUUAUUAUUAUUAAUUAAUUAAUUUUUAUUUUUUUUAUUUUUUUUAAUGAAAUUGCAUAUUUUACUCUUUUUGGCGAGUCGGCUUGCUCAGAAUAAUACCGUUAUAAGUUGGAAGAAGUAGUUCUAAUUCCUGCAAUUAAUGUUUCUUUGAAUUUUAGGAAUUAACACCUUAUGUAAGCCAAAAAUAAAUAAAUAAAUAAUUCUAGUAAUACUGUGUCAAUUUCAUUUUAUUGUCCCAAAUCUACAGAAUGUAUUUACAAAAAUAGAUCAAAGAACUGUCAUCUCACAAUUGGAUUGUUAUAGGUAACUGGAGCGAGAUACGGGGAAAUACCAUCACAUCAACUUGAUCAGAAAAUUCCUCCAAAAUCACUAUAUUCAAAAUGAUCGUAGCCGAUUCUGCGAUCGCAUCAAAUUCGUAGAAAUUUUCUCUCGUGUUCUUCUGGACUAGGAGAUUAGGCUAAGAUCCAAUAUCGCUGAUUGAAAUCUUCUGGACUAGAAAUCUUCUUUCAUGUUUUCUUGCAUUCCACUUGUAUCUUAAUUAUUCAUGUUUUCAUGUUCUCAAGGUUGGGGUUCAACCUUUUUUUAUAUUAAGUUAAUUGAAAAGCAUUUAAAAUAACAAUGUUCAUUUUUUUUACUGUGAAAAUUUUCCAAGUAGUUCGUGAAUUCCACAAUCAAUUAUUGUACAUCCUGCGUAAUUACUUCUACCACUUCGUAUUGUCAUUUGAUCUUAGAAUGCAUUUAAUCGUCAAUAUUUUCUUUGAAAAAUGUGUUUUUUCACCAAAACUUCUACUUUUGUGCUGUUUGAUUGCCAUUUUUUCCAUGUAAAACAUUUUCCUACUUUUUGUCACAUGACCAUAGUUCUCUUAAAAUCAAGGAAUAUAUUUUUUUUAGGAGGAGUAAGAUUUUAUUUUCCAAAAAAUUCACUCUCUUUCUCUCUCUCUUAUCUAUCCCUUCUCUUUCAUCUACCCACUAAUAAAAAAAUGGACAAGGAUAAUAUUUUCUAGGUUAAAAAUCAAAUCAAUCAAACACAUAUAAUUAAUAUUUUCAAUAUAAAUAAAUUCUAGGCAGUUGAAUUGUCUAAAAUUUUUUUUUUCAUGCAAAUUCCAUACUCACGAUCAAACGUACCCUUGUUGUCAUUAUCGUCUAAUCCAUGUAAUGGAAUUUUGUGGUUAUAAGGUACAUUGUAUACACCAGAAUGUCAUUUGUUCUUGUUGUUAUCUUCUAAUCCUCUUAAUGCAAUUAUUCAAUGUCCGUUUUAGUAAUUAUAUACAUGCAUAGCAAUAAAUUUAUUUUGUUACCAAACACUUAGAUGCUGAUUUUGAAACAUACAACAAUUUUGAAACAAAAGUUUAGCAAACAAUUAUUUGAUUCUUAUGUAGCUAAUUUUUUCUUCAGUACAUCUACAAUUGAUCCUUUUAAAGGCACAACAAUAUCAAUAUUGCUUGACUUCCGCAGUUGAAUGCCUUGAUAUUUAGCUUCUAUAUGGACUCCAUUAAAAUGAGAUUUUAAGGAAAAAUGUAUUUUUGAAUAAUGAUUUUUUGGAUAAUGUGUGAUUAGAAAAUAAGAAAAAAAUUUAGGUUUACGCAUAACAUAAUAUUUUAAGAGAAUGUAUGGUUGAAAUUAAAAAAACUCAUUUUUUAAAAAAUGGAGACCAAACACGAUCUUAGAUUCAAAUGCAAUUGAUUGUAUUUGAGACUUUAUAAGAAUCUCCAACUCCAUGGAUUCUUCCUUUAUAAUUGCCUUUUCUUCCCUUUCAAAAUCAAGCACCUUUGUGCAAUACUCCAUGGUUCUUCUCUCUUACGCUGCUCUAAAACUUGAGUGUCAAGAAUUAUUUCAAGAUUUUCUUCUUCCACACAUAAAACAUCUUGUUGCUAAACUUCUUUCACUUCUAUCUCAACAAAGGAUAUUGGCAUUUACCCAAUCAAGAGCUCGACAAGAACAAUUCGAAAAUUGUAGACUUCAAUCUAGCUUGUUACUUCACAGACCAUGCACAAUGGUAAGUGCAUUUUAUACAUUAACUUGGACUUCUAAACUUGAUUAUUUUUUGCUAAAUUAAGCAGAUAUCUACCUAAUUUGGUGUUAAACAUGGUAAUUGUUGAUAAAACUUCAUCUUGGAUGCAAAUAGCAUGAACAAGACAUUUUUGGAGCUUUUUGAGGUUGAUUUGAAGCAAAUUAAAGAUUAAUCGGGGUGUACAUGAUCAAUUAGAAGAAUUAAUAGAAUGUUCGGAAGAAAUUCAUAAGUUUUUGGAGUAAAUUCAACAUCUAGAGAGUUUGAGGACUAAAUUACAAAACUUUCAAAACUUACAUCAGAGCGAUUUCAAACGACUCGUGGAAGAUUCAAUUGUAUAGAUUCAAAGAUGGAGUAAGAAUCAAUUAGCCUGGGACUUAAGCUGAAUCAAAAGGAAGAGUAAGGAUCUACUUGUAAACAAGGGAGAACUUAUGCCUUGUGAUCUCAAGGCAAGAGUUUAUAGUGUCAGCAAGCAAAAUUCUUAUAUUGAGCGAUGCAUAGUUAUAUAUGGGUAUUUCAAUUUUUCCCUUGUUCGACUCAACUCUACUUUGAAAGCAAUUAGAGCACGAUUUUCGAACUAAUCUUGAGGCCUAUAAAUACGUAUUUUUAUCUCCAAUUAUAAGGUAGAGCUUUUGAGGAUUUAAGAGACAAAUACAGUUCAAGCCAAAAUAGGCACUUCAGAUACAAAACACAUAAAAUCUUUCAAAGAAGAAGCCUGCAUAGGAAGCUUUUGAUCAUCAAAUCCAUAUUCAUUCAAGCUUUAAAGAAUUAUUUGUUACGAAACACAUAUCCAUAUAAAUUCAUACAUAUAUUUCUUAAGUUGAAGAAAAAUCAAAGGAGGUUGAUCAAUGAGUCAACAGAGAGAUUAAAGACUUUCAAGAUUUCUUUAUCUUCUUUUCAAACUUUAUUUCCGGGUGAUUUUUCUAACUAUUCAAAUGUGUUUUUGUAAUUUAUAUGAUGAUUAGCUAAUUGUGUAGAUACUAGAAUAACGUUGAAUCCUACAUUUUAAAGUUUUCAUAUUAAAUCUCGAAUUUUAGCAUUGAAUGUUUAUUUGAUUUUGAAUGAUUGUUAGGAGAUUAAUAACUUUCAAUUAAUUGAUCACUUGUUGAUUUGUUGAGACUCAAUUUAUAAAUUAUUUAUAAAUUUGUAUUCUAACUUAGGCUAAGUCAAGUGAACACCAUUUUUGAAGUGCAAUGUAUGGUCAUGGCAAUUGAUUGCCCUAGACUUCGUGGAUCAGUAGUCAUGCCGACUACUGACCCCCCCCCCCCCCCCAUUUCAAUUUUUUUGAACAACCUUUUGGUGUUAGUUUUUUAUUUAAAAAAAUAAUAAUAAUGCUUCCAUAUUGCCUAGUUGGCAAAGAAGAUAUUCUAAGGAGGGGUGUCCCUUUGAUGCCACUCUAUCAUACGCUUUAAGCAAGUUUGAUCUAAAAGUAGGUUAAAAUUAUUAAUUGGACAAGUAAUAGUUCAUAUUGUGAAAAUGUUUAAUUUAAGUAAACCACCAUUUUUGUGGAGGAUUUUUUCUCGAAUAUAGUCAAUUUUAUAUAUAUAAGUCUUUCAUGUCUCUAUUUGUUUAACAUUUUAGACGAGACAUUUUAUCAUAACAGACAAAUAUUAAAACAAAUCUUGGUUUGUUGAAAAUUUAUAAGUUUUUUUAAUAACUUGAGUUUUAGCAUGAUAUAGUAAUAUACUACGAAGUUGAAAAAGAUUUAAAAUAUCUGAUGUUGCAAAAGUAUGUUCCUAUAAUGAUGUUACAAAAAUCUUGAGCAGAUGGAGUUUAUUAAAGCAUUUAGAAUGCCACCCAAAUUUAGGUGGCUAUAUGUUAUUUAAGUGUUUAAAUACGUUUAGCAUUUAGUUUCAGAUAUAGUUGAAUGCGUUUGUGACAUUCUAACAAUCUCCAACUCCAUGGCUAUUUCUUUUAUGGUUGGCCUUUUCUUCCCAUUCAAAUUUAAGCACCUUUGUGCAAGCUUAGCCACCACAAAAAGCUCUUCUCUCUUUCUCUGCUCUAAGACUUGGGCGUCAACAAUUGUUUUGAGAUUUUCUGCAUCCAUUCAUAACAAAAAUCUUGUUGCUAAACAUUUUUCCGCUUGCAUCGCCAAAGAUGUUGGCCUUUGCCUAGUCAAGAGCUCAAAAAGAACAACUCCAUAACUAUAAACAUCACUCUUUUCAGUAAAUUGAUUUGACUAAAAGUACUCUGUAUCUACGUAUCCAAAUGUUCCUUUUACUUGGGUAGUUACAUGAGUAUGAUCCAUUCCAAUUAACCUUGAAGUUCCAAAGUCUGAAACUUUGGCUACAUAUUUUUCAUCAAGCGAUAUAUUAGUUGACUUAUUGUCUCUGUGAUAGAUAGGAAAAGAAGUUGCAAAAUGAAGAUAAGCAAGUGCUUCUGUCGCUUCUAUAGCAAUUUUCAAGCGCAUGUUCCAUGACAAUGGGAAAUCAGCACUCUUGUCAUGGAUAUGAUCGAAAAGGGUCCCAUUGCAUAUGAAUUCAUAAACUAAUAAAGGAACCUCUGUUUCCAUGCAACAACCUAGUAGUUUAACUACGUUUCUAUGAAUUACUUGUGAAAGCAUGACAACCUCAUUAAUGAAUUGCUUCACUUGAUUUGCAUUUACUAACUUGGAUUUUUUUAUUGCUAUGAUUUUUCCGUCAGGUAACAUUCCUUUAUAGACUGUUCCUUGACCACCUUGACCAAGUAUUCGACUUUCAUUGAAGUUAUCAGUAGCUUUCUCUAGCUUCUUAAUAGUGAAAAGUUGUGUUUUUUCAAGUAUACCUUCAUCUGUUGAUGUUUGUUGUUGUAGCAAGAUACCACCAUUUUGUUUGAAGAAUUUUUCUUUGUGCUUCUUGAUUUUUCUCUUUUGAUGAAACUUGAACAAGCAGAAGCAAGAUGAUAACAAUAGAAGUAAUCCCACUCCAGCACCCAAGCCUAUUCCUGGAAGUGUCAAGGUAUAAUUAUGUAUAGUUUUCUAGAGUAGGAAUAUUGAUCAUUGUUUGUUUACUAUUUUUUAUUAAGAUAACAGGAAUAUAAUAUUAAUAAUUCUAACACUAAAAUUGUGAGUAUAGAUUAUGAUAUCUUUGUCCAGAAUUGUCGUUCUUCAUAUAUUGUGUUGACUAACUUAUUUUAAAUGCUUAAUAUUUUAUAACAUUUAUCAUUUGAUUAAUAACAAUUGGCUAAAUUAAUUUAGAUAUUGAUAAUAAGAAAAAAGUUUUUAUAGUAUUAAUUAUCUUAUUAUAUAAAUGGGCAUUUGAUUUUAUUUAAUAAUUAACUAGUAACAUUUAGGAAAAAAUUAAGAAAAAAUAAAUUUUACUCCCAAUUAUUCAAUAUUUAAAGAUUAAUUGAAAAUUACCUAUUGUGAGUUUGCUAUGGGACACCAGAAUCAAAAUACAGCCAAUACCAUCUCUUUCGCCAUCGCCAUAAUAACCGUCAGGGCAGGAACAAUUACAAGAACCUGGAGUAUUGGUGCGUGUCCCUCAUGAGACACAUCGAUUAUUGAUGCAUUCGUCGAUAUCUGUCCACCCUGACACAUCAAAAAUCGCAACAAAUAAUUAGAGUUUUGUAUUGAUCGAUCUUGUUAGUAAAAUUAGACAACUUUAAACAGAACUAACCAUGGCAUCCUAGGUAAGGAUUGCCCUCGAAUCCUUCUUUGCACUUGCAGUGGUAUCCUCCAAAAUCAAAACUGGUGUCAUAAUUAAUGCAAUAACUAUUCUUUCCACAUGCAUGAUUAGUCAAAUUAUGCUCUUCGAUGCAAUUGUAGUCCCCAAUUUGCCAGUCUAACACCAAUGGCAUACCUGUAAACUCUUCAUUACUACGUAGGAAAGUUGUUGAAUUGUCGAGAUGAGAUAAACUAAAAUUGAAUUUAUCAUAAUCACCAGUCACUCCAAUGAAGGUAAAGCUGCACCGAAAAAGUUUUCUCUCUCGACCUGAAUAACUUUGCAUGUCUAACAAUUCAACUCAGAUAUACUCAUCUCUGGAUAUGGAGGUCCGGUAGCAGCCCCUGCCUGGACAUGACCCAUUAUGAACAUAAUCUGGAAGGUCGCCACAGUAUGACGCACAAGUACCACCAUCAAAGGUAUUUGUUAGUGUUGGAUUUUUUGAUACCCAAUAAUCUGGACGAUGAUUUAAAACAGUUGUCAGAUUAUUUAUUGACACCAUGGACUUGGCUCGGCUUGGAGACAAACUACAUGUUUGGAUGGCCCAAGUUCGGUUUUGGAUGUUUAGUUAGUUAGUUGGAUAUUAGCCCAAUAGUUAUUAGGUUUUACUUGGCCCACGUUGUGAUGUCCAGGCCCAAUUGGAAUGACCUAACCUAUAUAUAUAUAUACAGCCGUGAAUGUAUGGUGUGUAGGCGUAUGUGUGUUGAGAGGGGGAAGGGUCGAGAGAGAUGAUGGGCAGCCGACUUGGUGGUUCUUGGAGUGAGUCCACCGUUAUUGCUUCUUCUUCUUCCCGUUACCACUACCAUCCUAUCUCGUUUGUGGGGAUUGAGAGAGAACGAGGACUGUCCAAAGUGCAGUGAAAGUCUUGGGUCGAGCCAAGGUAAAUCGAUGUUCGUUUGAUUAUUUUUUAGCCAGAAAUCAAGAUUUAUCGAAGAAUUUUCGCGACAAAUGGUAUUAGAGCUUGUGUUAAUAAAUCUAUGAUUUUUGGGGCUAAAAUCGAGCUGGAAGUGGCCCGAAAUUGAUCUGGAAAAUAGGCAAAACACUGGACAGAAUUCUGGUAGAUUUUUCAAAAACUAGACGGAUCUGUUUUGGUGUUUUUCGACCAAACCAGUUGCCAUUUGGAGAAACGGACACCACCGUUGGACUGUGCAGGCGGAGAAGAAGCCGGAAGGGUCACACUUCACCGACGUGUGGGUCGUCAAGCCGGCGCGUGGGAACGUCGACAAGGCGCGUGAGGGCGCAUCAGCAGGAUUCCGGCAAUGGUGUCCUCAGACAAAAUGUUGUUGGUGAUGAUACAGACCCUGCGAUGUUAUCGAAAUUCAGCUUUGAACAAUGCAGUGAAAGUUGGACAAUUUUGCAGUUGGUCGUUUGGGUGCUGGGUGCUGUUUUCAUGUUGCUGCGAUUGCUGGUGACUUUGGUACAAACAAUGAUGAUCCUAAAGUGGUCAAUUCACGUCUUUCAAAUUACGGACCUUCAGACGUGGUCCGCUCGGUAUCGUGUUCUUUACCUUUAAUUAUUGCAGUUAAAAUAUUGUUAUGGUAAUUAUUUAUUUUUCGCAUUAGAAGUCAUCGUAUAGGAUGAUGUUAGGUUUGAGGUUAUCGUGAAGGGGUAACCAUUGCCUAUUGCUAGACCUAGAAAUUAUAUGUUAAUUAAUUAUCUUAAAUUCUAUAUGAAUUUAUCACCAAUUUUUCUACACCGAUAGAAUUGCAUGUGACCUUAGGAAUGUUUGCUUGACUAUUCCGUGUGAAUUAUGUGUCAGUACUUUGCUAGUGGCCAAUUUUUGGUAUUGCUGGCAUGUAUAGGUUUAAGGCAAGUGCGAAAUAUAAAAUAUGUUGUAACUGUGGUAAAAUUUGGGUAUAAUUGAAAGAGAUUGUUCUAGGAUGAUAAUAAAAGGAAAGAUGAGAAUAGAGACGAGACGAAUGUGACUUUAGGGUCAAGUAGUGAUCCUAGUGAAGUUUAUUGAGAGAAUAAAGCUAGUUCUUGCAUUACAUCUGUGUGUAAUCCUUUUUGCAUGUAUAUGGUCACUUAAUUCUAUUGCAAUGUUGAUGUUGCACUCUCAACUUGUUUGAUAUGUAUAAUUGCAUGAAUUAGAGUAAUUUAUUACUUUGUGUAAUAUGUUUACAUGCAUAGUGGAUUGAGUUUUGUGGCGUACUAUGUUUGCUUUGUGAGUGGUGUGAGAGUAUGGUAGUGAAAAGAAAGUUGAGCUGCCACUUAUCUCCUUUAUCUUUGGGAGCCUACAUGGUUUGUGAGAUUAUGUGAGAUAAUCAUGUUAGGGUUACCUUUUUCCUCUUUGUGAGCCUCCUUUAUGAGUGUAGUGAAAUAACCAACUCUUUCUUCAUUUUUUCUUUGUGAGUGUCACCUUCAUCGUUUUCUUUGUGGAUUUUUGGAGCUUUGGUGAUUGAAGUAAUGUUUGUGGUCACAAAAAUGUGUUGUUUUUUCGUAGUGAGUUUGAGAUGCAUUAGUAGUGAGUUCAAUGUCUUUUGGUAAGGUAGAGUAUAGAUGCCUAGAGAUGCAGUGGUGAUAUGCACGAUGGAUGUGGAGUGUGACAUUUGGAUCAUGAGUGGAGAUGUGAUCACAUGUGUAGAAUCAUUUAUCUGUGAAAGAGACCCUGUAUAGGUGGAGUGUGAGAGAGACGCUCUUAUCACUUCUAUAAGGUGGAGUCUCAUAUCUACGUAAGUUGGAAGAAAUGAUGUGGUGAUAGAGGAUUAUCCCGAGAAGUUUAGGAUCUAUUGUGACUUGCCAGUUAGACAUGAGUUGAGCGAUCUGUUUAGUGAGCAUGGUGGGCGAUGAGAGGAGAUAUGUAUUCUCGAGAUGUGAGCAUCACGGAAUGGGAUAUGAUAAGUGUGGUGAGAUCUUUCGUGGGGUCAUUUAUGAAUUUGUUGCAUAUGUGUUUGAUUCUGUGCUGAUUAACUUGGUGUUAACCUUUAGUUCUGUGUGAACGCGAUUUUCUUAAAAGAUCUGUGUAGUAUCCUAUAUAAUAUCUUCAUUGCAUGAUUGUUUGUUCACUGUGAAUACUUGUCUCUACUUGGGUGUUCUUGACCUUAGCCCUGGUGAGUACAUGGAGCAAGUAUCGUAUGUGUUUCAAGUUAGAAACACGAAGUAAGGUCUGUGAUUCCAAUUUUAUUGGAUUACCCUGAUUAUGCAAGUAUAAACUGUGUGUUUUGGUUGCUUGCAGAUUAUUGGGCAUUAAGGUGGAAAUUGUUGGGUUUUUUGAUACCCAAUAAUUCGAACGAUUAUUUAAAACAGUUGUCAGAUUAUUUAUCGACACCAUGGACUUGGCUCAGCUUGGAGACGAACUACACGUUUGGAUGGCCCAAGUUUGGUUUUGGAUGUUUAUUUGGUUAGUUGGAUAUUAGCCCAAUAGUUAUUAGGUUUUACUUGGCCCAUGUUGUGAUGUCUUGGUCCAAUUGGAGUGACCUAACCUAACCUAUAUAUAUUCAUCUCUUCUACAGCUGUGAAUAUAUGGUGUGUGGGUGCAUGUGCGUUGAGGGAGGAAAGGGCCGAGACAGAGAGGCCGAGAGAGAUGAUGGGCAGCCGGCUUGGUGGUUCUUGGAGUGAGUCCACCAUUGUUUCUUUUUCUUAUUCUUGUUACCACCACCAUCCCUCCUUCUUUGUGGGGAUUGAGAAAGAACAAGGGCUGUCCAAAGUGCAGUGAAAGUCUUGGGUCGAGCCAAGGUAAACCGGUGUUCAUUUGAUUAUUUUCUGAGCCCGAAAUCAAGAUCUAUCGAAGGAUUUCCAUGACAGUUAGGAAUAACAGUUGUGAUGCCAUUGCCAUGUCAUCGCAACCAAUGGAUGUGAUCUGAUUUGUGUCUGACAAGGUAUAAGGACUAUUCAGAAAUGUCAUUGAUAUAUUAGAAUUCCCUGUCUUGUUAUUGAAUCCCAUACCGUAACAGGCCAUUGCCUAUUGUGCCUCCGAGUUCUUAAGAAAGAUUUGGGUUUCUGAGAUAUUAACAAUCUCAUAGGAAUAGUUUUCAGAGCGAUCCAAGAGGUAGGGUUUUAGAGGGUCGAAAGAAGUAUUGCAGUUGAUAUUAAAGUGUAUGUUCCUAGAACAUUUUGACUCGAUACCAAACGGGUAUGGAAUUUCUAGGUUCCCACAUCUUCUUUGGCAGCCAAGUUUGGUGGUGGUGGUGGCUUUGAUCCCAUUUGGCGAUAGUGCUACCACUAGUGAAAGAAAGCAGAAGAUUUGGGGCAAAAUCGAAUGCACUUGCAUGUUUUCGAGGCUAAUCUAUGCAUAUUACAUACUGAACAACAGGCACACAGUUGGGCUUUAUAAUGGCAUCCAGCAAUAGAUUACUUGUGAACUUUUCUUUAUAAAAAUUUAAAAAAAAAUUAAAAAAUUAAAUUAUUAUUUUUUUUUUUAUCCUUUUUGGCCUCGAAUGCAUUGACUCCUACCAGAAAGACUCUACUUUUUUUUCUUUUUCUUUUUUUGUGCGUGAUGGGAGAUUGGGAAUUUUACUUUGGCGAUCUUGCACCUAUUUGCCAAGGCAAUUGACCAUUAAAAAUAUAAAAGAGAUGUUAUUUUAAUAUCAAAUAAUUCGAGAAUAAUAUAUGUUAACUCGACCUGAAUCUACUUUUCUUCCGCACAUCGACUGUAUGAAAUCUUGGCUAAACAUGGUACAGUGGAAAUAUUUCGACGACCUGAGUUUAUUGCUUUUAAAUUUUUAGUUUCUAUAACUCUUUAUCUUCCUUUGUACCACGUAAAAUAAACUCUUUACUCAAAUGCCAAAUCUAUUAACUAUGUAUGAUAACCAGGAGUAGUUUUAUUAAAAGACUUGUUGAGUAAUCAUUUAUGCUACCAAUGUGGCAUUACUUGAAUUCAACAAUUUAAUAAAUAAAAAAUGGAUAUAUUAUCAACCAAAGUCUAAUCUAAUUAUCUAACUAAAUUAAUAAAGUGGUAGGAAAUGUUAUGAAUACUCGAUGAAGGGAGAAACAUUGGGAGCCUGAGUCCUCCUACAUUCGUCCAUCUUAAUAUCAAUUUUACAAUUCGAUAACAUUUAUUUGAACUCGAAAAUCAACAUUUUAACCAUGGUUAAUAAUCUCUCUCAGGUAGAAUCAAACCUAUCCUCACAUAUAUCCCGAGUAUAUCUCUAUUCCAAAUGCGAACAUAUGAAGAUGCAUUAAAUUACAAGAACUUUAAAUUUAAUCAUGCAAAGCAUAUACAAUUAUUUCUGAAGUUUAUAGGACCUUAAGAUAAUUGAUACUUGUGCUAAACUCACAUUCCUUCUCGUGAAUGAUAAUAAGAGUUAUACAUCUAAUAAAUUAGUGAUCAAUUAAUUAAAAAAAAUAAAAUUCCUAACAAUCAUUUAUCCCAAAUAAAUAUUUAACAUCAAAAUAUAGAAUUUUCAAUGUUAUUCUGGCAUCUAUACAAUUAACCGAGCAUUAUAUGAUUACAACACCACCAAUUGAAAAGAUAUAACAUCACCCAGAAUUGAAGGUUGUGAAGAAAGAUUCUAGAAAGUAUUGAAUCUUGAAUUCCUUAAAUGAUUCUUGAUUAUCCCAUUUAAUAUUUUCUUUUUCUUCUUUAACUCUAGCAGUAGAUGUAUAUAUGAAAUAUGGAGGAAUAGGUGUCUUGUAAUGAAAGCUUCUUCAAGCUUUGCAAAGAAUAUGGAAUUGUAGAUCUCCUAUUGCUCUUUUCAUUGUAAUGUAUAUGUAUUUUUAUGUACAAGAGCCUCCAAGCUCCUUUUCUUUCGAAUUGUGGAUAAAAGAAUGUAUUGAUAAACCAAGAUUUAGGUCAAAAAUCGUGUGCCCCUAAUUACCUUCCAAGAAGAGGUUGAUCAAAAUAAAUAUAUAAAAUCUUUUCGGUAGGAAUACACUGUGCAAUCGCAAUUUAUGACUAUAUGUUAUCAGUUCGGCUUAACAAUUUACUCUUAGGAAUUUAGAAUUUCUUACUUGCGAUUGCACCUAACAAUGCUUGCAAUCAUCUUUUCUUCUUUUGUUUUGGUCCUUGCAUCUAAUCUUUUGAUCACUUCAAGUCCCUUCCUAUUUUCACCCUGGCUUUUUCAUCAUUAAAAUUUUAAAAUAUAAUGCUUCAAGUUCCUUAAUUAGCCGUAAUUGAACUACAGGUUCCAAGAGUUCGUAAUUAAGUUAUUAAAAGGCGUUGAAAUUAAAAUUGAGUAAAAAGCAAUAGCCCCCUAUCAAUCCACCAAGCAUAGCCUCCUUGUCGACCUUGGCAAUUGUUACCCUACCACUAGAACUCGAACCAAACGCCAUUGAAAGAAGAAAAAAUGGAAAUGCUAAGGAAAUAUUCACAGAAGUUUCCUAAACAACUCUAAGAACGUGAUUUGCCGAAAAGCGAAGAUCGCCGGAAGAAAAUUUGAAUGCAAGAGAGUUAAGAGGAUUUUCGCAAAGGUAAAAGCCAAAAUAAUGGUAUGUUUUCAGCUUAUAUACAAAAGGUAAAUGAAUCACAGCCAUAGGAUCAAAAUCCAAUCCAUUUGAAGCAUCCAUUUUAGGUUAAAUCUGAGUCGUUGAAUUCAAACAGUUUCUUUUGUCAAUGCCUUGGAUUGAUCCAUGCUCUUCACGCCUCCUCGGAUUGUGCAUUAAAUAUAACAGUUGUACGUGUAUUGAAAGUCAUAUUGAGUUAGCUACUUUUUCUUGUUAAAGUGAGAAAACAUCAAAUCAUUGACGCCAUUGUCCAUUUCAUCUAAUCAAAGUAAAUGGGCAUCAGCAUUUCAGCUUCAAUUAAAACAAAGGAGCUUCAGCUGUCCAGUACUUCCCUGCCUUGGCUCAAAUAAAUUUCAGCUUCAGUUCAAACAAAGGAGCCUCGACAGUUCAACAUUUCAUUGACUCGGCUCAAAUUUUAUUAUAAUAGGAAGCCUCAACAAUUUAACACUGCAUAAGGAUAGGACGACAUGCAAGAAUCAUGUUCCAUUUUCAAUUCCAGACAUGAUAUAAGUAUCUAUACUUGGACUUGGUUGACUAUUGUUAUGCCUGACCAUAUAGGCUCCAUGUCACCAACCCAUUAAAGCCCUUACAAUGACACCACGUGGACCAUUGGAGUCUAUAGACACGAAGUGUCGAAGUCAUACUCACCGAAGCAGUCCCAUGUUAAAGACAAAGCCUUGAAGCUAAGUGCAUUUGUCUACAGAAGUGAUGAAAUUCAUCAAAAGUCAAAGUCGAAGCUUAUCAGCUUCAGUUCAAACAAAGGAGCCUCGACAGUUCAACAUUUCAUUGACUCGGCUCAAAUUUUAUUAUAAUAGGAAGCCUCAACAAUUUAACACUGCAUAAGGAUAGGAUGACAUGCAAGAAUCAGGUUCCAUUUUCAAUUCCAGUCAUGAUAUAAGUAUCUAUACUUGGACUUAGUUGACUAUUGUUACGCCUGACCAUAUAGGCUCCAUGUCACCAACCCAUUAAAGCCCUUACAAUUACACCACGUGGACCAUUGGAGUCUAUAGACACGAAGUGUCGAAGUCAUACUCAUCGAAGCAGUCCCAUGUUAAAGACAAAGCCUUGAAGCUAAGUGCAUUUGUCUACAGAAGUGAUGAAAUUCAUCAAAAGUCAAAGUCGAAGCUUAGCCACAGUGAUGACCCACAUGCGAAGGUCCUGAAUUUAUAUAUGAGAUCCCUUUCGAAUGAUUGAUGGGACUUUUAUAAUGAGUAGAAUGUUAAGUCUUGUCAAUUUAAGCUGUAAGGUGUCUAUUCCCUGCAAGAGCAUUAAAUGUGUCACUAGCUAGUAAAUUCAAAUGAAUGCCUAGGAUUAGAUGCUUUGGUUAAAAAGAUGAGGCCACGUCUAUCUUCAUUCAGUGAACACCAUUUCAUGUGUAACACUAUAAAUACCACCUCAUUGUAUCAUUUAAGGACUAAUGCAACUCUAAUUACUUGAAGCGACUCAUUGUCCUCUCUCUCUAGCUGAUUAUACACUUGCUUAAUUAGAAUGUGGAAUACUUUGAUCUCUUAGACUUGUCUGUUGGUAGUUAAUUAUUGUACAAUCGUUACUAAAAUAUAUUGCCAAAGCUUGAACUUAUUUGUCUCGUAUCAUAGAGCAUUUCCCACGUAUAUAUACGAUAAUCUCCUCUGACCAAGUCCUCGAUCAAAAGUGCUGGAAUUUGCUUGUAUGGAUGUGAGUGGACUCGACAUCUAUUGUCCACAUCACCAUUACACUAAAUGAGGUCAACAUUACUAACCUAACAUGCUUCUAGAUUUGAAUGAGAUCUUCAUGCCGACAAUCUAGAUGGGUGAUUUAGAGAUAGAGAGACUGAGUUUGGGGUGAUUAAUUCUUUUUCAUUUUAAAAACAAGGCAGGAGAGAUUUUGAGCAGUCAACAUAAGUGGCAUUUUUUUAAUUCAAAAUAGCGCCCCAUCAUUCUUCUAUGAAAGGUUUGUAUUCGAUUAUGUACAUAUAGUACUAUUCAAUAGCUAAUUGUGUUUAUAUAUACCUAAUUUAGUUGUAAAUAUAAUAAUUGUAAGUAAAUUAUGACUUGGAUGCAUUUGGAAGAAAUUGGCAUGAAAAAAGAUAUUUUUGGAGCUAAAUUGAUAUUUAUUCGAAGCAAUUGAUUAUCAACGGGAUUAUAAAUCUCAACUAUUGUUUAGUAUACAUAGAUUAGCCAAGUUCUUUUUCUUUUUCAGAAAAACAUGCUAGUGCAUCGGGUUUUGCUCCAAAUCUUCUGCUUUCUUUCACUAGUGGUAACACCACCGCCAUAUGAGGUUGGAGCCCCGCCACUACCACCAUUACCACUAAAGUUGGUUGUCAAAGUAGAUGUGGAGACUUAGAAAUUCCAUACCCGUUUGGUAAAAGGUCAAAGUGUUCUAGGAAUAGGGGCGGAGCCAGGAAUUACUGUUACGAUGGGCUAAAAAUUUAAAAAAUUUAAUGUACGAAUAAAAUUUAUAUAUAAUAAGAAAAAUUUAUAAUAUAAGUUACCUAUUGAAGUUCUACUCGGCGAUGUUUUACAGCAUAAAAUUCAUCUAUAAUAGAAUCUAGAUCUAAAUUCAGACUAAAUUCUCGUUCAAUGUUGAGUGUUAAACAAUCAGCAAGAAAACCAUCAUCCAUUUUGUUACGAAUUUCCAUUUUCACAUGUUUCAUUGCUGAAAAAGCUCGCUCCACAGUCGCCGUUGAAACAGGUAGUGUCAGUACUAAACAAAUCAAUUUAAUCAAAAUGACGUAACUCUCCGACCUUCUGCUUGCAACUAAUUCCCGACAUGAAUCAGAAAGUGUAGGUACUUGAAAUCGAGGUUCAGAAAUCACAUCAUUUUGAUAGUGUUGCAACUCAACUUUCAAACAAUAAAUAUCUUGCUGCUUAAAUCUUCAGGAUAAAACUUCUCUGCAAGCUUGCAAAUAUUAUCCAUAUUAAAUGAUUCAAAAGAAUAUUUUGGAUCCAAAGCUGUACUGAAAGAAAGGAGCUCUAUUGAUGUCUCAUUAAAUCUUGUAUCUAACUCCAUCAUCUGAAAGUCAAUAGCUACAUUGAAAAUAUCAAAGUGGUAAUGAUGUUCAAUGGUAGGAUACUCACGAUCACGAGAACGACCAACCAUAUACGAACCAUUAAGGUCAGGUACAUGUAUAUCAUUUUUUGAGCAAAAACAUUUCACCUCUUUAAGAAAUUCUUCCCAGCCAUCUUCUCUCAAUACCUGAAGGAUAGUUUUUGUAGUACGGACAAAUCUCAUAGCAGUUAAGAUGUCUUGAGUUUUCUUUUGAAGGGACUGACAAAGAACAUCCGCAAUUGCUAAUAUUCUUCGCAUUAAAUGCAAGAUAAAUACAAAUUCAAAUGUUGUUAUGGUUUUGUAUACACCGCCAACUUCGGAUCGAGAUCUUGUACUUGGAGAAUGAUCACUAAGAUACUCAAGCACCUUGCAAGUUGCAGCAUACAUAUCAAUCAAACUCUUUACAGAGUUGUAAUGAGAAGACCAACGAGUACUUCCGGCUCGUUGCAAAUUACCAAUUUGAUUAGCACCACUUUCGGACUCUCGUUCUCCAAUUUCUAACAAAUGCUCAAUUUCUUUUCUUUGGGCACUUUUCAACUCAUUGAUGCACUUAGGAGAUGAUGUAAUCAUAUUAAUAACAUUGUCCAAAUGAGAAAAAAAUGAAUUAAUAUCUGAGACAUCCUUAGCUGCAGAAACCAAUGUGAGUUGUAAACGAUGGGCAAAACAACGAACAUAGUAUGCAUAUGGACAAUCUUUAAGAAAUAAUGUCUGUAGUCCAUUCCAAGAACCAUGCAUAUUAUUAGCACCAUCAUACCCUUGGCCUCUCAUGUUUUGCACUUGAAGGUUGAAACGAACAAGAACAUCAGAAAUCUGAUUCUUAAGAUUUAAUGAGGUAGUGUCACUAACACUUUUAAUUGCAAAAAAUCGUUCUGUCAAAAUUCCAUUACUAUUCACAAACCUCAGGAUAAUAGUCAUUUGUUCUCGUGAAGAUUCAUCUCGUGCUUCAUCAACAAGAUUACUAAACUUUGCAUUUUCAAUUUCCGUACGAAUUCAUUGUCGUACUCUAUUUGCCAUAAUGCUCAAAAUUUCUUUUUGAAUGUCUGGAGACGUGUAUGUAGCAUUUUUGGGAGCAUUACUCAACACAACUUUUCCUACUUCAAUAUUUAUUUUUGCAAAUGCAUCCACCAAUUCAAUAAAAAUCCCACGAUUCAGUGAAGAUGGAGAUUCGUCAUGGCCUCUAAAGGAACAACCUUGAAGAGCUAACCACUUAACACUCAUAAUAGUGGUCUUUAGACGCAAACGAUUUUUCUGUUUUUCCUCAUUUGAUACAGAAUGCAUUACCUUGUCAAUAUGUUGAGUUGGUUUCAUUAGAUCUUCAGCUCUUCUCUUACAGCCAUUAUGAAACGAUGACGAUGUUGUACCAACAUGAAUAAGAAAUGCACAUUUACUUCCUUGGUUAACCCUCUUCCAACUAUCAAAUCCAAUAGUAACCAAUGAUGAAAUAUUAGGUGGAGUACUAUCAUUGAGAAAAAGGAAGCAAUAAAAACAAUACGCCUUAUGUAUUGAAGGCGAAUAUUCCAACCAAGGAAACUGAUUAUACCAAUGUUCCUGAAAUCGAUGUUUCUGCUUUCCACAUUCUUUGCUCUGAUACUCCAAAAGUUUUGAUUGACAAGGUCCAACAUUUAGAUAAGCCCGCCGAAUCUGAUCACGUUCAUUAAAUGAAUGUUCACAUAUUUGCUUUCUUUUUCCAGGUCUCGUUCAAUAGAAUCAGAUGGUUCAAAAUUAAGAUUUGAAGAUGAAGGCCGUUUAACUUCAGGGCAUGAAAUUGGAGGAAUGGACACUGUAGGAAUUGGAGAAUCCUGAGAUUUGUUACUUUUUGAAAAGAAAGACAAUAAGGUUCUACCUUUCUUGGUAGAAGGUCGAUCUUCCUCCAUAUUAAAUCUAAAAGCAUAAAAAUAAAAAGCAAUUUAGGGACAAGUAUUUCUAUUUAAUAGAUAUCAUAAUUACAACAAGAAGAACAAGAAGGACAGAUCAAUUCAUGAAGCAAAAAUAAAAUCAUAUUUGACUCAAAUAGAUGGAACCAUCAACAGAAAACAUUGAAAUCUGGUAAUGUACUUCAUUGAAAUCAUUCAUCUGCCAAUAGGAACAUUUGAAGCAAAACUUCCUACAACAAUGGUUGGCAGGAAAUGGUAUUCAUAAAACCCCUAAUGACUUAAAAUCAAAGUCAUUCCCUAAACUACAUAUGUCCCAAACAUUUAAGACCAGGUUAGAUUAUCACAUGCACUAAAAACAGCAAAACACAUUAGCUAGAAAUGCCUUCCCAUCCCUUUCACAAAAUUCUAUAUAUUAAACUUCACUUGAACUUCUUUGCAUUUGAUCAGACAUAUCCAACUCAAUGACCCUAGACAAGACAAACAAUGGCCAGUCAACUAAAAUCUCUCUUACAUAAAUAUAGAACUUCGACAAAACCAAAGUGGCUUUCUGUCUUUAAAUGUAUUAAUUAUGUUAUAGUCUUACAGAUCAAAAUACCCAUAUUAUUAAAAGGAAAAAAAACUAUAGGAGAAAAUAAAUUGACCCCUCAACUCAAUUUGUAGUUUUCAAUGAGUUCUCCUAGGUAUUGAUCUAGUGAAAAAAUGAGUUAGACCCGUUUUAUAGCAAAGAAAAACUUCAUCAAACAAGAACUAAGUUUAUUGUGUAAGAUCUAAGAACAUGCUAGCUAUACAAUAUUUGACUAAACUUGACCGUAAAAUAGAAAGAUUUUAACUUAGCCUAUGUUCAGGAAAGAUUUAUUAGGAAUUAUUUAGGAUGAAUAUUGGUGGAGAAUGGAGAUUAUGAAAUAUGUGAAUAAUAAUGAAUAGUAGUUGUAAUAUGUAAUUAAAAUUAAAGUUUGAUUUUAACUUGAUAGUAAAAAUAACUUAUAAGUUACUAAAAAUGAUGGCUUAAUAUUGUUCAAGAAUCCAGAGUCUACAUAACAAAACAAAGCAUUAGUGAAGUCACAUGUUUACAGCAAGCUUAUUUUGGGAAUUAAUCUCAGUAUGUUAAGAUUAAUAAACAAGGACUUAUUAUUCUUUAAUUCUUAUCCAGCAUUCUCCAUAUAUUUUGUAUCAAUACUCAUGCUGAGAAGGUAAGCACAUUAAAUUAACAAUAAACAUGCACAAUACAAAUUAUACAAUUGACCACACCGCAAUUGCCAAAGUAAAGCAAGCCCAAAUAAGUUUAGGAAUUAGCCAAUUAGGAGCCUUUCUUAUUUCACCACCAGUCUAGCGAGCAGGGGCGAUAAUUCUGAAAACGGAAAACCAAUUUUUUCUACUUCUCCAAGCUAUUCAUUAUUUAUUUCACAUUUACUUUCUGUUUCUGGAAAUCAAAUUAAAAGACAAACAAUUGAUGAAUUGAACAAGAAACUAAAUAGUAAAUUACUUACCCUAAAAACCUAACCCAAGUCGUCGGCAGGCAGGUUUGAGGCGGCGAAUCGGUAGGCAGCCAGCAGGCUUGAGUCGGGCCAGUCGGUAAUCAACAAUUUCGUUCGGCCGGUGGCUACGAGUAGGGACAAACGUCACAAACCGGCAUGGAAAAUGUUGGCUGUUUGUGUGAGUUCAUUUUGUACAUUAGGAAUGGAAAAUGUUUGGGAAUUGGGGAUUAAUUAUUUGAUUAAUGGAAUGGGUAUUAUUUUGGGCCUAAAAUUAUAUAGGUUAGUGGGCUACAAAUAAUUUUUUUUUUAAAGUGGGCUAGCCCACUGAAUUUAUUUGUUAGUGGGCUGAUGUGGCUGAAUAAUUAGAAUUCAAACCCAAUUUUUUUUUUUUUUUUACAUCUGGGCCUGGAAGACAGUGGGCUGCAGCCAAGUGCAGUCCACUGCUAAAUCCGCCCCUGUCUAGGAACGUACACUUCAAAAUCAAUUACAGUACUUUUUUCAACCCUCCAAAACCUUACCUCCUAGUUCGCUACGAAAUGUGUUCCCACAAGGUUGUUAUUAUCUCAUAAACCCAAAUCUAUCUUAAGAACUCCGAGGCACAUUUGGCAAUGGCCUGCUAUAGUAUGGGAUUCGAUAACAAGAUAUAGAACUUACUAUGUCAAUGGGACUUUUGGAUGGUCUUUAUUCCUUGUUAGAUACAAAUCAAAUCAUGUCCAUUGGUUUCAAUGACCUAGCAAUGGCAUCACAACAUUCAUACCUAACAAAUACCUUUGAUAGUGUUACUUGUGCGUCAUAUUGUGGCAACCUUUCAAUUUAUAUUCAAAUUGGGUCAUGUCCAGGCACGGGGUGUUGCCAGACCUCCAUAUCCAAAAGUGAGUGUCUCCGAGUUGAAUUGUUAGACAUGCAUAUUGGGGUCGAGAUAUCAAAUUCUUCCAAUACAACUUUGCCUUCGUUGGAAGGAUAGGUGAUUAUGAUAAAUUCGAUUUUAGUUUAUCUCAUCUUGACGAUUCAACAACAUUCUUACGUAGUAAUGAAGAGUUUAUAGGUAUGCCAUUGAUGUUAGACUGGAGAAUCGGUGGCUAUAAUUGCAUCGUGGAGCAAAAUUUCACUAAUUAUGCAUGUGGAAAGAAUAGUUAUUGCAUUAUUUAUGAUUCCAAUCUUAGUUUUGGAGGAUAUCACUAUAAGUGCAAGGAAGGAUACGAGGGCAAUCCUACCUAGGAUACCGUGAUUAGUUUUGUUUAAAAAUUACUAUAUAUACUUAAUUAAAGUAGUCUACUCUUACUAACCAGUUCAAUAUUAAAAAAUCUAAUAAUUAUUUAACGUGAUUGACCUCUUAUUUAUGACAAAUUUGAUGAUACUAUUGUAUAUGAAGAAGCAAGAGAGGGGGUUUUUCAAUGUGUAACCUUUGUUCUCUAUUUAUAAGAGUCAGGAAAUAGGUCAAAAUCGGAUCCAAUUUGGGUUCCAAAAGAGUUUGAAUCGCGAAAGAAAACUGCUGAUUUAUCUGCGAAAAAGGCCCCCACGCUCAUAGGCAUAAUCAUCGCGCACGCCAUUGAUCCAAAUGGCUCUAGGUCAAAAUUUUGGUGUCUUGUGUGCACCCUAGAAUUGUCUCAUGCGCGCAUGCCAUUUUGCACAGUGUUGUCCCUGAUUAACUUUCGAUAUUUUUGUUAUAACUUUCUCUCCUAAUGUCCGAUUAAGGUGAUUCAAAGUGUAUUAGAAAGCUAACUCAAAGAGCUAUAAUUCUUCUCGAAAUAGAAAUUUUUCUAUAAAAAAAAAUGGAUCUCAAUUUUAAUUUUAAAAUCCAGAGCAUAACUUCUUCGACUAGAAAUUGAUUUAUGAAAAUAUUUCAACUCAAUUUUACUCUUUUUACCUCCAAAUUGCAUCCAAUUGAUCAUAUGUGAUCUUCAAUCAUUAUUUUAUUGUCUGAAUCAACUAUUGAGCAUUUACACUUUGGUUCUCAAACUUUGAAUUUCUUUCGUUUUUGCCCAUUUUUCAUUCAUUUCUUCCAAUUCCAUCAAUUUGCAUUGAGUUCAACUUAACAAACAUAAUUAACACAAAUUAAACAAUAACUCAUCUAAAUCACUAAUAAAUACUCCAAUUUAAUUGCCUAGAUAAGUGUACAAAAUACACUUACCAGGCAAGUACCUAUACUCUAGGUUCCUAUCAUUGUUCAUGCCCCAAUGGUAAUCAUGGUGAUGGCAAAAGAGAUGAUAUUGGUUGUAAUUCAGUGACGGUGUCCCAUAGCAACUUUGCAAUAGGUCAUUUUCUAUUAAUCUUUUGCAUAUUUAUAAACAACUGGUAGAAAUUAUUUUUCUUAAUUUUUCCUAUUAAUGUUACUAUUAAUUAUUAAAUAAAAUCAAGUGCCCAUUUAUAUAAUAAAAUAUUUAACAUUAUACAAUUGCUUGUUGAAAUUUUUUUUAUUAUUAGACCACUAACUAAUACUAAUCUAAUAUAAUAGGAAAUAUUAAUAUAAUAGAAAAGAUAGAUUAAUUUAAUCUUUUUGUUAUUUUAUAAAUUGUUAUUAACCAAAUAAAAACGUAUGAAUAUUAAACUUUUAAAACAAAUUAGACAACACAAUAUAGGAAGCUUUAUAUGAUGAAUGACAAUUCAUGUGGCCGAAGAUAUCAUAACCUAUACUCACAAUUUUAGUAUUAGUAUUCGUAAUACUAUAUUAUUGUUCUCUUAAAAUCAAAUUAGUAAACAAACAAAAAAGAUCAAUAUUCCUACUCUAGAAAACUAUAUAUAAUUAUACCUUGAUACUUUUAGGGGUAGGCUCGGGCACUAGAACGGACUAUUGUUGUCAACUUGUUUUUGGUUGUUCAAGUUUUAGAAGAAGAGAAAAAUCAAAAAGUGCAAAUAAAAAAUCUACAAACAAAAUGGUGUUAUCUUACUACAACAACAAAUUUCAACAAAUGAAGAAAUUCUUGAAAAACACGACUUUUCCCUAUUAAAGAGCUAGAAAAAGAAACUGAUAACUUUAACGUAAGUCGAAUACUUGUUCAAGGAGGUCAAGAGACAAUCUAUAAAUGAAUGUUCCUUAACAAAAAAAUCAUAGCAAUAAAAAUCCAAAUUGGUAGAUUCAAAUCAAGUGAAGCGAUUCAUUAAUGAGGUUGUCAUGCUUUCACAAAUUAUUCAUAGGAAUUCAAUUAAGCUACUAGGCUGUUGCUGGAAAUAGAGGUUCCUUUAUUAGUUUAUGAAUUCAUUUGCAAUGGAACCCUUUUUUAUCAUAUCCUUGGCAAUAGUGCUGAGUUCCCAUUUGUCAUGGAAAAUGCGCUUGGAAAAUGUUAUAGAAGUGGCGGAAGCACUUGCUUAUCUUCAUUGUGAAACAUCUUUUCCCAUCUAUCACAUAGACAUUGAGUCAACUAAUAUAACUGCUUGAUGAAAAUAUGUAGCCAAAGUCUCAAACUUUGGAAUUUCAAGGUCAAUUGCAGUGAAUCAUACUCAUCCAACUACACUAGUAAGAGGAAAAUUUUGAUACACAGAUCCAGAGUACUUCCAGUCAAAUCAAUUUAUCGAAAAAUGUGAUGUUUAUAGUUAUGGAGCUAUUCUUAUUGAGCUUUUGACUGGGCGCAUGCCAAUAUCUUUGGCUAAGUCACGACAAAAAAAGUUUAGCAACAAGAUUUUUGAUAUGUAUGGAAGCAGAAAAUCUUGAAAUAGUUUUUUACGCCCAGGUCUUAGAGCAGGGUAAGAGAGAAGAGCUUAUUGCAGUGGCCAAGCUUGCUCAAAGGUGCUUAAAUUUGGAUUGGAUGAAAAGGCUAACUAUGAAAGAAAUAGCCAUGGAGUUGGAACUUGUUAGAAUGUCCCAAACGCAUUCAACUAUAUCUGAAACUAAAUAUCAAGGAGUAAAGUUAAAUAUCAAGGAGUAAAGUUAAACAAAUUAGAAGCAAUAUUGAUGGUGGAUGAUAACAACACACGGACAAGUACCUAUGUCAAUUUAAUAUCUUCCCAUCAUCGGAUGCCUAUCCCGUAAAGUUUCACAUUGUCUGAUGCUAGUUUCUAUACAAUUUCCUCAUUUGUUGCCACUAUAUGCUUUUGUAAUUGUGUAUUUAAACACUUAAAUAACAUGUACGUACCAAAAUUGGGUGGCAUUCUAAAAGCUUUAAUAAACUCCAUCUUGUCAAGAUUUUUGUAAUAUCAUUACAAGCACAUAGCAUGAGAUGUUUUAAAUCUUAUUCAACCUCGUAGUAUAUUAUUAUAUCAAGCAAAAACUCAAGUUAUUAAAAAAUUUAUAAAUUUUCAACAUAUCUAGACGUGUUUCAAUUAUUUCUGUUAUGCUAAACUAUCCCAUCUAAAAUAUCAAAAAAAAAAAAGACAUGAAAAACAUAUAUUUAAACUGAAUAUAUUCGAGAAGAAACCUUCCACAAAAAUGAUUAUUUAUUUAUAGUUUACACGAAAUUUUCACACAAUGCCCUAUUGCUUGUCCAAUCAAUAAUUGAAAGCUACUUUUAGAAGCAAGCUUACUUAUCUUUGACAACUAGGCAAUAUGGAAGAGUUUACUUAAAAAAAAAAAAAAGAUAAACACUGCAAGGUCGUUCAACAAAAAUCGAAGUGUCAACUAUUUGAAGAGGGGUGGAUUGUUGACUACUUUUGAGUCUCAUCAUUUGCCAAAUAUAUAUCUUGAUUUUAUAAAAAUGUUAAUGAGAGUUUUACUCAAGUAUCUCUUGAAGUUUAGAAACAAUAUUUUUGUUAUGUAUCAAAGUAGAGAAUCUUGAAACAAUUCUUGGCACCUAAGUUUUAGAGUAGGAUAAGAGAAAAGGCCUACAUGCGGUGGAAAAACUUGCAAAAAGGUGCUCAAAUGUGAUUAGGGAAGAAUAGGAUAUUAAUGAAAGAAGUAACCAUCAAGUUGGAGAUUAUUAAAAUGUCUAAAAUGCAUUUGAUUGUAUUUAAAACUAAAUAUCAAGGCGUACAGUAGUGGAAGUCAAAUCAAUACUCGUGUCGGAUGAUGACUACACAUGGACAAGUUCUUGUAACAAUAUUAUCCUAUAAUCCGAUGCAUAUCCCCUAAUGAUUCACACUACUUGAUGCAUUCUAUGAUUUCUUGACAAUGUCCUCAUUUGUUAUAAAUGUGUGUGUGUGUGUACGAUUUCGUAAUUGUAUAAUUAAACACCUAAAUUAAAAUUCAGUCAAGAUUUUUGUGAUAUCAAUACAGGCACAAACUUUUGCAACAUGAGAUGUUUUAAAUCCUAUUCAACCUUGUAGCAUAGAAUUAAUUACAUCAUGCUAAAACACAUUUUAUUAAAAAUAAUAAUAACAAAAUUUUUAACAUAUUCUUUAUGUUUAUUUGCAAUGUUGAUCUGUCUCAUCUAUACUCUUAAACAAAUUGAGAAACGAUAAACUUAUUUAUUUAAAUUGGAUGUAGCCAAGAAGAAAUAUUCCACAAACGGUGAUUUACUUAGUUUACAUGACAUUUUCAAUUGACGUGAUAUUACUAGUCCAGUUAAUAAUAGUAUACCCUUUCUUGGAAUAUCUUAAUUGCCAACUAGGCAAUAUAAUACCAAUUUUUCCUAGUUAAUUCCACAAGGUUGUUCAAGAAAAAUAAAUUGUCAUUUAUUUGAAUAGCAGUGGAAUAUUGCUAGGUUUAAGUCUCAUCAUUCGUGCAAUUUGUCUUCGUGAGGCGAUUUGUGAUUGAUUGCAAUGAAUUUUUAAUCUAUAAUUUUUCGUGAAAUUGAAACACAUUAAUCUACUAGAGAUGAAAUAAUCAGUAUCGUGUUUUGGACGGCUGAACAAGAAAUAAAAUGAAAUAUUUGGCAAUCGGGACAUGUAAUUUACUUGAGUUAAAUGGUGCAACCCAUAUUGUACUCAUAACUGUUAUUUGUUGGAAAAUAAUGGGUUUUUUUUUUUUUUUUUAUUGUGGCCAAACCGUUGAAGACUUGGAAAAAAUUGUUUGGUCUUAAAACCCACUUAUAAAGAAAUUGAAAUUUUAUACUAUUGACAGAGUGACGCUAAUGUCAAUAUUACUCAAUAAUGUAUAGUUUACCAUAUCGAAUAAUUUAUUUUUAAUACAAGAAAUUAUUAGUUUUGGAUUGUGGACAAAUUUUCUGAGGACAUUCUUGAACCACACUCGGAUGGAAAAUUUAAAAAUCAAGAUUUGUUAAGUAUGAGAAUGUAGGAGGGAAGAUUGACAAGUUUUCAAGUCUUGUUUUAUUUGGUUUUGCUUUGCUAAACGUCAACAUGGUGUGUUUUGACUAUGGACGGCCUAUUUGUCAUCAAUAGCCAUAUGAAGCGAUAGAGCUUCAAAUCAAACUAAUAGAAAGCGAUGGUAGAGAUGUAGUAAGAUCUUAUACAUUUUUUGGUAUGAAAAUCAUUAUCGUACCCAAACAUACGGAGAGUAAUUUUUUAGUAGUAAUCCAUCUUCUGUUCCCCCUAAAUCACGUGUAGUAAGUGGUAAUACCCUUUUCCCUCUUCUAGAUCCCUCUCCCCAUAUCCUGACACCAAUUUCUAUUAAGUAUCGUUGCUUACAUGCGAUGCAACGAUGACAUUGAAUAUUAAUUCAACUAAUUUAAUUUAGCACUUGUUUAGUAUUUUUUUUGAGAGAAUGUGUGGUUAAUAAAGAAGGAAUUUUUUUUUUUUGAUUUACAUGUAAUAUUAUUUUAUUGAAAAAUGUGUAUUUUAAAAAAAAAGGAAAAAGAAAAAAGUAUUAAUAUCUUAAAGGGUGUCAAACAAGGGCUUAAUUAUUGAGUGUGUCAUUUCACAUCUGCUUGCAAAUAUGCUCCUUAGAUAAUUCAUCUAUCUAGCUUUGAAUAAAUGCAAACUUCAUAAUAUUAUUAUUGUAGACUUGUCGUAACUUCAAAUAUCUGUUGGAACUAAUUUUUAUUCAUCAGUUUGAAUCUUUACUAAAAAAAAAAAAUAUUGCAAUCAAUUGAAUCUUAAAUCGAGACGAUUACUUAUUCAUAGGCUAUUAUGAGAUACAAUUCCAAAUGGACUUUUUGUAUGUACCUUACCUACAAUUGCAAAACUACGACUUACUAGUUUCUAUGUAACCAAAUCCUUCAACAACAAAUUUUAGCUCAUUCAAAUCAUGGAAGUUAAAUUUGAAAGUUACUAAGAAAAACUUAUCAUAUUUUUUCCCUAGUAUAACAAAAUUUAACUUUGACGCUAUCAUCCUUAAUUUCUAGUGAUUGAACAAAUUUACGACGUGUAAUUUUUCUAAUUUAGUGGAUUUUAAAAAAAAAUCUAAAUAUUGACCAAUUUCAUUAUUUCACUCAUAUAUUAAUUAAGUUGUGGAAAGCACAUGUCAAUUAGAUUUCCAUCUUGUACAUUGAACAUCCCAUACACGCUUUUGUCCCAAUGUAAUAUUCUAGUGUCUACAAAAUUUGUGUAAAAGAGAAAUUACAAAUAGUAUAUAAAAAUAAAGAAAUUCAUUAUCUUUGGGCCCCCAAAAAAAUAAAAAAAUAAAAAAAAACAUUAUUUUCACCGACCAAUAUAAAUAGAGUUUACUUCCACUACCCGUGACAUAACAGCCAUUCAGAAAAUCAACACGUUUCAACUAACCCCUCCCACGGGAUAUACAUGAAAAUGGCCCAAAUAGUAUAUAACCUUUUCCAAAAUGACCUUUGACUUUUUUAGAAAUUUGAAACUACCCAAAAUAUCCUUGGAAAAAUUUAACAACCAACCCUUUAUAUAAUAAAAAGUUUCUUUUUUAGUCCUUAAAAAAUCCAACAAAUAAUUUUUCUAAAAAUUUGUAAAAAUUAUCAAUGAAUAAUUAUAAAAUGGAAAAGCCCAAAUAUAAGAGAGGACCAUAUAAUAUAAAAAAGGUUGUUAAAAAUAAAAAAGAAAUUAAAUUUGAAAAAGAAAUUGAUAAGAUAGGAUAUCAAGAACAAUUAUAUGCAUCACAAGAAAUAUUAAAAUGUUUUAAAGAAAACUUAUUAGAAAAUUUCGCUAAAGGAAUUGUAAGGUCAAUAAUCAUAAAAGAUAUACAAGAUAUAAUAGAUAAAUUGGAAAAAAGAAAGAAAAGUAUCUCAAAAUAUGAAAUACCUUUUGGAACAGACAUAGAUAUGAUAACAGAUAUUGAUAUUAUAAAUUCUCAAACAUUAUUAGACUUUGAAGAAUUACUUAAAAAUUUAUGAGAUUAAAAUUUUGAUAUUUUGAUUAUUAGAUUAUUAGAAUUUUGUUCGCUCAUAGUAGCACCCAUAGAGUUGGUAUCAGAGCCAUAGAGAUCAUGGAAAUCUUAAAAAUAAAUAAUUAUUAUCAAUGUAUUGAAGAAAAAGGAUGUUAUAUAUUUUACAACCCUAUCCCUAAUAAACUAAAAAUAAUAACAUUAUAUAUAACUAGGAAUUUACCUAGAGAAAUAAAGGAACAAAUAUUACAUAAAUUAAUUGUAGGAUUUAUCAAAGAUAGACGUACAUAUGAAAUAAUUUGUGAAAUAUUUGAAAAUGAGUUGUAUUAUAAAGAAAUAUAUGAAUCAUCAUAAAAUAUAAUGGAAAAAACUAAAAAUAUUUUAGAUAGAAAGUUAGAAAGAAUAAGAUUAAUAAAUAAUAAAAUUUUAGAUGAAUUAUUAAUACCUGGAGAAAUAACUAAAACUCAAGAAAAACAGAUAUUAAAAUUAAAACAAGAAAGAUAUAAAGAAAAAGCAAGAUAUUAUGAAAAAUUAAAAGAACUGACAAGUAUUGAAAUUAUAAAACAAAAGUAUGAUAAAAUGAUAAAAGAAUGUAAAAAUGCUGAGUGUGUAGUAUUUUAUUAUUGUCAAUCAAAAAAUAAAUAAAAUGUCAAUCAGUGAACAUAUGGAAGAAUUAAAACAUCUAAUAAGAACAUUAAUAAAUGAUGUACAAGAAAUUAAGAAUGAAAUAAAAGAAGCUAGAAAUGAUAUAAAUAUAUUGAAACUUGAAGUCAGGAAAUUAAAAGAAAAUGAAGAAAAAAAUAAUAGAGUAGAUAAAAAAUUUAUAGAAAAAGAAAUAACCAGAAUAGGAAAAAAACAUAUUGAAAGGAAAAAUAUAAUAAUAGAAACAGGAAGUAUGGAUGAUGAGUUUAGAAAAAAUAUAUUACCUAAAAUAAUAGAAGAAGAAGAAUCUAGAGAAAAAAUAUUAGGUAAACAAAAAAUUGAAGAAAAUCAGGACAAAGAAGAUGAAUGAAGAAUUAGAUCUACUUAUAGAUAAUUUUGAUCAUUUAAGUCUAGAAAGUAUAGAUGAUGAAUACCAAAUCCUAAUGAAUACUGGAGGAGGACCCAAUCAUGUAGGAACCUCUAAACAAGAAUCAAUAGAUCCAGAUGAAAGCUAUGCUCCAAUGUAUAAUAAACCAUAUAGGCAAUUUUAUGAUAAAAUAAGAGAUAAACAACCGUCCAAAGGAAAUAAAUAUAGUAAUAGAUUUGAAUUAAAUAAUAAUUAUGAUAAACCUGUUAACCAUGGAGGAACAAAAUUAGACUUAGAUUGCAAAAUAGAUACUAAGAAAGCCUUAAUAACUUGGGCAGACUCAAUGAUAUUAUUCUUUUUAUAUAAUAAAGAUGAUACAUGGGAAAAUACUGAAAGAAGAAUAGAUUUUUUAAUUGCAUCUUUUGAAGGAAAUGUUAGAAAUUGGUGGGAAGGAAUUAGUAGUGAUACAAAAUCAUUAAUAAAAAGAAAUGUACAAACAGAAAUAAUAAAAUCAGAUAAACUAGGAAUAGAAAGAUUGGUAGAAUAUAUUGCAGAUGAAUUCUUAGGAGAAAAUUGGUUAAGAAAUUAUGAAGAAGAAGCAAUACGAGAAAAAGACAAUGCAAGAGUUAAGUUAAUUAAUCUAACAAUUUGUGAUAUGUGUAAAAUUAAAGAAUAUACUUGUGAAUUCAAAGAUUACUAUUAUACUCAAUUUUAUAGUAAUGAAAAUCAAGAAGUAUAUCAAGAUAUGUAUUAUAAUAAAUUACCAGGAUCAUGGGGAAUAUAUUUUAAAAUAGAAUUUGAAAAAUAUANNNNNNNNNNNNNNNNNNNNNNNNNNNNNNNNNNNNNNNNNNNNNNNNNNNNNNNNNNNNNNNNNNNNNNNNNNNNNNNNNNNNNNNNNNNNNNNNNNNNNNNNNNNNNNNNNNNNNNNNNNNNNNNNNNNNNNNNNNNNNNNNNNNNNNNNNNNNNNNNNNNNNNNNNNNNNNNNNNNNNNNNNNNNNNNNNNNNNNNNNNNNNNNNNNNNNNNNNNNNNNNNNNNNNNNNNNNNNNNNNNNNNNNNNNNNNNNNNNNNNNNNNNNNNNNNNNNNNNNNNNNNNNNNNNNNNNNNNNNNNNNNNNNNNNNNNNNNNNNNNNNNNNNNNNNNNNNNNNNNNNNNNNNNNNNNNNNNNNNNNNNNNNNNNNNNNNNNNNNNNNNNNNNNNNNNNNNNNNNNNNNNNNNNNNNNNNNNNNNNNNNNNNNNNNNNNNNNNNNNNNNNNNNNNNNNNNNNNNNNNNNNNNNNNNNNNNNNNNNNNNNNNNNNNNNNNNNNNNNNNNNNNNNNNNNNNNNNNNNNNNNNNNNNNNNNNNNNNNNNNNNNNNNNNNNNNNNNNNNNNNNNNNNNNNNNNNNNNNNNNNNNNNNNNNNNNNNNNNNNNNNNNNNNNNNNNNNNNNNNNNNNNNNNNNNNNNNNNNNNNNNNNNNNNNNNNNNNNNNNNNNNNNNNNNNNNNNNNNNNNNNNNNNNNNNNNNNNNNNNNNNNNNNNNNNNNNNNNNNNNNNNNNNNNNNNNNNNNNNNNNNNNNNNNNNNNNNNNNNNNNNNNNNNNNNNNNNNNNNNNNNNNNNNNNNNNNNNNNNNNNNNNNNNNNNNNNNNNNNNNNNNNNNNNNNNNNNNNNNNNNNNNNNNNNNNNNNNNNNNNNNNNNNNNNNNNNNNNNNNNNNNNNNNNNNNNNNNNNNNNNNNNNNNNNNNNNNNNNNNNNNNNNNNNNNNNNNNNNNNNNNNNNNNNNNNNNNNNNNNNNNNNNNNNNNNNNNNNNNNNNNNNNNNNNNNNNNNNNNNNNNNNNNNNNNNNNNNNNNNNNNNNNNNNNNNNNNNNNNNNNNNNNNNNNNNNNNNNNNNNNNNNNNNNNNNNNNNNNNNNNNNNNNNNNNNNNNNNNNNNNNNNNNNNNNNNNNNNNNNNNNNNNNNNNNNNNNNNNNNNNNNNNNNNNNNNNNNNNNNNNNNNNNNNNNNNNNNNNNNNNNNNNNNNNNNNNNNNNNNNNNNNNNNNNNNNNNNNNNNNNNNNNNNNNNNNNNNNNNNNNNNNNNNNNNNNNNNNNNNNNNNNNNNNNNNNNNNNNNNNNNNNNNNNNNNNNNNNNNNNNNNNNNNNNNNNNNNNNNNNNNNNNNNNNNNNNNNNNNNNNNNNNNNNNNNNNNNNNNNNNNNNNNNNNNNNNNNNNNNNNNNNNNNNNNNNNNNNNNNNNNNNNNNNNNNNNNNNNNNNNNNNNNNNNNNNNNNNNNNNNNNNNNNNNNNNNNNNNNNNNNNNNNNNNNNNNNNNNNNNNNNNNNNNNNNNNNNNNNNNNNNNNNNNNNNNNNNNNNNNNNNNNNNNNNNNNNNNNNNNNNNNNNNNNNNNNNNNNNNNNNNNNNNNNNNNNNNNNNNNNNNNNNNNNNNNNNNNNNNNNNNNNNNNNNNNNNNNNNNNNNNNNNNNNNNNNNNNNNNNNNNNNNNNNNNNNNNNNNNNNNNNNNNNNNNNNNNNNNNNNNNNNNNNNNNNNNNNNNNNNNNNNNNNNNNNNNNNNNNNNNNNNNNNNNNNNNNNNNNNNNNNNNNNNNNNNNNNNNNNNNNNNNNNNNNNNNNNNNNNNNNNNNNNNNNNNNNNNNNNNNNNNNNNNNNNNNNNNNNNNNNNNNNNNNNNNNNNNNNNNNNNNNNNNNNNNNNNNNNNNNNNNNNNNNNNNNNNNNNNNNNNNNNNNNNNNNNNNNNNNNNNNNNNNNNNNNNNNNNNNNNNNNNNNNNNNNNNNNNNNNNNNNNNNNNNNNNNNNNNNNNNNNNNNNNNNNNNNNNNNNNNNNNNNNNNNNNNNNNNNNNNNNNNNNNNNNNNNNNNNNNNNNNNNNNNNNNNNNNNNNNNNNNNNNNNNNNNNNNNNNNNNNNNNNNNNNNNNNNNNNNNNNNNNNNNNNNNNNNNNNNNNNNNNNNNNNNNNNNNNNNNNNNNNNNNNNNNNNNNNNNNNNNNNNNNNNNNNNNNNNNNNNNNNNNNNNNNNNNNNNNNNNNNNNNNNNNNNNNNNNNNNNNNNNNNNNNNNNNNNNNNNNNNNNNNNNNNNNNNNNNNNNNNNNNNNNNNNNNNNNNNNNNNNNNNNNNNNNNNNNNNNNNNNNNNNNNNNNNNNNNNNNNNNNNNNNNNNNNNNNNNNNNNNNNNNNNNNNNNNNNNNNNNNNNNNNNNNNNNNNNNNNNNNNNNNNNNNNNNNNNNNNNNNNNNNNNNNNNNNNNNNNNNNNNNNNNNNNNNNNNNNNNNNNNNNNNNNNNNNNNNNNNNNNNNNNNNNNNNNNNNNNNNNNNNNNNNNNNNNNNNNNNNNNNNNNNNNNNNNNNNNNNNNNNNNNNNNNNNNNNNNNNNNNNNNNNNNNNNNNNNNNNNNNNNNNNNNNNNNNNNNNNNNNNNNNNNNNNNNNNNNNNNNNNNNNNNNNNNNNNNNNNNNNNNNNNNNNNNNNNNNNNNNNNNNNNNNNNNNNNNNNNNNNNNNNNNNNNNNNNNNNNNNNNNNNNNNNNNNNNNNNNNNNNNNNNNNNNNNNNNNNNNNNNNNNNNNNNNNNNNNNNNNNNNNNNNNNNNNNNNNNNNNNNNNNNNNNNNNNNNNNNNNNNNNNNNNNNNNNNNNNNNNNNNNNNNNNNNNNNNNNNNNNNNNNNNNNNNNNNNNNNNNNNNNNNNNNNNNNNNNNNNNNNNNNNNNNNNNNNNNNNNNNNNNNNNNNNNNNNNNNNNNNNNNNNNNNNNNNNNNNNNNNNNNNNNNNNNNNNNNNNNNNNNNNNNNNNNNNNNNNNNNNNNNNNNNNNNNNNNNNNNNNNNNNNNNNNNNNNNNNNNNNNNNNNNNNNNNNNNNNNNNNNNNNNNNNNNNNNNNNNNNNNNNNNNNNNNNNNNNNNNNNNNNNNNNNNNNNNNNNNNNNNNNNNNNNNNNNNNNNNNNNNNNNNNNNNNNNNNNNNNNNNNNNNNNNNNNNNNNNNNNNNNNNNNNNNNNNNNNNNNNNNNNNNNNNNNNNNNNNNNNNNNNNNNNNNNNNNNNNNNNNNNNNNNNNNNNNNNNNNNNNNNNNNNNNNNNNNNNNNNNNNNNNNNNNNNNNNNNNNNNNNNNNNNNNNNNNNNNNNNNNNNNNNNNNNNNNNNNNNNNNNNNNNNNNNNNNNNNNNNNNNNNNNNNNNNNNNNNNNNNNNNNNNNNNNNNNNNNNNNNNNNNNNNNNNNNNNNNNNNNNNNNNNNNNNNNNNNNNNNNNNNNNNNNNNNNNNNNNNNNNNNNNNNNNNNNNNNNNNNNNNNNNNNNNNNNNNNNNNNNNNNNNNNNNNNNNNNNNNNNNNNNNNNNNNNNNNNNNNNNNNNNNNNNNNNNNNNNNNNNNNNNNNNNNNNNNNNNNNNNNNNNNNNNNNNNNNNNNNNNNNNNNNNNNNNNNNNNNNNNNNNNNNNNNNNNNNNNNNNNNNNNNNNNNNNNNNNNNNNNNNNNNNNNNNNNNNNNNNNNNNNNNNNNNNNNNNNNNNNNNNNNNNNNNNNNNNNNNNNNNNNNNNNNNNNNNNNNNNNNNNNNNNNNNNNNNNNNNNNNNNNNNNNNNNNNNNNNNNNNNNNNNNNNNNNNNNNNNNNNNNNNNNNNNNNNNNNNNNNNNNNNNNNNNNNNNNNNNNNNNNNNNNNNNNNNNNNNNNNNNNNNNNNNNNNNNNNNNNNNNNNNNNNNNNNNNNNNNNNNNNNNNNNNNNNNNNNNNNNNNNNNNNNNNNNNNNNNNNNNNNNNNNNNNNNNNNNNNNNNNNNNNNNNNNNNNNNNNNNNNNNNNNNNNNNNNNNNNNNNNNNNNNNNNNNNNNNNNNNNNNNNNNNNNNNNNNNNNNNNNNNNNNNNNNNNNNNNNNNNNNNNNNNNNNNNNNNNNNNNNNNNNNNNNNNNNNNNNNNNNNNNNNNNNNNNNNNNNNNNNNNNNNNNNNNNNNNNNNNNNNNNNNNNNNNNNNNNNNNNNNNNNNNNNNNNNNNNNNNNNNNNNNNNNNNNNNNNNNNNNNNNNNNNNNNNNNNNNNNNNNNNNNNNNNNNNNNNNNNNNNNNNNNNNNNNNNNNNNNNNNNNNNNNNNNNNNNNNNNNNNNNNNNNNNNNNNNNNNNNNNNNNNNNNNNNNNNNNNNNNNNNNNNNNNNNNNNNNNNNNNNNNNNNNNNNNNNNNNNNNNNNNNNNNNNNNNNNNNNNNNNNNNNNNNNNNNNNNNNNNNNNNNNNNNNNNNNNNNNNNNNNNNNNNNNNNNNNNNNNNNNNNNNNNNNNNNNNNNNNNNNNNNNNNNNNNNNNNNNNNNNNNNNNNNNNNNNNNNNNNNNNNNNNNNNNNNNNNNNNNNNNNAAGUUUUCAAGUCUUGUUUUAUUUGGUUUUGCCUUUGCUAAAUGUCAACAUGGUGUGUUUUGACUAUGGACGGCCUAUUUGUCAUCGAUAGCCGUAUAGAGUGAUAUAGCUUCAAAUCAAAUUAAAUAGAAAGUAAUGGUAGAGAUGUAGUAAGAUUUUAUACAUUUUUUGGUAUGAAAAUCUUUAUCGUAUCCAGACACACGGAGAGUAAUUUUUUAGUAAUAAUCCAUUUUCUGUUCCUCCUAAAUCACACGUGUAGUAAGUGGUAAUCCCUUUUUUCCAUCUUCUAGAUCCCUCUCCCUACAUCCUGACACCAAUUUCCAUUAAGUAUCGCUGCUUACAUGCGAUGCAACGAUGACAUUGAAUAUUAAUUCAACUAAUUUAAUUUAGCACUUGUUUGACACUCAUUAUAGAGAGAAAUUUUGGUAAAAUGUAUUAUGGGAUAGCAUUUUUUGAGAGAAUGUAUGGUUAAUAAAGAAGGAAAUUUUUUUAAUUUACAUGUAAUAUUAUUUUAUUGAAGAAUGUGUAUUUGAAAAAAAAAUGUAUUAAAAUUUUAAAGAGUGUCAAACAAGGGCUUAAUUAUUGAGUGUGUCAUUUCACAUCUGCUUGCAAAUGUGCUCCUUAGAUAAUUCAUCUAUCUAGCUUUGAAUUUAUGCAAACUUGAUAAUAUUAUUAUUGUAGACUUGUCAUAACUUCAAAUAUCUAUUGGAAAUAAUUUUUAUUCAUCCAUUGAAUCUUUGCUGAAAAAAAAUAUCGCAAUCAAUUGAAUUUUUAAAUCUAGAUGAUUACUUAUUCAUAGGCUAUUACGAGAUACAAUUCCAAAUGGAUUUUUUGUAUGUGCCUUACUUACAAUUGCAAAACUACGACUUUCUAGUUUCUAUGUAACCAAAUCCUUCAAAAACAAAUUUUAGUUCAUUCAAAUCAUGGAGGUUAAAUUUAAAAAUUAAUAAAAAAAAACUCUUAUCAUAUUUUUUCCCUAGUAUAACAAAAUUUAACUUUGACGCAAUCAUCCUUAAUUUCUAGUGAUUGAACAACCUUAUGACGUAUAAUUUUUCUAAUUUAGUGGAUUUAAAAAAAUAAAUCGAAAUAUCGACCAAUUUCAUUAUUUCACUCCUAUAUUAAUUAAGUUGUGGAAAGCACAUGUCAAUUAGAUUUCCAUCUUGUACAUUGAACAUUCCACACACGCUUUUGUCCCAAUGUAAUAUUCUAGUGUCUACAAAAUUUGUGUAAAAGAGAAAUUACAAAUAGUAUAUAAAAAUCAAGAAAUUCAUUAUCUUUGGUCCCCCAAAAAAAUAAAAAAUAAAAAAAACCGACCAAUAUAAAUAGAGUUUACUUCCACUACCCGUGACAUAACAGCAUUCAGAAAAUCAACACGCUUCAACUAAUCCUCCCACUCUUCCCUCUUCUUGCUCUGUAACUGAUAACGGAAGAAAUCACUACACGCAAAGCAGCACAAUAUUGAAACUAUUGAAUACAAUCAAGAAGCCAUUUACCGAUUGGAUCUAACGUCAUGGCUCACUGGAUCUCUUCCAAGCUCAAAGCCCCUGAAACUCUUCUCCAUCAGGUAUGUCUCCAAUAAUCUUCUCUUGAAUUCGGGUGAUUUUUUAUUAUUAUUAUUUUUUUUGCAGUAAUUUAAUUCUGUUUUCCUGCUUUGUGAACAAUUAUUCACUAAAUUCCGAUUCUUUAUGUAAACUUUUUGAUUGGAUGAUUCAGAUCGAUCGUUAAGCUGCAGAAUCACUGGGUCAAAUUGAGAAGCCACGAUUUGAUGAACAAUUAGGUCUUGAAACCCCGCCAAAGAUGGGGUAAACUAGGUCAUUGAUUAAGUAGCAUGUUAAAAAAAAGGUGCCUGAAAAUGUCAGCGAGAACAAUAAUUUAAAAUGUAACUGGUCGCAGUGAUAGUAAUAUUAAACGGGAUGAUGAUGUUGGAGUAUCAGUGAAUUUGAACUCGAAGUCAAAUUCGAGGAGGGGACUUACAAAUCCUGAUGGUGAUUGGACGGAAUUAUUGAGCGUGCCAAAUAGAAAUGUAGCAUCCAUGGGGUGUGAGUGGGAAUCAGAGUAGCAUUGGAGCGUUGGGGAUUAGGGGUUUGAAGAAAGAUGGUAUGAAACGAGGGAGAUUGAGGUCGAAGGUAUUAGAGGGGAAAAGGAUUGAGAAUGGACGGAAUAAUAGUGUUCUGUAUGGUUCAAGAAAAUCUAAUGUUGAGUUGGAGGGUAACGCAAAUGGUGGUGGUAGUUCGGAUAGUGGGAUGGCAAGUUACUCAGAAGGUGCAAUGUGAAAAACUUCGAUUUCCAAAUUUCAGAGCGAGGGAGGUGAAUCAGAUCGAAAGGACAUAAGUGAUGCACUUGUGCCUGAUAACAACUAUGAGGCAGAUACGGGGAAAAAUGAUGAGGUGAAUGGCAAUGGAGAUGGAGAGAAGCUACGUUCUACAGAUGGUUUGACCAGUAAAGAUCAUCUCAUGGAGAUGGUGCCAGCUUCUUUUUUGAUAGGAAAUUGAAUAUGAAGUUUCAAAUGAAGAGCAGUGAGAGGUUUAAGAGUGGAAUGUUAAAGAACAAUAAAUCAAAAGUGGGUUCCAGAAGUACAAGUUCUAUGAAGAAAGAUUCUUCUUCCCCAAGGGACGAAGAAUCUGAUUCUGAGACAGAUACAACUUCAUCUUCAGAUCCAGAGAGAGAACGCGAGAGGGCAGAAAGGAUAAAAGAUGGCAGCAGAUUCUGGCAGAAAGAGUAGCUGCCAAAGCAGUUGAGGCUAUCAAAGAUCAUGAUAACCUGGUUGCUAAAUUGGAGGGGGAGAAACAGAGUUUAGAGAAAAUACUUGAAGAUCCGGCCAAACAGCAAGUACAGGAGGUAAGUAUUUCAGGGCUAUUUAAAAUUUUUUAUGUACCAUUAUUGAAAUAAUUAUUACAGUGAUUGAUAAAGUUACUCCGAAACCAUGUCUCCCUAUUUUCUGGCAUUAACUACGGAAAUUGUCACAAUAUUGUAUCAACGUAAAACCAGACAAGGACAUAUUCAUUUGUUACUUAUAGAAGUGCAUAUUUAGAGAUAAUAUACAAAGCAUUUGUGCAAUAACAAGUGAACCAAGGUGGUACUCUUAAUAUCAUAUGAUACAGAAGUACAGAAUGGUCUCUCUAUAAUUUGAAGUUUGGGUCAUAAUUAUCUUCCAUGAGUAACAAGCUUAAUUUCUUCACUCUUUUCACAUGUUCCAUUCUUAACACCAGUAACAGUGUCACAAUCGUUUGUCUUGCUAAAAUUGAUUUAUGUCUUAGUGUUGUUAUAUUAAAUGCUUAAUCACAGGUAAAAGUCAUCUUACUUUAUCAUUUUCCUUAUACUACUAAUCAUAGGAAUUGUUCUUCAAUUUAAACAUGCUUAUCAGUUGUUAUACUCUAUGAUCAACCAAAAGCUACCUGUUUGCGAAUCUUUGACCCUUUUUUGUUCCUAAGUUUUAAACUGUCUAUUGUUGUCCAUCUUUCCUGUUGAUUCUUCUGUUAGUUGAAUUGAUUUACUUCCUUUGUUGUUGUUAUGACACCUUAGUUGCUUUGCCUUUGUAAGACCAACUCCACUGUUAAUACUUAUUUGGUAAUUUUUCCAAGCUUCAGAAUUGCAUACAUCAAUGAUGGAGAUUAUGGAAGCUGCUGAUUUAGAGAAGCGAAAACAUAACAAUACACGUAUGGAAGCAGUGUCACACGUAUGGAAGCACUUAUGAGACUGUCAAAACUUGCGGUGGUGUUAUAAUUUCAUUAAAAUAGAUUUAAGCUUUAACUCUAUAGUUGAUAUCUUAUCAGAUUUUAAUUAUUAUCAUUUAAUUUUUGCCGUUGAUGUUGUUAACGUUCUCAGUAUGUUUAUUCAUUUCAUUUACUCACUGCAGACUGCGAAUGCCGACCUUGCAAGUUCUUUUGUUGCUGCACAGAAAAAACCUUGAAACAGAGGUACUUGAAAACCUCUGUAGUUGUUUAUUGUGUUGCAUUUUUCCUUUGCUCUCUCUCUCGCUCUGCCCCCCCACCCCCCCUUUUUUUUGCUUCUUUUUUUUUUUUUUUUUUUUUUUUUUUUUUUUUUUUUUUUUNNNNNNNNNNNNNNNNNNNNNNNNNNNNNNNNNNNNNNNNNNNNNNNNNNNNNNNNNNNNNNNNNNNNNNNNNNNNNNNNNNNNNNNNNNNNNNNNNNNNNNNNNNNNNNNNNNNNNNNNNNNNNNNNNNNNNNNNNNNNNNNNNNNNNNNNNNNNNNNNNNNNNNNNNNNNNNNNNNNNNNNNNNNNNNNNNNNNNNNNNNNNNNNNNNNNNNNNNNNNNNNNNNNNNNNNNNNNNNNNNNNNNNNNNNNNNNNNNNNNNNNNNNNNNNNNNNNNNNNNNNNNNNNNNNNNNNNNNNNNNNNNNNNNNNNNNNNNNNNNNNNNNNNNNNNNNNNNNNNNNNNNNNNNNNNNNNNNNNNNNNNNNNNNNNNNNNNNNNNNNNNNNNNNNNNNNNNNNNNNNNNNNNNNNNNNNNNNNNNNNNNNNNNNNNNNNNNNNNNNNNNNNNNNNNNNNNNNNNNNNNNNNNNNNNNNNNNNNNNNNNNNNNNNNNNNNNNNNNNNNNNNNNNNNNNNNNNNNNNNNNNNNNNNNNNNNNNNNNNNNNNNNNNNNNNNNNNNNNNNNNNNNNNNNNNNNNNNNNNNNNNNNNNNNNNNNNNNNNNNNNNNNNNNNNNNNNNNNNNNNNNNNNNNNNNNNNNNNNNNNNNNNNNNNNNNNNNNNNNNNNNNNNNNNNNNNNNNNNNNNNNNNNNNNNNNNNNNNNNNNNNNNNNNNNNNNNNNNNNNNNNNNNNNNNNNNNNNNNNNNNNNNNNNNNNNNNNNNNNNNNNNNNNNNNNNNNNNNNNNNNNNNNNNNNNNNNNNNNNNNNNNNNNNNNNNNNNNNNNNNNNNNNNNNNNNNNNNNNNNNNNNNNNNNNNNNNNNNNNNNNNNNNNNNNNNNNNNNNNNNNNNNNNNNNNNNNNNNNNNNNNNNNNNNNNNNNNNNNNNNNNNNNNNNNNNNNNNNNNNNNNNNNNNNNNNNNNNNNNNNNNNNNNNNNNNNNNNNNNNNNNNNNNNNNNNNNNNNNNNNNNNNNNNNNNNNNNNNNNNNNNNNNNNNNNNNNNNNNNNNNNNNNNNNNNNNNNNNNNNNNNNNNNNNNNNNNNNNNNNNNNNNNNNNNNNNNNNNNNNNNNNNNNNNNNNNNNNNNNNNNNNNNNNNNNNNNNNNNNNNNNNNNNNNNNNNNNNNNNNNNNNNNNNNNNNNNNNNNNNNNNNNNNNNNNNNNNNNNNNNNNNNNNNNNNNNNNNNNNNNNNNNNNNNNNNNNNNNNNNNNNNNNNNNNNNNNNNNNNNNNNNNNNNNNNNNNNNNNNNNNNNNNNNNNNNNNNNNNNNNNNNNNNNNNNNNNNNNNNNNNNNNNNNNNNNNNNNNNNNNNNNNNNNNNNNNNNNNNNNNNNNNNNNNNNNNNNNNNNNNNNNNNNNNNNNNNNNNNNNNNNNNNNNNNNNNNNNNNNNNNNNNNNNNNNNNNNNNNNNNNNNNNNNNNNNNNNNNNNNNNNNNNNNNNNNNNNNNNNNNNNNNNNNNNNNNNNNNNNNNNNNNNNNNNNNNNNNNNNNNNNNNNNNNNNNNNNNNNNNNNNNNNNNNNNNNNNNNNNNNNNNNNNNNNNNNNNNNNNNNNNNNNNNNNNNNNNNNNNNNNNNNNNNNNNNNNNNNNNNNNNNNNNNNNNNNNNNNNNNNNNNNNNNNNNNNNNNNNNNNNNNNNNNNNNNNNNNNNNNNNNNNNNNNNNNNNNNNNNNNNNNNNNNNNNNNNNNNNNNNNNNNNNNNNNNNNNNNNNNNNNNNNNNNNNNNNNNNNNNNNNNNNNNNNNNNNNNNNNNNNNNNNNNNNNNNNNNNNNNNNNNNNNNNNNNNNNNNNNNNNNNNNNNNNNNNNNNNNNNNNNNNNNNNNNNNNNNNNNNNNNNNNNNNNNNNNNNNNNNNNNNNNNNNNNNNNNNNNNNNNNNNNNNNNNNNNNNNNNNNNNNNNNNNNNNNNNNNNNNNNNNNNNNNNNNNNNNNNNNNNNNNNNNNNNNNNNNNNNNNNNNNNNNNNNNNNNNNNNNNNNNNNNNNNNNNNNNNNNNNNNNNNNNNNNNNNNNNNNNNNNNNNNNNNNNNNNNNNNNNNNNNNNNNNNNNNNNNNNNNNNNNNNNNNNNNNNNNNNNNNNNNNNNNNNNNNNNNNNNNNNNNNNNUUUUUUUUUUUUGUAUUUUGGGAAAAAAAAUAUUGAAUAGUAAAAAUGGGAAUUUUUCCGUAACAAGAGUGGCCAUCUUAAUUUUUACUAUUGGAAAUGAUAUAAAGUUGGGCUAUGUUCUGGAAUUUGUUAGAAAUCGUUUAAAAUUUGCAUGAAGUAUUUCCCCAUUUCAUUUGCAGUGGAGGCCCAAUGACACCUAUUUCCUGAACCAGAAAUUAUAAGUGGUGGCUUAAGUGGCACAUAACUAGUGUGGUUGUGGUUACCAGGUGGAGGUGGUGGUGGGAGAAGAAGACAGAGAAAUGUUUUCUUUUUUAAUUUUUAAUUUAAAUUAUUUAUUUAUGACUUGUUUGUACUUUUUUGAAAAUUUUGAGACUACGGUUAAAAUUAGUUCUUUAUUUUUUUUCUUUUUGUUUUAUUUAAAUAUAGGGGUAUACUCAUCAUUUCAUAAGACUUUAUUGAGAUCAUGAAAAGAAAGAGGGUCUUAUGUACCUCAAAUGUUAUACAAGAGGAUUUUUUGUUAAAAUUAAAGAACAAAGGUAUUCACAAUAGAGGCAAGGUCAUGCGAGUUUUGCUUCAAUAAACCUAUUCCUUAAAGUAGUGUUUGGCAAGAAUGACAAAAUGAAAUAGUUCAGUGAAGCUUAAAGCAGUGUUUGGCAAGAACAUCAAAAUGAAAUAGAAAUGGGCCACGUGUGCAUAUGUGCAACCGUAUCAUGAUUUUCUUUAUUGUAUUUAAGAAGGGAGCAUAGCCUCGACAACUGUACAACCAUUUCUUUUGCUCUACGUUAGGAUAUACUAUACAAUAGAAGAUGCAUUUCAAUUAUUUUCUGCACUAGAAACGCUGGAAGGGUACUAAGUACCAGUAACUGGAAUUUUUGCUUAUAAUGGUAUGUUGAGAUCAUGUCAAUCAUAUUCAGAUUCAUUAAACAGAAUCAUAAUACAAUCUUUACUAUAGCACGCAUGGGUAUGAUAACGAAAACCAUACGUGAAACUGCAUAGAUUGACAUCACGUAAAUGAGUAUUGUUAUUUGUGAUGUUCGCACGAUAAGAUACAUUUUAUUUUUAAAAUCAAACAUGGCAAGUAACGGUAUAAAUAUGUCCCACAUAGAUGGAUUAUGGAAAAAUUAAUUCUAUGCAACAAGAAUUCACUAAUUGAAAGGUAAGAAACAAGAACAUGACAUGAUCUAUCAUUUACUGAACGUUAAAAAACGUAGAUUAAAGAUUUACAAGAUGAAAAUUUACUAAGCCUACUCCAUUUCAUGAGAAACGAGUUAUUAAAAUCAGCUUUGAGGCCCUCUAUGAAGCCUAAAAAAGCCAGUGGUGAACAUUAAGUGGUUAUACAUGGUGAAUACCACGAAGCCUAUAGAAAACACCUUAAAGCCUCAAUCUAUCAAUUUAUUCAUUUAAAAAAAAUAAAAAUUAGGAGCAUCAUGAUGCAGCUAAACAUAUUUCAACUAAGCCUAAAAGAAGUUCAAGACGAACAUCAGAUAAAUUGUAUAUGAUUGAAACAAACGUAUAAAAAUCAUUGAUAAAGAAUUCAUGUACGGUACGGAUUGUGUGGAAACAAUACUGGUAUGAUAUCUUACUGCUAUAAAACUUAAACAUUUUUUUUACAUACUAUACGAAAACAAUUAUAACGAACAGACAAAACAUUGAUUCUUAUCAACUUGUGACAAGUUGAAAAUGCAUACACUAUAUUGUAAAAAUUUUGAAAAAUGCCUCAAAUUAGAAAUGUCCACGUAAAAAGUUCAUUUUUGUUGAUUUAACUAAUUAUCGAGCCUAUGAAUCUGGGAUUUAUAGCGUGAAUGGUGGGUUAAUGUUAAGUAUUUUUGGAAUAAAAAAUAUUGAAUAGUAAAAACGGGAAUUUUUACACAACGAGUGGCCAUCAUGAUUUCCACUAUUGGAAAUGAUAUAAAGUUGGGCUUUGUUCUGGAAUUUGUUAGAAAUCGUUCAAAAUUUUCCUGAAGCCUUUCCCCAUGUCAUAGGCAAUGGGAGGCCCAAACCAAUCCUCUUAAGAUGCCCAUUUCCUGAACCAGAAAUUAUAAUUGGUGGCUUAAGUGGCACAUAACCAGUGUGGUGGUGGUGAUGGUGGUGAAAUGAUGGGAGAGAAAUAAAUUUUUUUUUUAAAUUCUUAAUUUAAAUUAUAUAUUAAUGACUCGUUUUUACGAUUAUUAAAAUUUUUAGACUAUAGUUAAAAUUAGUUCUUUAUUUUUCUCCUUUGUGUUUUAUUUAAAUAUAGGGGUAUCUUCGUCAUUUCACAAGACUUUAUUGAGAAAAUGAAAGGAAAGAGAGUCUUAUGCACCUCAAAUGUCAUAUACGAGAAUUUUCCAUCGAAAGGAAAUAAUAAUAUGGGUAUUCACAAUAGACACAAAAGUCGUGGAGUUUUGCAUCAAAGAACCUAUUCCUUAUAAUGACUUGGAUUUGCUGGUGACAUGUUCUUAUAUUUGUUGUUGGGUUAAUUAUAUGAAUGAUCACUAAACUUUGCCCUAUGUUACUAUUUAGUCACUGAAUUUAAAAAUGUAAUUCAAUGGUCACUGAAUUUCAUCAAGUUUUACUAUUUCAUAACUGAACUUUAAAAUGUAUCUCAAUAGUCACCGAAUUUUGCACCGUGUCACCUAUCCGUCACUCAAAUGGAAAAAUUCGUUAAGUCCAACAAACGGCGUCAACUUGAGUGACGGAUGGGUAACACGGUGCAAAGUUCGGUGACCUUUGAGAUACAUUUUAAAGUUCGAUUAUGGAGUAGUAACACUUGAAAAAGUUCAGUAACCAUUGAGUUACUUUUUUAAGUUCAGUAACUAAGUAAUAACAUAAGAUAAAGUUCAGUGACCAUUAAGAUAUAGUUUUAAAUUGAAUUAUUAAGCCUUUGUUUGAGUCCCAUUCUUUCCCAAAAAAAAAAAAGAAAAAGAAUACAUUCUUAAAUAGUGAUUUGACAUCAUUUAACCACACAUUCUUCAAUAAAUAAUACUAUACGUAAAUUCAAAAUUUUUUCUUAUUUUUUAACUACACAUUUUUCAUCAAUAUACUAUUCAAAAAUUCAUUUUAUCCCUCAAAAUGGGGAUCAAACAAGGGCUAAGGUCCUCAAAUUGACCUCUAUGAUAGAAGAAAUCAAAGAAAAUGAAGGGAAAAAGGAGGAAACAGAAAAUUAGAGACCUAUAAAUUAAAUAAAAAUAAAAUUGUUGCUAAUAUUCAUCCAUCACGAUGAAAAAGUAUGUUUUAUUUUUAGAUCAACUGGUAUCAGUUCAUCGUAUCUCAAAUUCCGCAUAAAUAGAUUGAAAGAGAAACAGUUGGAACAAUAAAAGGAAUUGACAAAUAAAAAAUUAAAUAAAAGUACAAAAACGUUCGAAUAGUGCCAAUGUAACUAAGGUCGAUUUGAUUUUUCAACUAUGUUACUACUUAGUCACUGAACUUAAAAACGUAAUUCAAUGGUGACUGAAUUUCGCCAAGUAUUACUACAUCAUAAUCGAAUUUUAAAAUGUAUCUCAAUGGUCACCGAACUUUGUACCGUGCUAUCCAUCCGUCACUCAAGUUGACAUCGUUUGUUGGAUUUAACGGAUUUUUCCAUUUGAGUGACGUAUGGAUAACACAGUGCAAAGUUCGGUGACCAUUGAAAUACAUUUUAAAUUUUGAUUAUGAAGUAAUAACACUUGGCGAAGUUCAGUGACCAUUGAGUUACGUUUUUAAGUUUAGUGAAUAAGUAAUAACAUAGGACAAAGUUCAAUGACCAUUCAUAUAAUUAACCCAUUUGUUGCUCGACUGAUCUGUUUUGCAUUAUUAAUAAUUGUCCCAAUUUUCUUCUAAAUCGUUAUGCUUAUUAGAGUUGACGCCAUAUUUGUAGUAAAUACCCAAUUUUCUUGUAGGUUUCCUAUCACAGCAAAAAGACAGAGAAGAAUAAAAAUUUGCCUUUCCCAUUGGAGUCUUUGGGUGUGGGGCCAAAAUGGCCUUGCUCGUGUUUCACAUGAUUGGAUUAUUUUAAUCGUAACUACUUUUGAUGUAAUGUAAUUAUGAGAAUGCACAUUUUUUUCCACACAAGAAUCUGAAUUAUUCUGAGACACUUUUUCCUCCAUAGACCAAAGAGGUCAUUGCCAACUUUAAUAAUGGCAAGACUUGAUGUGAAGACCCAUAUAUUUAGCCCUGAUCGACAAUUAUUAUUUAAAAAUUCUUUUUUAUACUUAUUUAUUUUCAAUCACGAAUUCAACAAUAAAAUAUAUUGCACAUAAAUUUUAAAAUUUUUCUCAACUUUUUAACAACAAAUUCUCUUAAAAAUCACUAUUCAAAAAUCGAUUUUUUGGAAAUAAUGGCCAAAAAACAUGGGCUUAAAGAUACAUCAUCAAGGUGGGUCCGUCCACAAUUUAGUAGCUUAGAAUUUUAAAUAAGGUAGUCUAAUAGUGUAUUAGAGCGUAUAAAUGUAUUAAUUUUUAAGUUUAGUAUAAAUGAGAAAAAUUUAUGUGCACAUUUGAAUGAAAAAUGAUUUGUACUCGCAUGAUGAGGAGACAUCCAAUAGGCAAUAAAAUUAUAUUAUAUAAUUUUUUUACUCUUUAGUGAUUAAAUUCCUAGAUAAAAUGAUUUAAAAAAAAAUUUAUUUGUUUUUGACCAAAAAAAAAAAAGGCUCAACAAGUCUAUGGCCGUUUGGAUAUCAUUAUAAACCUCAGCAGUGAGGCUGUUGCUUUUUAUGCAUAGAUUAGCAAAAUUAUUUACUGAUGCCAGGACUACCUUUGUUCUUACCAACUAGGAAUAUUCACCAUUUUUACAUCUCCCAAAACUAGGUAGGAUCUGAUCCUUUGUUCUUACCAAUCAUUGGGCUUAAUCUCCAUUUUGGUUGUCCUAGCUCCACUGGCCAAAUUGUAACCUGCAACCUAGAUAUUUGUUGUGUUGAGUUCUUAUGAACUGUGGGACGUUUAUUUCGGGAUUUGGUGGGUGUCUCCUAAUUAUAGGGCCGGUUGGAUUUUCUUGUUGCGUGAUAGGGUUUUGCCAAUUAGAGGCAUAAGAUUCAUCUUGUACAGAAAUCGUGAUUCAAAUAAAAAUGACUGCUGAAGGUGGCAGUAACUCAGCAUGUUUUUCAAUAAAGUAUGUUCUUGUUAACACUUGGCUUCUUAAUCUAUCGUAACUGCGAGAACGAUGGUUAUUUUUCAAAUUUUUGUUAACAUUAUAUAUUUUUUAUCUAAUGUGUUAUGCAUACGAGGGUUAUAUAAAUUUUUUAAUCUUGCCAGCUCAAACUUGGUUGUACAACUAACAUUUGGCAAGAUUUUGGCUAGUGAUGAUUUUAUCAUUGAUUUUAAAAUGAUGGUAAAACCAUCAAUGGCCAAGAGGAUUCAACCAAGUUUGACAACUUGGGUCGUACAACUAGCAUUAUACUUGUUACUUUUAAAGGAAUGACUUAGUUAUGCAGACUAUAUUCAAUUUUAUUUGAACGUUUUGGUUAGUUUUUUCCUUAAAAAAAAAAUUAGAAAUAAGUUUUUACUCACCAUUUUUCCUUACAAUUGAUAUGAUAAUAUUAAGAGCAAAGUAUUAGAGAGAGGCUUUUAACAAAGGGCAGUAAACAGGGCUAUAAACAGGGAUUCACCUUAGCCCUUGACUUGAAUUUAAUCAACGGUUGAGGAUAAUCCGUUUCAUGUCUAGAGUCCCUUGUUGACUAGCGUUUCUGAAAGUAUUAACUAAGGUAAAAUAGUGUCCUAUAUAAAUAUAUUAUUGCACUUACAACGGCUAAUUCUCUAUUGUUAAUUAAUGUAAAAAUGAUUAUAAAACAAAUAUUUGCCCCAUAGUAAUUGAGAAAGUAAUGUUACCAUUAGAUUUUGAAAUCAAUUAUAUGAUAUAUUUUUAAGACACGCAAAAACUAUUGCAAGACAUUAGCAAAUACUUUUCACGGCUGCCAAUUACCACCGUAAAAACCUUUACCUUGAAGCGUUUGCCCAUGGCUAAAAAAUUGUGGAGAAGACGUUGUAUAUACCUUUUGCGGCGGUAUUGGGUACUUUUAUGGCCAAAAAAAACUCCCAUCAUAAAUACCAAGUUUUCUUAUAGUUGUCCUAUCUCAACAUAAAAAUAAAAUAAAAAAUAAGAGAGAGAGAGAGGCAUUUCCAAUUAGAGUCUUUGUGCGUGGGGCCCAAAUGGUCUUGUAUGCUCACGAGUGAACUAUUUUAAUAGUAACUCCUACAAAUGUUGCACAAUCGCUAGUAAAACAAAAGAAUGCUCAAUCAAAUCGUCUUUUCCAAGAAAUUUCAGAAAUUUGAAUGUUCAAAGAUGUUACUUUUCAAAAUUGAGAGAUCAAAUCAAGGAUAAAUGGCAGAUAUUGACCUCGAAUAGUAUGUUGUCCUCAACCAUAGACCAACGAUGUCAUUAUCUGCUUCAAAAAUGAUGUUCACGCUUGCACAGUGAGCCUUAUCAAUUUAAUCGCAUGGACUUGAUGUGAAGACCUUGUACAAGUCAAUGUAUUUUGUAAAAUCAUUCUAUAUAUGUAUUAUUUAGUGAUAUAUCAACAAAGUGGGUGGUCCACUGUUCACUAGCCCAAAUUAUUAAGCCCUUGUUUGAACUCCAUUAUUUUCAAGAUGCACCUUUAUCUUUUUUUUUUUUUUCUUAUGUUUGCCGUAAGUAAAUUUCGACCACUCAAACAUUUCACCAUCGCUGCUCCGUUGCAACUAGUGCCUCAAAUUACCAGUUUAUCACCCCUUUACACAAAAGUGUCCAUCAAUUUUACGUUGAUCUGAAAACGAAGUAGUUUGAAUAUUUUCCUCCUUUCCUUCUUCGAAUGAAAUCGAGGUCAUCGAUGGCCUUCACUAAAAUACAAUUCUGAUUUGGGAGGAUGGAGUGGGAUGCAUUGGGUGGCAUGGUGGCUCUGAUUUGGGUGAGGGGAUGGGGUGGGGACGGGGCAGGUCAGCGUGGGAUUUUUGUUUUGUUUUAAUUAAUUAUUUUACUUGUUCUCUUUUAUUCUUUUAAAUUGGUCAAAAUUAGUCAAAGUUUAAUUUAUUGGUCAACUAAUUGUUAAAUGAACGGUUUUCAUCCAUUUGAACUCCAGAUAUAUAUUUUUGAAAGAUUUGGAACAUUGGGUGGCACAAAAUGAAGGUUAAAAUAAAAUCUACAAAAAUGUAAAAGGUUAAGGACCGCUGCUACAAAUUUUCUAUUAUUUUAAGAUAACUGCCAACUUUAAUAAUGAUGUUUCAAGCUUUUGUUGACAGAGGUCAUUGCCAACUUUAAUAAAGAGAUGUUUCACGCUUUUGCCACUGUGAACUUUAUCAAAUUUAAUGGCAAGACUUGAUGUGAAGACCCUGAUAUUUAGCAUGAUUGACAAUCAUUAUUUGAGAACUCCUUCUAUACAUAUUUAUUUUCAAUUACACAUUUAUCAAUAAAAUAUUCUGUACGUAAACUCAAUUUUUUUUUUUUUUUUAACUCUUUAAAACAUUGUUUCUUGGAAAUAAUGGCCACCAAACAAGGACUUAGUGAUAUAUAUAUCAUCAAGGUGUGUCCUCCACAAUUUAGUAGCUUAGAUUUUCAAAUAAGGUAGUUUAAUAGUGUAUUAGAACAUAUAAAUGAGAAACUUUUAGAUACAAGACAUUUGAUGAAAGAAGGAUUCAUACAUGCAAAACAUUUUUGUAUAAGUAGACAUUUUUAUAAUCUACUUUAUAAAAAUUUUUGAAUAGAAAAGGUUUGAACAGGUUUAAGGCUGUUUGGAUGUCAUUAUAAAGCUCAACCGUGAGGCUGUUGCUUGGUAAGCAUAGAUAAGCAAAACAUGCUGGUGCAUUUGGUUUUUCUCCAAAUCUUCUGCAUUUUUUCACUGGCGGUAGCAUCGCCCUCGAAUGCGACCACCACCUCCACUAAACCUGGCUGCCAAAGUAGAUGUGGAAACCUAGAAAUUCCAUACCCGUUUGGUAUCGGGUCAAACUGCUCUUUGGACAAAUACUUUAAUAUCAAUUGCAAUACUUCUUUCGACCCUUCAAAAGCCUACCUCGUCGAUCCUGGUCCUUCUAUCGUUAAUUACCCUUCCAGCUAUGAGGUUGUUAAUAUCUCAAAAACUAGAAUAUAUCUUAAGAACGUGGAGGCACAACUGUCAGUGGCCUGCAGUGGUAUGGGAUUCGAUAACAAGACAGAGAAUUAUACUAUAGCAAUGGAAUUUUAUCGUAGUCCUUAUACCUGGUCAAACGCGAAUCAGGUCACGUCCCUUGGUUGUGAUGACUUGGCUAUGGUACGAACAGAUUCAUCCAAUGAAUCUGACGGUGGUGUUGCUUGUGCAUCCUACUGUCGAAAAUUUUCAGAUCCUGUUGUCGGGUCAUGUCCGGGCAGGGGCUGUUGCCGGACCUUCAUAACCAAAGGUACAUAUGUUGGAGUUAAACUCUCUGACAUGCAUAAUUACUGGGGCCGACAUAGGAGACUUUUCCGGUGCAGCUUUGCCUUCGUAGGAAUGAUAGGUGAUGAUGAUGAUAAAUUUAAUUUUCGUUUAUCUCAUCUUGAUGAUUUAACAACAUUCCUAAACAAUAAUAAAGAGUUUACGAGUACGCCAUUAGUGUUGGACUGGGGAAUUUCUCGCUACCUGAAUUGCACAGUAGCUGCUCAGAAUUCCACUAAAUAUGCAUGUAAAAAGAACAGUGAUUGCAUUAAUUUGUACCAAAAAUCUGUACCGUAUAGUGGAGGAUAUCGAUGUCAGUGCAAGGAAGGAUAUGAGGGCAAUCCUUACCUAGGAUGCGAAGGUCAGUUUUUUUUUCUAAAAAUUAAUAUCCGUACUUAAUGGAAGUCUUGGCUAUUUUAUAGACGAGUUUAAUACGAAAAAUCUAACAAUUGUUUGUUGUGAUGCUUAAAUGGGAUGGGGUGCGGCAGAUAUCAAUGAAUGCAUGAGUAAUCAUAAAUGCAUCUCAUAUGGAACCUGCACCAAUAUUCCGGGUUCUUAUUGGUGUUCCUGUCCUUCCGAUUAUCACGGUGACGGUAAAAAAAAUGGUUUUGGUUGUAUUCCAAUAUCGGUACCCCAUGAUAAACUCGCAAUAGGUAAUUUUCAAUCUUUUGCAUAUUAAAUAACUGGUGAAAUUUAUUUUUCUUAAUAUUUUCUGCAUAAAUUAUUAAAUAAAUUAGAUGUCCUAUAAUCAAGACAAUAAAUAUUAUGCAAUUGCUUGUUAAUUUUUUCUAUUUAAAUAUAAUACAAUUGCUUAUUUAAUUUUUUUUCCUAUAAUUAUUGUUUAAAUUAAUUUAAUCAUUUAUUAUUGUAGAUAAUGUCAUCAAUCAUAUAUUAAAUAUUAAAUAUUUAAAAUAGGUUAGGAAACACAAUAUACGAAGAACAAUAUGAUGAAUAGCAAUUCACAUUGACAGAAGUUAUCUAUCCUCAAAAUUUAAGCAUUAGCAUUUUUAAUAUUAUCGAAUUGUACUAGUCUCAGUAUCCCAUAAAUAAACAAACAAAAAAGAUCAAGAUUCCAAAUUAGAAAACUAUACAUGAUUGAAUCCAAAAUAGAUGUGAUGAUCUUGACUUGAAUUACGUUGCAUAUGUUGAUACUUUUAGGAGUAGGCUUGAGCGCUGGAAUGGGAUUGCUAGUGCUGCUAUCCACUUGCUUUUGGUUGUUCAAGUUUCAGAAGAAGAGAAAAAUUAAAAAACGCAAAGAAAAAUUCUUCAAACGAAAUGGUGGUCUUCUGCUAGAACAACAAAUAUCAACGGAUGAAGGAAUACUUCAAAAAACACGACUUUUCAGUGUUAAAGAGUUAGAGAAAGCCACUGAUCACUUCAGUGAAAGUCGAAUACUUGGUGAAGGAGGUCAGGGGAUGGUGUAUAAAGGGAUGUUAACUGAUGGAAAAAUUGUGGCAAUAAAAAAAUCCAAGGUGGUAGAUGAAAAUCAAGUGGAGCAAUUUAUUAAUGAGAUUGUCAUGCUUUCACAAGUCAUUCAUAGGAAUGUGGUUAAACUAUUAGGUUGUUGCCUAGAAACUGAAGUUCCUUUACUAGUCUAUGAAUUCAUUUGCAAUGGAACCCUUUACGAUCAUAUCCGCGACAAGAGUGAUGAGUUUCCAUUUUCAUGGAACAUGCGCUUAAAAAUUGCUGUAGAAGUCUCAGAAGCACUUGCCUAUCUUCAUUCUGCAACUUCUAUCCCCAUCUAUCACAGAGAUAUUAAGUCAACUAAUAUUCUACUUGAUGAAAAAUAUGUAGCUAAAGUUUCAGACUUUGGAACUUCUAGAUCAAUCGCAGUGGAUCAUACUCAUUUAACCACACUAGUAAAAGGAACCUUUGGAUACUUAGACCCUGAAUACUUUCAAUCAAGUCAAUUUACAGAAAAAAGCGAUGUUUACAGUUUUGGAGUUGUUCUUGUUGAGCUCUUAACUGGACAACGACCAAUAUCUUUUGCCAAAACGGGAGAGGAAAGAAGUUUAGCAACAAGAUUUUUGUUAUGUAUGGAAGCAGACAAUCUCGAAACAAUUCUUGACAGCCAAGUUUUAGAGCAAGGUAAGAGAGAAGAACUAAUUGCAGUGGCAAAACUUGCACAAAGGUGCUUAAAUUUGAAUGGGAAGAAAAGGCCAUUGAUGAAAGAAGUAGCCACAGAGUUGGAGAUUAUUAAAAUAUCUCAAACGCAUUUGAUUGCAUCUGAUACUAAAUAUCAAGGCCUACAGUUGCGCAAAUCCAAAGCGAUAUUGGUGUCCGAUGAUGACUACACAUGGACAAGUUCCUCUAACAAUAUCAUCCCAUCAUCAGAUGCACAGCCCCUAAUGGUUCAUACCACUUGAUGCAUUCUCUGAUUUCUAAACAAUUUCCUCAUUUGUUGUAUAAUAUAUGCUUUUGUAAUAGUUUAUUUAAACAACUAAAUAACAUUUGGUCUAGAUUUUUGUUAUAUCAAUACACGGAUCAGACUUUUUCAGCAUGAGAUUUUUACCUUCAAUUGAUUUAGAUUAACUUAUUCUUUUAGACGUGCGUUUGCUUACUAUACUGGGUUUUUCUCCAAUGGACUCUCAAACUAGGGUGUAUUAUGCUAUAAUUUGUUUGAACACUACAAAUGGACCGCAUACCAUCAACAUAUUAUUUUGUGCUUUCUUCCUAGAGACAACAAAGAUUUCUUCAGUAUCAAUAUCUAAUUUGGCUUCAUUACUUGUGUGUAUUCAGAACCUUGAACAUGUAUUUCAUAAAGUUAAACUAUUCCUUUGAUUUACAAAAAGAAAAGAAAAAUGAAUGAAAACAUUUUUUUCUUCAAAGGACAGAAUAUUCAUUAAACAACCUUUAUGUUAAUUGGUUCUUUUGCACAGAAAGUAACUUGAAAUAUGAGAAUGCUUAGCCAGUUCGCCUUUCUCAUUAAAUUUUGGGAUUUUGAAUUGUUUGAAGACAUUAUUUUUCAAAUUUGAGCGAUCAAAUCACAGCUAAAUGGCAGAAAUUGACCUUGAAUAUGUUGUUCACCAAUAUACCAACGAGGUCAUUGUAAACUUUAAAAAUGAUGUUAACGGUCGAGAUUUAUCAAAUUUAACCCUUGUUUGAGCUCCAUUUAACUAAAUAUACAUUUUUCAAAUCUCAUUUUCAACCAUAUAUUUCUCUACAAAAUAAUAUUGCACAUAAAUCCAAAACUUUUUAUUUUUUAUUUUUUAACCACACAUUAUUCAACAAAAUAUACUUUUUUCCCAAAAACAUCAUUAAAAUGGAGCCAAGAAAGGAGCUUAAUGGCAUAGACUUAAUGUGAAGACAGUAUUAUGUUUUGAAUGGUUGACCAGGAAAUAGGAGUUAGACGGUGCAUGACCCAUAUUGUACUUAUAACUGUUAUUUAACGAAAAAUAUUUGUUUGUAGGACUUGGAAAAACUAUUUGGCCUUGAACCCCACUUAUAUAGAAAAUUGAAAAUUUAUACUCUUGAAAGAAUAACACUAAUCAAUAUUGUCUAGUCUACCAUAUCAAAUAAGUAAUUUUUAAUACAAGAAAUUGUUAGUUUGGAUUGUGGACAAAUUUUCUAAGGACCUUCUCGAGCCCGACUUGGACAGAAAAUUAAAAAUCAAGCUUUGUGAAGUAUAAGAAUGAGCUCGGGAAGAUUGGCUAGUUCCCAAAGUCUACUUUCUUUGUUUUUGCCGUUGCUAAACGUCAACAUGGUGUGUGUGGACUAUGGAUGUCUCAGGUAUGAAAACAUUUAUCAUAUCCAAUGCUAAAAGUAAUAACCAUCUUCCACUCCCCCUACCUAUCAUUAUAGACUUGUCAUAUUUUUUUACAUGAAUAUUAAAGCCACAAAAUGUUAGCGGAGCAUUCAAUUUUUUAUUUUAUUUUAUUUUUAAUUUUUUGCAUUGCAAAAUUAUUGUGAAGGAAUAUGUCGCAACUAGUUUCAUAAAAGUUUUAUUUUAUAAAAUUUAGAUUAUGAUUUAAUAUGGUAAAAGUUAUAUGAAACAUUUAUGCUCUAGUUUGUUCUCAUUAUUUUCAAAAUAUAUUUUUUUUCUCUUAUUUUCAAAGACAUAUUUUUCAGUAAAAUAAUAUUUCAUGCAAAUUCAAUUUUAUUUUAAGGUAUUACAGGUAGAUCAACAAAACAACAAAAAUUGUUUGGUUUUUAUUUCCAUUUGCGACUCUUUGGUUUGAGGCACCUUUUUUCAUUUUUUCAAAAUAAUGAUUCUUAAAAAUCUAUAGUAUAUUAAAUAUCAUAUCAAAUGAGAAUCAUUUUUUAAUGAUUCUAGCCCUCCUAUAAUUCAAUUAUUUCAAUAAUAUAUUAAUUUUUUCAUUAUGUAUUUAAAUUUUUUAACAAUUUAGUUACCAUCGAUGUACAAGUACAUUUGACAAGUUCAUGCCACUUGUGUGCUUUUGUUACUGUUGAAUUCUCUAUUAUUAAUUCUCAAUUAGUUAAUAUUCACAUUCAUCUAAUUAAUAUUUAGCUUCAUUUAUGCAUUUCAGUAUUAUUAAUUCUAAUUACAGUUAAUUAGAAUUUCACAUUCAAGAAUGCAAUUUAUUAUUCAUGUCCAUGUAUGCUAAUUAAUAUCCAGUUUUACUUAAUUGAAAAUUAAAUAAAUUAUUUAACAUUUAUAGUCAUGUAUAUAUUCCAUGGUAUAAAUUUAAAUUAAUUAACAUUCACGUAUAUUCAAAUAUUACUUUUACAACACUCAUAAAGUAUUUUAUAAUUGCACAUUCAAUAUUGACUAGUAUUUAAUAAAUAUGAAAGAGAUGAGUAACUAAAUGAUAAUCAUUUUAAUAACCACAGAUUAUCAAAACAUGUAAUUUGUUAACAUUACUUAAGAAUUUUUUUAUGAAUUGUCAAAGAAUUCAAUAUUUGGUAACAAAGUUAUCUAAUACAUUGAUAUAUAUGUUUACUGGCCUGUAUGUUUAGUAUAUAGUUUUGCUAGGAUCGAACAAGAUUUACGUUUCGGUGGGAUAUGUAGUUUAUACCUUUUCUUGGUCUCUUUUCUUAAUUAUUUAGAGCUAAUUGAGUUUAUAUCUAUCUAAUCCAGAUGUAAAUAUAUUAAUUGUGUGUAAAUUUUGACUUAAAUGCGUUUGGAUGAAAUUGACAUGAAAAGGGACAUAUUUUGGGGCUAAAUUAAAUUUAUUUAGAGCAAUUGAUGAUCAACGUGAUUAUAAAUCUCAAUUGUGAGGCUGUUGUUUUUAGUAUGCAUAGAUUAUCCUGGUUCUUUUUCUUUUUUGGAAUAACAUGCUGGUGCAUUCAGUUUUCCUCCAAAUCUCCUGCUUUCUUUCACUAGUGGUAGCACUACCGCCAAAUGCAACUGGAGUCACCACCACCAUCAUCACUUAACCUAGCUGCCAAAGCAAAUGUGGAAACCUAGAAAUUCCAAACCCGUUUGGUAUCGGGUCAAAAUAUUCCGGGAACAUACACUUCAAUAUAAAAUGCAAUACUUCUUUCAACCCUCCAAAGCCUACCUCCUGGUUCGCUAUGGAAAUAUUCCCGUGGGGUGGUUAAUAUCUUACAAACCCAAAUCUAUCUUAAGAACUCGGAGGCACAACUGGUAAUUGCCUACUACGGUAUGGGAUUCGAUAACAAGAUAUAGAAUUCUACUUUAUCAAUGGAACUUUUUGAUGGUCCUCAUACCUUGUCAGACGCAAUUCAGAUGCGGUAACCUAGAUAUGGCAUCAUAACUUUCAUACCUAACAAAUACCUUUGACGAUGGUGCUUGUGCGUCAUACUAUGGUGGCCUUCCUGAUUAUAUUCAUAUUGGGUCAUGUUUAACAAGGGGCUAUUGCCGGGACCUCCUUAUCUAGAGGUGAGUAUCUUCGAUUUGUAUUGUUAGAUAUGCAUAGUUAUUGGGGUAGAGAUAGCAAAAUUUUUCGUUACAGCUUUGCCAUCAUUGGAAUGACAGGUAAUUAUGAUAAAUUUGAUUUUAGUUUAUGUCAUCUCAACGAUUCAACAACAUUCCUACGUAGUAAUAAAGAGUUUUUUGGUAUGCCAUUAGUGUUGGACUGGAGAAUUGACGGCUAUAAUUGCAUCAUGGAGCAGAACUCCACUAAUUAUGCAUGUGGAAAAGAAUAGUUAUUGCAUUAGUUACAAUACCAAUCUUAGUUUCAGAAGAUACCGUCGUAAGUGCAAGGAAGGAUGCGAAGGCAACCCUUACAUAGAAUGAUGUGGUUAGAAUUGUUUAAAAACCACUAUCUAUACUUAAUUAAAGUCAUUAUUUUUACUAAUCAGUUCAAUAUAAAAAUCUAAUGAUUUCCAUAGACGAAGAUGUCAUAAUCUAUACUCACAAUUUUAGUAGUAGUAUUCUUAAUAUUGUAUUGUUAUCUUAAAAUCAAAUUAGUAAACAAACAAAAAGAUCAAUAUUCCUGCUUUAGAAAACUAUACAUAACUGUGCCUUGAUACUUUCAGUAGUAGGGUUGGUCACUGGAAUCAAAUUACUACUACUGUUGUCGACUUGUUUUCGAUUUUUCAAGUUUCAGAAGAAGAGAAAAAUAAAAAAGAACAAAGAUAAAUUCUACAAACAAAAUGGUGGUUUCUUGCUACGACAACAAACAUCAACAAAUGAAGAUAUACUCGAACAAACACGAAUUUUUACUAUUAAAGUGCUAGAAACAGUAACUAAUAACUUCAACGUAAGUCAAAUACUUGGUCAAGGAGAUCAAGGGACAGUCUAUAAAAGAAUGUUAACAGAAGAAAAAAUCAUAGCAAUAAAAAAAUCCAAGUUAGUAGAUGCAAAUAAAGUGAAGCGCUUCAUUAAUGAGGUUGUCAUGAUUUCACAAGUUAUUCAUAAGAAUGUAGUUAAGCUAUUGGGUUGUUGUCUGGAAAAAGAAGAUCCUUUAAUAAUUUGUGAAUUCAUUUGCAAUGGAUCAUGUUUGUAAUGAUCAGUUCCAUUGUCAUGGAACAUAAGCUUGAAAAUUGCAACAGAAGUGGCAGAAGCACUUGCUUAUCUUCAUUCUACAGCUUCUUUUCCGAUUUAUCGCAAAGACAUGAAGUAAAGUGGCGAUCAUUGUCCCAAUUCAUAAAUUGAUUUCUCCAAGACCAACGCAACUACUACUCCUAAAACCCUAAGAUUUUGGGUCACAUUACAACAAUCUCGACCUUCAAUCAAAUUCUAAUCACAAGGAAUUCCAAUUACUAAUCUCCAAGUAAACACCACUCCACCUCUUCCAAGCCCCAAUGGACUAAAUCAAUGACAAACACCUACUAAGUUCAAGCAGUGCUCAAACUUAGCAAUGAAAAGUGGUUUUGUCAUCAUGUUAGUAGGAUUCUCCUUAGUAUCAACAUUGCUCACUAAAAUGUCACCACGAGCAAUUAUUUCACGCACAAAAUGCUACCACACAUUAAUGUGCUUAGUCCUCUCGUGGAACAUUUGGUCCUUAUGUUAGAAAUAUAGCACUCUGGCUAUCACAAUACACUGUAGAUAUAAGCAAGUAUUCACUGAUUUCACCAAUUAAUCCCCUUAACCACAUAGCCUCCUUGCAAGCUUCAGUAGUGGCCAAGUACUCUACCUCUGUUGUAGACAAAACUACUGUAUCUUGCAAAGCAGCUUUCCAGCUGAUAGCACAGCCUCCAAGGGUAAACACAUACCCUGUAAGUGAUCUCCUUUUGUCAAUAUCCCCUACAUAGUCUGAAUCCACAUAUCCUCGACUCCUUCUGAGCUUCUUUCCAAAUGCAAACAAGCAUUUGUAGAGCCUUUCAAGUAUCUAAGGAUCUACUGCACUACUUUCCAAUGUUCCUUUUUAGGAUUUGCCAUGUAUCUACUAACUAUACUGACUGCAUGUGCUAAAUUAGGUCUUGUACAAACCAUAAUAUACAUUAGCAAACCAACUAUAUUGGAAUAAGGAACAAUAGACAUAUACUCAAUGUCUUCAUCUGAUUGCGGACACAAGUCUAUUGAUAAUUUGAAAUGUGCAGCCAAGGGUGUACUGACAGCCUUUGCAUUUUAUAUAUUGAAUCUCUGAAUUUCCUUCUCAAUGUAGCCUUUUUGACUCAACUAUAAUUUUGCCAACUUUUCCGUCCCUCAAGAUUUCCAUUCCAAGGAUUUUCUUUGAUGCUUCCAAGUCCUUCAUCUCGAACUCUUUACUCAGCUAAGACUUAACUUGUCUGACCUCUGCCUUAUCUUUGGGUGCUAUAAGCAUAUUAUCAACAUACAACAAGUAUGUGGCAGAUCUGAAGUGCACACAACUAUCAUAAUUACACCUUUCAAAACCAUGAGUAAUCAUGAAUGAAUCUAAUCGCUUAUACCACUGCCUCGGUGACUGCUUCAGUCCAUAAAGGACUUUGUCAACAAGCACACAUAGUCUUCUUUUCUAGAAACUAUGAACCCUUCUGGCUAUUGCCUAUAAAUGUUCUGCUAAAGUUCUCCAUGCAAGAAUGUUGUUUUGACAUCCAUCUAUUCAAAUUCCAAAUCAUUUUUUGCCACAAUCUCAAGUAAAGCCCGAAUUGAAUUGUACUUUACAACUGGCGAGAACACAUCUGUGAAGUCAACAUCUAGAAUCUGACUACAACCCUUUGCUACCAACUUGACCUUAAACCUGGUGUCUUCAAUCCCUGCUGUCAUUUCUUUCCUUUUGAACACCCACUUACAGCGAACAACCCUUUUGUCCUUAGAUAAUUUUACUAAGUCGCAAGUGCUGUUUUUAUUUAAAGACUCCAUUUCUUACUGCAUAGCAAUCAACCAUUUGCCAGAAUCAAUGUAACUGACUACCUUUGAAUAUGUGGCAAACUCCUUAAUGGAUUCAAUGUCUUUAGCCACACUUAGAGCAUAAGCAACCAAAUUUGCCUCUCCAUACCUCUGUGGAGGUUUAAUCUGUCUAUGAGAUGUGACCUUUGCAAUCGAAUAUUGUGGUACUGCUGGUGGUGUAAGCAAAGUAGCGAAGUAUUACUAUCUGUAUCCUCUGAACUAGAUUGCUCUAUAACCUCUGACUGUUCCCCGGGGCUAAUUUCAAACUCCACCUAAGUUGAAUAACUCUGUUAUCCAAAUUUACCAUAAUCAACAAGAGAUUUUCCAUGAAUCAUAGCAAGUUCGUCAAAUACUACAUCCCUACUAAUCACCACUUUCUUCUCUUUUGGACACCACAACUCAUAACCCUUCUGAUAUGAUCCAGGAGUCGAUCCCAACGAAGGCGAGUGCGAGACGAGAUCCGUUGAUGGUCGAUGGCGGACCAAUGACGCGAUCAAGGACAGAGCAAGUGAAACAAGCAAUGAGAUUCCUCGUUCAAGAAACCAUUGAUGGAACCAUGUUCGGGACUCAAAAUGGAGCAACUUUCAUGUUCGGGUCAAGGGCCGAAUCAACUUGGAUCAAUUUGUUAUCAAGCGACGAAACCGGAAGCUGAAAACAAGUUUGUGCGACCGCACCAUGCGGCCGCAUGGAGGCAUACCUAAACUCAAGAUGGAUUUUUGGUUGAACCAUACGACCCCAUGAAAAUACACCAUGUGGUCGCAUGGUUCAAAAUUUUGGCGAAUUUUCCAAUUUUGGUAAUUUUCCAUAUUUUGUUAGUUUUUGAUUUUUUUCUAUAUUUUGGGGAUUAUGAUUGACUUUUGCACGAUUUUUACCUAGUUUUUAGGUUUAGUAUAAAUAGGAGUUUCCAUUCAAUUGUUAAAAACUUUUGACAUAUUUGAUAUUGAAUUAAAAGUGAGGCGUAUUGUCUUUCUUCAUCGUUCUUCAUUGAACAAUUUCGAACUUAUCAAGUGUUAACUUGUGGCGUUCAAACAACUGGAUUUAAUUCUUGGAUUGUGUGAUCAAGGGGUCUUUCAAGCGUCGUUCUUGUUGGAUUUUUUUGUUUAACUUUCUUUUGGGUUAAUCCUAAAUUCUUGGAUUAAUUUGACUUUCUUGGAUUCUUCAAUCUCGUUAUGGGUUUCAUAGUCAACGUUGCUACGGGGUUCGCAUCACCUUCAAACAUAUUUCCCUUAUCUCAAAUGCAAGAAACAAGUCAUCCAAGCUCACACAAUUACGGGCCCUUAAUUGCGGAAGAAAUUAAAUGCAUAUAAACCAUUCGAAAUAAUCAAACGUGUUUCAAUGUCAAAAAUAUGAAACAAUGAAUUAAGAAUCAUAUUACGAGGUUCAUCAAUCUCCUUGUACAUAGAUUUCUAGUCUAACAUGGUAGAAGUAAAAAAGACAAGAAGAAUAAUAAAGAAAAGACAUCACCAAUUUCAUUCUUGAAUUGAAUCUUCACAUCUUCGAGUUGUUCUUUGUGUUUUUUGUCACCUUCUAUGCUCUCAAAAUCCUUAGAAGUAUGUUAGAAUGCAUGAUGGUUCUUUAGGGACAGCCCUAGGGUUGUAAAAUAUCUCCAAAGAUUUGUUUCCAUAAGAAUUUCAGUCAUAAUAGGAAACCAAAUUUUUUUCGCCGCGAUUCGCCUGGGCUUUCUUCUCUGUAAUUGUUUUUUGACAUUAGGCAGUUGUCCACUCUAAACAACUAGGCUGUCGCUCAGCUAUAAAAUUCAGAAACAUUAUAUUUUAGCCCUCGAAUUCGAUUCUUGAUUCUUUCAAGUCCUUUCUCUUGUAUUUUCAAUCCUUUUACUUUUAAUUGCAUCAAAUUGAACAUGUAACAUCUUUAAUCUUCAUUUUGUGGUCCGAAAUAACUAUUAAAAUGUUGCAAUUUAAUCAUCAUACUUUGGAUUUCCUCAUUUUUCUUUUCCAAUUGCUUAGAAACCGGUCAAUCACUGAAAUAAACAAAAAGUUACCCAAGUUAAGUAACAAUCAGCACUUUCAUGACAUAAAAACUUAGUAAUACAGUCCAAAUAAGUGCACAAAAUGUAUCAACACCCACAUCUUUGUUUUUUAUUUUUCAAGGCAUAGCAGUCAGCUCUAAUAUGCCCCUUCUUCUUACAAUAAUGACAUGUCUUCUUAGCAUAUCUCGACUUUGAUGUGUCCCUCAUAUUCCUGCUAAGCUUCCUAUCUUGACUCCUCCCAUAAACAACUAGGCCCUCCACCUGACUUUCAGAUCCUUUAACAAGAUGUCUCAUCUUCUCCUUAGACUGUAAGGCAUCAUAGACCUUCUCUACCGUGAGAGUAUCAAGACUACAGAGAAUACUAUCUCUAAAAGUCACAUAUGAUGGCGACAAUGAACACAACAACAUCAAUGCCAAAUCUUCCUCGUUGUAAUUAACCUCCAAAGUAUUCAAAUCGGCCACGACUUCUUUAAACAAGGUUAAGUAAUCAUCCAAUCAUCCACCUUCAGACAUCCUAUUAGAAUACAAGCAUUGUUUCAAGUGUAACUUCCUGGUCAAGCUCUUUGUCAUGCAAAGCUGCUUCAACUUCAACCACAAUGCAGCAGCACUUCUCUCCUUUAGAACAUCCUGAAAAUUUUGAUUUGAAAGAUGAAGAUGAAUUUGAGUCAAGGCUUUUCGAUCCAUACGCUGCUUCUCUUCCUGCGUCCAUGUAGAAGGCAUCUUUUCAAAGCCAAACAAGAUUUCAUCUAAACCCAUCUGCUCAAGAACUACUCUCAUCUUUGCUUGCCAUAAACUAAAUCUCGUGUUUUGAUCCAAAAUCUGAAUAUCAUACUUCAUUGUUGCCAUGCAAAACUCAACCUUAUGCUCUGAUACCACUUGAUACCACUUGUUAUGAAUAUGGAUCGCAAGAUAUGAAAAUAAUGAAAUAAAAAAGAAAAGUAAAUAACACCGAGAUUUACAUGGAAAACCCAAAUCGGGAAAAAACCAUGGGCAGAGAAGGAGAAAAUUCACUAUAACCAAUAGGAAUGUGUUUACAAUGUCAAGACUCAAUACUCUCAAUUGAAUCUAAGCUCUCAAGACUCAAUGCACUCAAUUGAAUCAAAGUUCACAAGAUGUUGUAGAUUUUGUUCUCUCUUAAUCUCUCAAGAUUUUCAUGUGUUUAAUAGAAUACACGAUGGUUUGUAUAUAUAUAAAUGGCCAAAAUCCUAGUCGUAGAUGAAUAGGAAUCCAAAAUGCAUUAAAAUGUGAAAAAUUCAAACUACCUAGGUAACACUGUCGCUCGAACAAUGUCCAGUGGCAGCAAGCGACUUUGAUUAUCACUCAAGCAACAAUCUGGUAAGAAGCGGGCAUUGACUAUUUUGCUUCAAGUGCUCGAGCGUCCAACUAGCAAACAGUUAGCGAAAAUGCAGCAAUCAUCGUCUCGAUUUAUAAGUUGAUUUCCUCAAGACCAACCCAACAACUACUCCUAAAAUUCCAAGAAUUUAGGUCACACUACAACAAUUGCACUAGGAAAUAUGCAAUAUCUUUUAACUUGUAUCUAUCUCAGUCUUGUUUAGCCCAGCCUAGCCCAACUCAGUCUAGCCUAACCUACCAAACAUACCAAUAUGAUGUCAUGUGACAAAGUAACUAAGGAAUUUCACUUGUCAGAUUCAACUAAAUCAUACUAAUUUGAUUGCACAUUAUUGGUUCAUAUUCUCAUGUGAAGGAUUUUUAGUGUAUUGUACGAAAUAUUUGUUGCAACCAUUUAUCUUGCAGCUUCCCACUCAUCAUUUCUUUUCCCUUGCUUCCCAAUAACCAAAACUAAACCAACUAUACUUUUCUGAAAAUUAUUUAAUGUUCAGCUAUUAGAAACUAAUUUUCUUGAUUUAUGUUGGCAAAAUCACUGGAAAUGGCAUUGAAACAACCUAAAGGGAAAUCGAGAUUCCAACUGAAAUGGAAAUUCAGCUCAAGCAAAAGCUUGAUCAGUUCGCUAACCGUUUGAUUUGGAAGUAAGCACUGGUUUGUUUUAUAAAUAUUUGGAAAAUUAAGCUGAAUUAUAAGCAUAUAUGGUAAUGCUUUAAAUAAGUGAAAAGCAUAGUUAUAAAAUCAGGCCCAGAUCGGAUAGAGAACCUGUGAUCCAAGCCCUUGACCAAGUUGGGUAUAACAUUUUCAUAGAAAUGCAAUUGACUCAGUCAAAAUCGAGUUAAUUGGACGAUUUUUAUAUUAACUCGGCUGAUUGACUAGUUUGACCAAGAUUUAAAAGUUUGUCCAUAAAUUUUUUGCUCUUAAAAGAUUUGAACAUUGGACCUCUUAGUAAAGUGAGUGCCACGUUAUCACUAGAGAUCAAUUGUUUGUUGUUAUAUAUUUGCAACAAAUAUGUAUAUGUAAAUCAUUUAUAGUUUGUUAAAAUAUUUUUAAAAAAAUAUUGUAAUUAUUUUAAUUAAAAUGAGUUAAAUAUUUAACAAAAUAAUAUAUAAAUAUAUAAAUAAUUAAUGACUGAUAAUUUAAAUUUUUUUUAUUUUAUCUAAAAGAAAAAUUUUAUACUUAAAAAAUAUUUUAUAAUUAUUAAGCAUUGAUCCACUAGUCUAACCACUAACCCACUUUUUGACCAGUAACCUGAGACCUGGUGCCUUGACUGGGUCAAUGGUAGGGUCGGGUUUAAUAACUAUGGUAAAAAGUAAUUUUUUUAAUUCGUAAACAUGUUUAGAUAAGUUAUUUUUCCUUACUAUUAAGUAAAAAAGAGUUAUUGUGAAAAUAACUCUUAUAUUAGUGUCACGAUAAGUAAAGCAUGUUCUAAGCCAAGCUUUCUCUAACAGACUAAAACAUCGUAUUGAGUUUAUGUAUGAAUUUAGCCCUCGAAAAUUACAUUAAAUAGAAUAUAACAACUGAGUUUAUUGGUUGAACAAACAACUCUUGUACUUUCAUUAGGUUGAGUCACUAUCCUCAGAAAAGGCAAUGCUAUUUUUCAGAAUCGAGGUAAGUUUCUCUAUUUUAGCAUUCAAAGCAAUAAAAUGCUGUUGAAUACUAUUGUGAGCUAUCACUAAGUGUUGAAUGUUUUAUUUUCUGGAUGUUUGUAUUAAACGUCUUAGGCAGUUUCAAGGUUAAUGGAUGAGAACAAGUCAAUUAUGGAAUUAGUUAAUUUUCCCGGUACGAUCUAAAAUUCGGUAUAUGGGAACCCUAUAAUUCGAAGUUCAGGCCUUUAUUUAAAUAGAAAAUUCGAUCUGGUCAGCAACAUUUGGGAUCAUUGAUUCGACAGUUGGACUCGAUCUUUUCUUCUGGUGUCAUCUUUCUAAGAAAGAACUCAACUGCUAGGAUUUGGUCUAUCGUCUACUUUGUAUGCCUUCAUCUAUGGGUGUUAUACAUUCUAACAUCCCAUUCUCCUGUCUCCGAUGAUACUAGGUCUGGGAUUGUUGUUUCCCUGGAGUACUGGAGGUGUUACAAUUAGCGAACUGUGGAGAGAUAGAAACCUGGAUUGAGGAUCAAUGAUGACUGAGAGCGACGGAGGAGCAACGAAUACUUAUAAAGAGCCAAAGGGUGGUUGAUGGCAAGGAUGGUUACGACCGACUUCCUCCCUUCUUUCUAUCUGUCUCCUUGUCUUUGUAACCAGCAUAAAUGAAGGAAGUCAGUAACGCGAGAGAGGUCCGAUCAAGUUGUCUCUCUUGCUUUUGAGUUAGCUAAUGGCGAAAAAGACUCCCAUGAGUUGGUUUGGUAUAAUGGGUAAAACUAGCUCCUGGUAAAGGUAUACUGGAGUCAUAGCGGCGGCCAUAAGUCUUUCUUCAUUGGUUCAUGUUGUGCUUCCCAACAAACUCCUUUUCCUAUGCACAGAAAGAAGUGGAAUCCAAGAAAUGAAAGCUUAUACUGCCUUCUUUCGUAGCUCUUUCUCGUCGAACCCUUGUUGUCCCACUCGAGUAGACAUAAUUGGUACACUAAUUCUUUGAUUUGGAGAGAGGAGAUCAACAAUCCAUGAGGCUUUCCUAUUAGAACGGGUUAUUCAAAAGGAUUCCCCGACCUUCCAUCAAAUAUUCUGCUUUUUCCUGGAUACUCGGGUUCAAAUACCCAUGGAUUCGCUGUUUGCUUACUGGCUUCAUAUAAUUUAGAAAACACUAGUUUUCUCGAAGCUUCUUGUUCAUAUCUCUCAUCAAAAGGCGCUAUUCGAUAAUGUCUGUCUAGCAGACCCCCUGCUAACCCGAGCGAACAUUCAAAUAUCUGUCCUACAUUCAUUCGUGAAGGUACUCCUAAUGGGUUGAAAACCAUAUCAACAGGUCUUCCAUCUUGCAGAUAAGGCAUAUCCAACCGAGCAAAGGAAAGAUGUUGAGGUGCGAAAGCCUUCUAUUGAGAGCGGAAUCUAAUUAAUAGAAUUGUGGCUUCUUGUUCACUCUCUCACUAUCAGAACUUUAAGGUUAAGUUUGUGUUCCGCGAACUCCAUAACCACUAAAUGAAACUAUAGCGGAUGUAGUUGAAUUGGGACUAAGACAAAGAAAGUGCUUUUAUCGAGGAGUCAUGGAUUUGCUUGGAAUUCCGGAUCGAAGAAUAGGGAGAUCCAAAUAUGGCCAAAUCGAGAUGAAUGGAAGAUGCCUAUUGUGGGUCUGGUCCCUACUUCCUCACAUUUAACGAUUACAUGGUGUUAAGCAAUUGAGAUCGACCUUUCUCAUGCAAUUGAAUGCUCCAAGCGAUCAGUCCAUGACUUCCUUUGUUGGCUCCUACUCUACCAGACGGUGACCGGCUCAAUAGAGCACCUUUGGGCGCUGGCUUUUCGAAACCAAGUUAGGGAAUCAGUGACCAACAGCUUGAGAAAGCAUUCAAAAAAGUUGCAUCUCUUACGAGAAACACUGAAUUGGAUUAGCCCCUGCAGGAAUGGAACCUACAAACAAGGAAAAAGACUAGCUUAUCUAUCCACGCUAGAAAUGGAAUCUUUAGAGAUCGACGUUCCCACAUAAAGUCAUGCUUAGAUGAACUUCUCGAUGCACAGUUGGGGCAGGCUUCUCUGAUUGGAACAAUCGCUCUAUUCCCUUUGCCUUUUAAGAGUAGGAGUUGCACUGUUUGGCUUUUCUAAUUGGGAAGACUUCGCAAGAGGUCCUACGUAGAUGCCCGGCAGCUUCAACAAUUCUUUGAAAGGCUCUACUUAUACGGCAGCCUUCUAGCAUCGAGUUCGCUCAUCCAUACCCUUGGCUUACCCGACCGAUUGGCUUGAAGCUUUCAUCUCUUUAAGAGAAAGCACUUCUGCCCAUCUAGAAAAGGUUUUGAUAGCUGCCAAGAUGAAUCGAUGUCCUCUUUCUGAUAGGAGUUUGCACCUUAUCUUCUAUCUAUCCUCAGGGAAGGAACUAGCCCUACCUAUUAAUGGCAAAGAGUGAACCCGCCUGACCAAAGGAGUUGUCAUAGUGGAUAAGGACAGCUUUUUCUGAGAUGGAGGAUCCUACUCUCUUUCAAUCGCCGAUGCUAAAACAAAGAGGGCCUACUCUCUUUCAAUCGCCGAUGCUAAAACAAAGAGGGCCUAGACCCGAGGGGAGGUUGACUCAACAACGAGUCUUGCCGGAAUAGGAAGAAAGGAUGCAAUUGAAUCUGUUGGAGGAAGCAAUAGACGGAAUGAGUCUUAGUUUCACCCCUGCUCUUGUUUAGGAGUAGCACGUAGCACUAUGACUUUCAUUUUAAGAAGAAUAGGUGGAAAAAGGCCUUUUCUUUCGAGAAAAAAAAGAGUAAGGCAAGAAAGUCACUGAUUGCACUAAGACUGAAUGCCCCAGGAUUAUAAGUUUUUCACCAUUUUUUACAAGGGUUAUUGUUACCUUAUGUAAAUAUCGAAACAUGUAUAUCGUUGAGAAAAGUAUUUCUCAUUUUGCAUGUUAUAUUAGUUGGAGGUUCUACAUUCUGGUAUUGUACGUAUAGAGAUAGAUCUAGCAAUUAACCGAACAAAGUGGUUAAAAAAAUUCAUGUAAUGACUGACAAUUCUAUUUUACUGUACACACAAAAGAUGCUUCAAUAUAUACUGCAUAUUAAUCUUUCUAGGGUUCACAAAAUGUAAAGUUUGGAGGAUUUUUUGGGUAUACUAGAUACUUGAGAGGUCAUAUUGCAAAAUCCUGAUACAUUUUACAUUCUUGUAGCUUUUCUUCUUAUUAAAAGAUGAAUACUAUGUUGAAUUCAAAUGCUACCAUUUUUUGAGUGCACUAAUAAAAUCUUUUAAUUUGUUAUUUUAACAAUUAUAGAGAAUUUAGAAAUUUGAGAUAUUUUUUUGGGCAUUCCUAAUAUGAAGGGUCAGCGAAACUUUCUAGUUAUAAAUUGGGUAUAGAAUGAGAAGGUGACCCUUGUUAAAUGUUUUUAGUUUGCCCUAAAAACGAAAAUAGUUAUCUCAAAGUUUGUUGAGAGUGCCGGACUUUGAGGCAGUUGAUGAGUACUCCAAAUGUGAAUAAUCGUCAUGAGCUUGAUCCAAGAACAUGAACUGGAUGACUAUUAAGAUGCUUCUUGUAUUCAUUAUCGAGUCUUAUUGAAUUAAGAAGCGAACAUCCAACAUUUAUGGACUUAUAUCUGCUGAUGUUACAAUUGAAAGUCUAUAAAGAGAACUUUUUAUGUUAAUUAGCCUUUGUUUGAGUUUCCUUUCAGUUGCUAAACAUAUAAGUCACACACAAUUUAUUAUUAUUUUUUUAAUGAAAUUGCAUAUUUUGCUCUUUUUGGGGAGUCGGCUUGCUCAGAAUAAUACCAUUAUAAGUAGGAAGUAGUUGUAAUUCCUGCAAUUUGUCCAUCUAACUUUGUCGCUCUGGAACCAUUGGAUUAACCCACUGAUCAAUGGUUGAUGGUUUUGACUAUAAAUACGACCCUUUGUUUUGAUCUAGAGGGUGGAUCGUCAUUUCUUUCUCUUUGUGAGAUGUUUUCUUUCUGGAACCUUCAAGAGCUUCUGUGUUUGUGCUUUUCCAUCUUCUCUUUGUGAGAUUAUCUAGUGAUUAUCUCUGUGAUAAUAGAGUCAUUGUGUGAAUCUUCUCUGUGUGAGUAAACUACUAUGAAGUGGUCUGUCCAUUUCUUGUUCCAUUGUAGCGAUCAGUAGUUUGGGAUUGUGAGAGCUUGUGGUUUUGAGUUUGAUGCCUCUAUGAUGUUUUAAGGGGCGUUUGGUUUGAGCCUAUGAAAGAUCGAAACUAGAUGCAAUGGUUUUAGAUUUUUUUUGUAAAGUUCUUGUAUUAUAUUUGUUGUACAGUUCAGAUCUUGAAUUAAUACAAUAAUUAAUGUUUCUUUGAAUUUUAGGGAUUUAACACCUCAUACAAGCCAAAAAUAAAUAAUUCUAUUAAUACUAUGUCAAUCUCAUUUCACUGUCCCGAAUCUACUGAAUAUUACAAAAAUAGAUCAAAAGAACUGUCAUCUUACAAUUGAACUGGAGCAAGAUACGGAGAAAUACCAUCUCAUCAACAAUAUUUUUUGAGAGAAUGUAUGACUGAAAACAAAUUUUGAAAAAAAAUCAUUUUUGAAAAUAGGAUCUUAGAUUCAAAUGCAGUCAAAUGUAGUUGAGACUUCCUAAGAAUCUUCAACUCCAUGGAUACUUCCUUCAUAAGUGCCUUUUCUUCCCUUUCGAAAUCAAGCACCUUUGUACAAGUUUGGCUACUCCAUGAUUCUUCUGUCUUACACUGCUCUAAAACUUGAGUGUCAAGAAUUAUUUCAAGAUUUUCUUCUUCCACGCAUAAAAAAUAUUGUUGCUAAACUUCUUUCACUUCUGUCUUAGCAUAAGAUGUUGGCAUUUACCUAGUCAAGAUAUCAACAAUAAAAACUCCAAAAUUGUAGACUUCAAUCUGGCUUGUUACUUCACAGUCCAUGCACACAGGGGCGGAGCCAGGAUUUUAAUUCAGUGCGGUCAAAAAAAAAUUGACGCCAAUCGAAGUUUUAGUCAUGGAUUAAAUAAUGAUAAAAAAAUUCUACUAGGAGUGGGAGGAAUCAUAUAAGAAAAGGCGAAGCAAAGUAAUUCACGGGACAAUUCCAUUCACAUAGGCCACAACAAUACCAAUACUAUAAGCAAUUCAUAGGGGAAUAAGCCAACACAUUUAUUGAACCACAGAUUCACAACCUCAUUCACAAGGCAAUAUAUACUAUUUCAAAAUUACUAAUUGCCUAAUUCAAAAAAAAAAAAAUUAAAAAAUCACAUAAAACAGAAUAAGAAAAAAAAGGAAAAAAAAAAAGUUUCAAAACGAGUGAGUGAUUAAUUAGCCAAUCAAAAAUUCAGGGUCAGUGGAAUUUGGAAAAUUGGGGCUUCACCUUCAGACGAAUCAGACCUUCUUCUUCUGCUGUGAAGGUUGAAAGAAUCACCGGUGCCACAAUGCCGCAAGCUUGCAACAGAGGUUACGGACUUGCGGGACUGGGACACCUUACGGUUACAGAGCAACUGACACUACACCAAAAAUGAUCAUUUGCAACACAUAAAAGGCAACAUUCGGUAAUAAAAUAUUGCUAAAGGGGUCUAUAGCAACAUUUUAACAAGCGAAUGUUGCCAUUAGUUAACAAAAUUCAACUUUGGUAACAUUUUGUAAAUAUAUGUUGCUAAUGUCGCAUUUCGCAACGUUUAUCGAAUGUUACGAAAUGUUUUACUUUUUGCAACAUUUAUUGAACGUUGCAAAAACAGUAAAUGUUGCAAAAGGGUCAGUAAAAUUUACUUUUUGCAACACUUCAUAAACGUUGUAAAAGGACACAUUUCGCAACAUUAACUUAACGUUGCGAAAGCAUUCGUGGCUCGAUUAGUUUAAUGAAAAAAACUCUCAUUUUCAAUUGAGACGCCACAACACUACCCUCUCAUUUCCAUAUGCCUCUCACACUCAUUGCCAAGCAGUCCACUCUACACGGCGCAACCGGCCUCUUUUUCUGACCAAAUAACCGGCCAGCUUCUGUUGGAGAAGAUAAGUUUAAUUGAGACCGUCUGUAUAUGAUUAUUGUUUUUUGUACAUAAGAAUUUUGUGUUCUAAUAUUACUGUUUCGGUUUAGGGUGUCGAAAAAUCGAAUCAUACCAUUACUUGUUCAAGGUGGUGCUGAUCGACGAUUCGGGUGUCAAAAAAUCGAAUUUACUAUCGAGAUUCACUCGAAUGAGUUUAGUCUAGAAUCCAAGUCGACCACCGGCGUUGAGUUCGCCACUCGAAGCAUCCGGGUCGAUGGUAAAGUAGUCAAGGCUUCGAUUUGGGACAUUAUCGGCCAAGAACGAUAUAUAUGCACACAUUUUUCUACGGUUUAUUUAGUAAAAUGAAAUGUAUGCUUUUUUGAAUUGGCUUAUUAUUUAGUUUUUAGAUCUGGGUAGCUGACUUUAUGAUGAUUUUUUUUUUUAAUAGUUGAUUGAAUUUGCAUUUGGAUUUUUUCAUUAGUGAAAUGUCACUGCCUUUUUGGAUUUAAUUAUAGGUCUUUCAGAUCUGGUAUUUAGAUUUAAAAUCUCUUUUUCUUCUUAUACUUUUCAUUACUGGUUUAGUUAUAAGAAUAUUUUGGGGAGAAUUAGAUCUAUUACUAGUUACGAAUGUAGAUUUGUUUAUCUUUUGAGUCUAAAUCUCAUGUCAGUUGGUUGUAAAAUUCUUCCUUAAAGGUGGACUGAUCUAUAUGAAAUUAGUCCAAAGAUUUAUUUGCUUUGUGUAAAUUUUUCUCUUUCAUGAGUGAUGCGAACCCCGUAGCGACGUUGACUACGAAAGCCACAAGGAGAUUGACGAACCCAAGAAAGCCAAAUUAAUCCAAAAGUUUAGGAUUAACUCAAAAGAAAGUCGAAUCAAAAAACCCAAUAAGAACGACGCUUGAAAGACUCAUUGAUCAUGCAAUCUAAGAAUUAAAUUCGGUUGUUUGAACGUCCCAAGUUAUCACUUGAUAAAUUUGAAAUUGUUCAAUGAAGAACAAUGAAGAAAGACAUUACGCCUCACUUUUAAUUCAAUAUCAAAUAAUGUCAAAAGUUUUUAACAAUUGAAUGUAAACUCCUGUUUAUAAUAAACCUAAAAACUAGGUAAAAAUCGUGCAAAAGUCGAUCAUCAUCCCCAAAAUAUGGAAAAGAAUCAAAAACUAACAAAUUAUGAAAAAUUGCCAAAAUUGAAAAAUUCGCCAAAAUUUUAAACCAUGCGGCCGCAUGCAUGGUGUAUUUUCAUGCGAUUGCAUGGUUCAACCAAAAAUCCAUCUUGAGUUUCGGUUUGCCUCCAUGCCGUCGCAUGGUGUUUUAGCCGUGCGGCCGCACAGGCUUGUUUUUAGUCUCCGAUUUCGUCGCUUGAUAACAAAUUGAUCCAAGUUGAUUCGACCUUCGAUCCGAACAUGAAAGUUGCUCCAUUUUGAGUCCCGAACAUGGUUCCAUCAAUGGUUUCUUGAACGAGCAAUCCCAUCGCUUGUUUCACUUGUUUUGUCCUUGAUCGCGUCAUUCGUCCUCCAUCAAUUGUCAACGGAUCUCGUCUCGCACUCGCCUUCGUCGGGCUCGACUCUUGGAUCAUAUCAUCCCCUCACUCUUCAAAAAGAUUCGUCCUCGAAUCUGAGCCUGCAUCAAACAGAGAGAGAUUAGAUACAUUAAAAGUAGCCGAAACAUUGUACUCACCUAGAAGGUCCAACUUGUAAGCAUUGUCGUUUAUCUUUUCAAUCACUUGAAAUGGACAUCGCCCCUUGGUUGCAACUUGGACUUCCUUUGCUCCGAAAACCACUCCUUCGUAAAGUGCACCCAAACCCAAUCUUCUGACUUGAAUGUCACGCGCUUCCUACCUUUGUUCGCCUGCGAUGCAACAAAUUACUUUUAUUUUCAAUUUGCGCUUUUACCUUUUCAUGGAGUGACUUAAUCAAUUCCGCUUUCUUUUUGCCAUCUAAACUACCACAUUCAUUCACUGGUAAAGGAAUUAAAUUCAAAGGAAUUAGUGGAUUAAAAUCAUAUACAAUUUCAAAUGGUGAAUACGACGUAGUAGAGUGAAUAGCUCGAUUGUAUGCAAAUUCAACAAAUAGUAGACACUCAUCCCAACUCUUCAAAUUUUUAUGGAUUACUGUGCAUAACAAUUGUGUCAUAGUCCUAUUCACUACCUCGGUUUGCCCAUCCGUUUGUGGGUGACAAGUUGUGGAAAAUAGUAACUUAGUGCCUAACUUACCCCACAAGACUCUCCAAAAGUGACUCAAAAAUUUGACAUCCAGAUCUGACACUAUGCUUCUAGGAACCCCAUGUAAACGCACAAUCUCCUUAAAGAAUAAGUCAAUAAUGUUCGUGGCAUCGUCAGUUUUGUGACAUGGUAUAAAAUGUGUCAUUUUGCUGAAUAUAUCUACAACCACAAAAAUAGAAUCCCGACCUCUCUUAGUCCUAGGUAAACCCAAAACAAAGUCCAUCGAGAUAUCAACCCAAGACUCACUAGGUGUAGGUAAAGGUGUGUACAAACCUUGAGGUAAAACCUUAGAUUUAGCCUUCUUACAACCUAUGCAUCGACUACAAAUUCGUUCAACGUCACUUUUCAUCUUAGGUCAAUAAAAAUGCUCCUUCAAUACAUCUAAAGUCUUUUGAACCCCAAAAUGUCCCAUCAAUCCAUCACUAUGUGCCUCCCUUCCUAACAACUCCCGAAUAGAACAAUUAGGAACACGUAACCUAUUUUCCCGAAAUAAAUACCCCUCAUACCUAAAGAAUCUAUCAACCGCCCAUUUUAUGCAUGACAAAUAAAUAUUUGAAAAUUCAAUAUCUUUUUCAUACAAUUCCUUAAUAUAUUCAAAUCCAAGUAGUUUAGAAUCAAGAGUAGUUAGCAAUACGUACUUUCGCGACAACGCAUCCGCCACCACAUUUUCCUUACCUUGUUUAUACCGUAUGACGUAUGGAAAGGUCUCAAUGAAUUCCAUCCACCGAGCAUGCCUCUUGUUCAAUUUAUCUUGUCCCCGCAAGUGUUUUAGUGACUCAUGAUCGGUGUGUAUUAUGAACUCCUUCGGCCAUAGAUAAUGUUGCCAAGUCUCCAAAGCUCGAACAAGUGCAUAAAGUUCUUUGUCAUAUGUAGGAUAAUUUAAAGCAGCUCCAAUCAAUUUCUCGCUAAAGUAUGCAAUAGGCCUCCGAUCGUGCAUUAAAACUACUCCAAUCCCUAUUCUUGAUGCAUCACACUAAAUCUCGAAUGUUUUGUCAAAGUUAGGUAAGCCAAAAUAGGUGCUUCACACAAUCUACCUUUAAUAGUAUUAAAUGCAAGUUCAUGCUCAUCACCCCAAUGAAAACCUACACUCUUUUUAACUACUUCCGUGAGUGGUGCAGUGAUAGUGCCAAAAUUCUUCACAAAGCGCUUAUAAAAACUAGCCAAACCAUAAAAACUCCUAACUUGCGUUAUGCUUUUAGGUGUCGGCCAAUGUCUAAUAGCUUUUAUCUUUUCAUCGUCUACUUCUAUCAUAUUAGCACUAACCACAAAUCAAAGAAAUAUAACUCUAUCCAUACAAAAUGUGCAUUUCUUAAGAUUAGCAUAGAGUUGUUCAUUCCUUAAAACAAUUAGCACACAUUUUAAAUGUUCCAAAUGCUCUCCUAGGUUUUUGCUAUAGAUUAAGAUGUCGUCAAAAUAAACUACAAUAAAUUUUCCUAUAAAAGCACAUAAAACAUGAUUCAUUAAACGCAUAAAAAUGCUAUGUGUAUUUGUGAGUCCAAAUGACAUAACCAACCAUUCAUAUAAACCAUAUUUAGUUUUAAAAGCCAUUUUCCAUUCAUCACCCUCCCGCACACGAAUUUGAUGAUACCCGCUUUUUAAAUCAAUUUUAGAAAAUAUGCAAGAACCAUGUAAUUCAUCAAGUAUGUCAUCUAACCUAGGUAUAGGGUGACAAUACUUUACCGUUAUGUUAUUGAUAGCCCUACAAUCCACCCACAUUCGCCAUGUUCCAUCCUUUUUUGGUAGCAAAAUCGGUACCGCACAAGGACUCAUGCUUUUCCUCACGUAUCCUUUGCUCACUAACUCCUCCACUUGCCCUUAGAGCUCCUUAGUCUCCUCGAAAUUACUUUGAUAAGCUGGUCGAUUUAGAAUGACAGCUCUGGAUAUGAAGUCAAUUUGAUGUUCAAUGCCUCGAAUAGGCGGCAAUCCACUUGGUGCAUCCUCCGAAAAUACAUUGUCGAAUUCCUACAACAAAGACUUAGCCAAACUAGGGACGGAUGGGUUAGUUUCCUCAAAAUUGAGGAGUGAUUCCUUAUAAACGAACAAGAUCAUCUCUUUUCUCUCAACUACCGCCCUCCUCAAAUCACUCUCUUUUGCAAAGAAAUUCACUCGUGUUUUCUCUCUUCUCUCGGGGCACUCUCUUUCUUUUAUCUCUUAUGAUUGCUCUCUCUUUUUCUCUCUAAUGGCUAUCUCAACAUUUUCUCUCUUUUUCUCCAACUCACUAUUUGCUCUCAUUUUUCUAACUCUUUUGCUAUCCUCUCUUCCUCACUUCUCAAUUUUAAUUGGUCCUCAUAAACUUGCGCUGGUGUUAAUGGCACAAGAGUAAUAGUCCUUCCAUCCUUAAUGAAACUAUAUCUAUUUUUGUACCCAUCAUCCAUAGCAUUCCUAUCGUAUUGCCAUGGUCGCCCCAAUAAAAUAUGUCCCGCUUGCAUUGGCACCACAUCACACACUAACUCGUCCUUAUAACUCCCAAUUGACAAAUUAAGUAACACCCUUCGAUUCACCCUCACCUCGCCACUCUCAUUCAACCAUUGCAAUUUAUAAGGUCUCGGGUGUCUCAACAAUGUUAAACCCAAUUUUUCUACAAGAGAUACGCUGGCUACACUAGUGCAACUAUCACCAUCAAUUAUAACACUACAUAUCGUAUUAUUGACGUGGCAUCGAGUGUGGAAAAUGUUCUCCCGUUGCAACUCCAAGUCAUUCGCUUUGACAUGAGUAGUGAGAGCUCGCCUUGUGACUAGUAGAUCCCCAACCGGCCCUUCAACUUUUUCUUCUUCACUAACACCCUCCAAUGUCGACAUGUCAUCAAACUCGUCAUCACUAUCGCUCACAAUCUCUCCAUUAUCCCGCAACACCAUCGCCCAUUUGUUUGGGCAUUGAGAAGUAAUAUGCUCCGUUCCCAAACACCUAAAACAUUUGAUAUCCCGAUUGUGCGACGGUUGUGCCUCCGGUUUUGAUAUUGGUUUCCUAGCAUUUUCAUCCUUGCCCUUUUGCCAAUCAUUUUUACCUCUAGGUGCUGCCCCAUUUUUAUUGUUAUCAUCCCACUUCGAUUUCCAUGUUGGAUUAGAAGUCAAAGUACCUUACAGUUGCCUAGAUGUCCCCUUCCUCUUCAAUUGCCUCUCGAUCUUCAUUGCCACAUGUAACAUGUCCUCGAUUUUCACAUAGCGUUACAACUCUACAAUAUUUGCAAUAUCCCAAUUUAACCCAUUCAAAAACCGUGCUAUGGUAGCUUCCCGAUCUUCCUCCACAUUAGCCUUAAUCAUAAGAAUUUUCAUCUCCUUGUGAUAAUCCUCUAUGCUUUUCGAUCCUUGGUACAAACCUUGCAAUUUUUUAUGGAUUUCCCUAUAAUAGUGACUCGGAACAAACCUCCUCCUCAUCAAUAUCUUCAACUCAUGCCAAGUGCUAAUUGGCCUUUCUCGACCCCUACACCGUGAUGUAAGUACUUGAUCCCCUCCAAGAUAUCAUGUAAUCCACAAAUUCAAGCACCGUCAAUUUUACCUUUUUCUCCUCCGAAUAAUUAUAGCACUCAAAAAUCAUCUCAACCUUCCUUUCCUACUCUAAAUAUGCUUCUGGAUCGCUUCUCCCCUUAAAUUGCGGAAUAGUCAUUUUAAUACUCCCCAAAUUUCCAUCUACUUCAUCUCCUAAGUUAUUUCUACCCCGUCUUUCCAUCCUAUCGCCCCUAUGCCUCACGCGACCCAUAUCAAUGUCAUUUUCAUCAAAAUCAUCCUCAUCACUACGAUACUCAUCCCGCCUUCCUCUCCUAGAUUCACGUCUACCCGGCCCCCUAAUAUUAGAUAUCUCCACUUGUCCCCGGCUAAGAUUAGCAAUUGUAGUACCCAUUUGCGCCAUCCAUUCCCCUUGCCUAUCCACCUUCUCCCUAACAUCACCAAGUACCCUUUCAAACCUCCUUAUCAUGUCCUCCGAUGCAUUGUUGUCAUUACUAUUUUAGUUUGAAUUAGAACCUUCUCUUUUCGACAUCAUAUCACACAAUUUUUAUGCCUCACAAAGAUUUCACUCGGAAAACACUUACUAUGGCUUUUUCCCUCUAUUAAACUCAUCACUCGGCCUUUUACCACUCAAAGUAUCCCUCCAAGCACUUCAAAGAACCAAGUGAACUAAAUCAAUUAUUUUACUGGGAAUUCAAACAAACCGAAUAUUAAUCAAAGAUCACAAGACUCAAAGGACUUGAAUAAGUGGAAUAGAUGAAUGUUUUGACACAAAUAUGUGAAUAGACUCAAAAGAAGAUUGAAAGAAUCGAACCCAAUUGAAUAUCCCAAAAUCAAACACAAUGUAUGAAUUGUUAUUGGUAGAAAAAAACAAAAUCAAACAAUAAUAAUAUAAAAAAAAAUUUAUACAUAUAUUUUUGUUUUUGUGAACAGUACCUCGAAUGUAUAGUAACUCUUUUUUUGUACUUUUUUUUCUCAUUGAUGAAAGAAGACUACCAACAACUCAACGAAACGACAAAAAGAAAAAAAAAACAAGAAUGAAGAAGAACAAUUAAAAUAUAAGAAGAAUCUAAGAAAACAAAUUAACGACUCAAACAAAUAAAAAAAAAGAUAUAAUCUUCAAUUAAUUUGGAGCCAAAGCUCUUAUACAAACUGAUGCGAACCCCGUAGCAACGUUAACUACGAAACCCACAACGAGAUUGACGAACCCAAGAAAACCAAAUUGAUCCAAGAGUUUAGGAUUAACCCAAAAGAAAGUCGAACCAAAAAAUCCAACAAGAACGACGCUUGAAAGACCCAUUGAUUACGCAAUUCAAGAAUUAAAUCCGGUUGUUUGAACGCCACAAGUUAUCACUUGAUAAGUUCGAAAUUGUUUAAUGAAGAACGAUGAAGAAAGACAAUACGCCUCACUUUUAAUUCAAUAUCAAAUAAUGUCAAAAGUUUUUAACAAUUGAAUGAAAAUUCCUAUUUAUACUAAACCUAAAAACUAGGUAAAAAUCGAUCAUCAUCCCCAAAAUAUGGAAAAGAAUAAAAAACUAACAAAAUAUGGAAAAUUGUCAAAAUUGAAAAAUUCGCCAAAUUUUUGAACCAUGUGGCCGCAUGGUGUAUUUUCAUGCGGUCGCAUGGUUCAACCAAAAAUCCAUCUUGAGUUUCGGUUUGCCUCCAUGCGGUCGCAUGGUGUUUUCAGUCUCGAAUAUGGUUCCAUCAAUGGUUUCUUGAACGACCAAUCUCACGCUUGUUUCACUUGCUUUGUCCUUGAUUGCGUCAUUGGUCCUCCAUUGAUUAUCAACGGAUCUCAUCUCGCACUCGUCUUCGUCGGGCUCGACUUCUGAAUCAUAUCAAUGAGACUCCUGUUUGUAAUGGUAAAUUCUUUCUUUUAUACGAUUUUGGUCAUGAGACUCGUGUUUCUAAUGGUUCUUUUCUCUCUUGUUUGUUGUAAUGUGAUUAGCUACUGGGUUAUAAUGAGUUUAAGUUUGCACAUUUGGUCAAAUAACCAUCUGAAGCAGAUACGAUUACUAAUGAACACGAAAUAUAAUUCUGGUCAAGUAGAGCUUGCCAGAGUAACUAAUGUUUUUUCCUUUUAAAUCAGCUAGAAGGAUUUAAUGCUAGUGAAGUUUUGAUGAGAAGAAAUUAUUAAAUCUGGAUGUCAAUUCAGUCUUGUGUGCUAUUCCAAACAUUCGGCUAAAGAGAAAACAAACAACUUAUGGCUUCUGAUAUGAAGGCCUACAGUGGUUAAUGUGGAUGUGGUUGUAGCGCCUCAUAUUCAUUGCUGUUACCUUGUGUUUAUUUCAUCAUUCAAUCCAUUAGCUCUCUUUCUACAAUUUUCCUUUUCUCUCUAGCCGUGCCUCUUUCAUGUUCUUUUUGUAGGUUCAUUUUCUUAGUGGUAUUUCUUCUUAAACCUCUGUUUCUAAGUAAUUCUAGGGUGCGAUUUUUCUCUUGGUGCACAAAGUUAGAGUCUUGUUUGUUGAGGUUCCAUUUUGGUGAGAUGAGGGCAAUCUGAGUCCUAACCCCUGUUUGGCUCUCAUUUUACUAAAACUAUUUUAUCUAAAAUUUAUUUACAGUAACAAAUUUCAUUAGAUUCACAUUUUUAUCAACUUUUUAGUCGUAUAUUUAUCAAUUUCUAUCAAAAUAUACUAAAAAUUUGAUUUUUAACUAAACCAAAUAGAAGCCUAACCCAUUCUUGAUGUUGGAGAAAUUGUUUGAACAAAUUAAUAGGCAAUCGUGUAUUGUUUGUGAUAUGAUAUUGACUUUUGUUUGAGGUUCAUCUUUGGAUAAUAUCUAAAAUUUCUAAUUCUGAAAAUAACGUAAAAAAAGGAGGAAAUCCUAAUGAGGAGCAAUCUUGUGCAGAGAGAACUUAUAGAUCAAACUAAGCAUUUUGCUGUGUGGAACACCACCAACAAACUACGCAUUCUCAUUAAAUUUGUCUAAUCGUCUUUUGCCACUUCUUUCGGUCCAUUUGUUGGAUUCCUUUUACUACUAAAAUUUUUCAUCUUGAAGUUUUUUGUUGAAUUCCUUGUGUGAGAACAAUAUUGCCAAGUGUGAUUUUGUGUGGAAAUGCUUUAAUGUUUUGAUCAUGUAAUGUCUUCCUUUCAAGUCUUAACAUCAUGGGUGCAUAAUUUCUGCUGUGAAUUAUCGUCAUAGAAAUGCACAAAUGGCUAGUCGGGCCUCUGCUGAGCUUUAUACACUCAUUUAUUUCCGAAAAAUGUAUUGACUGCUAAACUUUUUCCUCUAUUUCUCCAACAUUUUCCCUCUCCCGCGGUCGUACUCUUUUUGCCUAACUCGUGUAAAUGCUAUCUGCGUUCUUGCAGGCCAAUAGAUGCAGAGGCCAGAAUAGUGAAAUUAAGAUCAAAUGGUUUCAUCGUUUUUGUGCCCAAGUAAUGAUUACUCUCUCUUGCGGCUGUGAUGUUUAGGGUGUGGCUUCGGGCUUUUGAUGUAUGGGUUUGGUUCAAAGAAAUUAUUGAUAGAAGAUUUCGCUUCAUCUACAUUGACGGAUUAUUCUGUUGUUGUGAUCAAUGGAUAUCUUCAACAAAUCCAUCUUAAACAGGUAUAAAUAAUUGUAUAAUUUGUACAUGUUUUCUUGUCUUCAUUUUUGUGAUGUCUUAGCUUGUUUUACUUCUUUUUUCUAUUUGAGUUGAAAGUACAAUGCAAAUGAACAUGAUAUUUUGGCACCAAAUUAUUGUAUAUAGGAUGAGAUAACGAAAUAGUAUCACAUAGUUGACAAGCGAACACAUUAACAUAAUUGGGAAAGAUGUGUGCGUCAGCUAUCAGUCCAACUCCCAACAUUCCAGUUAUCUAUUCAAUUUAGCUCAUCAAUUUGUUAUCUUAUCAAGCUGCUCACAUCAGCCUAUAAGUUUGUUACUUCUAUUUCAGAUUAAUCUACCAAGCAGCAUAAUAAGGAGGUUGGGGAAGUGUGAUCAUAACAUCAGUUAUAUUUCCAUGUGCAGAUUUGGUAUUGAAGGACCCGUGUAUUUGACGCCUGGAGGUGAAAAGACGAGAGAAUGGUUUGUUGACGAGCAACAGCAGAAGCUUACAAAAAUCGAUGGCAGUGUUUCUUAUAGUGUUUUACAGACAGUGAGAAUUCACAUUAAUGUCACAACGCCUCAAACUAAUAGGGAGAAGCUCCAACUUACCCUUAUAUGAAGACAGAUGGGACUACGAAGUAGAAGAAAAGCUGAAGCCUCUUUGCCAGGCAAUGUAGAAUAACUUAUAAGCAUAUAAGCAACCUACGGAUCGAUAGAUUAUAUGUUUUUCUUACUUUAUCUAUUCUUUUGUUUGAAGAGGAAAUUCAUUAUCCUUAUUUCCUGUACAGCGAUGUUGUAUUGUUUUACUCACUACUUAGUUUGUGUAUUUUUUAUUUUUUUUUUUUUUUUUUUUUUUUGGUGUGGAAAAUGUAUUGAAUUUUUAAAUGUUUUAGAAUUUUGGAUAUGGAUUUUGUAUGGAUAUUGUUACAUUUUGGAGUUCAAUUAAUAAUAAUUGUUGGAGUUAUUUAAUAUUGUUAUCUUCUAUCAUAUUUUGUGGUUGAUUUAUGUAAAUUAUUGUACAAAUUAAAAAAUGAAAAGUUAUAAAAAAAUGUAAAAUGACUUUUAGCAACGUUUAACGUUUUUUAAAACGUUGCAAAAGGGACUUUUCACAACGUUUGUUAAGUGUUGCGAAAAGUCAUUUUUUGCAGCAUUUAUUAAACGUUGCAAAAAAUCAUUUUUUGCAGCGUUUGUUAAGUGUUGCGAAAUGUUGGUUUUCGCAACGUUUAAAAAACGAUGCAAAAAAGACUUCGCAACGUUGAAUAAACGUUGCAAAAAGUGAAUUUUCGCAACAUUUAAUAAACACUGCAAAAACUUUUCCCUCAACGACAACAUCGGCCUUCGCAACAUACACUAUAACGCUGCAAAUAAUCUCUUGCAGCGUUUUUUGGCCGUUGCAAAUGACUUUUUUUGGUGUAGUGUGAGCAAGAUAGAAGUCUGUCAUUGAAGAGAGGAAGAGGAGGAGAAGGUCAAUUGGUUGAGGUUGAGGCGGCACCAGAGUACGGUGCAGACGGGCGACGGGAGGAGGUUGAAAAUUGAAAAUCUCAAAUUGAUUCAAUAAUUUCAAUUUUUAAUGGAAGAAAUUGGGAAUGGGUUAUGGGUUGUAUCUUGUAUUUAUAAAUGGGUUGGGUAUUGGGUGAUCAUGUUGGGUUAAUGGGCUAGUGGGCUUCACUGGGCAGUUGGGCUGGAACUGGAGGAAAUUAAUAGAUAUAAAAAAACAUUUGGCCCAUGGGGUUGGGCCCAAAAGUUUAGUUCGAGCAUAUGGACUCCAUUGGGCUCCGUCCCUGCAUGCACAAUGGUAAGCGUAUUUCAUGCACUAACCUAAACUUCUAAACUUGAUUAUAUAUUGCUAAAUUAAGCAUAUAUCUACCUAAUUUGGUGUUAAACAUGUUAAUUGUAGAUAACACUUCAACAUGAUGCAAAUAGCGUGAACAAAGUUUUUGGAGCUUUUUGAGGUUGAUUUGGAGCAAAUUAAAGAUUAAUCGGGGUGUACAUGAUCAAUUAGAAGAAUUAAUAGACGUUCGGAAGAAUUUCAUAAGUUCUAGGAGCAAAUUCAAUAUUUGGAGAGUUUGAGGACUAAAUUACAAACUCCCAAAACUUACAUCAGAGCGAUUUUAGACGAUUUGUGGAGGAUUCAAUUGUAAAGAUUCAAGUAAAGAUUCAAAGAUGCAGGACUAAGAAUCAAUUAAUUAGGGACUUAACCUGAAACAAAAGGAAGAGUAAGGAUCGAAUUGUAAAUAAGGGAAAAUUUGUGACCUGUGAUCGCAAGAGUUUACAGUUGCAGCAAGCAAAAUUCUUAUAUUGAGCGAUGCAUGAUUAUAUAUGGGCAGUUCAAAUUUUCUCUUGUUCGACUCAACUCUACUUUGAAAGCAAUUAGAGCACAAUUUUUGAACUUAUCUUGGGGCCUAUAAAUACAUAUUUUUAUCUCCAAUUAUAAGAUAGAGCUUUGGAGGAUUUGAAAGACAAAUACCAUCCAAGCCAAAAUAGGCUCUUCAGAUACAAAACACAUAAAAUCUUUCAAAGAAGAAGCCUGCAUAGGAAGCUUUUGAUCAUCAAAUCCAUAUUCAUUCAAGCUUUAAAGAAUCAUUUGUUACAAAACACAUCCAUAUAAAUUCAUACAUAUAUUUCUUAGGUUGAAGAAAAAUCAAAGGAGGUUGAUCAAUGAGUCAACAGAGAGAUUAAAGACUUUCAAGAUUUCUUUAUCUUCUUUUCAAACUUUAUUUCCGGGUGAUUUUUCUAAUUAUUCAAAUCUGUUUUUGUAAUUUAUAUGAUGAUUAGCAAAUUGUGUAGAUACUAGAAUAACGUUGAAUCCUACAUUUUAAAGUUUUGAUAUUAAAUCUCGAAUUUUAACAUUGAAUGUUUAUUUGAUUUUGAAUGAGUGUUAGGAGAUUAAUAACUUCGAUUAAUUGAUCACUUGUUGAUUUGUCUUGUGAUUUUUAUUGAUAUUCAAGAGAAGGAAUAGGAAUUUAGAAAGUAGUAAUAAUCAUUGUAAAGCCCAAUAGGGAAAUAGAGACGUGUCGUUAUACUUUGUAUGGUCUUUUUUAAUGUUAUUGUGUUUUAAAGCAUCUUAAAAUAUUCACAUCCUUUAUAGAGAUGUGGGGGAGUCACAUGUAAGAAUAUGUUUAGUUUUACUAUAAAAAGAUAUUAAUUAAAUAAGUUAGGAACAUUGAUUUUCAUAUCCAAAUGGGUGUUAUCAAUAAUGGAAUUGAUAUUAAAAUUGCUGAAUGUAGGAAGAUUCGAAGUCCUAGUAUUUGUCAAUUACUUGAGUUUAGUCCAACAGAUAAUUUACAAAAACUUCAGCCCAGGCUCUCAUUCGAAAACCAUCCUAAAUUUCCGCUAGAGAUUUUAGGUUGUUGGUAUAAGACUCUUCCAAAAAAUUUCUAUUUGACUAACAUUAGGUUUAAUUAAAUUAGAUUAAAUAUACAGUACCUGUGAGAUCGAUACUUGUACUCAUAUCCACUUUAUUACUUGGUGACGAUAUUGUACAUUUGCAAAAUUUUAGCGAACAUGACAUGAUGACAUUUAGCAUACUUAAAACCUAAGAAACAUUCUUUUUACUUGGUAAUUCUUGACUUCCCAAAUUUCCAUCCAGUGUGGGGUAAGUAGGUCCGCAAAAUAGUUGGCCACAAUCCAAAACCAAUAAAUUCUUGUAUUGAAAAUGACUUUAUUUCGUAUGGUAAUUAAACACGAUAUUGAAUAAUAUUGAUUGAUAACACUGCUCGGUAUAAUUCAAUCGACUGAGCAUAAAUUUCCAAUUUCUUUGCAAGUGGAGUUCAGUUUAUCUCACACCAAACUUUUUUCCCAAUUCUUCCAACAAUUUCGCUUCAUUCCGAAUCCAAAAGCUGUCAAAUAUUUAGCAUUAAAUAACACGUUUUGAGUUCAAUAUGGGACACACUAAGCCUUCAUUUGACAAAUUUAUCAAUGGAUUAUUAUGCACGGAUAAUUAUAAAUAAAAAUUGAAAAUAUAUAGUUGAAAUUAAUAUUUUAUUUUAACUCAAUUUAUAAAUUAUUUAUAAAUUUGUAUUCAAACUUAGGCUAAGUCAAGUAAACACCAUUUUUUAAGUGCAAUGUAUGGUCAUGGCAAUUGAUUGCCCUAGACUUCGUGGAUCAGUAGUCAUGCCGAAAUUUCCAAUCCUAAUACACAAUUUCUAAACUGAAACCCCAUUAAAUUUCCAAUCCUAGUACACAUUUUCUGAAAUGUGAAACCGUAAAUUGCACCCGUUUUAGUGCUCCAAAUAAUAAUAAUAAUAAUAAUAAUAAUAAUAAUAAUAAUAAUAAUAAUAAUAAUAAUGUACAAGUCAGUGGUAUUUUCAUUUCAUAUGAAGAUCCUAUGUUAAAUAUUCAUUGCAAUCAAACGCAAAGCGUUACAAAUACUUUGGGUAAAACUUACCUUAAUAUUUUUGUAAAAUCACAAGAUAUAUUUCAAAAAUGAUGAGACUCAAAAGUCAAAAGUAGUCAACAAUUCAUCCCUCUUUAGAUGGAUGACACUUCAAUUUUUCUUGAACAACCUUGUGGUGUUUGUCUUUUAUUUAAAAAAAUAAUCAUAAUGCUUCCGUAUUGCCUAGUUGGCAAAGAAAAUAUUCUAAGGGGUAUCCCUUUGAUACCACUCUACCAUACACUUUAAGCAAGUUUGAUCUAAAAGCGGGUUCAAAUUAUUAAUUGGACAAGUAAUAGUUCAUAUUGUGAAAAUGUUUAAAUUAAGUAAACCACCAUUUUUGUGGAGGAUUUCUUCUCGAAUAUAGUCAAUUAUAUAUACAUAUAAGUUUUUCAUGUCUCUAUUUGUUUAACAUUUUAGACGUGACAUUUUAUCAUAACAGACAAAUAUUAAACAAAUCUUGGUUUGUUGAAAAUUUAUAAAUUUUUUAUUAACUUGAGUUUUAGCAUGAUAUAGUAAUAUACUAUGAAGUUGAAAAAGAUUUAAAAUAUCUGAUGUUGCAAAAGUAUGUUCCUAUAAUGAUGUUACAAAAAAAUUGAGCAGAUGGAGUUUAUAAAAGCAUUUAGAAUGCCACCCAAAUUUAGGUGGCUAUAUGUUAUUUAAGUGUUUAAAUACGUUUAGCAUUUAGUUUCGGAUAUAGUUGAAUGCGUUUGUGACAUUCUAACAAUCUCUAACUCCAUGGCUAUUUCUUUUAUGGUUGGCCUUUUCUUCCCAUUCAAAUUUAAGCACCUUUGUGCAAGCUUAGCCACCACAAAAAAGCUCUUCUCUCUUACUCUGCUCUAAGACUUGGGCGUCAACNNNNNNNNNNNNNNNNNNNNNNNNNNNNNNNNNNNNNNNNNNNNNNNNNNNNNNNNNNNNNNNNNNNNNNNNNNNNNNNNNNNNNNNNNNNNNNNNNNNNNNNNNNNNNNNNNNNNNNNNNNNNNNNNNNNNNNNNNNNNNNNNNNNNNNNNNNNNNNNNNNNNNNNNNNNNNNNNNNNNNNNNNNNNNGUUUCUAUGAAUUACUUGUGAAAGCAUGACAACCUCAUUAAUGAAUUACUUCACUUGAUUUGCAUUUACUAACUUGGAUUUUUUUAUUGCUAUGAUUUUUCCGUCAGGUAACAUUCCUUUAUAGACUGUUCCUUGACCACCUUGACCAAGUAUUCGACUUUCAUUGAAGUUAUCAGUAGCUUUCUCUAGCUUCUUAAUAGUGAAAAGUUGUGUUUUUUCAAGUAUACCUUCAUCUGUUGAUGUUUGUUGUUGUAGCAAGAUACCACCAUUUUGUUUGAAGAAUUUUUCUUUGUGCUUCUUGAUUUUUCUCUUUUGAUGAAACUUGAACAAGCAGAAGCAAGAUGAUAACAAUAGAAGUAAUCCCACUCUAGCACCCAAGCCUAUUCCUGGAAGUAUCAAGGUAUAAUUAUGUAUAGUUUUCUAGAGUAGGAAUAUUGAUCAUUGUUUGUUUACUAUUUUUUAUUAAGAUAACAGGAAUAUAAUAUUAAGAAUUCUAACACUAAAAUUGUGAGUAUAGAUUAUGAUAUCUUUGUCCAGAAUUGUCGUUCUUCAUAUAUUGUGUUGACUAACUUAUUUUAAAUGCUUAAUAUUUUAUAACAUUUAUCAUUUGAUUAAUAACAAUUGAUUAAAUUAAUUUAGAUAUUGAUAAUAAGAAAAAAGUUUUUAACAAGCAAUUGUAUAGUACUAAUUAUCUUAUUAUAUAAAUGGACAUUUGAUUUUAUUUAAUAAUUAACUAGUAACAUUUAGGAAAAAAUUAAGAAAAAAUAAAUUUUACUCCCAAUUAUUCAAUAUUUAAAGAUUAAUUGAAAAUUACCUAUUGCGAGUUUGCUAUGGGACACCAGAAUCGAAAUACAGCCAAUACCAUCUCUUUCGCCAUCACCAUAAUAACCGUCAGGGCAGGAACAAUUACAAGAAUUUGGAGUAUUGGUGCAUGUCCCUCAUUAGACACAUCGAUUAUUGAUGCAUUCGUCGAUAUCUGUCCACCCCGACACAUCAAAAAUCGCAAUAAAUAAUUAGAGUUUUGUAUUGAUCGAGCUCGUUAGUAAAAUUAGACAACUUUAAACAGAACUAACCAUGGCAUCCUAGGUAAGGAUUGCCCUCGAAUCCUUCUUUGCACUUGCAGUGGUAUCCUCCAAAAUCAAGACUGGUGUCGUAAUUAAUGCAAUAACUAUUCUUUCCACAUGUAUGAUUAGUCAAAUUAUGCUCUUCAAUGCAAUUGUAGUCCCCAAUUCGCCAGUCUAACACCAACGGCAUACCCGUAAACUCUUCAUUACUACGUAGGAAAGUUGUUGAAUUGUCGAGAUGAGAUAAACUAAAAUUGAAUUUUUCAUAAUCACCAAUCACUCCAAUGAAGGUAAAGCUGCACCGGAAAAGUUUUCUCUCUUGACCUGAAUAACUAUGCAUGUCUAACAAUUCAACUCAGAGAUACUCAUCUUUGGAUAUGGAGGUCCGGCAGCAGCCUCUGCCUGGACAUGACCCAUUAUGAACAUAAUCUGGAAGGUCGCCAUAGUAUGACGCACAAGCACCACCAUCAAAGGUAUUUGUUAGUGUUGGAUUUUUUUAUACCCAAUAAUCUGGACGAUGAUUUAAAACAGUUGUCAGAUUAUUUAUCGACACCAUGGACUUGGCUUGGCUUGGAGACAAACUACACGUUUGGAUGGCCCAAGUUUGAUUUUGGAUGUUUAUUUGGUUAGUUGGAUAUUAGCUCAAUAUUUAUUAGGUUUUACUUGGCCCAUGUUGUGAUGUCCAGGUCCAAUUGGAAUGGCCUANNNNNNNNNNNNNNNNNNNNNNNNNNNNNNNNUUUAUUACUUUAUCUAUGUAUAAUUUAUAUUUUGUUUGAGAAUUAUUACUACAUCUUCCUAAAAAUCCUAUACUUAUUAAUAAAUUUUCUCCUGAAACAACAUCUUCAUAUCCAUAUGUUUGGAUUCCUAUCUUAAUUUUUUCUGAAAAAUCUUUUAUUGUUAAUAAAAAAUCUGGAUUACAAUAUAUGAUUCCAUUAUUAUCAUUCAUAUCUACCUUUGUACUAGCUAUCAUACUCUUUUCUAUAUUUUGGAUUCUUUCAUCAUAAAUAGUUAGUAGUACUUUAUUUCCUAAAUAUUUUCUCAUUAAUCCUUUAAUUCCUAUUACUAUUAAUCCUAAAUGCAUAAAUCUAAAAUUCUUUUUUCUUAAUUCUUUUUUAGAUUCUUCUGAAAUUAAAGAUAAUUGUCUUACUUGACCAUCUAAACACUGAAUUGAAAUUUCUCUAGCAUGUCUAAAGAAUUGAGUUCUUGAUUCAAAAAUUCCUCUGUUAUAUAAAUUUUCUGGAUUAAGUAGCUGUAAACCAUGAGUCUGGAAUCUAUUGUAAUCUUGUUCAGGAUCUAUUAAUUCUUCUAUAUUCUGAUUAUAUUGAGGUUGUCUAUGUAAAAUUUUUUCUAUAAUAUUUGUACUUAUAUUAGAAGUACUAUGUCUAUUUCUAUCAUAAGGUUCUGAGGAUGAUCCUACUUCACUAAUAGUUCUUGAUCUACCAGGAAAAUUAUUCAUAUUUAUAAAAUGUUGUAGAGAAUUUUCUGGUUACUUUUUCUUUACCUGUAUUUCUUAGACUUAAUUUAUCUAAAUUUUUUAUUAUACUUUCAAUUUCUUGAUUAGGCUUAUUUUCUAUGUUAUUUAAUUUUUUAUUUAUAUUUUCUAUUGCUUCUGUAGUUUUAAGAUCUGAAAAUUUUUCUUUAUUUUCUACUUUAGAGAUUUUAUUUAAAAUUGUCAAAUUUUGUUCUUUAAUAAAAUCUAAAUUUUCACAAAUUUUAUUAAUAUCUUUCUCAAUAUUAAAAAUUCUUUUUCCUAGAGAACUAAUUUCUCCAGUUAAUUUAUUAGUCUCUUUUAUUAAAAGAUCCAGUUUUAAUAUUCUAAUCUGAGUAAUAAAAAGAAUCUAAUGAAAAGCUUGUAUGGUCUGAAUUAUAAUUAUGAUCUUGAUUUAUAUUAUCUAAUUCAAUUCUUAGUUUUAGAUCUGAUAUAAAUAUCUGAUCAAAACUAUCUAUAAAAUAUUCUUCUCUAAAUUCUGAAAUUAAAGAUCUAUAUAAAAUCUGUUCUUUUAAUUCUGGAUGUAAAUUUUUAGUUACUUGUAAUAUAGUAAAUAAAUAAUCUAUAGAUUUAUAUUUUUCUAAAGAAAUAAAUUCUAUACCGUAUUCAAGAAUCUCUUCUAUUUCUUUAUAAAAUGUAAAACUAUAAAAUAUUUUUUCUAAAUCUACAAGUAAAAGUCUAAAAAUCAUAAAACAAAUAAGUAAAUUCAAAUAAUUAAAUUCUAAAGAGUUAUACCUUUUCUAAGUUCUGAAAUCACCAGCACCGGAACAAAAGCUCUGAUAUCAAAUGAGGGGGGGUCCUGAAAUAGGGUUAGUAUUUCAAGGAUUGGAAGGCUGUUAUAAGAGGUGGUUAAGACAAAAUAUAAAAUCCUACUCAGUACUCUUCUUAAUUAAUAUAUCUUUCUUCUUUUAAUAAAAUAAUAUCCCUUUUUUUUUUUUUUUUUUUUUAAAAGAAAGCAUGCCAUCUGAGAUAUAUAAACUUGGGCCUAACUCCAUUCUUGCAAGGACACCACUGACACUCCCUUAACAAGAAUUCUUAAAACAAUGAUCCCUUUCCCUCUUCUAUGCGUCUCCUAGCCUCUCCAAUGAUCCCUUUCUCUCUUCUAUGCGUAUCCUAGCCUCUUCACUGGGCCUUUACGCUUUGAGAGAUCACUCAGGAUUUAUUUUAAAAACAGUUUAAACUUUUAACUUGGAGUUAAGACAUGCUUUUAUUAUAUACUCAGCAUGAAGCAUAAAGAUCUUUACAAAAUCAUGAAAAAUUUUAUGAACAGUAAUUGUUCUUACGAGAUCUGGGACUAAUAUUGAUUAUUAGUACCAUAUCUCAGAACUAUAAAACAUACUUACCGGAAUGAUCCAUCGGUAGUUUAUAAAAUAAAAUAUUUUUGUGGGAUAUUAUUCUAUCUAAGAAUAAGAAUAAUUAAGAAUUUUCCUUUCGGGAGAGAAAGAAAAUUAGAACAUAUUUUAGAGAACUAAAGACUUGUAUUGUAUAGAUUUUCUUGUGUGUUUACAAAUGAAAGAAUGAUCUCCUUAUAUAGGAGAGAAAAAAUAAGAUAGACGUUAUCUAAAAGCAAGGAAUCUUUGCUUUUUUUCAAAACGUCAAAAAGAAAACAGUAAAAGCUAUCCUAUCAAAUCUUACUUUAUAGAAUAGUAAAAUUUUUACAAAUUUUUCAAAAAAGUAAACAGUAAAGGUUCUUCUUUUCAUACAAUAAUUCUAAAAAAUCUUUGAUUCUUUUUCUAGAAACUCUUGUUUUUUCUCCAGCUGUCUAAGGUAUCUGUAUCAAUUCUUUACACCUGUCUGAAGGGUCUUUAUCUUGUUGCAUAAUUGUGUCUGCCAAUACUGUCUAAAGAAUCUCCUCCGUCAGUACAUCCUUCUGGAUUAUCAUCUUCUUCUGAAUUAUUGUCUUCAAGAUUAUCCAAGUCUUUUUCAAUUUUCUUUUUUCCCUUAUUUUUCUUUUUAGUCUGUAAUUUCUUUUUCUUCGUAGUGCUUUGUUUAACUUGUUGCUAAAUCUCUUCAAUCUUAUCAAACAUUUCUUUAAUCUUCCUGAUAUCUGAUUGAGAAAUCUGUUCUGGGUCUUGAGCUGAUUGGAAUGAUCCUGGAAAAUUAAUUGGGCUUUUCUGUUUUAGAUCUAUUGGGCUAAUAAGUCUAGUAGCAGAAUUAUCAGUCUGCUGUGUCUGUUCUUCUGAAUUAAAUGUAACAGGAUUUUCAGCCUGUUGAGUCUGAGAAGUAGAGGAAUCAACAGUCCUCUGAGUCUGUUGAGCUUUUGAUAAGCCCAGAACCAUAAACGGAUUUAAUAAGUCUUUACCAGCUUCCGUUUGAGCUGGACUAGCUAUAGAAUUCUUGGGCUCUAUAGUACCUGCUUCUGUCUGAGAAAUAGAGUUUAAAAUUUUUAAAUUAAUAAUCUCUUGUUCUAAAUCAGAGAUUUUCUUUUGUAAAACUAAUUUCUCUUGUUGCAAAGUCUGGUUUGAUUCAUUUAAAAUCUUAAAGUUCUUUGUCAUACAUUCACAAUGAUCACAAAAUCUUGAAGAAUAAUCUAAGGGUUGAUCUGAAACAUUUUUUAAAGAAGGAGCAAUAAAAUAAUUUGCACCUAUAAAUUUUCUACAUUCUUCUAAUGCUUCUGAAAUUGAAUAAAAUCCUUUGUAAAGAGGAUUUGGAAAAUUUUUAAUACAGUCUGAAACUUCUAACCAAGUAUGAUAUAUUCCUGGAAGUCUUCCAUUUAAAACAACAUAACAUUUAAAUUGUUUAUGGUCUUGACUAAAAUGUUCUGAAAGAGCAUUUAAACAUGCUAAAAAAUAUUUUUGGUCUUUUGGAUUCUUAUUAUAAGAAAUCCAUAAAUUAUCUAAAAUACAUUUUUCUGCCUUUGUUACUGAAAUAUGAGAAAGUGUCUUGAAGCUAAUAUUGCUAUUAGGAAAACAAAGUAAUUCUAUAUUACCAAAUCUUAACUUAUCAUGAGUCUGUAGUAUAUUUGUCUGAGAACUUGAACUGCCAACAAUUGGCAAUCCUGGUCUGGGACCUCUUGGUCUUUGCAUCUGCAAUAAAUAAUUAGUCAUAAUCUUUAUUUUUAAUUAUUCUACUUAGAAUAUCUGCAAUCUGAUUAUCAUUACCUUUAAUAUGCUCAAAAUUAAUUAUUAUUCCAGUAUUAGUAAUUCUAUCAAUAAAAUUUAACCAUCUUCUUCUAUUACUUCUUUUAUUUUCUAAUUUCAUUUUAUUAACAAAACUAACAAUUGCUUCACAGUCUGUUCUUAAAGUAAUUUCUUUUUUUAGAAAUAAUAAAUAAUUCAAAGGAAUCUAAUGCAUAGUUUACUGCUAGUAAUUCUAGAUCUAUACUACUUAUAUUACCUUUUUCUUUAUAAUUUCCACUAUUAUAUCUUACUAUUUUUUCAGUAUCUUUAUCUGAGUAUUUAUUGGGUUUUGCAAUAAGUAUUGCUCCCCAUCCUGUUAUACUACCAUCUGUCUCAAUAAUCAAAUAAUCUGUUUCUAAUGGCAUAGAUAAUUUAGGUAAAUCUUUUAACUUUUCUUUUAUUUUUUGGACUAAUUUAACAUUUUCUAUAUUAAAGUAUCUUUGACCUUUUGGUGAGGUUUUCCCAUAUAAAGGUCCUGCAAUUUUUCCUAAAUUCUUAAUAAAGGGUCUAGCAUAAUUAACUAAUCCUAAGAAUUUUUGUAAUUGUUUAAUAUCUUCAAAUUUAUCUGGGAAUUCUAAAGCUUUCUGAGUUAUAUGAGGUUGUAAUUCUAUUUUUCCUCUUCCUAUAUUUACUCCUAAAAAUUCUAUAUAUUCUUUAAAUAAAAACAUUUUCUUUUUAUUUAUAAUUAAACCAUGUCUAAUAAAUUCUGAAAAAAGAAUUUGUAAAUGACCUCUAUGUUCUCUCUUAUUCUUACUAAAUACUAGAAUAUCAUCUAUAUAAACAAUAAUGAAUUUAUUAUGUUUACUAAAAAUACUAUCCAUUUUUCUCUGAAAUAUGCUAGGGGCAUUUUUUAAACCAAAUGGCAUUACAAGCCAUUCAAAAUGUCUUUCUGGGCUAGUAAAGACUGUCCAUUCUAUUGAGUCUGGAUGCAUCUUAACUUGCCAAAAAUCUGAUUUUAAGUCAAAUUUACUAAAUAUAUUACAAUCUUGAAUCUUAUUUAUUAAUACUGUUUUGUCUGGAAUAUUAUAAGCAUCAUCUAUUGUGUUAUCAUUUAAUCUUUUAUAAUUUAUUACCAUUCUACUUUUACCUCUAAUAAUUUCUGAAUAUUUUCUAACUAUAAAAGCUGCUGAUCUAUGGGGACUUUCUGAUUUUCUAAUAACUCCUAAUUUUAAUAGAUCAUUUAUAUGCAUUCUAAAAUCUUCUUGAUCUUGAUUUGUAGCUUCAAUAUUUUUAGUUUUAAUUAUGUAUUCUGGAUUCUUUAUUUUUAUCUCACAAAAGACUUUAUCUUUUUCCCAAUAUUUAAGAAUAUUUUCUCCUAGAAUUUGUAAUUUUUCUAAUUUACUAAUCAUAUUUUCUAUAUCUUGUUCUGUUACUAACAGGUUAUAUAUUUUUUCAAUUUCUACAAAAUCUAAACAUAUAUCUUCUUUUUCCUUAAAAUUUUCAUAAUAUUCUUCUAAAAAAUUUAAAUUUUCUAUUUCUUCCUUUUCUAUUAAUUGACAUUCUCUUUCUUUACUACACUCACAUUCUUUUUCUAUUAUCCCACCACGCUUCUCAGCAAACUCUGAUGGAAUAAGCUUAGUAUAAGUAGGUGCACAAAGUGUAAAUUUUUGUAAUUGCAUAUAAUCUUUACUAAUUAUUAUACUACCAUUAUCUUUUAACAAGAAACUUAAUCCUAAAAUUAAGUCUGUAUUUAAAGAUAAUUCUCUUACCCAUACUGAAAAAAGAAUUUGUAAAUGACCUCUAUGUUCUCUCUUAUUCUUACUAAAUACUAGAAUAUCAUCUAUAUAAACAAUAAUGAAUUUAUUAUGUUUACUAAAAAUACUAUCCAUUUUUCUCUGGAAUAUGCUAGGGGCAUUUUUUAAACCAAAUGGCAUUACAAGUCAUUCAAAAUGUCCUUCUGGGCUAGUAAAGGCUGUCCAUUCUAUUGAGUCUGGAUGCAUCUUAACUUGCCAAAAACCUGAUUUUAAGUCAAAUUUACUAAAUAUAUUACAAUCUUGAAUCUUAUUUAUUAAUACUGUUUUGUCUGGAAUAUUAUAAGCAUCAUCUAUUGUGUUAUCAUUUAAUCUUUUAUAAUUUAUUACCAUUCUACUUUUACCUCUAAUAAUUUCUGAAUGUUUUCUAACUAUAAAAGCUGCUGAUCUAUGGGGACUUUCUGAUUUUCUAAUAACUCCUAAUUUUAAUAGAUCAUUUAUAUGCAUUCUAAAAUCUUCUUGAUCUUGAUUUGUAGCUUCAAUAUUUUUAGUUUUAAUAAUAUAUUCAGGGUUCUUAAUUUUUAUUUCACAAAAUACUUCUACAGUGAAUGUAUGGUGUGUGGGCGUAUGUGUGUUGAGAGAGGGAAGGGUCGAGAGAGAUGAUGGGCAGCCGACUUGGUGGUUCUUGGAGUGAGUCCACCAUUAUUACUUCUUCUUCUUCCCGUUACCACCACCAUCCUGUCUCCUUUGUGGGGAUUGAGAGAGAAUGAGGGUUGUCCAAAGUGCAGUGAAAGUCUUGGGUCGAGCCAAGGUAAACCGGUGUUCGUUUGAUUAUUUUUGAGCCAGAAAUCAAGAUUUAUCGAAGAAUUUUUGCGAUAAAUGGUAUUAGAGCUUGUGUUGAUAAAUCUGUGAUUUUUGGGACUAAAAUCGAGCUGGAAGUGGCCCAAAAUUGAUCUGGAAAAUAGGCAAAACACUGGACAGAAUUCUGGUAGAUUUUUCAAAAACUGGACGGAUCUGUUUUGGUGUUUUUCGACCAAACCAGUUGCCAUUUGGAGAAACGGACACCACCGUUGGAUUGUGCAGGCAGAGAAGAAGCCGAAAGGGUCACACUUCACCGACGUGUGGGUCAUCGAGCCGACACGUGGGAAUGCCGACAAGGCGCGUGAGGGCGCAUCACCAGGAAUCCGAUGAUGGUGUCUUCAAAAAAAAUGUUGUUGGUGACGAUACAAACCCUGCGAUGUUGUCGAAUUUUAGCUUUGAACAAUGCAGUGGAAAUUGGACGAUUUUGCCCUUGGUCGUUUGGGUGCUGUUUUCGUGUUGCUGCGAUUGCUGGUGACUUUAGUACGAACAGUGAUGAUCCUAAAGUAGUCAAUUCACGUCUUUCAAAUUACGGACCUUCAGACGUGGUCCACUCGAUAUCGCGUUCUUUACCUUUUAUUAUUGCAGUUAAAGUAUUAUUAUGAUAAUUAUUUAUUUUUCGCAUUAGAAGUCAUCGUAUAGGAUGACGUUAGGUUCGAGGUUAUUGUGAAAGGGUAACCAUUGCCUAUUACUAGACCUAGAAAUUAUAUGUUAAUUAAUUGCCUUAAAUUCUAUGUGAAUUUGUUAUCAAUUUUUCUACACCGAUAGAAUUGCAUGUGACCUUAGGAAUGUUUGCUUGACUAUUCUGUGUGAAUUAUGUGUCAGUACUUUUCUAGUGGCCAAUUUUUGGUAUUGUUGGCAUGUAUAGGUCUAAGGCAAGUGCGAAAUAUAAAAUAUGUUGUAACUGCGGUAAAAUUUGGGCAUAGUUGAAAGAGAUUAUUCUAGGAUGAUAAUAAAAUGAAAGAUGAGAAUAGAGACGAGACGAAUGUGACUUUAGGGUUAAGUAGUGAUCCUAGUGAGGUUUAUUGAGAGAAUAAAGCUAGUUCUUGCAUUACAUCUGUGUGUAAUCCUUUUUGCAUGUAUGUGGUCACUUAAUUCUAUUGCAAUGUUGAUGUUGCACUUUCAAUUUGUUUGAUAUGUGUAAUUGCAUGAAUUAAAUUAAUUUAUUACUUUGUGUAAUAUGUUUACAUGCAUAGUGGAUUGAGUUUUGUGACGUACUCUGUUUGCUUUGUGAGUGGUGUGAGAGUGUGGUAGUGAGAAGAAAGUUGGGCGGCCAAUUUUCUCUUUUAUCUUUGGGAGCCUGCAUGGUUUGUGAGAUUAUGUGAGGUAAUCAUGUUAGGGUUACCUUCUUCCUCUUUGUGAGCCUCCUUUGUGAGUGUAGUGAAAUAAUCAACUCUUUCUUCAUUUUUUCUUUGUGAGUGUCACCUUCAUCGUUUUCUUUGUGGAUUUUUGGAGUUUUGGUGAUUGGAGUAACCUUUGUGGUCAAGAAAGGUGUUGUUUUUUCGCAGUGAAUUUGAGAUGCAUUAGCAGUGAGUUCAAUGUCUUUUGGUAAGGUGGAGUAUAGAUGCCUAGAGAUGCAUUGGUGAUAUGCACGAGGGAUGUGGAGUGUGACAUUUAGAUCAUGAGUGGAGAUGUGAUCAAAUGUGUAGAAUCAUUUAUCUGUGAAAGAGACCCUGUACAGGUGGAGUAUGAGAAAGACACUUCUAUCACUUCUAUAAGGUGGAGUCUCAUAUCUACGUAGGUUGGAAAAAGUGGUGUGGUGAUAAAGGAUUAUCUCGAGAAGUUUAGGAUCUAUUGUGACUUGCCAGUUAGACAUGAGUUGAGUGAUCUGUUUAGUGAGCAUGGUGGGCGAUGAGAGGAGAUAUGUGUUCUCGAGGUGUGAGCAAUACGGAAUGGGAUAGGAUAAGUGUGGUGAGAUCUUUCGUGGGGUCAUUUAUGAAUUUGUUGCAUAUGUGUUUGACUCUGUGUUAAUUAACUUGGUGUUAACCUUUAGUUCUGUGUGAACGUGAUUUUCUUAAAAGAUCUGUGUAGUAUCCUAUAUAAUAUCUUCAUUGCAUGGUUGUUUGUUCACUGUGAAUAUUUGUUUCUACUUGGGUAUUCUUGACCUUAGCCCUGGGGAGUACAUGGAGCAAGUAUCGUAUGUGUUUCAGGUUAGAAACACGAAGUAAGGUCUGUGAUUCCAAUUUUAUUUGAUUACCUUGAUUGUGCAAGUAUAAAUUGUUUGUUUUGAUUGCUUGCAGAUUAUUGGGCAUUAAGGUGGAGAUUGUUGGAUUUUUUGAUACCCAAUAAUUCUGGCGAUGAUUUAAAACAGUUGUCGGAUUAUUUAUCGACAUCAUGGACUUGGCUCGGCUUGGAGACGACCUACACGUUUGGAUGGCCCAAGUUUGGUUUUGGAUGUUUAUUUGGUUAGUUAGAUAUUAGCCCAAUAGUUAUUAGGUUUUACUUGGCCCAUGUUGUGAUGUCUUGGUCCAAUUGGAGUGACCUAACCUAACUUAUAUAUAUCCAUCUCUUCUACAGCGGUGAAUAUAUGGUGUGUGGGUGCAUGUGCGUUAAGAGAGGGAAGGGCCGAGAGAGAUGAUGGGCAGCCGGCUUGGUGGUUCUUGGAGUGAGUCCACCAUUUUUGCUUUUUCUUCUUCUCGUUACCACCAUCCCUUCUCCUUUGUGGGGAUUGAGAAAGAACGAGGGCUGUCCAAAGUGCAGUGAAAGUCUUGGGUCGAGCCAAGGUAAACCGGUGUUUAUUUGAUUAUUUUCUGAGCUCGAAAUCAAGAUCUAUCGAAGGAUUUCCGUGACAGUUAGGUAUAACAGUUGUGAUGCCAUUGCCAUGUCAUCGCAACCAAUGGAUGUGAUCUGAUUUGUGUCUAAUAAGGUAUAAGGACUAUUCAGAAAUGUCAUUGAUAUAGUAGAAUUCCCUGUCUUGUUAUUGAGGCACAUACCGUAACAGGCCAUUGCCAGUUGUGCCUUCGAGUUCUUAAGAAAGAUUUAGGUUUAUGAGAUAUUAACAAUCUCAUAGGAAUAGUUUUCAGAGCGAUCCAAGAGGUAGGGUUUUAGAAGGUCGAAAGAAGUAUUGCAGUUGAUAUUAAAGUGUAUGUUCCUAGAACAUUUUGACCCGAUACCAAACAGGCAUGGAAUUUCUAGGUUCCCACAUCUGCUUUGGCAGCCAAGUUUGGUGGUGGUGGCGGCGGCUUCGAUCCCAUUUGGCGAUAGUGCUACCACUAGUGAAAGAAAGCAGAAGAUUUGGAACAAAAUCGAAUGCACUUGCAUGUUUUCGAGGCUAAUCUAUGCAUAUUGCAUACUAAACAACAGGCACACAGUUGGGCUUUAUAAUGGCAUCCAGCGAUAGACUACUUGUGAACCUUUCUUUAUAAAAAUUAAAAAAAAAUUAAAAAAUUAAUUUUUUUUUUAUCCUUUUUGGCCUCGAAUGCAUUGACUACUACUGGAAAGACUCUACAUCUUUUUCUUUUUCUUUUUCUUUUUUUGUGUGUGAUGGGAGAUUGGGAAUUUUACUUUGGCGAUCUUGCACCUAUUUGCCAAGGCAAUUCACCAAUAAAAAUAUAAAAGAGAUGCUAUUUUAAUAUCAAAUAAUUCGAGAAUAAUAUAUGUUAACUCGACCUGAAUCUACUUUUCUUCCGCACAUCGACUAUAUGAAAUCUUGGCUAAACAUGGUACAGUGGAAAUAUUUCGAUGACCUGAGUUUAUUGCUUUUAAAUUUUUAGUUUCUAUAACUCUUUAUCUUCCUUUGUACCACGUAAAAUAAACUCUUUACUCAAAUGCCAAAUCUAUUAACUAUGUAUGAUAACCAGGAGUAGUUUUAUUAAAAGACUUGUUGAGUAAUCAUUUAUGCUACCAAUGUGGCAUUACUUGAAUUCAACAAUUUAAUAAAUAAAAAAUGGAUAUAUUAUCAACCAAAGUCUAAUCUAAUUAUCUAACUAAAUUAACAAAGUGGUAGGAAAUGUUAUGAAUACUCGAUGAAGGGAGAAACAUUGGGAGCCUGAAUCCUCCUACAUUUGUCCAUCUUAAUAUUAAUUUUACAAUUCGACAACAUUUAUUUGAACUUGAAGAUCAACAUUUUAAUCAUGGUUAAUAAUCUCUCUCAGGUAGAAUCAAACCUAUCCUCACAUAUAUCCCGAGUAUAUCUCUAUUCCAAAUGCGAACAUAUGAAGAUGCAUUAAAUUACAAGAACUUUAAAUUUAAUCAUGCAAAGCAUAUACAAUUAUUUCUGAAGUUUAUAGGACCUUAAGAUAAUUGAUACUUGUGCUAAACUCACAUUCCUUCUCGUGAAUGAUAAUAAGAGUUAUACAUCUAAUAAAUUAGUGAUCAAUUAAUUAAAAAAAAUAAAAUUCCUAACAAUCAUUUAUCCCAAAUAAAUAUCUAACGUCAAAAUAUAGAAUUUUCAAUGUUAUUCUGGCAUCUAUACAAUUAACCGAGCAUUAUAUGAUUACAACACCACCAAUUGAAAAGAUAUAACAUCACCCAGAAUUGAAGGUUGUGAAGAAAAAUUCUAGAAAGUCUUGAAUCUUGAAUUCCUUAAACGAUUCUUGAUUAUCCCAUUUAAUAUUUUCUUUUUCUUCUUUAACUCCAGCAGUAGAUGUAUAUAUGAAAUAUGGAGGAAUAGGUGUUUUGUAACGAAAGCUUCUUCAAGCUUUGCAAAGAAUAUGGAGUUGUAGAUCUCCUAUUGCUCUUUUCAUUGUAAUGUAUAUGUAUUUUUAUGUACAAGAGCCUCCAGGCUCCCUUUCUUUUGAAUUGUGGAUAAAAGAAUGUGCUGAUAAACCAAGAUUUAGGUCAAAAAUCGUGUGCCCCCUAAUUACCUUCCAAGAAGAGGUUGAUCAAAAUAAAUAUAUAAAAUCUUUUCGGUAGGAAUACACUGUGCUAUCGCAAUUUAUGACUAUAUGUUAUCAGUUCGGCUUAACAAUUUGCUCUCAGGAAUUCAAAAUUUCAUACUUACGAUUGCACCUAACAAUGCUUGCAAUCAUCUUUUCUUCUUUUGUUUUGGUCCUUGAAUCUAAUCUUUUGAUCACUUCAAGUCCCUUCCUAUUUUCACCCUGGCUUUUUCAUCAUUAAAAUUUUUAAAUUUAAUGCUUCAAAUUCCUUAAUUAGCCAUAAUUGAACUACAGGUUCCAAGAGUUCGUAAUUAAGUUAUUAAAAGGCGUUGAAAUUAAAAUUGAGUAAAAAGCAAUAGCCCCCCUUCAAUCCACCAAGCAUAGCCUCCUUGUCGACCUUGGCAAUUGUUACCCUACCACUAGAACUCGAACCAAACGCCAUUGAAAGAAGAAAAAAUGGAAAUGCUAAGGAAAUAUUCACAGAAGUUACCUAAAUAACUCUAAGAACGUGAUUUGCCAAAAAGCGAAGAUCGCCGGAAGAAAAUUUGAAUGCAAGAGAGUUAAGAGGAUUUUCACAAAGGUAAAAGCCAAAAUAAUGGUAUGUUUUCAGCUUAUAUACAAAAGGUAAAUAAAUCACAGCCAUUGGAUCAAAAUCCAAUCCAUUUGAAGCAUCCAUUUUAGGUUAAAUCUGAGUCGUUGAAUUCAAACGGUUUCUUUUGUCAAUGCCUUGGAUUGAUCCAUGCUCUUCACGCCUCCUCGGAUUGUGCAUUAAAUAUAACAGUUGUACGUGUAUUGAAAGUCAUAUUGAGUUAGCUAUUUUUUCUUGUUAAAGUGAGAAAACAUCAAAUCAUUGACGCCAUUGUCCAUUUCAUCUAAUCAAAACAAAUGGGCAUCGGCAUUUCAGCUUCAAUUAAAACAAAGGAGCUUCAGCUGUCCAGUACUUCCCUGCCUUGGCUCAAAUAAAUUUCAGCUUCAGUUCAAACAAAGGAGCCUUGACAGUUCAACAUUUCAUUGACUCGGCUCAAAUUUUAUUAUAAUAGGAAGCCUCAACAAUUUAACACUGCAUAAGGAUAGGACGACAUGCAAGAAUCAGGUUCCAUUUUCAAUUCCAGUCAUGAUAUAAGCAUGAUAUAAGUAUCUAUACUUGGACUUGGUUGACUAUUUUUACGCCUGACCAUAUAGGCUCCAUGUCACCAACCCAUUAAAGCCCUUACAAUGACACCACGUGGACCAUUGGAGUCUAUAGACACGAAGUGUCGAAGUCAUACUCACCGAAGCAGUCCCAUGUUAAAGACAAAGCCUUGAAGCUAAGUGCAUUUGUCUACAGAAGUGAUGAAAUUCAUCAAAAGUCAAAGUCGAAGCUUAGCCACAGUGAUGACCCACAUGCGAAGGUCCUGAAUUUGUAUAUGAGAUCCCUUUCGAAUGAUUGAUGGGACUUUUAUAAUGAGUAGAAUGUUAAGUCUUGUCAAUUUAAGUUGUAAGGUGUCUAUUCCCUGCAAGAGCAUUAAAUGUGUCACUAGCUAGUAAAUUCAAAUGAAUGCCUAGGAUUAGAUGCUUUGGUUAAAGAGAUGAGGCUGCGUCUAUCUUCAUUCAGUGAACACCAUUUCAUGUGUAACACUAUAAAUACCACCUCAUUGUAUCAUUUAAGGACUAAUGCAACUCUAAUUACUUGAAGCUACUCAUUGUCCUCUCUCUCUAGCUGAUUAUACACUUGCUUAAUUAGAAUGUGGAAUACUUUGAUCUCUUAGACUUGUCUGUCGGUAGUUAAUUAUUGUACAAUCGUUACUGAAAUAUAUUGCUAAAGCUUGAACUUAUUUGUCUCGUAUCAUAGAGCAUUUCCCACAUAUAUAUACGAUAAUCUCCUCUGACAAAGUCCCCGAUCAAAAGUGCUGGAAUUUGCUUGUAUGGACGUGAGUGGAAUCGACGUCUAUUGUCCACAUCACCAUUACACUAAAUGAGGUCAACAUUACUAACCUACCACCCUUCUAGAUUUGAAUGAGAUCUUCAUGCUGGCAAUCUAGAUGGGUGAUUUAGAGAUAGAGAGACUGAGUUUGGGGUGCUUAGAGAGAGAGAGAGAGACUAAGUUUGGGGUGAUUAAUUCUUUUUCAUUUUAAAAACAAGGCAGGAGAGAUUUUGAGCAGUCAACAUAAGUGGCAUUUUUUUAAUUCAAAAUAGCGCCACAUCAUUCUUCUAUGAAAGGUUUUGUAUUCGAUUAUGUACAUAUAGAACUAUUCAAUAGCUAAUUGUGUUUAUAUAUACCUAAUUUAGUUGUAAAUAUAAUAAUUGUAAGUAAAUUAUGACUUGGAUGCAUUUGGAUGAAAUUGGCAUGAAAAAAGAUAUUUUUGGAGCUAAAUUGAUAUUUAUUCGAAGCAAUUGAUGAUCAACGGGAUUAUAAAUCUCAACUAUUGUUUAGUAUACAUAGAUUAGCCAAGUUCUUUUUCUUUUUCAGAAAAACAUGCUGGUGCAUCCGGUUUAGCUCCAAAUCUUCUGCUUUCUUUCACUAGUGGUAGCACCACCGCCAUAUGAGGCUGGAGCCCCGCCACUACCACCACUACCACUAAAGUUGGCUGUCAAAACAGACGUGGAGACUUAGAAAUUCCAUACCCGUUCGGUAUCAAGUCAAAGUGUUCUAGGAACAUGCACUUCAAAAUCAAUUACAGUACUUUUUUCAACCCUCCAAAACCUUACCUCCUAGUGUGUUCCCACAAGGUUGUUAUUGUCUCAUAAACCCAAAUCUAUCUUAAGAACUCCGAGGCACAUCUGGCAAUGGCCUGCUAUAGUAUGGGAUUCGAUAACAAGAUAUAGAACUUACUAUGUCAAUGGGACUUUUGGAUGGUCUUUAUUCCUUGUUAGAUACAAAUCAAAUCACGUCCAUUGGUUUCAAUGACCUAGCAAUGGCAUCACAACAUUCAUACCUAACAAAUACCUUUGACAGUGUUACUGGGGCGUCAUACUGUGGCAACCUUUCGAUUUAUAUUCAAAUUGGGUCAUGUCCAGGCACAGGUUGUUGCCAGACCUCCAUAUCCAGAAGUGAGUAUCUCCGAGUUGAAUUGUUAGACAUGCAUAUUGGGGUCGAGAUAUCAAAUUCUUCCAAUACAACUUUGCCUUCGUUGGAAGGAUAGGUGAUUAUGAUAAAUUCGAUUUUAGUUUAUCUCAUCUUGAUGAUUCAACAACAUUCUUACGUAGUAAUGAAGAGUUUAUGGGUAUGCCAUUGAUGUUAGACUGGAGAAUCGGUGGCUAUAAUUGCAUCGUGGAGCAAAAUUUCACUAAUUAUGCAUGUGGAAAGAAUAGUUAUUGCAUUAUUUAUGAUACCAAUCUUAGUUUUGGAGGAUAUCACUAUAAGUGCAAGGAAGGAUACGAGGGCAAUCCUCCCUAGGAUACCGUGGUUAGUUUUGUUUAAAAAUUACUAUAAAUACUUAAUUAAAGUAGUCUACUCUUACUAACCAGUUCAAUAUAAAAAAAUCUAAUAAUUAUUUGACGUGAUUGACAUCUUGUUUAUGACAAAUUUGAUGAUACUAUUGUAUAUGAAGAAGCAAGAGAGGGGUUUUUUCAAUGUGUAACCUUUGUUCUCUAUUUAUAAGAGUCAGAAAAUAGGUCAAAAUCGGAUCCAAUUUGGGUUCCAAAAGAGUUUGAAUCGCGAAAGAAAUCUGCUGAUUUAUCUGCGAAAAAGGCCCCCACGCUUAUAGGCAUAACCAUCUCGCACGCCAUUGAUCCAAAUGGCUCCGGGUCAAAAUUUUGGUGUCUUGUGUGCACCCUAGAAUUGUCUCAUGCGUGCAUGCCAUUUUGCACAGUGUCGUACCUGAGUAACUUUCGAUAUUUUUGUUAUAACUUUCUCUCCUAAUGUCCGAUUAAGGUGAUUCAAAGUGCGUUAGAAAGCUAAAGCUAACUCAAAGAGCUAUAAUUCUUCUCAAAAUAGAACUUUUUCUAUACAAAAAAUGGAUCUCAAUUUUAAUUUUAAAAUCCAGAGCAUAACUUCUUCGACUAGAAAUUGAUUUAUGAAAAUAUUUCAACUCAAUUUUACUCUUUUUACCUCCAAAUUGCAUCCAAUUGAUCAUAUGUGAUCUUCAAUCAUUAUUUUAUUGUCUGAAUCAACUAUUGAGCAUUUACACUUUGGUUCUCAAACUUUGAAUUUCUUUCGUUUUUUCCCAUUUUUCGUUUAUUUCUUCCAAUUCCAUCAAUUUGCAAUGAGUUCAACUUAACAAACAUAAUUAACACAAAAUCAAACAAUAACUCAUCUAAAUCACUAAUAAAUACUCCAAUUUAAUUGCCUAGAUAAGUGUACAAAAUACACUUACCAGGCAAGUACCUAUACUCUAGGUUCCUAUCAUUGUUCAUGCCACAAUGGUAAUCAUGGUGAUGGCAAAAGAGAUGAUAUUGGUUGUAAUUCAGUGACGGUGUCCCAUAGCAACUUUGCAAUAGGUCAUUUUCUAUUAAUCUUUUACAUAUUUAUAAACAACUGGUAGAAAUUAUUUUUCUUAAUUUUUCCUAUUAAUGUUACUAUUAAUUAUUAAAUAAAAUCAAGUGCCCAUUUAUAUAAUAAAAUAUUUAACAUUAUACAAUUGCUUGUUGAAAUUUUUUUUUUUAUUAGAUCACUAACUAAUACUAAUCUAAUAUAAUAGGAAAUAUUAAUAUAAUAGAAAAGAUAGAUUAAUUUAAUUUUUUUGUUAUUUUAUAAAUUGUUAUUAACCAAAUAAAAACGUAUGAAUAUUAAACUUUUAAAACAAAUUAGACAACACAAUAUAGGAAGCUUUAUAUGAUGAAUGACAAUUCAUGUGGCCGAAGAUAUCAUAACCUAUACUCACAAUUUUAGUAUUAGUAUUCGUAAUACUAUAUUAUUGUUCUCUUAAAAUCAAAUUAGUAAACAAACAAAAAAGAUCAAUAUUCCUACUCUAGAAAACUAUAUAUAAUUAUACCUUGAUACUUUUAGGGGUUGGCUCGGGCACUAGAACGGACUAUUGUUGUCAACUUGUUUUUGGUUGUUUAAGUUUUAGAAGAAGAGAAAAAUCAAAAAGUGCAAAUAAAAAAUCUACAAACAAAACGGUGUUAUCAUACUACAACAACAAAUUUCAACAAAUGAAGAAAUUCUUGAAAAACACGACUUUUCCCUAUUAAAGAGCUAGAAAAAGAAAUUGAUAACUUUAACGUAAGUCGAAUACUUGGUCAAGGAGGUCAAGAGACAGUCUAUAAAUGAAUAUUCCUUGACAAAAAAAUCAUAGCAAUAAAAAUCCAAAUUGGUAGAUUCAAAUCAAGUGAAGCGAUUAAUUAAUGAGGUUGUCAUGCUUUCACAAAUUAUUCAUAGGAAUUCAAUUAAGCUACUAGGCUGUUGCUGGAAAUAGAGGUUCCUUUAUUAGUUUAUGAAUUCAUUUGCAAUGGAACCCUUUUUUAUCAUAUCCUUGGCAAUAGUGCUGAGUUCCCAUUUGUCAUGGAAAAUGAGCUUGGAAAAUGUUAUAGAAGUGGCGGAAGCACUUGCUUAUCUUCAUUGUGAAACAUCUUUUCCCAUCUAUCACAUAGACAUUAAGUCAACUAAUAUAACUGCUUGAUGAAAAUAUGUAGCCAAAGUCUCAAACUUUGGAAUUUCAAGGUCAAUUGCAGUGAAUCAUACUCAUCCAACUACACUAGUAAGAGGAAAAUUUUGAUACACAGAUCCAGAGUACUUCCAGUCAAAUCAAUUUAUCGAAAAAUGUGAUGUUUAUAGUUAUGGAGCUAUUCUUAUUGAGCUUUUGACUGGGCGCAUGCCAAUAUCUUUGGCUAAGUCACGACAAAAAAAGUUUAGCAACACGAUUUUUUAUAUGUAUGGAAGCAGAAAAUCUUGAAAUAGUUUUUUACGCUCAGGUCUUAGAGCAGGGUAAGAGAGAAGAGCUUAUUGCAGUGGCCAAGCUUGCUCAAAGGUGCUUAAAUUUGGAUUGGAUGAAAAGGCUAACUAUGAAAGAAAUAGCCAUGGAGUUGGAACUUGUUAGAAUGUCUCAAACACAUUCAACUAUAUCUGAAACUAAAUAUCAAGGAGCAAAGUUAAACAAAUCAAAAGCAAUAUUGAUGGUGGAUGAUAACAACACACGGACAAGUACCUAUGUCAAUAUAAUAUCUUCCCAUCAUCGGAUGCCUAUCCCGUAAAGUUUCACAUUGUCUGAUGCUAGUUUCUAUACAAUUUCCUCAUUUGUUGCCACUAUAUGCUUUUGUAAUUGUGUAUUUAAACACUUAAAUAACAUAUAGGUACCAAAAUUGGGUGGCAUUCUAAAAGCUUUAAUAAACUCCAUCUUGUCAAGAUUUUUGUAAUAUCAUUACAGGCACAUCGCAUGAGAUGUUUUAAAAUCUCAUUCAACCUCAUAGUAUAUUAUUAUAUCAAGCAAAAACUCAAGUUAUUAAAAAAUUUAUAAUUUUUUAGCAUACCUAGAUGUGUUUCAAUUUUUUCUGUGUUGCUAAACCAUCCCAUCUAAAAUAUCAAAAAAAUGGAGACACAAAAAACUUAUAUUUAAACUGAAUAUAAUCGAGAAGAAACCUUCUACAAAAAUGAUGAUUUAUUUAGUUUACACGACAUUUUCACACGAUGCACUAUUACUUGUCCCAUCAAUAAUUGAAAGCUACUUUUAGAAGCAAACUUACUUAAAGUUUAUGGUAGUGUGGUAUAAAAUGGAUACCCCUUCUUAGAAUAUCUUCUUUGACAACUAGGCAAUAUGCAAGAGUUUCUUUAUUUACUUAUUUAUUUUUAUUUUUUUUAAAGAUAAACAUUGAAAAGUCGUUCAACAAAAAUCGAAGUGUCAUCCAUUUGAAGAGGGGUGGAUUGUUGACUACUUUUGAGUCUCAUCAUUUGCAAAAUAUAUAACUUGAUUUUAUAAAAAUGUUAAUGAGAGUUUUACUCAAGUAUCUCUUAAAGUUUAGCAACAAUAUUUUUGUUAUGUAUCGAAGUAGAAAAUCUUGAAACAAUUCUUGACACCUAAGUUUUAGAGCAGGAUAAGAGAGAAGGGCUACAUGCGGUUGAAAAACUUGCAAAAAGGUGCUCAAAUGUGAUUAGGGAAUAAUAGGAUAUUAAUGAAAGAAGUAGCCAUCAAGUUGGAGAUUAUUAUAAUGUCUAAAAUGCAUUUGAUUGUAUCUAAAACUAAAUAUCAAGGCGUACAGUAGUGGAAGUCAAAUCAAUACUCGUGUCGGAUGAUGACUACACAUGGACAAGUACUUGUAACAAUAUUAUCCUAUAAUCCGAUGCAUAUCCCCUAAUGAUUCACACUACUUGAUGCAUUCUAUGAUUUCUUGACAAUGUCCUCAUUUGUUGCAAAUGUGUGUGUGUGUGUGUGUGUGUGUGUACGCUUUCGUAAUUGUAUAAUUAAACACCUAAAUUAAAAUUCAGUCAAGAUUUUUGUGAUAUCAAUACAGGCACAAACGUUUGCAACAUGAGAUGUUUUAAAUCCUAUUCAACCUUGUAGCAUAGAAUUAAUUACAUCAUGCUAAAACACAUUUUAUUAAAAAUAAUAAUAACAAAAUUUUUAACAUAUUCUUUAUGUUUAUUUGCAAUGUUGAUCUGUCUCAUCUAUACUCUUAAACAAAUUGAGAAACGAUAAACUUAUUUAUUUAAAUUGGAUGUAGCCAAGAAGAAAUAUUCCACAAACGGUGAUUUACUUAGUUUACAUGACAUUUUCAAUUGACGUGAUAUUACUAGUCCAGUUAAUAAUAGUAUACCCUUUCUUGGAAUAUCUUAAUUGCCAACUAGGCAAUAUAAUACCAAUUUUUCCUAGUUAAUUCCACAAGGUUGUUCAAGAAAAAUAAAUUGUCAUUUAUUUGAAUAGCAGUGGAAUAUUGCUAGGUUUAAGUCUCAUCAUUCGUGCAAUUUGUCUUCGUGAGGCGAUUUGUGAUUGAUUGCAAUGAAUUUUUAAUCUAUAAUUUUUCGUGAAAUUGAAACACAUUAAUCUACUAGAGAUGAAAUAAUCAGUAUCGUGUUUUGGACGGUUGAACAAGAAAUAAAAUGAGAUAUUUGGCAGUUAGGACAUAUAAUUUACUUGAGUUAAAUGGUGCAACCCAUAUUGUACUCAUAACUGUUAUUUGAUGGAAAAUAUUUGCUUUUUUUUUUUUUGUUUAUUGUGGCCAUACUGUUGAAGACUUGGAAAAAAUUGUUUGGUCUUAAAACCCACUUAUAAAGAAACUGAAAUUUUAUACUCUUGACAGAGUGACGCUAAUGUCAAUAUUACUCAUAUCGUCUAAUUUACCAUAUCGAAUAAUUUAUUUUUAAUACAAGAAAUUGUUAGUUUUGGAUUGUGGACAAAUUUUCUGAGGACAUUCUCGAACCACACUCGAAUGGAAAAUUUAAAAAUCAAGAUUUGCUAAGUAUGAGAACGCAGGAGGGAAGAUUGAAAAGUUUUCAAGUCUUGUUUUAUUUGGUUUUGCCUUUGCUAAAUGUCAACAUGGUGUGUUUUGACUAUGGACGGCCUAUUUGUCAUCGAUAGCCGUAUAGAGUGAUAUAGCUUCAAAUCAAAUUAAAUAGAAAGUAAUGGUAGAGAUGUAGUAAGAUUUUAUACAUUUUUUGGUAUGAAAAUCAUUAUCGUAUCCAGACACACGGAGAGUAAUUUUUUAGUAAUAAUCCAUUUUCUGUUCCUCCUAAAUCACACGUGUAGUAAGUGGUAAUCCCUUUUUUCCAUCUUCUAGAUCCCUCUCCCUACAUCCUGACACCAAUUUCCAUUAAGUAUCGCUGCUUACAUGCGAUGCAACGAUGACAUUGAAUAUUAAUUCAACUAAUUUAAUUUAGCACUUGUUUGACACUCAUUAUAGAGAGAAAUUUUGGUAAAAUGUAUUAUGGGAUAGCAUUUUUUGAGAGAAUGUAUGGUUAAUAAAGAAGGAAAUUUUUUUAAUUUACAUGUAAUAUUAUUUUAUUGAAGAAUGUGUAUUUGAAAAAAAAAUGUAUUAAAAUUUUAAAGAGUGUCAAACAAGGGCUUAAUUAUUGAGUGUGUCAUUUCACAUCUGCUUGCAAAUGUGCUCCUUAGAUAAUUCAACUAUCUAGCUUUGAAUGUAUGCAAACUUGAUAAUAUUAUUAUUGUAGACUUGUCAUAACUUCAAUGCAACUUGAUAAUAUUAUUAUUGUAGACUUGUCAUAACUUCAAAUAUCUAUUGGAAAUAAUUUUUAUUCAUCCAUUGAAUCUUUGCUGAAAAAAAAUAUCGCAAUCAAUUGAAUUUUUAAAUCUAGAUGAUUACUUAUUCAUAGGCUAUUACGAGAUACAAUUCCAAAUGGAUUUUUUGUAUGUGCCUUACUUACAAUUGCAAAACUACGACUUUCUAGUUUCUAUGUAACCAAAUCCUUCAAAAACAAAUUUUAGUUCAUUCAAAUCAUGGAGGUUAAAUUUAAAAAUUAAUAAAAAAAAACUCUUAUCAUAUUUUUUCCCUAGUAUAACAAAAUUUAACUUUGACGCAAUCAUCCUUAAUUUCUAGUGAUUGAACAACCUUAUGACGUAUAAUUUUUCUAAUUUAGUGGAUUUAAAAAAAUAAAUCGAAAUAUCGACCAAUUUCAUUAUUUCACUCCUAUAUUAAUUAAGUUGUGGAAAGCACAUGUCAAUUAGAUUUCCAUCUUGUACAUUGAACAUUCCACACACGCUUUUGUCCCAAUGUAAUAUUCUAGUGUCUACAAAAUUUGUGUAAAAGAGAAAUUACAAAUAGUAUAUAAAAAUCAAGAAAUUCAUUAUCUUUGGUCCCCCAAAAAAAUAAAAAAUAAAAAAAACCGACCAAUAUAAAUAGAGUUUACUUCCACUACCCGUGACAUAACAGCAUUCAGAAAAUCAACACGCUUCAACUAAUCCUCCCACUCUUCCCUCUUCUUGCUCUGUAACUGAUAACGGAAGAAAUCACUACACGCAAAGCAGCACAAUAUUGAAACUAUUGAAUACAAUCAAGAAGCCAUUUACCGAUUGGAUCUAACGUCACGAAAUCGGUUCAUGGCUCACUGGAUCUCUUCCAAGCUCAAAGCCCCUGAAACUCUUCUCCAUCAGGUAUGUCUCCAAUAAUCUUCUCUUGAAUUCGGGUGAUUUUUUUGAAUUAUUAUUUUUUUUGCAGUAAUUUAAUUCUGUUUUCCUGCUUUGUGAACAAUUAUUCACUAAAUUCCGAUUCUUUAUGAAAACUUUUUGAUUGGAUGAUUCAGAUCGAUCGGCAAGCUGCAGAACCACAGGGUCAAAUUAAGAAGCCACGAUCUGAUGAACAAUUAGGUCUUGAAACCUCGCCAAAUACGGGGUAAACUAGGUCAUUGAUUAAGUAGCAGGUCAAAAAGAACGUGCCAGAAAAUGUCAGCGAGAACAAUAAUUUAAAGACACAUUUUCAAGAAUGUCCAGUUAUAAAGGUUGGAGUUAAAAAGUGUACUUUUUUUAUAAUCUUUGCAAAAAUAUCCAAUUUUUAGAUCAAAAUGUCUACUUUACCCUCAUGAAAAGAUUAAUCAAUUUUAUAUGACUUUGGCACAAUUUUUAAGAAGAGCAAAUAACUUCUACGAGAAGGCACAAUAAUGAUGCUAUUACCUAGGUGAGUCCACUUGCUUAUAUUUUUAAUUAUAUUUUAAUCAAUUAUUCUAGAACAAAUGAAGAAGAAGCAAAAAUUCCAUUACCAUAUACGAAGAAGUAUAUGAUUCCAAUUUCAAAAAAAUUAUUUUAAGAAAUUUACUGUGGUAGAAAUUUGAAGUUGAUUAGGCUUUCAUCAUUUGUCGGUAAAAGGUAUAUUUCUUUGAACUCUAUUUCUUCGAAUUCUCUUUUUUUUUUUUAUAAGUUUUAUUUAGUAGUUGUUGUUGUAUAUGUUCAAAUCUCAAUUUUUUGAUAAAGUAUUUUUUCCUUAGACGAAAUUAUCCUGAGUAUAUAUUUUUCGUACCAUUCAUCUUAAAUAAUUUAGUUAGAUAAUAUACUUCUAUAUUUAGAAUAUUAUUUAUGGUGGAAUAAAUUCUUGUAAAAACGGUGAUUGAAGUUGAAGAAGAUGAUAAAUGCAUGAAAUCUUGUCAUUUCAUUCUCGACAUUUUAUAAAUGUCAAUAAUGAUUAUAAACGUCGAGAAUGAUAUUUAUACUAUCAUUCUCGACACUGUUAAAUGUUGACAAUAACAUUAAAAAUUUGAGUAAGUUGGUAAAUUUUCGUGUAAAGUGAUUCACAUAUUGCAUGCAAGUAGCAUUUUCGUUUUCGAUUUUCAUUAGUGGUUGACAGUAUUGUUGUUUAUGACAUGCAGAUAUGGGAGAUGUUAAGAGAUUUGUUGUCUCGUAUGGUGGUAGAUUCGUUAACAUAGACGACGGGUGGAAGCGGUUAGGGAACCGAACAACAUCAAUUGUUGUUCGACAUGAUAUUACAUAUGAAGAGAUUGUACAUAAAUUAUUCGAGAAGCUGAAUGUUGAUAGAAUGAAGUUCCGAAUUCAAUUGAAAUUUACAGUUCCAAACAUGAAUAUACCCCCAGCUGAUGUAGCCGACGAUGAGGAUUUGCAAUGGUUUAUGUCUGUUCACACAGAAGCGGCGUUGUGUGUAAUUGCAAAUGAAUAUAAUGCUGGAGAGCACGAACUGCAUGUCGGAGUUAAGCAUUUGUCACCAAUAGAAGAUGCAUUGUGUGAACGCGAUGAAGUCGGUAUGUGCGAACUACAAGAGCCACAAACGAUUGAUAAUAUGGAUGAAAGUUUAGGUGAAGGCAAUUUGUUUAUUCGAAAUGCAAUUGAGUCGAUUGAUGAAGAGGACGUUGUGGAGAAUAAGGUAUUCUUUAGCAAACGACAGUUACACACAAGGCUUCAACUUAACGCUUUGAAAGAGAAGUUUCAUUUCAAGGUUAAAAAGUCGAAUCCUAGAUCUCUUACUGUGUGUUGUGUCGAUACUACAUGCCAUUGGCUAGUACGAGCUUCUAAGAUAAAAAUUUCAGAAAUCUUUACGAUUCGAGAGUACAUACCUGAGCACACAUGUUCUCUAGACGUUCGACGAAAUGCACAAAUUCACGCAACGAGUGCAAUAAUUGGGCAUCACAUAAUGCGAAGGUUGGACGAUGCAAACCAAUCAUACGUUCCUGCGAGUAUUAUUGGGGAUAUAGAACGUGAGUUGGGUGUACGGAUUACCUACAACAAAGCGUGGAGGGCUAAAGAGAAGGGACUUCGAUUUCUUCGUGGUACACCCGAAGAAAGUUUUCAGAAAUUGCCAUCAUAUUGUCACAUGUUAACCGAGAAAAUUCCAAGAACUAUUGCACACAUUGAACUCGACUCGAAUAAUAGGUUCUUGUACUUCUUCUUAGCGUUCAGGCCUAGUGUACGUGAUUUUCGAGAAUACAUGAGGCCAGUAAUUUGUGUUGAUGGAAGUCAUUUGAAGGGCCAAUAUAAGGGAACACUACUAGUAGCUGCAGCGCAAGAUGCUAACCUACAAAUAUAUCCUCUUGCGUGGAGUGUUGUCGAUGGGGAAACAAAUGCAUCAUGGUAUUGGUUCUUUGCAAAGUUGAAAGAUGUCAUUGAUGAUUCAAACCAGCUAGUGUUUGUGUCGGACAGGAAGAAGAGUAUUAAGCGGGCAAUUACGAGAUUGUUCCCACUUUCUCACCACGAUGCCUGCAUUUGGCAUAUCGAGAAAAAUCUUAUUGCAAGGUAUAGCAGUAGCAAUGUCAUCUUCUUAUUCAAGCGGGCAGCGCUAGCAUACCGCGUAUCGGAAUUUGAUCAAUUUAUGACACAGAUAAGAACCAUUCGACCGUCAAUGGCAUCUUACUUGGAACGUGCCGGUAUAUCCACCUGGUCACGGGCACAUUUUGUUGGUAAUCGAUACAACGUUAUGACGAAUAACAUUGCAAAGUCACUGAAUUCAGUCCUAAGGCGACAAAGAAGUUUCCCUAUAACCUCGUUAAUCGAAAAUAUUACGUCAUUGAUGCAACGAUGGUUCUACGAGAGAAAAAGUGCAUUCACGAAAUGUAGUACGACUGUGACACCAAGAAUUGAUGAUGAAUUGAGAAAAUCAUUCGACGCCAGUGCAACUUUACCAGUACGAAAUUUGGACGAACUCGUUUUUGAGGUAGGUAUAGCUACCAAACUUUGUACUGUCGACCUUAUAGGUAACACAUGUUCAUGUCGAGAGUUUCAGAUGCGACAAAUCCCAUGUUCACAUACAUCCCAAGCUGCUUGCGCAAAAGAAAAAUCAUUGUAUGAUUUGUGCUCCUCUUACUACACCACAGAAUAUUGGCGAGCUGUGUACAAUGAAGUUCUUCACCCCGUUGGCCGAGAGUCAGAUUGGGUUGUUCCUCAGUCUAUUCGUUCCGUCGAAGUUUUGCCCCCAAAUAUACGUAGAGCACCAGGUCGACCUCCUACCCAACGUCAACGGUCAAGAACUGAAAGGUCGACGUUGAGACGAAAAUGCGAUCGAUGUGGGGGUUCUGGACAACACGGAGAUCAAGUUUUUUCGAGUAAAUUGUAGUUGAAAAAUAUUUUUCUUUCAAUAUAUUCAACUAACUGCUGAAUAGCACAAAUAGUAAAUACAAAUUUUGAAUUACUUACCUUUUCUAAUCAAAUUAGCGUCUUUUUCGAGUGAAUGUGGAAAAUGUUUCCGGCUAAAUAAAUGUGAGAAUGAAACUUGAAUUAAAAUGUGAAAAGAGUGAGUGAAUGUGAUAAAUAAUUGUAGCUAAAUGUGUGGAUGGGGGAGCGAAUGAGAAGUAGCUAAAAUUAAUUAAAACGUGUGAAGAGUGAGUGAAUGUGACAAAUAAUUGUAGGUAAAUGUGUAGAUGGGAGAGUUUGUUGUGUUACAAUAAUUGAUCAUAAGCAAAUUUCCCUGUUCUAAUUCUCACUCUGUUUUGGGGACCCUCCUUCACUAUCUUUCCCUUUGUUUCCUAUAUAUAUAUAUCAGUGAUUUUUUUAAACUUUCUUGUGUUGUAAUUUGACAAAUUAUAAAUUUCUUUUUAAUUCAUUUUGUUCCAUUAAAAUUUUAUAUUCACAAAAAAAAAUAUAUUAACGUUUUGUACAAUUCAAAUUUUAUAUUGAAAAAAAAAUGUUCGAUAAAUUUCUUUAAUUUAUUAAAACUGAUCGAGUUAAUCAAUUUUUCCUCACUAACUGCUAAGUAGCACGAAGUUUAUUUUAUUUCCACAUACAUGAUCACACAAAAUGACACAUAUGUUCACAUAUUAUUGAAAACAAAAAUAUAAGGGAUGUUAACAUUUAUAUUGAAACAAUAUAUUUCUUGACAUUUCACUCAUUUCUUGACAUUUGAUGUGUAGUUCUCGACAUUAAAUGUCUGCUAAUCUGGACACUUGACAGUACAUUUGUAUAGAACGACAUUUCAACUUAAGUAUAGGAUUUCUCCACAUUUCAUUAGAACAUUGACAUCUCCUACUCCACUAUAUGAGAUAAUAAAGUUAUAAACUAUUUUCAAUCACCAGUUUACAUCCACAAAAUAUUACAUACCACCAUAUAAACAAAAAUAUGCAAACCACUAUCUAAACCAAAAUACAUUUUCCGUACCACGACAUAAACCAAAAUACAUAUUGAAAAACCACCAUAUAAAUCAAAAUAGGUAAACCUCUAAAUUCUACGCUUCUCUCUUACCCCUCUUGCGACCAGAUCGUGUGUAUGACGUCUUUGUGUUUACACUAGCCUUCUUCAGCCUCAACGAUCGAGGUCUACGUGUAGGUGGAUCAGCUACCAUCGAAGGUCCAGAAACGAUGCUAUCAUGAACCAGUUGAUCAUCAAUGGUCACACCAACUGUAGGUACAAUGGCUGGUGCCUCUUUCACAAUAUCACAAGCAACAUAUACUGACCCAAGUACUCCAACCCCACCUCCUAACCUUAUGGACACAUCAGGGAUAUUGCAAACAACUGGUUCGGUUGCCUCUCCGACAUCCUGUCUGUCUACAAAAAUAUUGGGAGUGAAAACAUCAUGUCGGGGCUCGUCUCCACUGCGAUCGUCAUGACCAAAUCCACCAUACUCAGCACCAACAUUGUGUUGUCCAAUUUCUGUAGCAACUUCAUCAAACCUUCGUCGAAGAACAUUCAUCUCAUCAGUGACAUGAUUUCUCAAACCACACACAUGACCUCCCAAAUCAUUUUGGAGACUAGCGAAUCUUGUGUUUCUUUCUUUCCUCAAAUCCCCCAUCUUGCUCUCAAAUGCCUCCCGUUGCUCAUUCAAGAUAACUCUUAUCUCAUUUAAAGACACAUGUCUUUCAACGAUGGGAUCCCCAUACUCUUCUUCUCUGCCUUCAACCAGAUGCAAACCUCGAUGAUGAGGUCCACCUUUGUUGCCUCUCUGGGAUUUAUUUGGUCGAUGGUUGUUUUCAUCGUUCCGUAUGACAUCAUCGUCAACUAGACAAGUUUGUAUUUCUAUUGAUUGAGCAACAAGAUCAUCUAAAACGGGGUCGGCUGCGUCUUCCAACGGAACUAGAUCGACGAAGUACGGCUGUAAUUCUUCUGCAGCAGUUGCUUGCACCGUAGCCCACAAGUGCACCUACAGGGGAAGAAAAAUAGGCGAAAUGAAAAAAUAUAUAUUGCGGAGUGUAAGGCAAUUAAAUAUGUAAAUCGCCUACAUUUGUCUUCUCAAAAAAAUCUGAAUAUGUUCAAGAAUGAGGUUGUUUCAUGCCAGACCACGGCAACAUCCUCCGGACAUCGUCACAAGUCUUACUCGAGAAUCGAGCUCCCAACUUCGAAAUUGCCUCGUACGUCCAAAUCUGCAUGACAUUUGUAACAGUAAUAACCAUAUUUGGAGAUAAAUAACAAUGAGCGAUGAAAAGAACUGAAAUGAACCAAAAUAGAUGUAUACCUGGACAGCAAGAGGGAAUCCGUACAAUGUGUAAGUCAUCCUAUCACAAUCAUUCACUUUUACCAUGUCCGCCUUUCUUCCCCAUCCACGUAGUAGUGAUUUGAUGAGAAGUUGAAAACAUACUGUCCCCCAUGGGUAGGCAUUGAAAAAAUCCAAGUCGUCAACGAUGGAAAGAGUUGUCGAAUUUAUUCCUACAUUUCGAUCUCUUGAAUUAAAUACCCCUUCAAUAAUUAGUGCCAACCCAAGCUUGUAACGAUCGUUACGGUUGGCACAUUUCAAAAAAGCUUUCUCCAGGUCGCUACACGUUAUACGGUCCAUAUUAGCAAACAUUUUAUCUUGUAGACGGGUUUUCUCUAGGAUUUUGUCAACUUCGGCACCUUUAGGCACUGAACUGCACUUCAAGCCAGUAAUUAGUGCGAACUUCGGUAGUCCAAAUCGUGCAAACCUUUGGUUCACCUUGAACCAAGCCUCAAACCGCUUUCGGCAUACCACCGAUCUGUUUACCAUUUUAUGAAUUAAUUGAGCAGAUAGUUUCAGCUCCGGUAACCUUGCAACAUGUCCUAUACAACUGUCCUCCAACUGACGCUUUUGCUGUGGAUCCAAUUUGUUGAGGACAACUGAUAUAUAUUUUGUAUUGCUCACUUGCGACACAUUGGCCGAAACUCGUUCUUCCUCCGGAAUAUUAUAUCGGUGUGUCAUACUCAUCUACAAAUGAAAACAAUACUUUAACAAAUACUAUGAGAACGUACAAAUGAAAUCAAAUAUAACAUUCUUGUUAAAAUGCAGUGUAAGAAAAAUAAUAUUUACAAUACAAUGGUUUGAUAAAAUAUCAUAUCUAAACUAAGUUGUUUAAUUGUUGAAAUUAAAAUAAACCUGACUUCUGAUCUGAAGCUAUCAUGUAACCAUUUUAUAGUGAUCACCAUUCAAACAGUUCAAAAGUAUAUACACAAUCUUCUACAAUUUCAUUAAGUUAAUUGCCUAAUUUAGAUAUGCAAAUAAGUCGAAAAUACAAUAUUCUUUAACAAAAUAAAUAACAACAACAUAGCCUUGUAUUAAAUAAAUUUAGAGCCAACUACAACAGACCAUAUGCAAAAUCAAGUAUACAUGUCAUAAGAUUUGACAAAGUUUUCUAUCUGUUAUUAACCUAUCACAGUCUUCCUCCAUAAGAAACCAUCAAUAUACAAAUGCAAUCCUCAACAAGAUGCAGAACAAAUUUGAUGCGAAAAUGAAGUCAUUUAGUUGCUGAUGAGCAUUCAAACAGUCUUAAGAGUGUAUAAUAGCAACACAAUCUGUGUCAUUUCAUCAUGUUUAUUGCCUAACUCAGAUGCAAAAUAUGCCUCAAAUGGAGUAUUCUUCACUUCGUACUAGUGUUAUUUAUCAUCCAGCAGCAUCAAAUUUAGUUCACAUAUAGAUUAUAUCUCAAAAGCAAAAAUACAAUAACAGGGACAACAGAAAGUACAAUCAUUUUCCUGAUUUCUUUAAACACUUUACCUCUUCAACCUUUUUGACAGUAUCUCACAUGUACCACUUUUUAUCUCAAAUUGUAUCAACAGUUAGUAUUUGCUCGCUCAAUAGAAUAGAGACACUCAGUGACCUUGACAUCAAUUUAUGUUAAACUAGCCAAAUCUUAGGAUUUAGGAAGAGGGGAGACUUGGGGAAGUGAAAAAAAUAACGAAAUAAACUUACUCUAUAGCACUGGACUCUGAAGUGUGGUGGGGAAACGGCAACUGGGAAAAUAAGAGAGAAAUGGACAGGCUCGUUGUCGGCGAGUUGGGUCAGAGUGAAGAUUGAGAGACUGAGAGUGAGACUUAAGAGGACUUAGUUUAGGGCUUCUUUUAUUUUUUCAUUCCCCUGCCUUCAUUUCUUUUUUCUUUUUUUUUUGUGUAUUCGGGUCGAGUUAUAUCAGGUUUUCCAAUUUUUACCCAUAACUCGAUCCAACUCAACCCGCACCUACUUGACCUAUAACCCGACCCACAUCGACCCACACCUAUCCAACCCAAGCAUUUAAUGCUGAUUGACAUUUCUACGUUGAUUGACGUGAAUAGUGAUAUGGAAAUUUUUGAAUUCUUGUGUGAAAAUAAUAUUUCUAAAAGGGGUAUUUUCGUCUACAUAAUUCGAAAAUGGACAUUGACAAAAUUGUGGAUAUUUUGGCAAAUGACUCGCUGAAAAUGGACAUUACGUGAAAUUUCCUCUAAUUUAAAAGGUAACUGAUCGCAGUGAUAGUAAAAUUAAACGGGAUAAUGAUGUUGGAGUAUCAGUGAAUUUGAACUCGAAGUCAAAUUCAAGGAGUGGACUUACAAGUCCUGAUAGUGAUUAGACGGAAUUAUUGAGCGUUGCAAAUAAAAAUGUAGCAUCCGGGGGUGUGAGUGGGAAUUGUAAGUAUUAUGCCCUAGGUCCAAUCAACUUUGGACAUAACUACUUUUAUAUAUAAUUAAUGCAAUUAAAUGGUAGAUCUAUUAUUUAAUUAAUAGACAAUUUAAUAAAUAAUAGAGUCCGUAGAUUCAAAUCUUUGUAAUUUGUUAAUCACAAGGAGUUGUGAUUGUGAGAUACAAAUUACAUCGGAUUGAAUCUUAAAUCAUCCAUGGUCGUAAUUAAUAACAAGAUACGGAUAUCGUUAUUACGGAUAGACCAUCACGUGUGGAAUUUCUUACUUGUGAAGUAAGUAGCUGAUCUCACAAGUUAAAGUGUAGCGACACUUAAGUGAACACGUGAAUGUUUUGUUAUAGAACAAAACAUUGGAGACCCGUCGAGAGAUUCCACAUGGAUAACUAUUUGAGUGUCAGUGGUUAAUCUUUAACGUUCGGUAGUGGAAUUGGUUCUUUGACUUGAGGUCGUCAUGGUACCUUAUAUGAGGACAGUCAUACUUUGGCGGUGUUGGAUUUUGCUCUGAAAAGGGCCGUUAAUACGACAUCGUUCGGGUACGUCAAAAAUUGUAUGAAGGUUUUGAUUGAUCAAUAAAGGAUUUGUCACUCUUAGAUAGUAGGAGAUUAUGAUCUGCUUUUCAUUCGAUUAAGUCGAUGAUGAAAUCCUUGGCCAAGGUGUACUCAUAAGUCGAAAAGGAGUUUUCGACUUAUAUUGACUUAAUAGUGGAGUGAAAGAUAUGAUUGAUGAUCGAGAUUGACACAAUUCCAUAUCUCGUAAUUGAUCAGAUCAUAUUGACGAAGGGAUUAUAGUUUCACGGUAAACGAACGAAUUUGGUUUUGUCAUAUCAUGUGACAUUUUCCGUUACAUGUAUUGCCCUAACACAUUGCUAGAUGUCAAUCAGGGACGGCGAGUGUGAAUUGACGAUAAAUUAAAAGGGUAUUUUAAUUUAUCAAUUUUGAUUAGAUUAAAAUAAUAUUUCAUGUCGUUGGGCAUCGUAGUCGGGAACCUAAUGGGUCGCACACAAAAGAGAAUUGGAAGAUUGCAAAUUGUCAAUUGGUUAAUUUAACAAUCGUUGGAGAAAUUAAUUAAUUAGAUUUGUUAUUUAUAUUGCAGAAUUAAUUAAUUGGAUUAAUUAAUUCACGGACCGGAUUUAAUUAAUUGGAUUAAUUAAAUAUUGAAUCGGACCGGACCGAGCCCGUUUGGGUUUAUAUAAAUACAUGGCUAGAGUUUGAGGUCCAUAUAUGAUUUUCAUUAUUCUUGCUGGCACAAGAGAAAACCCUAGAAGCUGCAAUCUUAUUCUCUGUGUGGAUCACCAUUGGAGGCUGGACAAUUGAACAGUUGUGGUGGAGAAUCUAGGUUGAUGGAACGAAAAGAAAAGCAAGAGGAUUGCAGAUCUGGAAAAAGUACAAUCUUAUCACAAUUUCUAUCUAAACACAAAGGCAAUUUUUGGUGGGAAUCGAAAAUUAUUUUAAAUUCCGCUGUGCAUAUAUAAGUAGAUUCCCAACAGUGGUAUCAGAGCCUACUUUGUGUUUGUUAGAAAUUGUUUAACAUAUUUGUGCAGUCAAUAGUUGAUUGUUAUAUUUUUUUUUCUUGUUUCUAGCGAUUAAUGAAAAUUCGAUUUUCAUAUUUCUGAUUCUGAUUCGAAAAAUAAAAAAAAUAAAGGAGAUGGGGACUGGUCGGUGACAAUAGUAGUCGUUGGCUUUGGGCAGCCGGCAACGGCACUAGCCGCUACCUAGGCGUGGGUAGCGCUAGGCGCUGCACCGAAAUGGUUGCAGGUGCUGCUACUGGCAGCGCCUGCUGCCGGGUGAGGCCAAGAAAAGUAAAAGAAAAUUAAAAAUUAAAAAAAAAAUUUUGUUUAGGGUUUUCAGUUCGAGUUGUGCAGUUUUUGGAGGCGGGGGGUUCCUCUGCAAUUAAAGUAAUUGUGGGACCCUGCUGCAAUUAUUUUCUAAAGGGUCAAGUUGUAAUUUUAAAAGGAAGGGCAUGUCUACAAUUUGAGAAAUUGGAGGUCCUUCUCUGCAAUUUAGUAGUAAGGGUCAGUUUUGCAAUUUCUGAACUAGGACCUAUUCUGAAAUUUUCGAAAUAUGAAGGGCCUGAAUGAAAUUUGCGAAAUUGAGAGGUCUUGAGUUUAAUUUGAAAAUGGGCCAAAAUGUAAAUUUCAAAAGGGGAUUUGAAUUUAGAUUUUAAAAUGGUUUUAAAUUUUAUUUUAUAUGGGUUUUGACCUAUUUUGACUAGACUUCUAAUUUUGACCCAAAUUAAAAUCUUAUUUAAAAUUGACGACAUUAUAUUUUCGUUAAAAUUGGAUUUUAACUUAAACAUUAAAUUUUGAUCCAAUUAAAUUUUUAUUUUAUUUAGGAGUGUUAUCCUAUAUUAAAAUAUUAAUUCAAUUUAAAUUAAAAGUUUGACUUUAAUUUAAUACUUAAUUAAAAUUUAAUUUUAAUUGGUUAUUCACCCGAAUAUAUUCUUGUAAUUAGAAUUGGAUUCUAAUUUCAUAUUUAAUUAAAAUUUGAUUUUAAUUAAAUUUUCUCGCCCUAAAUUUCUUCUUGAAAUUAGAGUUGGACUCUAAUUUGAUAUUUAAUUAAAAUUUUAAUUUUAAUUAAAUUAAUUCGCCCUUAAUUAUUGGAAUUAGAGUUGGACUCUAAUUUUGUUAUUUAAUUAAAAUUUGAUUUUAAAUUAAAUUCCAUCGCCUUAAAUUGUAAAAUUAGAGUUUGACUCUAAUUUGAUAUUUAAUUAAGAUUUGAUUUUAAUUAAAUAAUCCCGCCAUAUAAUUAUUGAAUUAGAGUUGGACUCUAAUUUGUUGUUUAAUUAAAAUUUGAUUUUAAUUAAAUAUUCCGGCUGAUUAAAUAAUCGAUUAAUAUGAUUAAUUAAUUAUUUAAUUGUUCCGAUCCAUUUGUCUAAAAGAGUUUAGACAACUUAAUUGCUAGAAAUUUGAAAUUAAUUUACAUAUAAUAUUAGAUAUUAUAUAGGUAUAUAUUUAUGUGAUGAAUGUAUUAUUAGUGGACGAUUAUGGACUCGACCAUAUGGAUGUGUUGAAUGGUUAAUUUUUAUUUUUGUCGUUUAUGGGCAUGCGAGCUCUUAAUUGUUUUGGGCCUACGAGCCCGUUAUUAUUGUUAUUAUUUUGGACCUGCGAGUCCAUUAUUAUUAACAUUACUAUGGGCCUGCGAGUCCAAUUUCAUUUAGGCCUGCGUACCAACUAGUAUAAGAUACAUGUUGGAAUUGGACUAAUUGAAAAGAUAAGAAGAGGUGGAGGCCAUGGAGAUGGAGAUGGUGCAUUGACAAUGUUCAAUGCCAUACCCCCCAUGAAUUGACCAACUAGUCUUCCUUAUGGCUCGGGAAGAUUAGAUAGUAAAAGUCCAUUAUCGUCCACACUAUUAUAUUAUAUUAUACAUAUAUUUAUUUGCAUAUUAGAUGUAUAAUAAUAAUAUAUAUAUGAUUGUAUUGUUGUUGAUGAGACUCAUGAAUGCAAAAUCCCUCCAUAAAAUAUUAAGUCACAUUUGUAAUCGCCUUCCAUUAUUAUAGUGAAAAAUCAGAGUCCCAAAUCGUCUCAACUUGUUGAGUACACUCAAGGCUGGUCCAUUAGGGGAUAUGUUUGACACUAUGAAAUAUUUGAUAUUUCUGAAUGAUGGGUUUGACUUAACUAAAAUUUAUCUUUUGUUGAGUACACUCAAAGAGAUAAAUUUUAGAGGCAUGUUAAGCUAACACGUAAGAUGUGUGAAAACAAAGAGUUGUCAGUUUAAUGAUCUGGGAGUUGUAUGGAAAUACAAUUGAUAAUAGUAUCUACCCAAAUAUUAUAUUAGGGCUUGUUGAGUACACUCAAGGUCUUAAUAUAAUAGAUGAGAUCUCAGCCCACUGGGAGUCAAGCAUGGACUCCAUAAAUUUAUGUGAGAGGAUCAUAAAUUUUAUUUAAACAGUGGGAGCAUAAUUAAUUUAAUAAAAGACCAUAUUAAAUUAAUUGAUGCAUUUUAUAUAUUAUUCUUUCCUUUUUGUCAUUUAUAUUUAUUGAAUCUGAGUAACCAUAUGUUUUGAAUAGCAUACUAGAUGCCAACAACCAACUUAUAUUUUCUUAAUUAACACUGCAAUUUGAGAAUUGUUCUUAUGCAUGAGAAAAUUGGUCAGAUCCUUGAGUAGCCCUUUUCAGAGACACCUGCUGAUGACUUGAUUAAAGAAGAGGUGGCUACUAUAGUAAACGCAGUGAUGAUAAUAGUACUGCAACGUAUGUGAUACUUACAACUAUGUCACUGAGUUACAAAAGCGACUUGAGAGUAUUGAUGCUAACACAUAAUUUUUCACUACAAAGAGUUGUAUGAUAAUAAUUGUGUGUGGAAGGAUAUGAGACUUCCAAACAACUAUACCGGUGCAAAAUGACAAAGUAAUCUUCAAUCGAUAUUUAGACAUUGAAGAUGAUUGACGUUGAGAAAUGUCUCAAUUGAGUUCAAUCAAAAACUAUGAACAAAGUUAUGAACUUGGUUCUGCAAUCUCUAUCAGAGAAAGCUAUUCAUAACUUAUUAUGAAUUUAACGUGAAUAAGCUCGAAUGCAAAAAUAUUGAGUUGCUUAACAUGCUUAGGACUGUUAACCCCUUUAUCAAAGUUGGUAGUUGGCAAACCAUUGAUUCCUCUAAAGAUAUUAAGAGGAAGUCUAAAAGGGCUUUGUAAAAGCACCCAAUAUGGUUAAGACAGUAUAAGCGAAUGACAAAUACCAAAUCUAAUGACCCUUGGUUUCAUUAUAGAAUGAAAGGUCAUUGGAAGGAAUAUUGCGUGACUUACGUCUACUUCACGAGUUUCUUAGGUAUUUGAUACCAGAUGUAAAUCUCAUAUUUAUACAAAUAUGGAGAAACUAAAAAGAAGUAGACCACUGCGAAAGGGAAAAGUUGACAUACACGUUGGAGGUGAGCAAAGGUUGCUACACUACAUGUAUGAAUAUACUUCUUACUAUUGCCUUUUGGUUUAGUAUUGGAAUUAGAGAAAUGUUGUUUUAUGCCAACUAUAGCUGGAACAUUAAAAUGAAUUUCAUGUUCGGACAUGAACUAUUUUAAUAUUAAGGACAAUUGUUGUUCUUGUUUAUCUUGUUAAAGAUCCUAAUGGCUAUGGUAAGUUAUAAAACGACAUUUAUAUUCUUUAAUACUAAAGAUUCUAUAAUAAGUAUAGAAAUUAUAAGGCAUAAAUACUAUAAUCUAAUUAUUACCAAAAUCUGGCAUGACAGACUUUGUCAUUUAGAUGAAAUAUAAUUCCAAAGUUACAUAAAUAUGUAUACUUGGGAUUAAUUCAUUUUGACAAGUACAAAUUAUGCAUGUCUGGCACAAUAACCAAAUCUUCUUUUGCUUGAAAAGAAGAAAGGUCAGCAUAAUUACUGGUCUAAUGCAUAGUGAUGCAUAUGGAUUCAUGUCAAUCAAUGUCAGGUAAUGUUUCUCUUAUUUCAUCGAUGAUCAAGUAUACUUGAUGAAAACUCAAACAUGAAACUCUUGAAAAGUUCAAUGGAUUCACUCUAGAAUUAGAGAAACAAAGAGGUAAAGAUACCUUCACAUUAAGAUUUGAUCAAGUGAGAGUAUCUUAAAGAUAAAAUGUAGAUUAUCUAAGAGAGAAUGAGAUUCUCGUGCAGUGGACUCCUUCAUAUACACUGCAGCAAGGUGAUAUAUCUAAAAGGAGGAAUCGUUAAUUAUUACAUAUAAUGAGAUUAAUAACAAGCCAUGCAAAUUUCUCAAAAUUGUUUUGAGGUCACGCAUUGAUUGCAGUGUGCAACACACUAAACCAUGUCCCAUCUAAAUUGGUUAACGGAACUCCAUACGAGUUAUGGAAAGACACUAGUCCCAAUUUAUCUUAUAUGAAAGAUUGGGGCCAUGACGCUUAUUUGAAGCACCUUAAAUCGGAUAAGUUUGAGAUCGAAUCUGAUAAAUACAUAUUUGUGGGAUAUUCAAAUGAGACAUUUGAAUAUAAAUUUUAUUAUCAUGAAGAAAGUUUUCGUCUCACGACAUAUCGUCUUCUUAAAGAAAAUAUUUACUAUUGGAGAAGACAGUGGGAGUAAAAUAGAAUUUGAAAGAGUUCAAGAGUCCACAGAUAUAGUUAACCAAGUAGAUAAAUCCGAGUUUGAUCCCAUAUCUGAUAUGGGACAUACUUUGGAUCAGGAAGUAAAGACUCAUGAGGACAUGACAACUCUAUGUGAAUUUAGUAGGAUCAUUCGACUUUCAAGAAGGUUCGCAUCCAUGAUCAUUAAUCAGGUAUUAGUGAUUCAGGACAAUGAACCUGCUAGUUGCAACAAAAAUAAAGUCAAGUGUUGACUUAAAAGAGACAGCAUGAGGCCAUGAUAUUCGAGAUGAACUCGACAUAUGUAAACAAGGUUUGGACCUUGGUUAAGCCUCCUGAUGGAAUAAAACCCAUAAGGUUUUGUAAAUAGUUUACAAGAGAAAUGUCGAUAUGGAAGUGGAUAUCCAUAUAUACAAAGCAAGGCUAGAAGCAAAUGUUAAGUGUUGAACUUGGUGAAACUUUUCUCCUGUGACCUUGCUCAAGUCCAUUCGGGUUUUAUUUGCAACAGUUGCAUAUCGUAACUAAAGGUUAAGAUAAGUCUCUAUGGAGCUAAAAUCUUCGAUUUGAUAGAAAAGUCAAAGCGUUUGAUUUUAUCAAAUUUGAAGACGAAUUGUGUAUUUACAAGAAGAUAGUGGGAGCAUUGUCGUGUUCCUAAUAUUAUAGAAAAUGAUAUCCCUGUGUUUCAAUUGUUGAAAUAAUGGUUGUUAAAGGAUUUAUUCAUAACGAAAUGGGAUAAGCAACUUGAUUUAUAGAGGUAGAUCUAGAAGAUUGCUUAACUCAUCCCAAUUUACAUAGAUGAAAUCUUGAGAAGAUUUCAUAUGGAGAAACUGGUUUACUCUUAAGCGGUAUGUUGGAAAGGUUCCAAACUUGAAGCAACCGUUGAUUCAAUAGUAGAAACCUAAUACAUGGUUACUUCAGAAGUAGCAAAGAGUUGCAAUAUGGAUCAUGAUGUUCAUAAAUGAACUUGGAGUAGUUUCUGAUAUUGUUAAUCACAUAUCAUAGUAUUGUGAGAACAAUAUAGCCAUUGCGAAAGCACAGGAACUAAGGUCUCGUCAAUAAUCCAAACAUGUAUUAAGGCGGUAUAAUCUUGUCAGAGAGAUAAUACAUAGAAAUGACGUAAAGAGAAGAACAAAUUUCCACAUUUAGUGAUAUUGCAGAUCCACUAAUAAAGAGUUGUCGUAGUAUAAAUAUGAUCGUCAUGUGGACUUAUUAUAUUGGAUACAUAAGUGAUUGGAUCUAGUGCAAGUGGGAGUUUGUAAGUAUUAUGCCCUAGUUCCAAUCAACUUUGGACAUAAAUACUUUUAUAUAUAAUUAAUGCAAUUAAAUGGUGGAUCUAUUAUUUAAUUAAUAGACAAUUUAAUAAAUAAUAGAGUUCGUAGAUUCAAAUCUUUGUAAUUUGUUAAUCACAAGGAGUUGUGAUUAUGAGAUACAAAUUACAUCUGAUUGAAUCUUAAAUCAUCCAUGGUCGUAAGUAAUAACGAGAUACGGAUAUCGUUAUUACGGAUAGACCAUCACGUGUGGCAUUUCUUACUUGUGAAGUAAGUAGCUGAUUUCACAAGUUAAAGUGUGACGACACUUAAGUGAACAUGUGGAUAUUUUGUUAUAGAACAAAACAUUGGAGACCCGUCGAGAGAUUCCACAUGGAUAACUAUCUGAGUGUCAGUGGUUAAUCUUUAACGUUCAGUAGUGGAAUUGGUCCUUUGACUUGAGGUCGUCAUGGUACCUUAUAUGAGGACAGUCAUACUUUGGCGGUGUUGAAUGUUGCUCUGAAAAGGGCCGCUAAUACGACAUCGUUCGGGUACGUCAAGAAUUGUAUGAAGGUUUUGAUUGAUCAAUAAAGGAUUUGUCACUCUUAGAUAGUAGCAGAUUAUGAUCUGCGUUUCAUUCGAUUAAGUCAAUGAUGAAAUCCUUGGCCAAGGUGUACUCAUAAGUCGAAAAGGAGUUUUCAACUUAUAUUGACUUAAUAGUGGAGUGAAAGAUAUGAUUGAUGAUUGAGAUUGACACAAUUCCAUAUCUCUUAAUUGAUCGGAUCAUAUUAACGACGGGAUUAUAGUUUCACGGUAAACGAACGAAUUUGGUUUUGUCAUACCACGUGACAUUUUCCGUCAUAUGUAUUAUCCUAACACAUUGCUAGAUGUCAAUCAGGGACGGCGAGUGUGAAUUGACGAUAAAUUAAAAGGGUAUUGUAAUUUAUCAAUUUUGAUUAGAUCAAAAUAAUAUUUCACAUCGUUAGGUAUCGUGGUCGGGAACCUAAUGGAUCGCACACAAAAGAGAAUUGGAAGAUUGCAAAUUGUCAAUUGGUUAAUUUAACAAUCGUUGGAUAAAUUAAUUAAUUGAAUUUGUUAUUUAUAUUGUCGAAUUAAUUAAUUGGAUUAAUUAAUUCACGGACCGUGUUUAAUUAAUUGGAUUAAUUAAAUAUUGGAUCGGACUGGGCCGAGCCCAUUUGGGUUUAUAUAAAUACAUGGCUAGGGUUUGAGGUCCAUAUAUGGUUUUCAUUAUUCUUGUUGGCACAAGAGAAAACCCUAGAAGCUGCAAUCUUAUUCUCUGUGUGGAUCACCAUUGGAGGCUGGACAAUUGAACAGCUGUGGUGGCGAAUCUAGGUUGAUGGAACGAAAAGAAAAGCAAAAGGAUUGCAGAUCUGGAAAAGGUACAAUCUUAUCACAAUUUCUAUCUAAACACAAAGACGAUUCUUGGUGGGAAUCGAAAAUUAUUUUAAAUUCCGUUGUGCAUGUAUAAGUAGAUUUCCAACAGGAAUCAGAGUAGCAUUGGAGCGUUGGGGAUUAGGGGUUUGAAGAAAGAUGGUAUGAAACAAGGGAGAUUGGGGUCGAAGGUAUUAGAAGGGAAAAGUACUGAGAAUGGACGGAACAAUAGUGUUCUGAAUGGUUCAAGAAAAUCUAAUGUUGAGUUUGAGAGUAACGCAAAUGUGUGCUUUGUAUGUGUGCCAAAAUGACUUGUCUGGAUGUAGCUCAUGGUGUUAACCAAUCAUUGAAUAUGGGCACAUAAUAUGCACGCAUCAACUAUCAUUGAUAAAAGGCCUCUGCAAAUUCAAAUUUCUAUGGUUAUCCAGUAGCUAAAAC
rnacentral:lncRNA from 1 species